AUGAGCAGCGCCUCCGCGAGGCUCGCGUAGUACGAGCCCAAGUCCAUUUCCGGGAACAAGUCAAGCCUACUGAACAUUUCGAUGUCCAUUCCGCCCGGCACCGCGAAGUCUCCAUCGGCGGAAGGUUUCGACGUCUCCGACGAACCGGCAUCGUCAGACUCAGACGACGAUUCUGCAGGAGCGCCACAGGAGGCCUCCUCGGCGGCGGUGGCGGUGGCGGUGGCGGUGAUGGACCCACCGGCAGCCUCCCGUCGCUGCAAAUCCGCGACGGCCUCGACCGCCGCGCGCCGGACGUCGGCGAGAUCGGAGUGCGCGGACGGCACAGCGAGCAGCCACGCGGAGUCCGGGAAGUUGAGGAGCGCGGCGGAGCGGCCGCCCAGGGCGAGCAUGGCGGCGUCGUUGGCGCGCGCUGCAAUCUCGGCCGUGGCGUAAGUCCCGAGCCAGAGCCGAGCGCCGCGCUUGCCAGGGACGCGCACCUCGCAGACCCACCGUUGGGCGUUGCCCCGGCGCCGCACGCCACGAUACACAGGGUGCCGCGUCUCGCGGAACUUGGUGCGCCCCGCGGGGCGCUUGGCCAGCGACGAGGAGGAUGGGGAGGAGCUCGAGACCUCAAGGCCCAUGUCCAUGGCUACCGGCAGAGUGCUGGGUGAUUGGCAGGUGGCUUCCUUGGGCAGUCGAGGUUGGUGCUUAGCUCAGUGAGGAGUGUGAGCUAGCUGUGAGAUGCUUGUUGAGCUUGAGCGAGAGUGUGGGAUACUUAUAUAUAGGUAUGCAUGAUGCUGGAGGUUGAAGUGUAUCAACGCGCUUGAGACGGCGGUAGGGAUGCAGUGUCCGGACAGCUGGUGACAAAGGAACUGCGGGGUGAUAGCGUCGUGUGACUUUUCUCCUGGUGGACCGUGGGCGUGUGGGGGCUUCUGGCUUUGCAGUGUUAAACAAAAAAAAAAGGCAACUUCCUGAUGGCUUAACAGUGUUGAUGCAGCGGUGAUUGCCUUGCCUGAUUGGUCCGCCGGCUGUUCGGCCGCAAAGAGAAGACAGCAUGCACUGCUGAGUGGGGUCGUCUGGUUCCCCGAGGUCUUCGGAGGCUCAAGGCAGAAAGGGGCACGACUUAGUGGAUGAACAGCCAUGGUGCCAUGAGUAUUCCAGCAGUCCACGUAUAGGGCAACUCCAACGCGGUCUAUCAAAUUGUUUGGACCAGAUGAUGAUUUUAACAUCAUUCACCAAAUGUCAAUUCGGACCGAAAUCAAAUUAAGGCAUCUUUGAAGGAGUCUGGACAUCGACGUACGCCGCUAACUGAGUGUGGAAUCCCAUCCCCCCUCCCCCCACCACCUUCUCUCUCUCCUCUUUAUUGGACAAAGGGCGGACAUUCGAUGAAUAUGGUUGGAUGGCCGGCGAACAUUUGGUGAUGUCCAAUAACUGAUUUGUGUUAGAGUUGCACCUUGUACCUAAAUUGUGUUAGAAUUUAGUUUACAACUCGGUGUCAAAAUCGCCGGAUCUCGGGUAGGGGGUCCCGAACUGUGCGUCUAAGGCUAAUGGUAAUAGGAGGCGAGGGACACGAUGUUUACCCAGGUUCGGGCCCUCUCAAUGGAGGUAAUACCCUACUUCCUGCUUGAUUGAUCUUGAUGAUAUGAGUAUUACAAGAGUUGAUCUAUCACGAGAUCGUAGAGGCUAAAUCCUAGAAGCUAGCCUAUGAUUGUGAUUGUUGUCGUCCUACGGACUAAAUCCUCCGGUUUAUAUAGACACCAGAGGAGGCUAGGGUUACACAGAGUCGGUUACAGAGAAGGAGAUCUACAUAUCCGAAUUGCCAAGCUUGCCUUCCACGCAAAGGAGAGUCCCAUCCGGACACGGGGCGAAGUCUUCAAUCUUGUAUCUUCAUAGUCCAACAGUCUGACCAAAGUAUAUAGUCCGGCUGUCCGAGGACCCCUUAAUCCAGGACUCCCUCAGUAGCCCCUGAACCAGGCUUCAAUGACGAUGAGUCCGGCGCAGAUUGUCUUCGGCAUUGCAAGGCGGGUUCCUUCUCCGAAUACUCCAUAGAAGAUUUUGAACACGAGGAUCGUGUCCGGCUCUGCAAAACAAAUUCCACAUACACCGUAGAGAGAACAAUAAUCCACAAAUCUAAUCUGCUGACAACUUUCCGUAGCGUGACAUCACGCCACGGCCUGGUCAUUAUUCGAACCGUUUUUCACAACCAGCUACUGCACAUAUUGCGAGGCGGUUUCCUUGGCACGUCUUGUCGAAGCAGAGAUCGUGUUCCCCUUAUCACGGGAUUCUCAUCAAUACGGGCGUGGGUAACCCAACCGCACUUUAUUGGUAUGACUCCUUGAUUUUAGGCAAGUUCCAAACGGUCACGUCGAGGACGCUUGAUAUUUACCCCCUUUAUUAAGGGGCCAAGGUCUUAUCUUUUUACACCCACGCUCGAUCCUCCCCUUCCCCCACCUCGAGUUCCAACACCCAAGGCUCGGGCUUAAGCGCUUCGGACCUUCAAUCAUGUCCGGAUCCAACCUUCAAGGCCGGUGGAUGGCCUCCUCUUUCACAGAGGAGGACAUCAAGAAGCUCAGGGAGGCCAGGUAUUUGACCGCCGACAUCCUGCACAGGCUGCCUGCUCAAGGGCAGGUUAUCCCCACUCCCAAUCCCAACGAAAGUGUCGUAUUUGUUUCCCACUUCCUCCGAGGGCUAGGCUUUAGUCUUGAUCCCUUUGUUAGCGGGCUCAUGUUUUAUUUCGGGCUAGAUUUCCAUGAUCUGGCUCCGGAUUCCAUCCUUCACAUCUCAUCGUUUAUCAUCGUGUGUGAAGCCUUCCUCCACGUCACCCCACACUUCGGCCUGUGGCUCAAGACCUUCAAUGCGAAGUCGAAGAUGAUUGAUGGGCGACACGUGGAGUAUGGAGGAGCUAUAAUACGCAAAGGCAUCGAUGCCCCAUGGCCCAAGGGUUCCUUCCCAGAGGUGUCUGACUUAUGGCAACGAGAGUGGUUCUACAUCACAGCUCCCCGUGACACAAAGUCGGCGGCUGCCCCCGCCUUCCGCUCGGGCCCUCUGCCUCAACUGGCAUCAUGGGCCAACAAGGGGCUGGACUAGGGGCCUGCUAAUGACGUACCAAUAUUGCAAAGCCACAUUCGGGAUCUUCUCGAGAGGGAUGUCAGCCUUGUUAAAAUAAUUCAAGUAAUGCUAGUCCGUCGGGUCCUACCGUGCAAGCGUCAACCUCUCCGGAUGUGGGAGUUCAAUCCAGAGGGACCGCGAACCAUUCAUCACUUCUUCGGCAUGACACUCGAAGGGAUGUAUCGAUUAUUCUUCGGAUCACGAAUAAAGUGUCCGGACACCACCGAGGAUGUGGGCCUGGACUGCAAUCGUUCGGAUACCCAAGUAAGUAUCUCCGCAACCAAACACACUAUUUUAUGUUUUAUCAUAACAUUAUUCUGAAAACUACCCUCGACCAGGAUUGGCUAAGAAAGGUAGAAAGGAUCAAGUGUUCGACCCCUCUUCCCGAAGGCUCGUCGGAUCCUUAUUAACCAGGAUGCUUCAGCGCGCACCGUAUCAGGUGCCAUUAGGAGAAGAUGAGGGGAGGGAUAGAGAAGCCGAGAGCGGGCUUCAUACAUUAUACAUCCAGACCGGGGGAAUUGAUGUCUCCAAGAAGGAGGAUAAUCGGGGAGGUGAAUCGAAAAUCCCCUCCCCACACGGGAAGAAAAGGGCCGCCUCUGAAGACUCGGAGAUGGAGGUUUCCAAACGAGGAGGAAACCUUUGCCAGGGGGGCCUUCCCCGGAGGGCGUCCUCACCGCACAGCGCCCGCAAGAGGGCCAGCCUUCCACCGAGCUGUAAAUGCCUAAAAGUACUUUGGUAAAUAUAUCCCGCUUUAUCUCUGAGAAUAAUAACCGAGACCUAUCCCUUGCAGUUCGGCUCGUAGCCCUUCUCAUCAGAGCUUGUCUUCGGGGGAUCUUCUUCCGAAGAUGAUGGAGAGCGAAACGCCUCCUCCUGCCUCUCCGCCCCAUGGGGCGGACGACCCCGAGGUGUCGUCACGGAGGAUUUCUCCUGAUCCGCCAAGGCCAGAAGUUAACACUUCGGCUGCCCAAAGCCCGGAGUGUUCAGCUCCCGAGGAGAGCAAUAGGAAGAGUCCAGGGUUGUCCGGCACACAACCGGACACACUGACGGGUCUUCUGGAGCAAGCGGCUAUCUCAGAGGCGCAUCGUACGUUAAUGGGUACGGGUUUGAGAGGAUUUCUUCCGCCAAUAGCAGGUUAAGUGAAGCUUUUACGAGCCUGCUCAUAGGCUUUGAGGUACGCACAGUAAUGUAUAUAUGUUCAGCUGUACCGCACACGGUAGGUGUGCUCCGUAUAGAUAGUAGCCCCUGAGACUCUGGUUGGCAUCCAGAGGAUCAUAAUCCCAGGUAGUGAUCGCACUGCGUUAUGUGCAGGCGGCUGAUGGUCCGGCGGCUGACCAGACUGCUGAUUUUGCCGAACUGAAGAGGCAGCUUGACGUGGCAGAUACCGACAUUGCGCUUGUGAACAAGCGGCUUAACGAGGCCUAGGGUAUGUAUUUUCGGCUUGUCGGCAAAUAUUAAGAGGAGCAUGAUGCUAGUAUCUACAAUAUGUUGUGACUGCAGAUGGAGCUGCUAUCGUGGAGACCCUUCGGGCGGAGCUUGCCCGGGCCAAGGAACAAGCCAAGAUAAGUGAUGUGGCCUCCCUAAAGGCGGUCGAGGAGUUGAGAGCCGAACAGGCUGCUCGUCGCCAGAGCAAAGAUAAAAUAGCCAAGAUGGCUGUUGAGCUGAAGGAGGCCGCCGGCCGAUAUGAGCUCCUUGAAAAGGGAAAUCAAGCGAAAGCGGCUGACUUGAAGAAGGCCUUGGAAACAGCUAAGGAGACUCGCUCUGAGAUCAGAGCGGCAAGGGAGGAGCUUCGUCAAGCUGGAGAUAUCAUGACUGGGAAGCCCUUUCUGUUGCGGACGAAGUUCAGAGAUCCGAAGUAUGCCCCUCUGGGUCAAUUAUGUAGUGCUGAGGACGCGUACUUGGACUUGGCCAAGAGUGCUGCUGAUGCGACUGAAUAUUUCAAAGAUCAGAAAGAUCAUGAGGCAGAACGGUUGUUCUGGUCACACUUUAGUGCUCCAAAGCGUCCACUGCUAUUAAACGAACGAAUGGCCGAGUGGGCCGAGCUCCGUAGGUUAUCUGGGCUUGCCAUGAGGUCUGUCGUGGAUCAUCUUUGGCCGAAGGGACCAAGGCCGGACAGUUAUUUUGGUUUAGUGCAACAACUCCUUGGUGCUGUGUCACAUAUCAAUGCUGUGAAGAGGUCGGCAUGCAUAGAGGGUGCGCGGAUGGCUCUUGCCCGUGUUAAAACAUAUUGGGCAGGGAUGGAAGCCACCGUUGUUGCAACCCGGGGUCCGGCGGGAGGCCAGGACCCGGCCGAGCACUAUUUUGAAGAAGUCCUAGAAGGUGCCCUUGAUAACUCACAGGUGUAGGGGAUCGCAACAGCUUUUGAGGGUAAAGUAUUCAACCCAAAUUUAUUGAUUCGACACAAGGGGAGCCAAAGAAUAUUCUUGAGUAUUAGCAGUUGAGUUGUCAAUUCAACCACACCUGGAUAACUUAGUAUCUGCAGCAAAGUGUUUAGUAGCAAAAGUGGUAUGAUAGUAAUGGUAACGGUAGCAACAGUAAAGGUAAAUGUUUUUGGGUUUUUGUAGUAGUUGUAACAGUAGCAAUGGAAAAGUAAAUAAGCGAAGAACAAUAUGUGAAAAGCUUGUAGGUAAUGGAUCAGUGAUGGAUAAUUAUGUCGGAUGCGAUCCCUCAUGCAAUAGUUAUAACAUAGGGUGAUAUAGAACGAGCUCCAAUUCAUCAAUGUAAUGUAGGCAUGUAUUCCGUAAAUAGUCAUACGUGCUUAUGGAAAAGAACUUGCAUGACAUCUUUUGUCCUACCCUCCCGUGGCAGCGGGGUCCUUACGGAAACUAAGGGAUAUUAAGGCCUCCUUUUAAUAGAGAACCGGACCAAAGCAUUAACACAUAGUGAAUACAUGAACUCCUCAAACUACGGUCAUCACCGAGAAGUAUCCCGAUUAUUGUCAGUUCGGGGUUGUCGAAUCAUAACACAUAAUAGGUGACUAUAGACUUGCAAGAUAGGAUCAAGAACACACAUAUAUUCAUGAAAACAUAAUAGGUUCAGAUCUGAAAUCAUGGCACUCGGGCCCUAGUGACAAGCAUUAAGCAUAGCAAAGUCAUAGCAACAUCAAUCUCAGAACAUAGUGGAUACUAGGGAUCAAACCCUAACAAAACUAACUUGAUUACAUGGUAGAUCUCAUCCAACCCAUCACCGUCCAGCAAGCCUACGAUGGAAUUACUCACGCACGGUGGUGAGCAUCAUGAAAUUGGUGAUGGAGGAUGGUUGAUGAUGACAACGGCGACGAAUCCCCCUCUCUGGAGCCCCGAACGGACUCCAGAUCAGCCCUCCCGGGAGAGAUUAGGGCUUGGCGGCGGCUCCGUUUCGUGAAACGCGAUGAAACUUUCUCCUUGAUUUUUUUCUCCCCGAGACGGUAUAUAUGGAGUUGGAGUUGGGGUCGGAGGAGGUCCGGGGGGCCCACGAGAUAGGAGGGCGCGCCCUAGGGGGGGCGCCCCCCUAUCUCGUGGACAUCCCGUGGGUCCCCUGACCUUGAUUCUUUCGCCAAAAAUUCUUAUUAAAUCUGAAAAGUGCCUCCGUGGAUUUCCAUGACAUUCCGAGAACUUUUCUUUUCUACACAUAAAACAACAUCAUGGCAAUUCUGAUAAAAAGAGCGUCAGUCCGGGUUAGUUUCAUUCAAAUCAUGCAAGUUAGAGUCCAAAACAAGGGCAAAAGUGUUUGGAAAAGUAGAUACAUUAGAGACAUAUCAGCCCUCUUAAUAGAGGCUCAGUGCUCGAAGAGUACCAUGUUCGAGUGACAUGUAUCUCUAUUGUAAAAACAAUUCGAUUUUGAUUAUAAAGGCUGUGUUUAUACUUUUGCCUGAAAGUAUUAUAGUGCCUCCUGUGCGGCCGUUUAUGUAUGUAUGUAUGUAACCUGAAAGUUAGCAGUCAUCGGCUUCCGCCCCCACGCAUAUAAUGCAGGGGUGUUUGAAAAAGCGUGUAAUCACACUUGAUCCAACGUCUUGGUCCAUUAAGGAGGUGAUAGCGUAGCGAACCAGGCAAUCAGACUAUAUAGCUUUAACACUUUCACUUAGCCAUAGGAGUUUGACGGCGGGGCUACUAUAUAGCCCCUGGUACAUUCGCGUUCAUCCGAAUACGGUGCGCGUACAUACGUGUCCGGGAAACUAGUGCUUCGUUAAUGUGGAGGAAUUGUGAAGAUUCCGCAGAGUCAUCGAGUGGUUGACCAGUCUCUCGCUUUAUCAUGACAGUCAGUUUUUAGCUUUCUCUACUGAGGUGCUCACCCAGAUGAACCAGGGCACAAUCAUAGUAGUUCUCCCAGUGCCGCUUUAGCCGAUAGAGCGGAACGUAAGGUAGCAAAACACGGGAGCCGGCCAAACCCAACAUUUGACCAAAGACAUGAUUCGGAGCUGAUGCACAUAAGGCCAAACUCGUGAUGCCGAACACUCCCUAAGGUAUUCGGACUUUAUGGCAUAUACUGGGCUGAGUAACACCCUCGAUAAUGAGCCCUGUGUUUCCAGAUACAUGCAUUAGUCUGGCGUGACAAAGUGUCAAGAACGCCAGUGUCCCUCUAGUUAUGUUAAGUGUCUGGAGGGUAUGAAACAACAAGAGACAGUAAAAAAGGUUUACGCAGGGUCUUAAUCUAAAAAGAAACCUUUGAGCGGGGCUCCACUGCACGUCUGCGCCUUUAUCUCCAUUGUGCCAUAUUCUGGAAGGGUGCAGCACGAUGAUCAUCUCCAAAAAGGGAAAAACCCAGGUGAAAGACUUCGUGCGAAGAGUUGGUUAAUUUUAACGAACCAUGAAAAUGCAAUAUGUUAUUGUAUUGAUAGGGGCGAGCCGAACUAUGGGCUCCUUUAUUUUUGUGAGCAGCCCCUAGCACCACCUAUCAACCCAAGCUCAAGUUCAUCUGAGCUGUUACAUCUGGUGGGGCGCCGGACUCGUCUAACCGUGUCCGUGGUCCUGACGACCGAUCAUUUAUUCUGGUUGGAGAGGCCGCUCAGUGUUCGGCUGCUAGAGCCGCCACAUAUUCUUCUGAAGGAAAUAUGCCCUAGAGGCAAUAAUAAAGUUAUUAUUUAUUUCCUUAUUUCAUGAUAAAUGUUUAUUAUUCAUGCUAGAAUUGUAUUAACCGGAAACAUGAUACAUGUGUGAAUACAUAGACAAACUGAGUGUCACUAGUAUGCCUCUACUUGACUAGCUCAUUAAUCAAAGAUGGUUAUGUUUCCUAGCCAUGGACAAAGAGUUGUCAUUUGAUUAACGGGAUCACAUCAUUAGGAGAAUGAUGUGAUUGACUUGACCCAUUCCGUUAGCUUAGCACUUGAUCGUUUAGUAUGUUGCUAUUGCUUUCUUCAUGACUUAUACAUGUUCCUAUGACUAUGAGAUUAUGCAACUCCCGUUUACCUGAGGAACACUUUGUGUGCUACCAAACGUCACAACGUAACUGGGUGAUUAUAAAGGUGCUUUACAGGUGUCUCCAAAGGUACUUGUUGGGUUGGCGUAUUUCGAGAUUAGGAUUUGUCACUCUGAUUGUCGGAGAGGUAUCUCUGGGCCCUCUCGGUAAUACACAUCACUAUAAGCCUUGCAAGUAAUGUGACUAAUGAGUUAGUUGCGAGAUGAUGUAUUACGUAACGAGUAAAGAGACUUGCCGGUAACGUGAUUGAACUAGGUAUUGAUAUACUGACGAUCGAAUCUCGGACAAGUAACAUACCGAUGACAAAGGGAACAACGUAUGUUGUUAUGCGGUCUGACCGAUAAAGAUCUUCUUAGAAUAUGUGGGAGCCAAUAUGAGCAUCCAGGUUCCGCUAUUGGUUAUUGACCGGAGACGUGUCUCGGUCAUGUCUACAUAGUUCUCGAACCCGUAGGUUCCGCAUGCUUAAGGUUUGGAUGAUAGUUAUAUUAUGAGUUUAUGAGUUUUGAUGUACCGAAGGAGUUCGGAGUCCCAGAUGAGAUCGGGGACAUGACGAGGAGUCUCGAAAUGGUCGAGACGUAAAGAUCGAUAUAUUGGACGACUAUAUUCGGACUUUGGAAAGGUUCCGAGUGAUUCAGGUAUUUUUCGGAGUACCGGAGAGUUACGGGAAUUCGCCGGGGAGUAUAUGGCCCUUAUUAGGCCAUACGGGACUAGAGGAAAGAGGCCGAAAGGAAAGAGGCCGAAAGGAAGGAGGCGCGUAGCCCCCCUCUGGUCCGAAUUGGACAAGAGGUGUGGCCCCCUUUUCCUUCCUCCUCUCCCCCUCUUUCCCCCCUUCUCCUACUCCAACAAGGAAGGAGGGAGUCCUACUCCCGGUGGGAGUAGGACUCCCCUUGGCGCGCCCCUCCUAGGAUGGCCGCCCCCUCCCCCUUGCUCCUUUAUAUACGGGGGCAGGGGGGCACCUCUAGACACAACAACAAUUGAUCCCUUGGAUCUCUUAGCCGUGUGCGGUGCCCCCCUUCACCAUAGUCCACCUCGAUAAUACUGUAGCGGUGCUUAGGCGAAGCCCUGCGACGGUGGAACAUCAAGAUCAUCACCACACUGUCGUGCUGAUGAAACUCUUCCCCGACACUUUGCUGGAUCGUAGUCCGGGGAUCGUCAUCGAGCUGAACGUGUGCUAGAACUCGGAGCUGCCAUAGUUUCAGUGCUUGAUCGGUCGGGCCGUGAAGACGUACGACUACAUCAACCGCGUUGUUAUAACGCUUCCGCUAUCGGUCUACGAGGGUACAUAGACAACACUCUCCCCUCUCGUUGCUAUGCAUCACCAUGAUCUUGCGUGUGCGUAGGAAUUUUUUUGAAAUUGCUACGUUCCCUAACAGUGGUAUCAGAGCCAGGUUUUAUGCGUAGAUAUCAUAUGCACGAGUAGAACACAAGUGAGUUAUGGGCGAUAUAAGUCAUACUGCUUACCAGCAUGUCAUACUUUGGUUCGGCGGUAUUGUUGGAUGAAGCGGCCCGGACCGACAUUACGCGUACGCUUACGCAAGACUGGUUCUACCGACGUGAUUUGCACACAGGCUGGCAGGUGUCAGUUUCUCCAACUUUAGUUGAACCAAGUGUGGCUACGCCCGGUCCUUGCGAAGGUUAAAACAGCACCAACUUGACAAACUAUUGUUGUGGUUUUGAUGCGUAGGUAAGAACGGUUCUUGCUAAGCCCGUAGCAGCCACGUAAAACUUGCAACAACAAAGUAGAGUACGUCUAACUUGUUUUUGCAGGGUAUGUUGUGAUGUGAUAUGGUCAAGACAUGAUGCUAAAUUUUAUUAUAUGAGAAGAUCAUGUUUUGUAACAGAGUUAUCGACAACUGGCAGGAGCCAUAUGGUUGUCGCUUUAUUGUAUGCAAUGCAAUCGCCCUGUAAUGCUUUACUUUAUCACUAAGCGGUAGCGAUAGUCGUAGAAGCAUAAGAUUGGCGAGACGACAACGAUGCUACGAUGGAGAUCAAGGUGUCGCAGCGGUGACGAUGGUGAUCAUGAUGGUGCUUCGGAGAUGGAGAUCACAAGCACAAGAUGAUGAUGGCCAUAUCAUAUCACUUAUAUUGAUUGCAUGUGAUGUUUAUCUUUUAUGCAUCUUAUCUUGCUUUGAUUGACGGUAGCAUUUUAAGAUGAUCUCUCACUAAUUAUCAAGAAGUGUUCUCCCUGAGUAUGCACCAUUGCGAAAGUUCUUCGUGCUGAGACACCACAUGAUAAUCGGGUGUGAUAGACUCUAUGUUCAAAUACAACGGGUGCAAAACAGUUGCACACACGGAAUACUCAGGUUAAACUAGACGAGCCUAGCAUAUACAGAUAUGGCCUCGGAACACGGAGACCAAAAGGUCGAACGUGAAUCAUAUAUUAGAUAUGAUCAACAUAGUGAUGUUCACCAUUGAAACUACUCCAUCUCACGUGAUGAUCGGACAUGGUUUAGUUGAUUUGGAUCACGUGAUCACUUGGAUGACUAGAGAGAUGUCUGUCUAAGUGGGAGUUCUUAAGUAAUAUGAUUAAUUGAACUUAAAUUUAUCAUGAACUUAGUACUGGUAGUAUUUUGCAAAUUAUGUUGUAGAUCAAUAGCUUGUGUUGUUGCUUUCAUAUGUUUAUUUUGAUAUGUUUCUAGAGAAAAUUGUGUUGAAAGAUGUUAGUAGCAAUGAUGCGGAUUGGAUCCGUGAUCUGAGGUUUAUCCUCAUUGCUGCACAGAAGAAUUAUGUCCUUAAUGCACCGCUAGGUGACAGACCUAUUGCAGGAGCAGAUGCAGACGUUAUGAAUGUUUGGCUAGCUCAAUAUGAUGACUACUUGAUAGUUUAGUACACCAUGCUUAACGGCUUAGAAUCGGGACUUCAAAGACGUUUUUGAACGUCAUGGACCAUAUGAGAUGUUCCAGGAGUUGAAGUUAAUAUUUCAAGAAAAUACCCGAGUUGAGAGAUAUGAAGUCUCCAACAAGUUCUAUGGCUAAAAGAUGGAGGAGAAUCGCUCAACUAGUGAGCAAGUGCUCAGAUUGUCUGGGUACUACAAUCGCUUGAAUCAAGUGGGAGUUAAUCUUCUAGAUAAGAUAGUGAUUGACAGAGUUCUCUAGUCACCAUCACCAUGUUAGUAGAACUUUGUGAUGCACUAUAGUAUGCAAGGGAUGACGAAAGCGAUUCCCGAGCUCUUCGUGAUGUUGAAAUCGACGAAGGUAGAAAUCAAGAAAGAGCAUCAAGUGUUGAUGGUUGACAAGAUCACUAGUUUCAAGAAAAAGGGCAAAGGGAAAGAAAGGGAACUUCAAGUAGAAUGACAAGCAAGUUGUCACUCCCACGAAGAAUCCCAAAGCUGAACCAAAGCCUGAAACUGAGUGCUUACACUGCAAAGGAAAUGGUCACUGGAAACGGAAAUACCCUGAAUAUUUGGUGGAUAAGAAGGAUGACAGAGUGAACAAGGGUAUAUUUGAUAUACAGGUUAUUGAUGUGUACCUUACUAGUGUUUAUAGUAGCCCCUGAGUAUUUAAUACUUGUUCAGUUGCUGAAAAUUAGUGACUCGAAACAAGAGUUACAGAAUAAAUAGAGACUAGUUGAGGUUGAAGUGACGAUGUGUAUUGGAAGUGGUUCCAAGAUUGAUAUGAUCAUCAUCGCACACUCCCUAUACUUUUGGGAUUAGUGUUAAAUGUAAAUAAAUGUUAUUUGGCGUUUGCGUUGAACAUGAAUAUGAUUUUCUCAUGUUUAUUGUGAUACGGUUAUUCAUUUAAAGUCAAAGAAUAAUUGUUGUUCUGUUUACAUGAAUAAAACCUUCGAUGGUCAUACACCCAAUGAAAAUAGUUUGUUGGAUCUCGAUCAUAGUGAUACACAUAUUAAUAAUAUUGAUGCCAAAAGAUGCAAAGUUAAUAAUGAUAGUGCAACUUAUUUGUGGCAUUGCCGUUUGGGUCAUAUCAAUGUAAAGCGCAUGAAGAAACUCCAUAAAGAUGGAUUUUCGAAAUCACUUGGUUAUGAAUCAUUUGAUGCUUGCGAACCGUGCCUUUUGGGCAAGAUGACUAAAAACUCCGUUCUCCGGAACAAUGGAACGAGCUACUGACUUGUUGGAAAUAAUACAUAUUAUUGUAUGCAAACCAAUGAGUAUUAAGGCUCGUGGCGGGUAUCGUUAUUUUUUGACCUUCACAGAUGAUUUGAGCAGAUAUGGGUAUAUCUACUUAAUGAAACACAAGUCUGAAACAUUUGAAAAGUUCAAAGAAUUUCAGAGUGAAGUGGAGAAUCAUCGUAACAAGAAAAUAAAGUUUCUACGAUCUGAUCAUGGAGGAGAAUAUUUGAUUUACGAGUUUGGCCUUCAUAUAAAGCAAUGUGGAAUAGUUUCACAGCUCACGCCUCAUGGAACACCACAACUUAAUGGUGUGUCCGAACGUCAUAACCACCCUUUAUUGGAUAUGGUGUGAUCUAUGAUGUAUCUUACCGAUUUACCACUAUCAUUUUCCGGUUAUGCAUUAGAGACAGUUGCAUUCACUUUAAAUAGGGCACCAUCAAAUUCUGUUUGAGAUGACGCCUUAUGAACUGUGGUUUGGCAAGAAAUCAAAGUUGUCGUUUCUUAAAGUUUGGGACUGCGAUGCUUAUGUGAAAAAGUUUCAACCUGAUAAGCUCGAACCCAAAUCGGAGAAGUGCGUCUUCAUAGAAUACCCAAAGGAAACUAUUGGGUAUACCUUCUAUCACAGAUCCGAAAGCAAGAUAUUCGUUGCUAAGACGGAUCCUUUCUCAAAAGAAGUGAGUGGGAGAAAAGUAGAACUUGAUAAGGUAAUAGUACCUUCUCCUGAAUUGGAAAAUAGUUCAUCGCUGAAAUCAGUUCCAGUGAUUCCUACACCAAUUAGUGAGGAAGCUAAUGAUGAUGAUCAUGAAACUUCAGAUCAAGUUAUUACAGAACCUCGUAGGUCUUCCAGAGUACGGUCCGCACCAGAGUGGUACGGUAAUCCUGUUCUGGAAGUCAUGUUACUAGACCAUGAUGAACCUACGAACUAUGAGGAAGCGAUGAUGAGCCCAGAUUCUGCGAAAUGGCUGGAGGCCAUGAAAUCUGAGAUAGGAUCCAUGUAUGAGAACAAAGCGUGGACUUUGGUGGACUCGCUCGAUGAUCGGCAAUCCAUAGAAAAUAAAUGGAUCUCCAAGAGGAAGACGGACGUUGAUAGUAGUGUUACUAUCUACAAAGCUCGAAUUGUCGCAAAAGGUUUUCAACAAGUUCAAGGUGUUGAAUACAAUGAGAUUUUCUCACUCGUAUCGAUGCUUAAGUCUGUCUGAAUCAUGUUAGCAAUUGCCACAUUUUAUGAAAUCUGGCAAAAGGAUGUCAAAACUGCAUUCCUUAAUGAAUUUAUUAAAGAAGAGUUGUAUAUGAUGCAACUAGAAGGUUUUGUCAAUCCUAAAGGUGCUAACAAAGUGUGCAAGCUCCAGCGAUCCAUUUAUGGACUGGUGCAAGCCUCUCGGAGUUGGAAUAUACGCUUUGAUGAGUUGAUCAAAGCAUAUGGUUUUAUACAGACUUUUUGAGAAGACUGUAUUUACAAGAAAGUGAGUGUGCUCUGUAGCAUUUCUAAUAUUAUAUGUGGAUGACAUAUUGUUGAUUGAAAAUGAUAUAGAAAUUCUGUAUAGCUUGAAAGGAUACUUGAAUAAGAGUUUUUCAAAGAAAGACCUCGGUGAAGCUGCUUACACAUUGAGCAUCAAGAUCUAUAUAGAUAGAUCAAGACGCUUGAUAAGAUUUUUCAAUGAGUACAUACCUUGAUAAAUUUUUGAAAUAGUUCAAAAUGGAACAGUCAAAGAAAGAGUUCUUGCCUGUGUUGCAAAGGUAUGAAAUUGAGUAAGACUCAAAUCCCGACCACGACAGAAAAUAGAAAGAGAAUGAAAAGUCAUUCCCUAUGCCUUAGUCAUAGGUUCUAUAAAGUAUGCUAUGUUGUGUACCAGACCUAUUGUAUACCUUGCUCUGAGUUUGGCAAAGGAAUACAAUUUUGAUCUAAGAGUAGAUCACUGGACAUCGGUCAAGAAUAUCCUUAGUGAGGACUAAGGAGAUGUUUCUCGAUUAUGGAGGUGAUAAAAGAGUUUGUCGUAAAGAGUUACAUCGAUGCAAGCUUUUACACUGAUCCAGAUGACUCUAAGUCUUAAUCUGGAUACAUAUUGAAAGUGGGAGCAAUUAGCUAGAGUAGCUCCGUCCAGAGCAUUGUAGACAUAGAAUAUUUGCAAAAUACAUACGGCUCUGAAUGUGACAGACCCGUUGACUAAACUUCUCUCACAAGCAAAACAUGAUCAUGCCUUAGUACUCUUUGGGUGUUAAUCACAUAGCGAUGUGAACUAGAUUAUUGAAUCUAGUAAACCCUUUGGGUGUUGAUCACAUGACGAUGUGAACUAUGGGUAUUAAUCACAUACAGAUGUGAAUAUUGGUGUUAAAUCACAUGGCGAUGUGAACUAGAUUAUUGACUCUAGUGCAAGUGUGAGACUGAAGGAAAUAUGCCCUUGAGGCAAUAAUAAAGUUAUUAUUUAUUUCCUUAUUUCAUGAUAAAUGUUUAUUAUUCAUGCUAGAAUUGUAUUAACCGGAAACAUGAUACAUGUGUGAAUACAUAGACAAACUGAGUGUCACUAGUAUGCCUCUACUUGACUAGCUCAUUAAUCAAAGAUGGUUAUGUUUCCUAGCCAUGGACAAAGAGUUGUCAUUUGAUUAACGGGAUCACAUCAUUAGGAGAAUGAUUUGAUUGACUUGACCCAUUCCGUUAGCUUAGCACUUGAUCAUUUAGUAUGUUGCUAUUGCUUUCUUCAUGACUUAUACAUGUUCCUAUGACUAUGAGAUUAUGCAAUUCCCGUUUACCGGAGGAACACUUUGUGUGCUACCAAACGUCACAACGUAACUGGGUGAUUAUAAAGGUGCUCUAAAGGUGUCUCCAAAGGUACUUGUUGGGUUGGCGUAUUUCGAGAUUAGGAUUUGUCACUCCGAUUGUCGGAGAGGUAUCUCUGGGCCCUCUCGGUAAUACACAUCACUAUAAGCCUUGCAAGCAAUGUGACUAAUGAGUUAGUUGCGAGAUGAUGUAUUACGUAACGAGUAAAGAGACUUGCCGGUAACGAGAUUGAAAUAGGUAUUGAGAUACCGACGAUCGAAUCUCGGACAAAUAACAUACCGAUGACAAGGGGAACAACGUAUGUUGUUAUGCGGUCUGACCGAUAAAGAUCUUCGUAGAAUAUGUGGGAGCCAAUAUGAGCAUCCAGGUUCCGCUAUUGGUUAUUGAACGGAGACGUGUCUCGGUCAUGUCUACAUAGUUCUCGAACCCGUAGGGUCCGGACGCUUAAGGUUUGGAUGAUAGUUAUAUUAUGAGUUUAUGAGUUUUGAUGUACCGAAGAAGUUCGGAGUCCCGUAUGAGAUCGGGGACAUGAUGAGGAGUCUCGAAAUGGCCGAGACGUAAAGAUCGAUAUAUUGGACGACUAUAUUCGGACUUCGGAAAUGUUCCGAGUCAUUCGGGUAUUUUUCGGAGUACCGGAGAGUUACGGGAAUUCGCCGGGGAGUAUAUGGGCCUUAUUGGGCCAUACGGGAAUAGAGGAAAGAGGCCAAAAGGAAGGAGGCGCGCAGCCCCCCUCUGGUCCGAAUUGGACAAGAGGUGCGGCCCCCUGUUCCUUCCUCCUCUCCCCCUCUUUCCCCCCUUCUCCUACUCCAACAAGGAAGGAGUGAGUCCUACUCCCGGUGGGAGUAGGGCUCCCCUUGGCGCGCCCCUCCUAGGCCGCCCGCCCCCUCCCCCCUUGCUCCUUUAUAUACGGGGGCAGGGGGACACCUCUAGACACAGCAACAAUUGAUCCCUUGUAUCUCUUAGCCGUGUGCGGUGCCCCCCUCCACCAUAGUCCACCUCGAUAAUACUGUAGCAGUGCUUAGGCGAAGCCCUGCGAUGGUGGAACAUCAAGAUCGUCACCACGCCGUCGUGCUGACGAAACUCUUCCCCAACACUUUGCUGGAUCGGAGUCCGGGGAUCGUCAUCGAGCUGAACGUGUGCUAGAACUCGGAGGUGCCAUAGUUUCGGUGCUUGAUCGGUCGGGCCGUGAAGACGUACGACUACAUCAACCACGUUGUCAUAACGCUUUCGCUAUCGGUCUAUGAGGGUACGUAGACAACACUCUCCCCUCUCGUUGCUAUGCAUCACCAUGAUCUUGCGUGUGCGUAGGAUUUUUUUUGAAAUUACUACGUUCCCUAACAUCUUUCGCACAUAAGGAACACUUUGUAUUUCCGCUAACUGUAAUGACGCCACGUGGACCGGGCAUCUUAAGUUCAAGAUAGGUAUAGUGCGGUACUGUAUUAAAGCAAGCAAAGGCUGUUCUCCCGAGUAGUGCGUGAUAGCCGCUUUGGAAUGGAGCGAUGUCGAAGAUUAGUUCUUCGCUUCUGAAGUUGUCGGGAGAACCGAAUACAACCUCUAGUACUAGAGAGCCCGUGCAGCGGGCCUUGACGCCUGGUAUUACUCCUUUAAAGGUAGUAUUGCUUUGGCUAAUUCUUGACGGGUCUAUCCCCAUUUUGCGGAUAGUAUCCUGAUAUAUUAGGUUAAGACUACUGCCACCGUUCAUAAGGACUCGAGUGAGAUGGUAUCCAUCAAUUAUUGGGUCGAGCACCAAGGCAGCCGAUCCACCAUGCCGGAUACUAGUCGGGUGAUCCCUGCGAUCAAAGGUGAUCGAGCAGGCCGACCAGGGAUUGAAUUUGGGGGCUACGGGCUCUACAGCGUAUAUGUCAUGGAGUGCACAUUUGCGCCUUCUCUUUGGAAUGUGAGUUGCAUAAAUCAUAUUCACUGUUUUGACUGCUGGUGCAAAUUUUUUCUGUCCCCCAGUGUUCGGCUAGCAAGGCUCGUCCUCGUCUUCACUUGGCGUCAACCUCCCCUUGUGUUCGGCAUUUAGCUUGCCGGCCUGCUUGAAAACCCAACUCUCUGUGGGCGUGGUUUGCAGGUUUUUUAGGGGUGCCAUGAAUCUGACAUAACUUGUCUAGAAUCUUAUUUAGGCUGGACGGUCCAUCUCUAAUGCCUUUAAAUGGCUUCUUCCAUUGACCAGGUCGAGACCCCUGAAUCCGGCGUUGACCGUCGUAUUAUCUGGGCUGUCUUCAUUGUUUCGAUGCUUGUUUUUAUUGCGUCGCGGCUUCCCGUUGCCAUCCCUGACUUCGGAUGUGCCUGGGUCGCUGGUGCCGCUACGGGCCAACCAGCUGUGCUCGCCCGUGCAAAAGCGGGUCAUAAGGCUUGUUAGGGCUCCCAUUGUUCUCGGCUUUUCUUGGCCGAGGUGUCUGGCGAGCAAUUCGUCUCGGAUACUGUGCUUGAAAGUCGCUAAGGCUUCGGCAUCUGGACAAUCGAUGAUUUGAUUCUUCUUAUUGAGAAAUCUGUUCCAAAGCUUACAUGCUGAAUCUCCGGGUUGUUGCAUUAUGUGACUUAAAUCAUCUGCAUCCGGAGGUCGGACAUAGGUCCCUUGAAAAUUGGCCCUGAAAGCAUCCUCAAGUUCCUCCCAACUUCCAAUUGAGUUUUCGGGGAGGCUUUUGAACCAGUGCCGAGCUGGUCCUUUCAACUUGAGGUGUAGGUAUUUAAUGGCGUGGAGAUCGUCGCUGCGAGCCAUGUGGAUAUGAAGGAUAAAGUCCUCAAUCCAGACCUCAGGGUCUGUCGUUCCGUCGUAUGCCUCUAUAUUCACGGGUUUAAAUCCCUCUAGAAAUUCAUGAUCCAGCACCUCAUCGGUGAAGCACAGGGGGUGCGCGGCACCCCUGUAUUUGGAUGUAUCGUGGCAUGCUGUCGACAGUUGUUGUGUUCAGUGUUGUUUCCGAGCUGUUAUUCGAUCGGUACAAUCGUUUUGAUGGCUGUGAUCCUGCGCCGGAGCACGCUUCCUAGAUCCAUAGAUGGACCCGGCCACGCCGGAUUUUUUGUCCAGGAGCUCACGUAAAUCGUGUGCUAACUUUUGUGCGGCAUCAUUAGCCGCCCUGUCACAUCCACGGGGUGGUCGGUCCGUGUGAUCGGCUGUAUUAUUCUUCGGCGGAAUGGGCUCUAUGGCCUCAUCAUCGAAUUCGGGCAGCAGCUUGCGUUUUGGGUAGCUCUUUGUGUGGCGAUCAUCGCCAUACUUUUCUUCAGUGUAGAGCACUUUGUUCAAUCUGCGGUUGAGCAUGUCCUGUGUGGCUUUAAGCCUUUCCUUCUGCUUCUUCAAGCUCCUCACGGUGGCAAUAAACCUUCGAUGGAGGUUCUCUUGUUCCAAGUUUUUUCCUGUGAUGAUGAGUGCAUCAUCGUCCAGACUGUUCUCCUCUCUGGAGACAGGUUGAUGAAUUUUACCCUCGGGACCGACGUCAUCUGACAUCGGCUCCAGACUAUGUUCACCGUCCCCUGGCUCGUCCUGAUCCAUCGCUGGGUCCAUGGGGUCGUCAUUUCCUUUGGAGUCGACCAGGGUAUUAUUCCUUCUUGCGCUAUUUUUACUAUGGUGGGAUUUAGAGCGGCGCCUACGGCGUCGCUUUGGUGUCUUAUUGAGGGGAUUAUCCUUCGUUGCGUCCUUCCGUUCCUCGCCAUUGUUUUCUUUGGGUGUAUCCACCAUAUAUACAUCGUAUGAUGAGGUGGCUGUCCAGCGCCCCGUGGGCGGUGGUUCCUGUUCGUCUCCAGCAUCGUCGUCUGUACCGUUGAUGUCUUCGGAGUUGAAGUCAAGCACGUCGGUUAAGUCAUCGAUAGUGGCUAUUAAGUGGGUAGUGGGUGGGGAACGAAUUUCAUCGUCGUCCGCUUCCCACUCGAGCCAGACAUAGUUCGGCCAAGAGUCUCCUGAGAAAAAAAAGACCUUAAUGAGUUUAGCACAUCACCCAAGGGUGAGUGCUGAAAGGUGUCCGCGGAGGUGAACUCCAUAGCCGGUGCCCAAUCGGAUUCGAUAGGCACAGGCGUACGCGGUUCGGAUCCUCUAGUCGGAGAUGAGUCCGAGGAUCUGAUGAUACCGGCCUCAUAAGAGGUGGGAUCAGUGUUCAGCUUUAAGGCCGAUGAGUGUGCGACCUCCGUGGCGGGGUCCAUCCACCCGUCCUCAGAUGGCGCAACCUGCUCUGGAUUGAUUCCCGGGGCAGUCGCAGGCGCGAUCGCCCGAAUACUGUCUGAUGGCAGAUCUAAGUCAUGCUUGUUGGGACUGUUCGGCGCACCUGACACGGGCUCGAGUCCGUCGAAGAUCAAGUCUCCGCGGAUGUCGACAGUGUAGUUCAAGCUUCCAAACCUGACCUGAUGGCCAGGAGCGUAGCUAUCGAUCUGCUCCAGAUGGCCAAGCGAAUUGGCCCGUAGUACGAAGCCGCCGAAUACGAAGAUCUGUCUGGGAAGGAAAACCUCCCCCUGGACUGCGUUGUUGAAGAUGAUUGAAGGAGCCAAUGUCGGUGUCAAAACCGGCGGAUCUCGGGUAGGGGGUCCCGAACUGUGCAUCUAAGGCUAAUGGUAACAGGAGGCGGGGGACACGAUGUUUACCCAGGUUCGGGCCCUCUCAAUGGAGGUAAUACCUACUUCCUGCUUGAUUGAUCUUGAUGAUAUGAGUAUUACAAGAGUUGAUCUACCACGAGAUGUAGAGGCUAAACCCUAGAAGCUAGCCUAUGAUUGUGAUUGUUGUCGUCCUACGGACUAAACCCUCCGGUUUAUAUAGACACUGGAGGGGGCUAUGGUUACACAGAGUCAGUUACAGAGAAGGAGAUCUACAUAUCCGAAUUGCCAAGCUUGCCUUCCACGCAAAGGAGAGUCCCAUCCGGACACGGGGCGAAGUCUUCAAUCUUGUAUCUUCAUAGUCCAACAGUCCGGCCAAAGUAUAUAGUCCGACUGUCCGAGGACCCCUUAAUCCAGGACUCCCUCAACAACCCUCAACUUUAUUUUGGUUUAAAUUCCAUCCUCUAAGGUCAAGAACUGUUUAUAUUAAAAUCCUGAGAUGGAUUGGUUUGUUUUAACUCCAAUUUAAUUAUUCUUUUCACCAAUUAGGUCCUUCCAAGGUCGUGCUACAAGACCGUAACCAUAAAGUUUUGUGUGAGGCCAUAAUAAUAAAGAUCGUUCUUUAUGAUUUCCGUUUAUAAAAACAGAACCUAGCAUAAAUAUUGAGCUUAUGCUCUUUUAGCACGGUUGGCAUUUAGCUACCAAAAAGCAACAUCCAUACAAACAAGUGGAUGGUGGUGUGGUAGUGCUUUUGUGUAGCUUCACCAACAAAUUUACUUUCUCAUCAUGUUUGUAGUGAAAUUCUCUUCUGGCCUCGAAAAUUUCUCGGGUGAGUUCUGUUUGUGAGGUUAGUCCCCUAACCAGAUCAAGAGUCGAGGAGCCGUAGUGCUAUAUGGUAGCAAGCCUUCGUCAACAGAAAUGAUUAAUAUGGCUUUGGCAUAUUUAGAGAUGAGCAUGCAUUUCUAGCUCACAAAAACUCCAUAUCCCACCCUCACUAUUUGACCACGCAAUAUAUGAGCAUGCACCCCCUUGUCGAAGGCGUUAGCUCAAAGACCUCCUUCGCGGGAGAUAACCCCGCCACCGCCACAUUAGAGGGCUUCACAAAGUAUCUGGCAACAAUAUGCUAGUUGCACGUACAUUCUUUUUUUGGUAAUGGACGCAACCACAGGUUGCCGAACAAACACAAAACACAGAUUUCACCUGAUAGACUGCUGCUUAUUUGAGACUAUCUCAAAGGAUAUUACAAUGGACGGACGCAAUAAGGUUUUCGGCUGGUUGGAUGUGAAUUCGUUGGGUUCUUUAGUGAACAAUCCACGCAGGAUGCCUAGAUUGGAUAUUCUAUUAAACAAAUAUAGGGUUUCGAGAGAUGUCAAAUGUGUCCUUCCUUCGACCUAAUUUUUUUUCACACGAUGUGGACUCAUUAAUUUUGGUAGUCAUACGACUCUAUCUUCAUAAGCUAGGGGUCAUACAUUUAGGAAAGUCGGCAACCCAAGUGUGCCUCCCUGACACCAUAUGUACACAGGCAAAUAUGGUCUCAAGUAUGGUAUCGCUGCAUAGUUAGGUGCAGGGACAUUUAUCUACUAAUGCAAUCAUUAAAUGGAACAUAAUAUGUAAUGUAACAAUUGGUUUAUAUAUCAUAAUUUAUUAAAUGGAACAUAAUAUAUAAUACCUAAAAAUAUUUUUUAGAAGAACCUGAACUUACGAAUUCAGCUAUCAAUAUAUAUAUUUAAAAUGAUUUGGCUGUCAAAGUUUUGCAAGUUCGAGGAGAUGCUUGUCUUCUUCUAUUUAGAAACACAAUACAAAUGGAGUCACUAGAGCAUCCAUAGCCGGACUUCUCAAAUUGACCGGGCGGGGGACCACUGACCGGAUAGAAGAGAGAAGUAAAAAAUAUUUAAAAGUUGACCCAACCGGACCCCUCAAAGCCUCCUUAAAUGCCCGGCUUGUCCGGCAACCCUCAUAUUCAUCUACUAUAUAUGGGAUGAGUAUGAGGAGUGUCCGGGCGUGCGCGGUCAGUGUUCCCGCGUUCGCCACAUAGGAUUGGGCCCGCCAAGAGUAUCUUUUUUCUUUCUCUAUUAUUAUUUUGGUUCUCUCUCUCCUUCUCCACCAAUCACAUGCAUGUGACCGGACAUAUAAGGAAAACUGAGGGACGUGGCUGCGAGAAUGGAAAAAUAGGGAGUCAAAGCGGACACGUCUGGACGCUGACCGGGCGCAUCCGUGGGUGUUUGAUGGGUCAAAUUUGUACAUUGUGGCUGAAGAUGCUCUUAUAGAUGUACGACAAAAACACACCCUCACAAAGCAUCCCUUCUGUCGUGGUGGGCGCACGGCAGAUGCCAUGGGAUGGCUAAAGAGAGGAGGAGGCUCGAGGGCACUGGUGGGCUCCAGAGGCGAGGUUGGCAUGAGCGAGCGCAGGACGCAAGACAUACCCAGGUUCGGGGCUCUCCGGAGAGAUAACACCCCUAGUCCUGCCGAGUGUGGUUGAUAUGCAACAGUACAGGGUUGCUCCUAGAGCUGUAUGCAGGAAGAAGGAAGACUGACCAAGGCUUAGGCUACUCCUUCUCCCAGGGUGUGUUCUACUGACCAGUUGGCUAUUUCCUGCGUGCUUACUGCUUGCCCCUAUGCGUGAGGGCUCCUAGGGGGUUUUAUAGGCCAACCCCCCAGGCGUACAAUGGUAAUGCUACAAGGCUGUAGGGCCGGGUCGUCAACGUCUGGGGACCCGGGGCUGGGACCCGCCAGGUGCCUGUGGUUCGCGGGGUUCCCCUAGGUGCGGGCCUCGCGUGCCUAGGGGUAUUGUGCGCCGUCUUGUCGAUCAUGAGGGAGUGGCCAAGUUGAGUUGGGUACAGUGGCACUCCAUCAGGUCGCCGCUUGCUGGCGUCAGUGGUAAUGAUGGGGGCACUGUUGCCACGCCGACCUUGGUCAGCGGGUAGGUGAGGGGCACUAUAGCCACGCUCCGGCUGACCAGAGGCAUGGCCGGGGCACUGUUGCCUUGGUCAUCGGUGGAUGAAGACUCGUCCCAGCGUAUGACCUGGAUGGGACGGGAGCUGACCCGUGGCUGGGUUGAGGAACACGCCAAGGGCGGAGCUGGCUUGUUGGGGAAGUCUUGGUGUGCCGGGUUCGGCUGUCUUGUGCUGGUUGUCGAGGCCGAUUAGAGGAGCUUGGCCGGGUCGAGGGGCCUGGCCGGGUCGAGCGACCCGGCCAAGCGCGGGCCGGCUUGAGGGGCGAUGCUGGCCCCAUUGUUUUUGAAAAGGAUCCAGGUUCCGUUGCCUGCCCGGGGUUCAUCCCCCCGACAGUAGUCCCCGAAGCUGUGAAGGUCCGCCGUCUUCGGAUGGGAGGGCCUUCCCAGUUUCCCCCCUUGAAGAGGCGAAUCAUGCGACCGCCAGGUUCGACAACACCCACUGUGUGCUGGUUUUUGGAAACCGGAUCGCGGCAUCCCGGCAGCGGCAGGAAACCGGAGAGUCCAUUGAAUCUUGGGGUAAUCCCUCGGGCUUCGUGUGGGCACCAUGUGGCGCCUGGAAGUCGGAGGGAUCUGACAGGCCACGCGCGUGACGUGACUGGGCGACGUGCCGGGGCCCGCCGCCGUGUGCCCUUGGCCCACGCGCGCGGAUUUAUUACGGUGUCCGCAAGUCGGUUGCUCUUCCCCAUGCAGUUAUUGCACGCAUACAUGCGCACUUAUUGCGGGGUAGUGCGAAAGCCGAGCGCAAACAAUCCAACUCCCCCAUGUUCAAACCGAGGCUUAUAAAUUGGGGCGAGGGGGACGGCGGACAUCAUUCUCGCUCGCGCUCCCCUGCCUCUUCAUCCUUCCUCUGCUCCUUGCAGCCGGCACGCUGCGACGCUCGCCGCUUCGAGCAGAGCUCCAUCGCCAUCCAUCUUUCUUCUUUCCUCUCAUCUUCAUUGAUGGCGCUGCCGUUGGGCUCAUGGAUGGGCUCGGCCGUCACCGCCGAUGAUAUCGCCUACCUCCGCACCACCCGGCGCCUACCGGGGGAGACAAAGGUUGUCGUGCGCCUGCCGCAGGGCGAGCAGAGGCCGCUGCCCCAGGGCACGUAGCGCGUGGUCUUUUAAGUGCACUUCAAGCGUGGGUUCGGUCUUCCGGCGAGCGCCUUCUUCCGCAACUUCCUGGAGUUCUUCGGGCUCCAGCCCCAUCAUCUUGGCGCCGACGCCAUCGUGUAGCUCUCGGGCUUCGUCACCCUUUGAGAGGGGUACUUGGGGGUCGCGCCCACGAUCGACCUCUGGGCGCGCUUCUUCUCCUUGAAGUAGCAGGGACCGAUGGCCGGGGAGUUCUCUGACUACGCGGCCACCGUCAUCUUGAAGCGGUCGGGCGCUGAUUGCCCCAAGAUUCUGCUAGAGGAUUCUACCAAGAAAUGGCAGAAUUCUUUCUUCUACGUCUGCAACCUUGGCGCGGACCGCAUCAACCUACCGGCCUUCGCCAUCGCGCAGCCGUGGGCGAAGAUGAACUAGGGUUACUACCCCAGGCACCCGUCGUAGGAGAUUCUCAAUCUCUGCGAGCGGGUGUCGUCGACGAAGGCGCGGGAGGGGCUCAAUGGCACCGACCUCAUCGCUGCCUUCAUUAUGCAUCGGGUCCUUCUGCUACAGUGGCACAGCUGCCUCAUCGGCAAGAUGACCGGCCUUCAGGACCCCAACCGCCUGGCGGCCACGCGCCUGGUGGCGGACCAGAUCGUGCUCGGGUCAACAACAUCUCCAAGGCUGUGUUGAGGGACGACCGGCGGUUCGGCAAGCCGCCGUACAACCACUCAAAUCCGGCGCCCAUGGUGAGUCUCUGGUCUUCAUAUUUUGCUGAUGCACAUCUUCUCAUCCGUCCCGACGCGGCACGGGAGGUGCUUCUGAAUGCCAUCUGGCACUCUUACGCCCGGGAAAUGUCGCAGAUGGUGCGGGCGACAUCGGAGGAGACCGCGGCCCAUGGUGGAGGGGAGGAGGAGGCCGCCGAAGUUGGCGCAGGGCGCCGCGCGGGUAAGUCUUGCCUUCUUCUUUCUUUUUCAUAUUCCUGGAGUCGCUGGGUGCGACGCGGCGUGAGCGAUGCUGGCGCGAACCGUCGAUGCAGUGGUGUUGGGUGGAGGAGGCGGCGACGCGGGCGGAGCCGGGUCGUCGCAGGGGCCGGCGCCGAGCCGGCCGCACGGGAAGGACAGCGUCACGCCAUGACCUCUAGUCGUGAAGCGCGCGGCAGACCCGGUAGGGGGCGCGAGGCCGGCCGCCAAGAGGAGGCGUGGUGCUGUGCAGGAGAGGUUGGCGAGGCCUGCCAUCUCGGUCUUGUCGGCGUAAGUUUUUUCUUCUUUCUUGCAUCCGAGUGGCUGAGUCAGCCCUGCUCGUUAUCCAUUUUGCAUUGGACUUCAGGUUGCCGAUCGCGCUAAUUAGGGCGGCAGCCGACGCCGCGGCCGCCGAGGACGCCGUGUACCGGAGGAGCCGGCCCGGCACCAUCGACCGGGACGAGGAGGAGGAGCUGGCAGAUCCGGAUAUUGGCCUGGACCCGACCGACGCCGAAGGCUUGCCUGGCAGGACCAGAACAGGGCCAAGGUGGAGCUGGAGGCGACAUCGGUCCGGGCAUGGACCGAUGCUGCGGCGACAUGGGCGUGAGCCGGCGUGGCGGGAGAUGCCGGAGGGCACGGUGGUGGCCACUACGGUCUUCGAGCCGUCGUCGGUGAUGGAGUGCGGCCAAGGAGGCCGGGCUGAGGUGGUGGACCUCGAUCGGGAGGUCGUGGAGGUUCAGGAUGACACCCCACCGCGGGUCGACACUGUCAAGCGAGCGGGGGUCGACGGAGGCGGCGGCAACGCCGUCUUGGAGGAGGCGCCAUGGAUGGCGCCGCAAGGGACGCCUCGGGUGUCGGAGGUGGUGCCACGGGUGGUGGCGCCGUAGGCCACCCCAGCUGUCGAGCCGGCGGUGUUAUAGGCCGCCCUGGUGGCCGGGUCAGUGGAGGCGCCGGAGAGGGUGUUGGAGGAGGCGCCGAUCGCGGCGGGAGCGGCCGGUGGAGAGCAUGCCCUGGUGCCCAGGCCAGGGGGGCGUCAGGCCGCCGUGUCGCAGCCACCAUGGGGUGGGGCCGCCAUGGUCUUCAGGCCUCAGACCCAGGAGGAGGUGGCAAUGAAUGCCGUCAGCCGCCGUCUGCGCGGGCGGACGGACCAGAUCGAGGCCUUCGCCCCAUGCUGAGGUGGAGCAGACGCAGGAGCUAGAGUGCACCGUGCUGGUAAGUUUCCUUUCUGCCUUCUGAUAUUUCUUCCUUCAUCGUUUCUUCUUUGUGGGGGCACGCUAGCGCACCCACUGGGUGUAGCCCCUGAGGAUCGGGCCAACUACAUAGUAGUUGGGUCGAAUCUUUGGAAUGUCGUCUUUGUAUUGAUCGCUGCUUCUUACAGCAACUGGACGCCUACCGGGUCAGCGCCUUCAACUACCUCGUGGGCAAGUAUCGGGAGCUCAAGGAGCAGCUCGCCGCCAAGGAGGAGGAGCUCUGUGUCGCCACAGGUAUCUUCAUGCUCUUUUUUAGUGGGGGCGCGCUAGCGCACCAACUGGGUGUAGCCCUCGAGAUUCGGGCCAACUGUGUAACAAUUGUAUCAAAUCUUAAAUCUUGCUCUUCUUUUCUGAAUCUUCUUUUUGCAGCCGAGGUGUUGUCUCAGCAGUCCCGGCUGCUUCAGGCCGGUCAUCACUACGACCGGCUUGUCGGUGAUGCCGGCCGUCUCGGAGCCAGGUGGUGCAGGCGAAGGCGGAGGUGGCGGCGGCCCGGCGGUCGCUCGAUGAAGCCAGCCGGCUGCGGGAGCAGUUGGCGGGCGACAAGCGCCGCCUCGAGGUCGAGGUGGAGCACCUCAAGGAGGAGGUUGCCAAGGUGGUGGAGGUGCAGCGGGCCCUAGCCAAGGCGGACCAGCAACGUGGCAGUUUGGCCGACGACAAAGGCCAGCUUCAGGCCGAGGUGGAGCACGUGAAGGGGCUGGUGACCGCGGCGGAGGGGGCCUGCCAGGAGGAGGCCCGCUGCUGCGAGGCGUCCGAGAAGGCGGCCGGGGACAAGGAUGCCGAGCUGAAUGUGGCCCUUGCCAAGGUGUUCGACUUGGAGAAGGCGCUCCAGGAGCGCGACCGCACCAUUGAUCGGGAGCGGCGCGGUACGUUGCUCGAAACGCAACACCUGGAAGAACACUUCUCAAGUAACUGCUUUUCUUGAGUUCUGCCGGGUUGGGAUCCAUUUUCUUGUCCUUGAUGUCUUUUUUCUGACUUGCUUUGUUUUCUGACAAGGGCCUUCCCGAAGACGCAUCAACUGGCGGAGGAGGCCGUCCGCUUCCAACGUGACCCGCUGGGAAUCGUUGGCUCCGGGACCAACCCGCAGGUGGCAUGGACCUUCCCGGAGAUCAUGACUGCCACCGAGGCUUGCGUGCGGGUCCUGGGUGAUCAGAUGGGGCGGCUGUCCCAUGCCGACACGGGGAUGACAGCGGCUCUGUGGCGGGGCUCCGUUGUGUCGAGCAGCUUCACGCGGCUGGCACGCUGGUUGGAGAUGGGGCCGGACCGGCUGCAUGAGUGGCACGUCUCCGCCGCUCGUGCCGGCACCGAGAUGGCGCUCCGAUUCGCGCUGUCUUAGCACCCGGACCUGCAGAUGGACGUGUUGAUGGGCCAGCGGGCUAGCUCGGAGCAGCAGCUGCAGGAGCAGGCCGGCCAGAUCGCUUCCCGAACCAGCUACGUCGCCGGGUUCGCCUUCCAUGACGAGUUCCACCCGGAGUGGGCGGAAGAUGGCGGAGUUGUGGCUGGCGACGACUACAGCCUGCUUCUGCAUGACCCGAGGGCAGCUCUAAGGAGACGGGCAUCUACCGCGACGGGGGUGCCGAGGAGGACACCGGUACUUCGGCGGACCCAGAGGCCACCAUGGGGGAGCCGUCCACUUCGCGACCCGGUGCUGGAGACGCCUGAGGCUGUCCUGUUUAUGACUUAGUAGAAUUUGCUGUUAGGUAGCAGGUCCACCCACCCACUGGGGGUUUCUGGGUGUAAUGAACUUUGGUUGUGGGCCCGUUCUUAAAUAUUCUGUGAUGUGUAUAUUUUGUGAAUGUUUGUGCUUUUGCUUUUCAUUUUUUGAACCAAUUUCUUGCAUUUUUCCUUUCUCGAACCUCCCCCCCGCGAGCCUGACGACCGAGGCUCCGGUCCGUGACAAGGAGUUUGGUUUUUUGAGAGGAGCACGCAGUACUUAGGUUUUCAAAACGUUGAGCGCGAGCGAAACACCCACUGGGCCGGCUGGCGGUAACCCGGUGGAGCCGGUUGGCAAGCAACCGGUCGUGCGGCUAUUUUUUAGAGCGACGGGCCGGGUUGGUCGACCAGGCAGCCUUUGACUUAGUGUUUGAAGUGUGCAGAGCUCUGGCCCGUUGUGCUUGCCAGCCGACAACCGAAGCCGGAUCUGUGAUCUAGGGCGAAGUGAGGGGCUGCGGCGUCCUUAGCGCGUUAGGAAUCACCAAGGAAGGCGGCGGGUGGCGACCGAGCCGGCCAGCCCCCGAGCCCCCGGGUCGAGCAUGUCGGACCGGUGGCCGGGUUCAGGAGCAUAGUGAUGUAUAAAAGUAGGAGACACAAUAACUUGGUCAGAAAAGGGCAGCCCCUGAGCAUCAUUCGGGGACCCCAUAGUUUCAUGCGUUUACAAAAGGGAACGAUACAUACAUUCGUAUGGCUAACUAUAAAACGGGCGGAGGAGUUCCACAUUCCAUGGCCGAGUCGUUUCUUCACCGGCUGUGUCUCUCCUGCUUUUGUUUGACUUGCGUGCGUCGAUGAGGUAGUAGGCGUUGCGAUCACACAAGGACCUGCUGACGAUGAACGGGCCCUCCCAUGGAGGGGACAACUUGUGCUGGCCGGCUUGUUCUUGAACGAGUCGGAGGACGAGGUCGCCCUUGCGGAAUGAGAGGGGUUUGAUCUUCUUGCUGUGGUAGUGCCUCAAGCCUUGCUGGUAGAUGGCCGAACGGCUGAGUGCCAGAAGGCGGGCUUCUUCGAGUAGGUCGACGCCGUCUUCGCGGGCUUCUUUGGCUUCGGUUUUAGUGUACAUCGCGACACGCGGCGAGUCGAACUCGACGUCGGUCGGGAUGACGGCUUCGGCUCCAUAGACGAGGAAGAACGGGGUGAACCCGAUCGACCGAUUUGGCAUAGUUCGGAGACUACAGAGGACAGCCGGCAACUCGUCGAGCCAGCUGCGAGGUGAGCGGAUGAGCGUCUCGACGAGCCGCGGCUUGAUGCCAGAUAGGAUGAGGCCGUUGGCCCGCUCGACCUGCCCGUUGGACUGCGGGUGUGCAACGGAGGCUAGGUCGAGGCAGAUGCGAGAGACGGAGCAUUAUUGCACGAGCGCGCCCUUGGUGAAGUUCGUGCUGUUGUCCGUGAUGAUGCUGUUCGGUAUGCCGUAGCGUACCGCGAUGUCUUUGAUGAACCGGACGGCUAUUGGCCCGUCCAGUUUCUUGAUUGGUCGUGCUUCGAUCCACUUGGUGAACUUGUCCACCUCCACCAGCAAGUGCGUCAUGCCGCCUCGGGCGGUUUUGAAGGGUCCCACCAUGUCGAGUCCCCAGUCCGCGAAGGGCCAGGCGAUCGGGAUGGUGCGGAGUGCCGACGCCGGCUGGUGGCUGUGCUUGCUGAAGUGCUGGCAUCCCUCGCACUUGACGACGAGUGACUCGGUGUCUUGGAGGGCCGUGGGCCAGUAGAAACCAUGGCGGAAAGCCUUGGCUACUAGGGAUCAGGACGCGCCGUGGUGCUGGCAUUCACCCUGGUGUAUGUCAAGGAGGAUGUCGAGGCCCUGGUCCUGCUCGACGCAGCUCUGGAACACGCCGGUGGAGCUACGUUUGACGAGCUCGUUGUUGAUGAUGCUGUAGGCGGACGCGCGGUGUUGCACCUGCUGGGCUUCGGUUUCGUCUAUGGGGAGGACCCCGUUCUCCAGGAACUCUGAGAUGGGCAGGGGCCAAGACGGGGCCAUCACCAUGAUGAAGACAGCCACCAGGGUGGGUUCCGGGUCAGCAGCCCCCGAGCCAGGCUGAGCAGCCCCCGGGUCGGAGAUGGCGACGGCCGGGUCGAGGGCGAUGGUGGCUGGGUUGGUGGCUUCAGUCUCUGGGCCGAGUUCGGCAGUCCCCGGGCCAGGUUCGAAAGUCCUUAGGCCGGGUUGAGGCACGGCCGGGUGGUCCGAGACGUGGAUGGAGUCGGAGUCUGGAGACGGCUUGACGGACGGCUUGUGCAGGUGCUCGAGGGAGAUGCCGGAUGGGAUGGACUUUCGGGACGAGGCGAUCUUGGCGUCCGUGUCGGCUGCCUCAUUCUCCGCUCGUGGGACGUGGAGGAGCUCACAGCCAUCGAAGGAUCCGGACAGCUUCAUGGACGAGGAAGCGAUAGCUUGCCAUGUUGGAGUCGCGGGCGUCCCACUCACCGGAGCACUGUUGCAACACCAUAUCCGAGUCGCCGUAGCACAGGAUGCGCCGGAUGCCGAGUUCCUUGGCAAGACGGAGGCCGUGCACAAGGGCUUCGUACUCGGCGACGUUGUUGGAGGCGGCGAAGUGUAUCUAUGUCACACCCUAGCUAGUUCAUGCAUUAGAGUGCUUGCAUCAUGUCUACAUUGAUCAUAAACUUGGAAAUGGGGAUGAUAGAACCCGCAGCACCCCCCGAAACCAACUAGGGUUUACUAAAAUUAUUUUUAGCGAACCUGAAAUGCCCUUCUAAAAUGUUCAUCAUCUUUACCUUGGUCUUAAACCUCUGACAAAAAUGAUGCACAAUUUUCUAGGUCAUCUUAAGGUCACUGGAUUAAAUCAUAAGUUAAUUGCAUUUGGGCAUUUAAAUACUAGUAAAUAUUUUAAAUGUCCAAAUAAUCCCAAAUUGAAAUGUUCCAUGUUGGAUAUAUUCUAAACAGUGGGCAUGUGCAGUUUGGUGAUUUAUUUGGACAUUUGGUCGCCAGAGGGCGAAACCCGCACCUCUGCCGCGUCUAGACGUCGCCAGCGGCUAAACACCGACGAGUCAGCCUAGUUUGACCAGAGGUUUGACUUCCCUGGGUCACUGACAUGUGGGCCCUGCCAUUUGGUCAAACCUAGUUUAGUAUUAAGCUAAUCCUAGUUAACUUAGUUAAUUAACAGAGACACUAACCAGUGGGUCCCACUAGUCAGGUUUGACCUGGACGCCCCUGUUGUCCUGCUGACACAACGCUGAUGCAGUAACUCACUUUUCUGGAUUUAUUCUUAUUCAGGAAAUGUCAGAAAAUAGUGCCAACUUCAAAAAUUCAUAGAAAUUAAUCUGUAAAUCCAAAUGCAAAGUGCUAUAUAUGAAAAAUGAUCAGAAAAAUCCAAUCUAUCCAUAUGUACUAGUUUCGUGCAUGUUUAAACAAGUUAACUUGCUGUUUAGUGCAAAACAUGAUAAAGCACUAUUUAAGAUCACAUAUGAGUUUGGAAUUUGAAUCUUUGGUUCAAAAUGGCUCAAACUGAUCUGGUCAUAGUUGCAUUAGCCCAACACACUCAUUUUGCCAUGUAUCAUGCAUGCAUCAUAUUGUUGCAUAAUGUUUGGUAUUGAUUGUGUGUCGGUGCUCUCUGCGGUAGGUUCUGCCCUGGAAGAAUACCGCAAAUACCUGAACAAAGACCAGUAUCAGACUACGGACCUGCCAGGCAAGCAACCACCCAUUUGAUCAUAUCGAUACAAUCCCAUGAUCUUGCUCCUGCUCUCAUUUAUUGCAUUUAAGACAACGUGAUUCAAACUUCUAUGUGCUACGGUAGUUGAACCCAUUUCCUCUGCAUGACCUGUCAUUGCCACAGUAACUAGAUGAAACCCACUAGCAUGUGUAGGAGUUGAUUGAGCCAUGUUUGUGUUUCCUACCUUGCUAUGCCUGCUAUGCUUAGAGUUGUGUCAGGUCUGGUUCAUCUGGGUGAUGGGCUAGAGUGAAAUGAUCAUGUCGGUAAUGAGGGUGACGUGUUGAAUACAAUUUGGUAAAGGUAUCGAUGAGAGGCCAUGUAGGAGUACAUGGUGGGUUGUUUCAUCGGAACCGUCCUUAAGCACUGAUAUCUGUAUGUUUGAUUUAAGAAUCAACUACUACCAUGCAUUGGGCCCAAAACCAAUGGACCCUCUCGGCUUCUUAACCACCCUAGUCCUCUUUCCAGGAGUUGCAAGUAGUUUCUGAUGUUUGUAGCAUACUGGAGGCCUUGGGCAGCGCUGACCCUCGGGGUGGGCUGUGAUGUGGUAGGUAUGUGGCAUGGUGUACCGGAUGCCCGUUUGGUAUCUCGGGAACCCUGCACACAUUGUUCAGGGCCGUAUGUGGAAACCUCGGCCGGACACCCUAUGGAUGGAACCUAGAUAGGCGAUAAACCUGGAAUAGAGACUUGAGUGUUUAGGUAGGCCGUGGCCGACACCCAUGUUGGGAUUCCGCUUGAAGGUUGCCGGGUACAUGUCGUGUAAACGGCGAUAAGUGGUGGAAGCAUGUAUGACGAAGUACACCCCUGUAGGGUUAACAUCAUCUAUUUGAAUAGCCGCGUCCGCGGUAAAGGACUACUUGGUUACCUAUACAGUUCAUAGACAAGUAAAUGGAAACUACUAAAAGCCUCAAGGUAAGUGUGAGUGCCGAGGAUGGCCUUCCGUUGGAAGACGGAGGUGGAUCCCCGGUAGUGUAUUGAUGUGGUGUGUACUGGACUCGAGUGCACAAAACAAUUACAAGUUGGAGUCUCGUAGGAUAGUUUAGCCAAGAGUCAAAGCUGGCUUGCUGCAAUAACCCCACCAUCUCUUCUUUGAUAAUGUGCAUGUAUGUAGGAUCUGAUGUAAGUCUUGCUGAGUACCUUUGUACUCAUGUUUGCUUGAUUUACAUUUUACAGAAGAUGCUGCAACCCCUUCUGAUGGGUUCUUCGUAGACCUUGAUGUCGACGAGUAGCCUGAGGCCCAGGUGGUGAUCCUGAGCACAUGGCGGACCUUGUAGGAUAGUUAGGCUUACCCAAGCCUAUUUUUCUUUCUAGAUGUCUGUACUCACACAUGUUGCUUCCGCUUAUGGCUUGUAUGUUUGUAUGACUUGAAUGCUGGGUCAUGUGACCCCCGUUUGUGUGAAUGAUAUGUAUGGCUCUCUGGAGCCUUUAAAUAAAGUACUUGAGUUGUAGAGUCAUGUUGUGAUGCCAUGUUGUAUUUGCACAUAUCGAGCAUAUUGUGUGUAUGUUAUUGAAAUGCUUGGUAUGUGUGGGAUCUGAGUAUCUAGUUGUUUAUCCUUGGUAGCCUCUCUUACCGGGAAAUGAUUCCUAGUGCUUCCACUAAGCCAUGGUAGCUUGCUACUGCUCCAGAACACUUAGGCUGGUCGGCAUGUGUCCUUCUUCGUUCCUGUGUAUGUCCCUUUGGGGAAAUCUCACGCGGUGAUCCUCGUAGUCCUUGUAGCUUGCUACGACUUGGGAUUCACUCGCUAUUGAUCGACACAUUCGUUGCUGGGUCGUAUAUGCAUGUCCCUGUAAGUUAGUGCCACUUUGGGUUCACGACUAGCCAUGUCAGCCCGGGUUCUUUGCCAUAUGGAUGCUAGUGACACUAACAUAUACAUGUGCCAAAAGGCGCAAACGAAACUAGGCAUGAUAAGGCGACACCCGUGGGAAUACCGUGCGUGAGGACGCAAAGUGAUAGGAAGUGUUACAUGCUAGAUCAGUGUGGCAUAGAAUCGGGGUCCUGACAUCAUUGGCAUCAGAGCCGGACUGCCUGUAGGUUCUUCAAGCCAAACUGGUCGACGUCGAGUCUAGAAAUGUUUUAAUUAUAUGUAGGGGAAUUGUUUGUGGGAUGGAACGUAAGGCUCUUUUUACUCCUUUACCUCAUGGCAUUCUGAUCUAAGUCAGUCCAUUCUUUCCACCGAGGGUUAAGGACUAGGAUCUCUUCUCUCUAUUAGGUUCACGUGUUACUAAUCCAUAGUAACUUAUAGGAUUGAUGGUUACAAGCCCCAAUUCAGUUCUACUACUUUAGUAUGUUGUUAAGUUGGACCCAAAACCUUGAUGUGAUGUUGUUGAGUGUCUAUGCAAUCUUUUGCAAAGUGUCUCAAAAUCCUUUUUAAGCAUUUACAGCCGUUAUGUUGUCCAAUUUCUGCUAGAAAUUCUAAUGUCUUUGAAUUAUUUGGUGUUUUAGAUGUCUACUCGCACUGUUCACUAGGUGGUUCGACUGACCCGCAACAUUGACGUGCCCGGGCAUACGGCCAUGCUAGUACGAGUGAUGACUGAGACAGGUUACAGAUGGUAUCCUGAAUAUACCGUCGAGGAGCAGUUUCGCGACUUCAAUCAGAGUUAGUUUAUCUGCACUGUGAGGAUCUUCCCAUCUAAUCCCGGUUCUACUGAGCCUCUGCACUAGUCCUAUGGGCUUGGUAUCACCGUGUAGAUGUCCGUGCAGGAUGCUGCGUACUCUAUGAUCUCCAUCAUCCGAGCUGGGUAUGCAUCGCUGAAUGAUUCUGAGUUCCGCUAUCUGUCGGCGGCACGCAUUGGCCAAGAGGGCUAUUACACUGGGCUAUAUGCCGAUGCUUCUCACGAGGAGCCACUUCUUCGCACUACUACCGAGAUGUUGGAGGAGAGAGACCAAGAGAACCGUGCCUUACGCAUGGAGUUGUACAACACCCGCCAGGACCACUGGGCUAUGCUGACGGGGCUCGCACCAGUCAUGCAGACCGGUUACCUGGAUAUGCAUGACUUGUACCCUGCCCGCACACGUCUUCCUGCUCGCAUGGAUUAUGCAGAUGUUGGAGGUAUCACGCCUCCGUGUGGGCGCCGUCUUCCACCCUUCAUGGGGCUGAGGCCUCAUCCGACUCCGUAUGGUCCACAGUCCCGACGUGAUCGUGAGUUCCCGGAUCCACACGCCCCGCUUCCAGGCUAUGCGGGGGAUCUCUAUGAGGACUACUACGGAGCUGGAGAUGACUGAACUGGAUUAUGACACUAGUAGUUUGUAGUAGUUGUAUUUCCACAGUGCUGCGCAUCUUGUGGAAUAUGACGUAGUUUGUAAUAGAUUCCGGAGGUGUAGAAAAAUAGUGUAUAGGAGCUUGGGAUGCCUCUGAUGAGAUGUAAUCUUCUUUUCACCGCAAUUGUACUUCAGUUUGGUCUUGUACUAAACCGUGUAUGGUGUGUAUGACCGAUGGAAUAAAUAUGGCAAUUUCUGUAUUUCCAUGUUGUACGGAUGAACAUCUUGCAUUCCGAGUUAUCCAUUACAUUCUGCACUUCUAUGUAAAAUUUUUGUCAUCCUUUUCUAAACCAUUGUCUUGUUUUCCUAGGAUGGUCAACACCCGCAACAAACCUGCUGCCCUGGAGCAGGCUGAAUGUACUGGGGCUAGAGAUGCGAAUCUGCCUCAUCCUCCUUCCUUGGCUGAGGUCAUGCUGGAGGCCAAGAGGAACAAACGGGAGACCAACCGUUUGCUGGAAUGUAUUGAGCAGAACACAGCACAACACCCGAGGAACAACUUGGUGUCUCUUAGUGACUUCAUCAAGUUGCACCCACCCACCUUCCAUCAUUCCGUCGAGCCCCUUGAUACGUCUCCGUCGUAUCUAUAAUUUUUGUUUGUUCCAUGCCAAUAUUAUACAACUUUCAUAUACUUUUAGCAACUUUUUAUACUAUUUUUGGGACUAACAUAUUGAUCCAGUGCCCAGUGCCAGCUCCUGUUUGUUGCAUGUUUUUUGUUUCGCAGAAAACCCAUAUCAAACAAAGGCCAAACGGGAUAAGAACUGACGGAGAUUUUUUUUGGAAUAUUUAUGAUUUUUGGGAAGAAGAAUCAACGCGAGACGAUGUCCGAGGGGGCCACGAGGCAGGGGGCGCGCCCCAGGGGGUCAAGCGCGCCCUGGGCCCUCGUGGCCACCCCGUAAGGUGGUUGUUGCCCUUCUUUCGACGCAAGAAAGCUAAUAUCCGGAUGGAAAUCGUGUUAAAAUUUCAGCCCAAUCGGAGUUACGGAUCUCCAGGAAUAUAAGAAACGGUGAAAGGCUAGAAUCUGAAAGGUAGAAACAGAGAGAGACAGGGAGACAGAUCCAAUCUCGGAGGGGCUCUCGCCCCUCCCACGCCAUGGAGACCAUGGACCAGAGGGGAAACCCUUCUCCCAUCUAGGGAGAAGGUCAAGGAAGAAGAAGAAUAAGGGGGGCUAUCUCCCACUCUCUCCCGGUGGCGCCGGAACGCCGCCGUGGCCAUCAUCAUCACCGUGAUCUCUACCAUCACCUCUGUCAUCUUCACCAACAUCUCCAUCACCUUCCCCCAUCUAUCUACAACAGUCCACGCUCCCGCAACCCACUGUACCCUCUACUUGAACAUGGUGCUUUAUGCUUCAUAUUAUUAUCCAAUGAUGUGUUUCCAUCCUAUGAUGUCUGAGUAGAUUUUUGUUGUCCUUUCAGUAAUUGGUGAAUUGCUAUGAUUGGUUUAAUUUGCUUGUGGUUAUGUUGCUGUCUUUUGGUGCCCAUCAUAUGAGCGCGCGCGUGGAUCACACCAUAGGGUUAGUUGUAUGUUGAUAGGACUAUGUAUUGGAUGGCAAGAGUGACAGAAGCUUCAACCUAGCAUAGAAAUUGAUGCACACGGGAUUGAAGGGAGACCAAUAUAUCUUAAUGCUAUGGUUGGGUUUUACCUUAGUGAACGUUAAUAGUUGCGGAUGCUUGCUAAUAGUUCCAAUCAUAAGUGCAUAGAAUUCCAAGUUAGGGAUGACAUGCUAGCUGUGGCCUCUCCCACAUAAAACUUGCUAUCGGUCUAGUAAAGUAGUCAAUUGCUUAGGGACAAUUUCACAACUCCUACCACCACUUUUCCACACUCGCUAUACUAACUUCAUUACUUGUUUAUCUAAACAGCCCCUAGAUUUUAUUUAUGUGCUCUUUAUAUUCUUGCAAACCUAUCCAACAACACCUACAAAGUCCUUCUAGUUUCAUACUUGUUUUAGGUAAAGCGAACGUUAAGCGUGCUAGAGUUGUAUUGGUGGUCGAUAGAACUUGAGGCAAUAUUUGUUCUACCUUUAGCUCUUCGUUGGGUUCGACACUCUUACUUAUCAAAAGAGGCUACAAUUGACCCCCUAUACUUGUGGGUUAUCAAGACCUUUUUCUGGCGCCGUUGCCGGGGAGUCAUAGCGUGGGGUGAAUACUAUCAUGUGUGAUUGUUUUCUUUAUCACUAAGUAAUUUUUAUUUGCUGUUCUAAGUUAUUCUCUAUCUUUAGUUAUGGAUAUGGAACACGAAAUACCAAAAAAAUUAGGUGUACUUGCUACUCAUGGAGAUGGGGAACUUCCUAAAACCCUCGAUGCUGGUUAUGUGAUAAAUAUUAUGCACUACUUUAAUAGUCCUAAGAAAACCCCAUUCAAUUAUGUAAUGGGAGACACGUUGGAUCAACGUGAAUACUUUAGGGAUUAUCGCUUGACUCAAAAAGGGAAACUAUUAUGGGAUCAAAUUCGUAUGUUGCAUUGGUAUGCUCAGGAACUAUGCUUGAGAUAUGAUUAUACUUGUUGCUCUAGGAUGAAGGCUCCACACCUUCCCUUUUCAUGCAAAUUCAAUGAUGAUAAAACCUUGGAUUCUUAUGCUAAUGGUAUAUAUGAUUACUAUGAUGUGGAAAAAUAAGAAGAAUUCGUUGCUUUUAUGGGUGCUUAUGAAAUUGAAUCUUUGUUUAAAGAGUGUAAAAAUCUUGAUGAUGCUGUUUACAGACCUGAAAAUUUUGCUAUACUUAAAUAUUGCUAUGAGAAUUAUGAAUUCAAUUCCGAUAUUGAUGAUUUUAUUGAGAGAGUCUCCGCUUUCCAAGAAGAUAUAAUAUUUUGCAGGAGUCUAUGGAAGAAGGAAUUGAUGAAACUGUGGGCUCAUUGGAUGAAAAAGAUGACGAGGAAAGUGAAGAACAAAAGGAGGAAGAGCGGAUUAGCUACCCGUGCCCACCUUCUAAUGAGAGUAACUCUUCAACUCAUACAUUGUUUAAUUUCCCUUCAUGCUUACCGAAGGAUGAUUGCUAUGAUAAUUACUAUGAUCCCUUUGAUUCGUUUGAAAUGUCCCUUUUUGCUGAACUUGAUGCUUGCUAUGCUUGUGGCCAAGAUGCCAAUUUGAAUUAUGCUUAUGGUGAUGAACUUGCUAUAGUUGCUUAUGUUAAACAUGAAAUUGUUGCUAUUGCACCCACACAUGAUAGUCCUAUUAUCUUUUUGAAUUCUCCCGACUACACUAUAUCGGAGAAGUUAGCUCUUAUUAAGGAUUAUGUUGAUGGGUUGUGUUUUACUACUACACAUGAUUAUUUUGAUAGAUAUAAUAUGCAUGUGCUUGCUGCUCCUACUUGCAAUUAUUAUGAGAGAGGAACUAUAUCUCCACCUCUCUAUGUUUCCAAUAUGAUAAAAUUGCAGGAAACUGCUUAUACUAUGCAUUGGCCUUUACUAUGUGUGCAUGAAUUUUUCUUUUAUGACAUGCCGAUGCAUAGGAAGAGAGUUAGACUUCGUUGUUGCAUGAUCUAUGUUACUUUGUGCUCACUACUAAAUAAAAAAUCAUUGUUAAUUAAAAUUGGCUUUGGUAUACCUUGGGAUCUGGGUGGAUUCAUUACUUGAGCACUAUAUGCCUAGCUUAAUGGCUUUAAAGAAAGCGCUGCCAGGGAGACAACCGGAAGUUUUAGAGAGUCAUUUAUUUAUGUUGUGUGCUUUCAUAAAGUUUAAAAACAAAAAAAAUAAAGAGGGGAACCAAAAACUAUUUCGAAAAGAACAGCGAAAGUGAGAAAGACGGGCAUUGUUAAAGUGAGAGCUAGCCUUGAACUUUGUCGAUGUCUAGAUUACUAUAGACUGCCCUAUUUAAGACAGAUUCUGUUUUUGAUGCAUAGUUUGCUUGUUUUGACGAAACUAUCAAUUUCUAUAAGUGGAUUAAGCCAUGAAAAAGUUAUAUCACAGUAGCUACAAUGCAAAAACAAAAUAUGAAUUGGUUUGCAACAGUACUUAGAGUAGUGAUUUGCUUUAUUAUACUAAUGGAUCUUACCGAGUUUUUUGUUGAAGUUUUGUGUGGAUGAAGUGUUCGAAGAUUGAGGAGGUCUUGAUACAAGGAAAAGGAGGAGAGGCAAGAUCUCAAGCUUGGGGAUGCCCCGGAAGGCAUCCCAUCUUUCUUCAAUAAGUAUCGGUAUGUUUUCGGAUUCAUUUCGUUCAUGCGACACUGGAGCAUCUCAUUCAUUUAUAUCUGAGAGCAAUGCUCGUUUGCAUAACACCAUGUUCUGUGAUAUGCCCACCUCCAUGGUAAUUCAAACCCCGGGAUCCAAAUGGCAAACUUCUAGAGUAAGCCAUGGAAAUGAAAUUCAUGUUGAUAGACUGGUUUUCCUUGCAUCUUUGAUAGCUCUCAAAUCCUCGGACAUUAAUAUCAUCUUGGGUAUGGACUGGAUGUCAGCCCAUCAUGCUAAGAUUGAUUAUUUCUCUAGGACUGUUCAACUUACACACCCAUCGGGCAAGGUAGUCAAUGUCUUGAACCGAGUAGCUAAGCGACAACUAUACUCUCUUAAUGCCAGUCCUUUGCCAGACCUUGAAGACGUUCUGGUAGUCCGUGACUUUCUGGAUGUCUUUCCAGAAGAACUGCCAGGUGUUCCACCUGAGAGGGAUGUCGAGUUCGUGAUAGAUCUUAUUCCAGGAACGGUCCCAAUUUCUAGGAGACCCUAUAAGAUGGCACCACUAGAACUAGCUGAGCUUAAGAAACAACUCGACGAGUCCUUGAAAAAGGGUUUCAUCCGUCCUAGUUCUUCUCCAUGGGCUUGUCCCGUCCUCUUCGUCAAGAAGAAGGAUAGUACGAAUCAGAUGGUUGUAGAUUAUUGACCCGUCAACUUGGUCAAAAUAAAGAACAAGUAUCCGCUCCCCAGGAUCAACGACCUGUAUGAUCAGCUUGCUGGAUCCUUAGUCUUUUCUAAGAUGGAUUUCAGGUUGGGUUACCAUCAAAUCAAAAUCAAGAACGGGGACAUUCCCAAAACGGCCAUUGUUACUCGUUAUGGCCAAUACGAGUACAACAUUAUGUCCUUCGGUUUAAUAAAUGCCCCAGCCACUUUUUCUUGGUUAAUGAACUCGAUCUUCAUGGAGUAUUUGGAUAAAUUCGUCGUGGUUUACCUCGAUGAUAUACUCAUCUACUCCAAGAAUGAGGAAGAACAUGCCGAGCAUCUAAGGCUAGUGUUGAUGAAACUUCAAGAGUAUCGCCUUUAUGCCAAAUUCUCUAAAUGUGAAUUCUAGUUGCCAGAAGUGACCUAUCGAGGUCAUGUAAUCUCUGGUAAGGGUAUUGGUGUCAAUGCCGAGCGAGUUCAAGCCGUUCUUAAUUGGACUCCACCUGAAUCAGUCAAGCAAGUUUGGAGUUUCCUUGGCUUAGCGAGCUACUGUCGCCGCUUUGUCGAGAACUUCUCCAAAGUUGCCAAACCUCUAACUGAACUCCUCAAGAAAGAUAAAAAGUUCGAGUAGACCCCACAAUGUGAGCAUAGUUUCCAGGAACUGAAAAGACGCCUGACAUCUGCUCCCGUACAGGUACCACCAGAUUUCUCCAAGGACUUCGUUAUCUACUGUGACGCCUCACGACAAGGACUAUGUUGCAUACUCAUGCAAGAUUGUCAUGUAAUUGCCUAUGCUUCACGGCAAUUGCACCCACAUGAGGAAAAUUAUCCUACAGAUGAUCUAGAGCUUGCAACUGUAGUCCAUGCACUCAAAACCUGACGACAAUUGUUGCAAAAUCUUCACCGAUCACCAAAGUCUGAAGUAUAUAUUCUCCCAACCGAAUUUGAAUCUUAGGCAAAGAUGUUGGGUUGCGUUGAUCAUAGAUUUUGACUUAGGGAUAACUUACACCCUAGGAAAAGCCAAUGUCAUGGCUAAUGCACUAAGUCGUAAAUCUUAUUGUAACAAUAUGAUGUUACAACAAAGUCAACCACUUCUCCAUGAGGAAUUUCGGAAGCUUAACCUUCACAUUGUUCCUCAAGGAUUCCUUUCCACCUUGGUGGCGAAACCUACCCUUACGGAUCAGAUCAUCAAAGCUCAGAAGGUAUACCCGGGAAUUUCCCAUAUCAAGAGAAACAUUAAGAAAGAAGUUGUGGAUUGCUUCUCCAUUGAUGAUCAAGGAAUCGUAUACUUCGGAAACCGCUUAGUGGUUCCUAAAGUGCGAAACUUGAGGUGGUUGAUCCUUAAGGAAGCUCAUGAAUCCCCUCUCACCAUUCAUCCCGGUAGUACCAAGAUGCAUGAGGACCUAUGCCAGAGGUUCUGGUGGACUAGGAUGAAAAGAGACAUUGCUCAAUAUGUUGCUAAUUGUGAUGUCUGUCGUCGUGUUAAAGUAGAGCAUCAACGGCCUACUGCCACCCUUCAACCUUUAGCUAUUCCUAAAUAGAAAUGGGAUAAAAUUGGUAUGGAUUUCAUCACCGGUUUUCCUAGGACCAAGAGAGGGAAUAAUGCUAUCUUCGUCAUUAUCGAUCGUCUUUCCAAAAUGGUCCAUUUCUUGCCUGUUCGCGAGAGUAUAACCGCUAGCCAGCUAGCAGACUUGUGUAUCUUCCGAAUAGUGUCUCUCCAUGGUGUUCCAUUGGAAAUCAACUCGGAUUGUGGAAGUCUCUUCACCUCCCGAUUUUGGGAAAGUUUCCAAAAUGCUAUGGGAACUCGUCUUUCCUUUAGCACCGCCUUUCACCCUUAGUCAAGUGGUCAAGUAGAACGCAUCAAUCAAAUUCUAGAAGACAUGCUUCGAGCUUCUGUUAUCUCAUUCGGAAUGGAUUGGGAGAAAUGCCUUCCAUUUGGCGAAUUUGCUUAUAACAAUAGCUAUCAAUCUAGCUUGGGCAAAGCUCCUUUUGAAGUUCUCUAUGGAUGGAGGUGUCAAACGCUUCUUAACUGGUCAGAAACCGGGGAAAGACAAUUCUUUGGCCCGGAUAUUAUCCAGGAAGCAGAAGAGCAAGUUCACAUCAUUCGUGAAAAGAUGAAAACAACCCAAUCUUGUCAAAAGAGCCAAUAUGAUCGUAAACAUAAGGCUAUGACUUUUGAGGUUGACGAGAAGGCUUACCUUCGGGUACUCCUCUAAAGGGAACCCAUCACUUCGGUAUCAAAGGCAAAUUGUCUCCUCACUACAUUGGACCCUUUCGCAUUCUCGCCAAACGAGGAGAAGUUGCCUACCAGUUGGUACUACCUCCACACCUCUCCAGAGUCCAUGAUGUAUUGCACGUUUCUCAACUCAGGUGUUGCUUCCACUACAAAAAAAAGACACAUCCGUGACAUUUUGGGACGAACGAAUUUUGUUUCUGUCAUACAUAUGACACUUCUAUGACGAUAAUUGUGACAAAACCCGGUAUCAUCAUAGAUGUGGUGGGCUCCUACUUCUAUGAAAAAAAAUCAUGACAGAAAAUGGGCUUUUCGUACUGGGCGGGCAGGAGACGCAGUUGCAUGACAUUCUUUGGGCCGUCCAUGAUGGAAAAAACCGUGGUAGAAGCAAGGGCGAGGAAAAUUUCAGGGAGUUCCCGAUUACGGUGGGAGGUCGGGGCCGAGCGAUGCGCGUUUCUCUCAUACACGUACGCGUGUGUGUGCGAGGCGUUGGCUCUAACUAAACCCGAGCGAGGCGUUGGGCUCUAACUGAACCCGAGUGAUUGCACUGCAGGCUACGCAUUACUGAACCCGAGUGAUUGAUUGAUGGCUGUUAACUGAACCCGAUCAAGCGACUCCUUUGCUACUGCUGCUAACUGAAACCGAUCGAUUGGAUGAACAGNNNNNNNNNNNNNNNNNNNNNNNNNNNNNNNNNNNNNNNNNNNNNNNNNNNNNNNNNNNNNNNNNNNNNNNNNNNNNNNNNNNNNNNNNNNNNNNNNNNNNNNNNNNNNNNNNNNNNNNNNNNNNNNNNNNNNNNNNNNNNNNNNNNNNNNNNNNNNNNNNNNNNNNNNNNNNNNNNNNNNNNNNNNNNNNNNNNNNNNNNNNNNNNNNNNNNNNNNNNNNNNNNNNNNNNNNNNNNNNNNNNNNNNNNNNNNNNNNNNNNNNNNNNNNNNNNNNNNNNNNNNNNNNNNNNNNNNNNNNNNNNNNNNNNNNNNNNNNNNNNNNNNNNNNNNNNNNNNNNNNNNNNNNNNNNNNNNNCAAUGAGCGGCGGCAUUGCCUCUGGAUGAACAUGACCCCGUGGUGUGGAGGUAUGGAUGAACAGUAGACGGUGGAGGGGUGCCCGUGGAGGGGUGGAUGAACAGGACCCCGUGGUGUGGAGGGCUAGAUGAACAGUAGACGGUGGAGGGGUGCCCGUGGAGGGGUGGUUGAACAGUAGCCGGUGGAGUAGUGCGUGGUGGAGGCUGGAUGAACAGGAGCCCGUGGAGGCUGGAGGAGGUCGACGGUAGCCCGUGGAGGCUGGAGGAGGUCAACGAUGGAGAUGAACAGUAUCCCGUGGAGUCCCGUUUUACGGUACGCCACACCCCUCCCGAUGAACAGGACCCCCGUUUCGACCGUAGCACUCCAACACAAGUCUGUUUCGUCCAUUUUGCGGUACGCCACACCCCUCCCGAUCAAUAGGACCCCCGUUUCGACCGUAGGAGGUCCGUUUCCUUCAUUUUGCGGUAUGCCACACCCCUCCCGAUCAACAGGACCCCCAUUUCGACCGUAGAAGGUCUGUUUCGUCCAUUUUGCAGUAUGCCACACCCCUCCUGAUCAAUAGGACCCUCGUUUCAACCGUAGGAGGUCCGUUUCCUCUGUUUUGCGGUACGCCACACCCCUCCCGAUGAACAGGAUCCCGUUUUGAACGUGGCCGGUCGAACACAAGGCCGUUUCCUCCGUUCUGCGGUAUGCCAGGCCUCAUUCCAUCGCCUGUUCCGUCCAAGCCCUCCCGAUGAACAUGACCAUGCAUUCCGUUCCGACCCAGCCGGUUGGCUCCCACGCGUUCCGUUGCCUCCCAAUGAACACGACGCAUUCCGUUGCCUCCCCAUGAACACGACGCAUUUUGUUGCCUCCCCAUGAAAACGACGAUGACGCUAUUUCUCUGUUCCGACCCAGCCAUGUUCACGAGCCCUGGCCGUACGUAUGCGUGAGUAGGCGUUCGAGACCCCGCCCGUAUGUACGUACGUGGCCAUAUUUUCCUUCUUGCACCCUGGCCGUUGUACGUACGUGUACAUGCUACAUGCGCGCCUCUACUACGACACGUGCGCGCCUCUACUACGACACGUGCGCGCCUCUACAUCGACCAGUAUGUAUGUACAUGUUCGUGACCAGAAUGACAACGCUACGUACGCUUCGACCAGGUGGGUCUCGACUGUCAGGCACUUCCUUGCCUGCGAAGAUGUAGCUGGUGGGUCCCAGCAGUCAGGGGGGCGAAUCGUUUUUUUUUCGGACGCACUUCCUUGCGUGCGAAGAUGUAGCCGGUGGUUCCCAGCAGUCAGGGGGAAACGUUUUUUUCGCAAAGUAUGGUGGCCCGUCCGGUGGGUCCCCGCUGUUAGGUGGAGGAAUAAUUAUUUUGCACGUAAUAAGGAGGCACUUCCUUGCUGCGACCAUGGACCCAGCUGUCAGCCUCUCCAUGUACAGUCCACGUCCGAUGGAAGCCGUUCCUUGACCAUGUUGACCACGCCGCGCCGAGAGCACCAGGGCGGUGGACGACGGUGAGGCCUAGGAAGGGGACGACGCGGAGCCGGGGAAGGCACGACAGUGGAUGCCCAUGCGUAGAGGAGUACGAGGGUUCACUGGUUCGUUGCGGUGUGAGGCUGCCGUUGCUGCAGAAUAACAUGGGGUGUGGGUGAGUAGAGGGAUGGCCUGGCCAGCGGUGGGAGUAGUAAGGGGCGGUGAGGCCUCCGUGGCAUCAUAGCCGGCCACGGGAGGCAGGAGCAUGCGGCACGACUGGCGCUGCUUUGGGCGGCUGGAGCACAAAGACUAGAGGUUGGAGAAGCACUAUGGCCGUUGGAUGGUCAUCGUACGGUCACUGGAGCUAGAAUCGUUCAUAUUGACUAAGUUGACAAGGCCCUCCGUCCCCAUAAACUUAGUAGGCCCACAAGUCAGCCUCCCACCAAGGUGAGUCCCAGCUAGCAGGGGGAGUAUUCAUUUUUUUGUGCGUAAUAAGGAGGCAUUUCCGGUGGGUCCGAGUUGACAGCGGGGGUAAUGUUUUUUUCGCGAAAUACAGAGACCCUUCCGGUGGGUCCCAGCUAUCAAGUGGAGGAAUCAUUAUUUUGCGGGUAAUAAGGUGGCAUUUUCCUGUGUGGGCCCCUACUGUCAGCCUCUUUCGAUGGCUGUUGUUUGUUGACCAUGUUGACCUCGCCGCACCGAGAGCACAAACGCGGUGGACGAGGGCGAAGCCCAGGAAGAGAACCACCCGGAGCUGGCGAAGCCACCGCAGCGGAUGCCCACGCUGAGGGGAGAACGAGCACUGACUGGUCGGCUGCGGUGGUGAGGCUGACGUCGCCGGAAAAUAACAGGAUGUGUGGGUGGUUAGAGGGAUGGCUUGGCGGUAGCACAGCCAACCACGGGAGGAGGGACCAGGCAGUCCCGCCGGCGAUGGUAUGAGCGGCUGGAGCAGGAAGAUCAGAGAUUGAAGAAGCACGGCGGCCGUUGGAUGGACAUCCAACAGUCACUGCUGUGUGUUGAUUAAGUUGACAAAGCCUUGCUUACGCGUGAAAAUUUUUUAGGACAGUGUCAUCAUCAACCUAGUAGGCCCAGAAGUCAGCCUCCAAAUCUGUGGAAAACAGCAUACAACCCAUUAGCCAUUAUUUUCAAUAAUUUACAGCCCAUUUCCUAAUUCUUAAGGAUAUUUGAAGCCCAUAUUCUUUUUAUUAGCAUUACAGACCAUAUAUUCUGGGCACUGCUAAAACAUUGAACGAAAUUUUGCAUAUUUCGGUGGGGUCCAAACUCUUUUAAUCACGAAAUUUCGAGUCAUGUUAAAAAUAAUUUUCAAAAAAUUAUAUCAAUACAAAAUUCGAAAAACAAUUCUCCGCAAAAAAAUGAAUGAAAUUUAGAAUCUUAACUAGCAAGAUGCCCGUUUGUUGCACUGAACAUGAAGAUGCAUUUGUAUGAGUAGUUUAUCUUGUGGGAGAAAAUAUGAUAUUUUAAUGUAAUUGCCAGUUGGCUUUGGUUUUUAUACGAGUAGAGAGUAGAGAAAUCCUGAAAAAUGGUAUUUUAAUGCAAUUGCCGAUUGGCUUUCGUUUAAAAAUUUACAGCCCAUUUCUUACAACUUAUAGCCCGUUUUCUGGGGAAGCUCAUUCCUUACUACUUACAUCCCUCCUUGUCUUGAAGGAUUUGCAGCCCAGCAGGGCUGAGAAAAGCAAGUAGGCCGCGGUUUUGGUAUUCUCCAAAAAAAGAACUAGGGUAGCCAAUUUCAGAAAGAAAAAAUAUAUCAACUGGGCUCGUCAUGUGCUUAAUAAAAUGGUAAGCGUGGGCUAGACGGGCCACAACCCCCGCACAGCGCGCAGUUGAGCUCCGUCUCAGAAACUGAAAAAUAACUGGGCGAGCUGCUGGGUCCCUGGUGUUAUCCGCUCGUUGUGUAAUUUUCUCGUUUAUUGACUACAUUGACAAUGGCCUAGAAUCUAGUUGUCAAACAAUUAGGAGGAAGUAUUUUUUUGGCUUGUAAUAACGAGGCACCUGCUUGCGAAAUGCAAUGACCCUGGUGGGUCCCUACUGUCAGCCUCUCCACGUACAGUCAUCUCCUGAUUCCUCUUGGUUGUUGACCAUGUUGACAACGCCAAACGACGGUGAGUAGAGUGAGCUAACUAAGGCGGAGAACGAUGGCAAGGCCUCGGACGGGAACGAACAACAGCCAUGGAAGAUGCGGCAGUGUAGUGGCAGGUGGAGGGGAGUACGAUGGCAACAACAUGCAAGUCAAGCAUACAAAUGGUACAAAAAGCCCAAGGAUUAAUUGUUCAUCAAAUUUUUAGACAAAACACAUAUUGAACAUGACAGUAACAUCUAACCCAACCACUCUUUUUUGCAGUCACAAACAAAUGGAUCGGUCUGAUCCAUAAAAUCAACAUCCUGUGCAAAAAAAUUUAUUUCAAGAUGUCUACAACUUAUUGUAAAUAGAAGCUGAGCAUGUUUAGAAGCCCAUUUGUCCACCUGAAACUUCUUUUUUUGCUUUUCAACAUGUUCGUCCGUGAGAAAUCUCUUGCUGUAAAAAUUAAGCCACAUGGACAAUAGUAACCUCGCAUACAAUAGGAAGAAUGUGACAAAGCUUCUGUUUACCUGGUUGGUUGCAUAUCGUCCCAUCGUUAUUGUCCUCAAACGAAUGUCAUGAGAACUGAGAAAAUCCUUGUGCUUAUUACGCCAACGAUUGGUUACAUGUUUUUCUCCAUGUGGUUCUGCCUAAGUAGACAUGAAGAUUGAAAACAGUUAAGGUCUGAAAAAAAGAGUAAGUCGAAAUAACGACAGCUGAAUAGUUAAUUAUAGUACAAUAUAUACGGUCUUUCAGUGUGCAUGAAAUCACCACCUCUAUGUAUAAAUUCUCCAGAGAUCGAAAGCAUCGCAGCAAGCCAAUAAUUAUGUCCAGAUCAAAACUAUACAUUCUGAUAUAUAUGAUCUUGAUAGAAUCCAGCAGAAUUGAUAGGCUAUCAAUGGACGAACUCUUCAUUGAGCAUAUAACAUAAUAUUAGUACCCAAAGUGUACUCCAAGAUGAUAUAAAACUUAUGCGCACAAAUGAAAAAUGCAGCAUAUGAUUACAAAUGUGUAGAUGAUAAUAUAUGGUACCUGCAAAAGUGAGGAGCCAAACACCCACUCCUUGUCAUUAUUAAACGGGUCACGAAUUACACCCAAGGUCUCCAGUUUGGGCGCAGAGACGACAGUUAUUUCUGAAGGUGUAUAACAAUUAUGAAGGAGCAACCUUUCAAGUGAAGGGGCAUCUUCGAUGAUGAGCUGCUAUCCUUUAAAACAAAUUCCAAUGCUUUUAAGGUGAGGCGACUUUAUUUGGAGACAACUGAUACCGAUUUCUAUUCCCAAAACAAUCAGCAAGCGCUCCAGGGCAGGGCAACUGGAGUGGAUGAUGCUGUGCAGUGAGGCCUCCGAGAGAUAAACCACCACAAGCAAAAGUUUUUUUAGUAGUGGGAGUCGAAGCAUUUGUACCAGAUUGUCCGGUAGAUGGCACCGGGGGAAGGUGGCGGUGUGGAGAGAGGAGGAAAACCGCGAGAUGGACAACGGUGGUGUGGGCAUGAAUUCUUGGUAUGUUCGUGGUAUGAAACUUUCGUGGUAAUGGUAGAACUCAAACUGCUGGAGUUUUCCGAAUUCAGGGGAUGUCAGCCAAGCGUCCACCCUGCCGGCUAUGGACAACAGGUAACUUGUCGGGAUGUAGAGGCAUUGAACGGGGCCCUGCUGGUGAGAAGAGAUAAUGGCUCUGAGGAGAUCAAAUUCAGGAAGGAUAGAUAUCUGACGACAGUCGAGAUUGAGGGGCGCGGUGCGCCAUAGAGGGCGCCACCAAGUUGAGAGGACUUGUGUGUGGCAACAAUCCUUGAUGGGGAGAAGCAAGAUGAUCUCCUCAAGGAUGACGCCUGGGAGAUCGCUGAUGCGGUCCACUGGAGAUNNNNNNNNNNNNNNNNNNNNNNNNNNNNNNNNNNNNNNNNNNNNNNNNNNNNNNNNNNNNNNNNNNNNNNNNNNNNNNNNNNNNNNNNNNNNNNNNNNNNNNNNNNNNNNNNNNNNNNNNNNNNNNNNNNNNNNNNNNNNNNNNNNNNNNNNNNNNNNNNNNNNNNNNNNNNNNNNNNNNNNNNNNNNNNNNNNNNNNNNNNNNNNNNNNNNNNNNNNNNNNNNNNNNNNNNNNNNNNNNNNNNNNNNNNNNNNNNNNNNNNNNNNNNNNNNNNNNNNNNNNNNNNNNNNNNNNNNNNNNNNNNNNNNNNNNNNNNNNNNNNNNNNNNNNNNNNNNNNNNNNNNNNNNNNNNNNNNNNNNNNNNNNNNNNNNNNNNNNNNNNUGGGCAUCGUGCCGAGCUCACGGGUUUGAGCAGAGUAGCCAGAGACGAGCCUAGUGGCAGUGCGAGUGGGGAAGAAGGAGGGCUGGGGAUUUCUGUAGGAGUGGAAGAAGAGGAGCAGGCGUUUUCUGUACGAGUGAGGAAGAAGGUGAGUGGGGUUUUCUGGACAAGUGAAGAAGAUUGGAGAGUGGGGGGAAUUGGGUGGGGAGACGAAGCGGGAGAGUGAGCUAUUCGUGUUUAUAAGGCCCGCUGCACUAACUACUCGCUUUUUCCCAAGAACCGCUCUCUUCUUUUGCGUUGCUGCAUUGGAGCUGGCGCAUGGGCUUGGCUGACUGGCCAUGCAUGCAGGAUGCAUGUGCCCGCCGGCCACUGCAUGCGCCUGGUUUGUUACUAGGCCUAUUUAAUAGCGUGGUUAUGGAGUAAAUUAAGGAGAUUUAUUUUCUCUGUGUGCAUCCACCAAAUUAGAGGAUGCAGUACUGGAUGCAGACACUCACAUUAAACUAACAUUCAGAAGAACAAACGUUCAGCAUGUCCAUGCAUCUCAAUGAUUCACCAUACUAUAACCAAUAUACAAAGUUGUGAGAAUGUGUGGAAAUAAAGAAAAUCGGUCGAUGCUUCUCUGAGCAAAGGGCCACCCUGCGCACGCAUUAAUUUCCUGGGCAUGCUUGUUUCUUCUCAAAAUGUUGUGAGCACUUUGAGCAUGUUGGCAACUCCACAGCUAGCUAGCUGCCUCAUCUUGCAAUUGAUGCAGACACAUUUGCAGCAAACACAUGAGGCAAUAGAGAUGACUCAACAUGGGUCCAUAUUGUGCAGUUCCCCUAAAAUCAUAUUCAUUAUCCUGAAUCUGAAAAGAUAGGAAAAUAGUAGCUAUACUUAAACGGUGUUGCAAAAUAGUAGCACGUAUCAAUAACUCGGCAUGAAAAAACACAAUCAUUUGGACGAAGGGGAUACUGACCUGCCUGAGGAAGAUUACAUAUAAUUUCAUAAGUCCUUGGUUAAUUUCCACCUUCGGCUGCACUGCUUGUUUGCUCCUCCACACAUGACAGGAUCGUUCCGCACUGCAUCCAGCAAGUCAAUGUACGAAUAAGCUAAUUUCAUCUUGCGGUGGUCAUUGUAGUUACGAAUGUAGGAAUACCUGGAGCACCAUGAGGUUAGCUGACAGCAGGUAGAUGUAGCCAUAUAAAAUUUGUGCGGUGCUGCCAAAAUUGAGGUUUGUAUCCCUUCCUGUUAUGAGAAUUCUUCUUGAAGUUGGUAGAAUGUGACGGCUUGUUCUUUGCAUCAAACUUGCCUUUCCCCUGAGAUUUGUUCUUGUUGUUUUGGGGUUGGUUGGGCUGGAAGUUCUUCUCAUGUACCAUGUGGGCACUAGAAGCUCCCUCAGCGACCCGAGGACGUGUGUCUUUUGCUCUCGCCUUCUCCUCAAAAUCAAGAGUGCUAAUGAGAUCCAAAACAGAAAACUCAUGUCUCUUGUUUUUCAGAGAAGUAGCAAAAUCGUUCCACGAAGGUGGAAGCUUGGCAAUGAUGGUCCCAGUAAGAAAUUUGUCCGGCAACACACACUUAAAGUACUCAAGUUCCUUAGAGAGUGACUGUAUCUCAUGAGUCUGCUGAACAACAGAGCGCUCAUCAGUCAUCUUGUAGUCACAGAAUUGCUCCACGAUGUACAACUCGUUGCCAGCGCCCGAGGGCCCAAACGUGGCCUCGAGCGCAGCCCACCUGUCUUUGCCGCUCUCAAAUGACAUAUAUGAAUCCACAAUGGAAUCGUUAAGAGCACUCAAUAGGGCGGCUUUGAAGAGGGUUUCCAUGUUCUGAAAAGCCUCCUUCUGUGUAGGAUUAAGAUCGCCCUCAGGCUUACCCUUAGUGGCGUCAUAGCAGUACAUGAUCUGAAACCAAUAUACAGCUCUUGUGCACCACCUUUUAUAUUGCACCCCCUUAAAAGUAGGCGGCUUCAAAAGCGCAGCAAAACCACUCGGAGUAAAUUGCCUGUAAUCAGGUUUUUGGACUGGAUUGUUGAAUAUAUGAGCAAUUUAGUAUGAGAUUUAAUCCGAAUCAGCAGUAAAUAAAUCAUGAUGACAAUUGCAAACAUCAAAGUAAUGAUGCAGACUAAACCAGGACGACAGAAUCACAUACUGUACAGCGGGAGCAGAAGCGAUGUGGUUGAUGUUUUCACUCAUGUCGUUGAUGAAGAGGUUACCGAGGUCGGGGAAGAAGGCUGUCGUUGAGGAAGUCGUCACUGGCAGCAGUCACAGGAGUGUGCUCCCCAAAAACCUGAUCGCCCCUCUCGCGACAGGCGGGGUUCGGAGGACUGCUAUCCCUUCUCGCGGUGCACGCCGGAAGGAGGGCUGGAGAAGAAUUGCGUGGCGGUGCUAAGAUCUGGAACUGUGCGAAACCAUAUGAUAUAGCGGCGGCUAGGGUAGAGCAUGUCAGGUCAGUCGUGCGAGUAUAAUAGUAGGCCUUUGGCCCCCAAACCCCACGCCCAAGUCAAUAAUAGCUCAAAAAAGUCAAUAAUAGCCCCACCAAGGUUUGUCUAAAAAAACCCGGAGUAAUUAAGGCGUCCGUUAGUCCCUUUAGUAUAAAUACAAUAUCAUUAAUAAUGGCCCCACCUUUUGUCUCACAAAGUAUGUUGGAGUACAACCGGCUACACGUUUACAAUCCGCUUCUCUUCUCUCCUCUUCUCUCUCCUUCAACUAAGAACAAAUACAAUAUUUAAAUCCUUAUAGCCUGCUUAUGUCAUCUAAUUGUAGUACUUGCUCUAAAGUUACUAUCCACUGGGUAGUCUGAAAUGUCGGGCGUGCAGCGGGCGGUGCCCUCGGUCAGCGCGCCGCUUCAACGGCGGAAGCAGUGAGAGGUCGCGUCGCCCUGACUUGCCAUCAAUGUGGAGCGGCGGGCUCAGCUGGCACCGGGCGGGAAGCGCGCGCAGGAGGGGGGAGCGGUUUUUGUUGGGCCAAGAAGGUGAGAAGCCAACUUGGGAUCGGUCCGGACGGGGAAAUAUCAUGUGCUCCCAUACUCUGCAUAUGGCACUAGUCUAUGUUACUACUCCCUCCUUUCCGGUUUAUAGAGAUGUUUAGAGUAACAUAGUAAUAUGUUACAGUACAAGUUACUCCCCACUAUGACCAGCCUUGGCCUCUCCCAGUGCUCCACCAUGUAUAGCUGCUAAGCCUGCCACGUAGGCAUAAAAUAUGAUGUGGCACCAAUAAACUAAGCACCCAUGCAUUGAAGACUUGAGUUACUAAGCCAUUUAAUGCACUUAGCACCUCAUCUAAAGAUCAUUAAUAGUAUAGCCAGUGCCAUGUCAUCUACAGCCCAUCUUAUAGUGAACAUGUACAAAAUAGUAGAUCAAAAGAGUGUACUACUACUUUUUUAUUCUGUGGCCCACCUUUCAUUCUCACAAAGAGCCUAGGAGCACGUGCUAGAGCUGGCUCUUCACGAAGAGCCUGCUUACCUUCUCUCUCCUCUUCUCUUUCCUCCAACUAAGCAGAAAUAUACUAGUUUAUUCCUUAUAGCCUGCUGACUCAGCUCUAUUGUACUUGCUCUAGCACCCCCUUGACCGUGGACCUUGACGGUGUACAUCACCUUGUGUAGAAGAUCUCACCCACAUCAUCAUUAGCAUGCAGCCACCUUGAUAGACAACGUGCGCAGAAGGAGUAGAGGCGACUGGGGACGCACCACCACCAUUUCGUGGGCACUCUGUAUGUGCUCGUGUGCGUGCAUCGUGCGUAUUUUUCCAUCGGUGCUAGCUCUAAGGCCGUGGCUGCGAUCGUCUUCGUCUCCGACUGCGACUAGUAGUUGAGCAAUGACGGCAAAGAGGUGCUGCAAGAGAUGCGUAUGCACCAUUUUGUGCGAGCUUCGCCAUAGCAUGACGAACCGGAUGUUGCCGCGGAUGGCACAUGCCUCCAUGCAGCCGAGUGUGUGCGCAUGCAUGUGUUAUUCACGUGCAUUCUGCGGCCGAGCAUGUGUGCAUGCACGUCUUGUGUAUGUGCGUUGUGUGCUCCAUGUUGUGCGCGUAUGUGCAUGAGUUGGAUCAGAUGGAGUUAGUGAGUUGGCUUGUGUACAUGCGUGGCUGCAUGCGUCCUGUACAUGCGAAAAGUUCAUGUUCUUUUAUUUGUUUAUAGGUGGGCAGGCGGCAAAAAACAGGGGAAAACGUGCAAGGUUCCUUGCAGACGCUCCACCGCGAGGUUCCUUGCUCCUCCUCGGUCAUCGGGAAUCUAUGCUCUUCAACUCUUUUCUUUUACGUGAGCUUUUUCAUCCUUUUCCCAACACGCGAGACAUCUAGCAUCAAGGUGCACGUGUCAUGCAAGAAAAUGGAGAUAAUCAUAUAAGCAAUGCGUAAGUGAGUCGUGCGGGAGGGGGGGGGAGCGGGAGGAAACCCUUUCUUGUAAGUGAGUCGUGCAGUUCAAUGGCACCUACGCAAUAUUUUUUCUCCUCGAUGGCACGUGAAUAGUGCAUGUACUCAACGAUGGAGCACGGGAUGGUAGCAAUGACAUGGUCAGCCCUUUUUUGGAGAGAGUAUGUACUACUAGUAAACACCUUUGAUGUGUCCCGUCAACUCACAGAACGACGAGAAGCUUGAUUACGCCUUCUCCCACGCCAACGCAUGCGUGGUGGCUCGCAGCACGAGGAGAAACUUUUGCUUACAAGCGGUGGACGUCCAGCAGUUCAUUUGGUGUCAGAUUGCCAGAAGCACUACUGUAGAACCAUCGACUUCCGGAAGAGGUGAAGAGACAAGCGCAAGGUCACCUACUAACCUUAGGCUAGGCAUAGUGGGAGUAACAUAAGUAGGGGUACCUCCUUUUUUAUUCUAGAAACAACCACACGCGAAUAUCAAGGUGAUGGUUACGUAUAACAAAUUUCCUGCAGUCCAUGCUCAGCCCUCCUCUAUCUCUCUUCUCACCCAGCCAGCGGACGCGUAGAGCCCAUCGUUUGUUUGCUCACAUGCGGCCCCACAUGUCAGUGAAAACGCAAGAGGACCCACUGAACCUGCACAUCUUUCACCUCGACGUGCUGGUGAUGAAAAACAAAUCCAAUAAAGAUCUUCGGUGGCCGCUUUUGGAGUUACUCAAGAGUAGUAAGAUUCUAUUUACAGUUUAACCCAAGAUGCACAUCUCGUGGCUUCAACUACCACUCUAUUUUCUUUCAUGAUACGACCUGGAUGCUGGAUGUCCCACGUGUUGGCAAAAGGAGGAAGAACCCGACCAAAUCUUCGGUUGUGCUCUCGGAUUAGACUAGUUGUGCUAACUUAAAAUUUUUAUUGUGUACUCCCACCGUUCCAAAAUACUUGACUUCCAUUUGUCCAGAAAUGGAUGUACCUAUAUACUAAAACAUGUCUAGAUACAUAUAUAUUUUGACAAAUAGAAGGCAUGUAUUGUGCAACGGAGGGAGUAGAAUGGAUGCAAGUUUUUGUAUUGGGAAGAAGAGUAUAUCCAUAUAUUGAUAGAGCAUUGGAGUUGGCCUUACAAGUGGGACCGCAGUUGAGAAAACCGACUAUCGGCAAACCCCCACCUCGCCCACUGCGCGAUGGCUGAGUUAGAGAAACGAUGAGGUUGAAGAGAUUUCUCUAGCACGGACUCCAAGAAAUAUGGUGUCAGAUGGAAGUCGUGCUGGUGGCGUGUGCCGUACUCUUGGACGUGAAUGCUUGUUCUGGCCCAUGCCACCCUACUACUCCUACUACUUACUUAUAUAGUACCUAGUAUCGAGGAUUCGAGGUGCUGGUUACGUACAAUAUGGCUACAGUAAAAACACCCGCAUGACGCGCGAAGCAUGUGAAGCUAGUACAAAUAGUGUACUACUAUUGUUGAUUGGCCUCAUCUGAUAACCUGUUGCAAUGCACGUACAAUUAUGUAUUCAUAAAAUAUUUUUUUUGCGUCGCACCACUCACUCAUAGAAGCAACUCGAAAGCCAUUCAUAAAUUUAGUAAGUUUAUCACAUACAUAUCAUUUUAUUACACACAACAGGUCAUCAACCCACAUCGAUAACGAGGGUACAUUAUAAAUAGUAAAGUUUUCACCACACAACAAAUAACAAGCAAUGAAAUGAACUUCAACUCAACCAUUCCUCGGCGUUGGAAACACUUGCUUUGAACCACAAGUGAUUCUCUGAGAUGGGCCAUCUAUUGUUGAUAUCGAGACCAACGCAGGACUGAUCAUCCAGGCUGAAGCGGCCUACUAUAUCAGUACCAGGGUAGGGAACCACCCUAAUCUCCGAGGUAUAGACACAGUUGCUUCUCAUAAAUGGUACUAGUAACAUUGUGUCAACAACAGUUGGAUCACCUUUCACCAUCAUCGGAUAGUUUUGUCCAAGGAAGAGCGAGUUUUCUCCAAGACUAUCAAUUCUCUACCAGGGAGAAGGUGUUGGCGCUAGCACACUAGUAUCCAUCCCGAAUACCAUGCAACGGGUGUUGGAAUAGGUCCGGAGAGUGCGACCAUGGGAGACAACACGUGCUCCCUCAGUAGUAACAUCAUCAGUGGGCUGUAUACACACAGGAAGAGGUGAUCCAUCGGAAUUAGUUGCCAGGCGCCACAGAGUAUAUACGUUCUGCUCAUCCUCAUGCUCGUGAUCAUCACCGUCGCCAUCUCCCCCUUGGUUAUAAUUUUCUUCAAGUAUAGGUGGUGGAAUGUUCAUAGGACCUUGGAAACACAAGAAGAAGGUUAAUUAAUAAAGGGAAACUUUCUAACCCGCAUGCAUGUGGAUGAAACAACUAUAAUUACGGUGGAAGACAAAUGUACCGAAACUACGAGGAUCCCAUGCAAAAAUAGUGCCAUGAGCGGUGGAAACAGACACAAGACCCUCGUAUUGAAUUGCAUCACAGUACACAUCCGUGUAUAGAAACUGAUUUUUGAGGAAUAUCCAUCGAGUCAAACCACCAAGGACGGCAACAAGCUUGUCGAAGAUAGCAACAACUUCAUAGUUGUUGUAAUUCCAAGAGCGGUUGGGAACUCGACAAAUUGCUAUCUUCCGUAGAAGACAGUUACCAUGAUCGUAUUUGAACGUGCGUACAAUACCGGUGUGCUCAACCUCUGGGCAGUCUGCUGAGAUUUUUGGAAGUGGAACCCAGUCACGAGUGUACACAUUCACAAGUUCCCACUCACAGUUGGACCCAAUGUAAAGAACCAAUCUCCAUUUGCGCCUGCCCAAGCCUUGCCCUCAAGCGAUAGCAUCUUAACGUCAUACGUAUCAUUAUCAAGCAGCAUCAACUUGCACAGGGCGAGGCCUCCGUCGUGCCGGCGCCAAUCAUCAGGGUCACGUCGAAGAAGAUAGGGGAGAUCAAACCGCUCCUUGACUCUUGGGUUCCUUGUAAUGAUGUUAUUAGUUGAGUCGAGAAUGGGCUUGAACGAACCUUCCAUGCUAGCCGAGGUGAUGACGUCGCACCGAUCAAUGAGUUCCUCCACCACGUCAUCUUUCAGAUCGAGGCAAGAAUCACGGGGUCGUUUCCGGCCUGUUCCCUCCAUGGAGAAGACGAUCGAACAAUGGCAGAAAAAAGGGUGAAGGGCUAAAGGAAAAUGGAGGAGGGAGAGGAAGAGAGUGCGACAGCAGUUCCAAAUCGAGAGGGAAAGGCGAAGAGUCGGUGGAAGGUUGCCAGUUUGCUAUGGUUCACGAAGAGGUGCCCCGGCCUACACGUCCGUUCGGAAAUACUCCUACUACUCGCCGUCGUAUCACUGAUAUGUUGGAACGGGACCACAUGUCAACGAAACAUGGUGUGUAAUUUCUCGUGCAAAAUGCAAUCUGGCCGCGUUGGCCCGAGGUGCCGCAUUAGUUUUUUUUGAAAGGUUGCCGCAUUAGUUAUCGACCUUUAUUUUUUUAACAUGCAAUUUGAAUGGAUAGCUCCUGUGGUCAUCACACGUGAGCGGAUAUAGUGAUGGUUGAUUCGCCCGAGCAACUUAUUACUGUGGGAAUAUGCGAGUACCAGCGGAUUCAAGGAACAGAGAAAUGAUGGUUGCUUCGUCCGAGCAACUUACUGUGGCGAAGGUGGGGCUCUGUGAUUUGACUGCUCACUAGUCAUUACUACUGCGGUGCAAUGACCAGGGUGAAUCUUUCCCUAAAGUUGUGUUGUGCACUCAAUAUUGCUGCAAGGCAGGUGGAGCCGGAUGAAGGAUGUCCAACAUGUCGGCGAAACGAAGUUGAAUUGUUUCUGGCAUUGCUAUCAAUCCUUCAGGAUUUGUUUAUAUGUACGCAUAAUUUUGAUGAAAUUGUACUGUGAUGCUAUGAAGGUUUCAACUUUGGUUCCCACAGGAAAAAAGGUUUCAACUUAGGAUUCAUGUGUCUUGCCUCGAGAUUAUCUCGUUACAACAUUCCAUCAAAUACAAAUGAAACUACCAUGGCUAAUGCAUCUCCAUGGUUCAUAGGUCAACGCCAAUAUUCACAUCACAACUGAAGACAAAGUUGUGAGAAGGUGUACCAAUAAAGAAAAAAAUAUAUAAUUGAUCGAUGCGGUUCGUAGGCAUGGCUCCAUUUCCUGGGCACAGUGUUCAUUGCUUGGCAGCUAGUUUCACCCAGCUCUGUAGCCAAAAAAGAGGUGUAUGAAGGACACCACAAUCCGAUCAUUUUGUGCAGCUCCACUAAAAUUGAGCGGACCAUCCCUGUUUGCAAAGAUAUCCAGUCAGUGUGAUUACAAUAAUAGUGGAACUAGAUGAUGAAACAUAACACACAUAAAUAGAAGCCGAUCACCACUACGAUCUCUCUUUAGGACUAACUUCUUAUUGGAGAAGAUUAGGCAUGGAGUUGGAUGAGGAGGAUAGCAAAACAAAUCUCCCUUUCCGCAGUCCCACAGAAAUGUAAAAACGUUGCCCAUGUGAUAUUUUGGCGGAACUGCACAAAACACUCUUUAAAAAAGUGAAUUGUGCAGUUCACCAAAAGGUUGCCAUAGCAACGAGGUGAAAAUGGAUAGCCCUGUUUGCAAAAGGAGGUCGAAAGGAAACAAUUACUGCCCAAUAACACGAGUUGAAGACACAUACGCCGACAAAAAAGAAGCAUGUUCCAUGUAAAAAGGGAAAGAUAGCACAUGGUGGUUUAUCAAAAAUGGUUUGAGGACGAGAUUGCAAGAUGGAAAGUAUGCCGGCCGAGAUACGAUUUAAGCAAACAACUAAAGAAGAUCCACAUGCAGCAAUGUGGGAAGAUGGGCAGUGGAGCAAGGCCGGAGGAAGCUGUACCCGAGGGUCAUCGGGAUGUUACUAGGAGGGCGCCGGGGGCCAGGAUCUGCCCAUACCGCGGCAGCGAGCAAGUGGCGAAGGCCCUACCGCGCCGGAGCUUGGUCAGAGAGAAUGGUGGAUACCACAGAUCGGGAUGAGCUGCCUCAACACCGUCGAACGGAGAGACGAUGCACGUCCUCCCUUUCCGCCGGCGGAUGGGAUGAGGCCGGAUCACUGACCAACGCUGAGAGAGAGAGGCCACGGUGGCCUUGUGUGCGAUGGUGUGACGAGAGACAAACCCAUUUUUCCAUUUUCCCCAUGACAAUCGUUUUAUAUUCUAGGCGUGGUACCCGACCCUCCUUCAAGUAAACAACCGCUACACGCAUCAAAUUAUCAUGUGGGCUGCCUUUUCGUACAGAAACGAACUCCACCGUGUACCCACGCGGGUGUGGCCGGGAAUGAUACGUGAGUACGUGCGUCCUGUGUGCACUUCUUCUUUAGGUGCAGGUACAUACGUGGGUGGGUGUGAGAGAGAUGGUUUGUGCGAAACAAAGGCAAUGUGUUGAUGAUAUCUCAAUCAGAAAACCGCAACAUAUGCAAUGUGUGUGAAAUGGAGUCAUGGACGUGAGAUAUCGAUAGAAUUGAAAAUAGGGAUGAAGUGUGUGGCUGCGCGAUUGAUAAAGAGUGCCAUCGAAUUUGUGUUUGCCCAUGUCAAAGAUACAGGGCAGCUGGCCUAGUGGAAUUUGAGAGGGCAGAGGUGCAGUUCUUCUCCCUGACAUGGAUACCUACCUAAAACGUUCNNNNNNNNNNNNNNNNNNNNNNNNNNNNNNNNNNNNNNNNNNNNNNNNNNNNNNNNNNNNNNNNNNNNNNNNNNNNNNNNNNNNNNNNNNNNNNNNNNNNNNNNNNNNNNNNNNNNNNNNNNNNNNNNNNNNNNNNNNNNNNNNNNNNNNNNNNNNNNNNNNNNNNNNNNNNNNNNNNNNNNNNNNNNNNNNNNNNNNNNNNNNNNNNNNNNNNNNNNNNNNNNNNNNNNNNNNNNNNNNNNNNNNNNNNNNNNNNAGAGACCGAUCGACUAGUAUAUGUGUGGGGAAGGAGAGAGACCUAGCUAUGUAUUGAGGGAGAUUGAUCGACAUCCAUGGAUAUGUGUAGCAGAGGAAUAAGGUUGGGAAAAAGAGAAAGGUAGAGUGUCGGAGGGUUGGUGGUGGAGUGGCGUCUCAGAAAUGGUGGGAUAGGCCUGCUAGACAAAUGGAGGGUAUGAGUGCAAUAUCAAUAAGAGAGGGCGGGGGAUGUCUGUCUGUCUAUGCACGUGCGUGUGAGAGACGGGUCAGGAGGUAUUCAAGGAUGAUGAGGGGAGAAGAUAUGGUUGUGGUAAGCAUGCAUAACUACAUAGGAAGAUCAACCAUCGUGUGUCUGAGAAAAGGAGAGACAUAACUAGCGAGGUAAGUGUAUCGGUGCUUGGUGAAAACGAAUUAUAGUCGACCUGGCUAUAUUUAGGGAGAUCAGUUCAUAUACAUGCCUGCAUGUGUUAGAAGCAAAUAAGGUCCGGAGAGGCAGACUGGGGGAGAGGGUGUGGCUAGGAGGUGGUGCGAGAGGCCUACCAUGUCGAGGGGGGAGGAGUGUGCGAGCAUGUGAUAAAUGAAAAGAGGGGCGGGAGUGUGCACCUGUGUGGAAUCGUAUUGGACAUAUGGGGGCAUGGACGGUGAGAAGAGAAGAGGGGAAGUAUAUAUGUGUUUGUUGUAGGCACACUUGGCUAGAGAGGUAUGUCGACCGGUGUGUGCCAGAAAGAAGGAGCUGGGGGCCUACACACACCGCUGGUGGACGACUAAAGAGAAAUAAUGAACGUGCGCGAUGGAGGGGACGCUAAGGGUGUGUGAGGGGGGUGGGCGUGUGCAUGCAUGAUAGAAAGUUAGCGCUAGCUAGCUACAAAUAGAAGAGGACCGUGAAGGUGUAAAAGACGAACAAAGAUCAUAAUUCAUUAUAAAAAAGUGGAUACGGAUACUUGAAGAAUAUAUCAUAAUGUAGAACAUUGAUUAUAAUUUGGGCUAAUGUGUGGCUUUUGCAACUCAAGUCUAAAUACUUGUCAUAAUGUAGGUGGCGGGGCACUAUACUUUGUGUGAUAAACACGGUGUAUGUAUGGAACAUGGUUUAGAUUAUGAAUAUAUAGUUAGUACAUCAAAUGUACUAUUAUUUAGAAUCAACAUCAAGUGUAUUCAAAAAAUGGAAUUCGAGUUCAUGUAGUACACAUAGUUCAUAUCUAUCUCUAUAGUAAUCAUGUGGUGUGUUAUUAAGGUAAUACACAAAUGAUGGUUGAAGUUGGCAACAAUCAUGAUUGUAGAUUCUUAUUGAAAUAGAGAAACGAAUUCAAAUUUAGUUCGAAUUGCAGCGGUAGUAUAGACAUUUGGAAUGCACUAUACAGCAAGCGAAAAACUUUAAUCGGACAUAGCUUUGAAUAGCAUUUGUAUAGUAAAACGGGGCAAGACUCUCUCUUUCUGUGGUGUGAAUAGUUUUGUUUUUUUCGUUUUCUUUUUGGUUGAGGGAAGUGCAAAUUGAUUUGGUAUGUACAAGUACAAUAGUACUACACGUUAGGCUUGUCCCUAAAAUUCAACCCGCGUCUUGUUAUAUCCCGAAAAUUUAGAUAUCGUGCUCUCAAAAUUGGCGCCAUCACAACCCGCGCCUUGCUAUGUCAAAAUUACAACGCGUGUGAAAACUCCCUCCACCUGCCAAAUCCCGACACAUGAAAUCCCCCUUCUAAUCCUGAGCCGAAAGGGCCGCUAAUUCAAAUCGGCGGGGGGUACUUUUGUAACACACCCUACAUUUUGGACAAGCGCGUCCCUAAGUCAUGCUUCACCCCCUCCCAUCGCCCCCUUUACGCCAUUCGAAAUCCUAGGCCGCCAUAACCUCUCUGCUCCAGCCGUGAAACCCCACCCUCCUCCGUCCGCCACGUCACCGCUGCCCAGCCGGAGCCUCUUCCCCAACGACGUCGUCCACCGCAACAGCUCGACGUGCCUCGUCCACCUCCCCGAAUGAGGAUCCGUCGUCCAUCUCGCCGUCUCGCCGGUUCAGCCGCCCCGUACUCCACCUCCAAGGAGCUGCUCUGACGAUCGCCUCGUCUAUCGCGGCUGCUCCAUCCCCACAGCGCUGCCUUAACCUGCUUCACCGGAACCGCAUCAUCCUCACCGACUCCUUGGACGAAGCCGACGCCUACUCGGCGCCACCAAAGAGGUUGUACACUCAUCGCAUCGCACCUUUUCCUUAACUCGACCUCCCGGCCCCGAUGAUGCUCCAUCCCGUAUCCCCAUGGAGCGGCUACCUUGAAGCCGGCGCUGCGGGCGACAUCUCCACGGCAGCUCUCCCCCAGUGCGAGGCCCCUUCGGUGGAGGCUUCCAUACCAGCCGGAUCUGCUGCUGUUGCUCCGGCUCUCGCUCGCUUGCUCGCACUGCUGCUGCUGCUCCGACUCUCGCUCCAUCGCUCGCUCGCCCAGCUGCUGCUGCUGCUCUCCCCCUCGCUCGUGAUGCUGCUCUGCUCCGAUUGUGCCACACUUAAGUCGACUGAAUCGACUUUUGGGUCAGUCGAUUNNNNNNNNNNNNNNNNNNNNNNNNNNNNNNNNNNNNNNNNNNNNNNNNNNNNNNNNNNNNNNNNNNNNNNNNNNNNNNNNNNNNNNNNNNNNNNNNNNNNNNNNNNNNNNNNNNNNNNNNNNNNNNNNNNNNNNNNNNNNNNNNNNNNNNNNNNNNNNNNNNNNNNNNNNNNNNNNNNNNNNNNNNNNNNNNNNNNNNNNNNNNNNNNNNNNNNNNNNNNNNNNNNNNNNNNNNNNNNNNNNNNNNNNNNNNNNNNNNNNNNNNNNNNNNNNNNNNNNNNNNNNNNNNNNNNNNNNNNNNNNNNNNNNNNNNNNNNCGGCGCUGGGGCCGGUGGUUCGGCCGGUGGUGGCUGGCAGCUCAGGGGGGGUGCAGGUUGAAGAUGAACUGCAGGCCCUCCCUAAACUACAUGUCAAGUGCCUCUCUGCUACCAUUGCAUUCAGUUUCGACAGUAGCAUUCAGAUUCCACAGUAAAUAUCAGUUUCGACAGUUAAGUUCAGAGUCAACAGUUUUUACCUCAUCUGUUGUAGUCAGGUGGUUUUUGGUGAUGUUAAUUUUACAUCCAUUUUACAUCAUCUACUGGAGAUGCUAUUAGAAUCCCAUUUGAGAUUGACCAUGUCUGUCUUGUGCUGCUUCAGCCUUGACGUCUUACGGCUCACCGGAGCUGCUCCAACGACAGAACGAUCCAUCACAACAGAGCAGUGCCCUGGACGACGUCUACAGAUUCCUCAGAUCUUCCUCCACACCUCCGACAGCCACCUCUGCCUCAACUGCUUCAGCGACCAACCCAAUGAUGCUGAGGUCGACAUGGCUACGGCAAAGAGGUUGUACACUUGUUGCAUCACUUAUUACUAUACAUUCACGUCGAUCCAUUAGGGCUAUUUUGGUUCAACGGAAAAACGUCGAUCCACUGGUUGUUACCAUCACUCUAAAUUUCUGCAUGCUCUCCUUACAUAAUCUCACCAUAUUUUUUCGUAUGCAUGUCAGAUAUUGUACACAGUCAUGCUGAACAUUUAGAGAAAAAGAGAAGAGUUUUGCACGGCAAUACAAUGUCAUGCAGACAUCGCUCCAUGGUGGGUUCAAUGGCAAACCCUCCCCACCCCUCUCCAGAUUGUAAUCCAGAGGAAGAUAUCUGUUCUGAGGCGGAGUCAGACGCCGCUGACCACUCCUAUUUACCCCCAAGGUGUUUGCUCUACCUUGGCAUGAUGAUGUUAGUCAUAUCAUGCAUAUGUUGCCUUGCAGUGCCUACUUUUGACAUCAUAUAUGUCAUCUGCUUAGUUUAGACAUGUUCUGCAAUGCCUCCUGUUUAGUUUCUAUAUCAUAUAUGAGAAUUAUGCAGUCUCAUGUCUUUUAGCCAGCCAUAAUAUAUGCGAAAUAUGCAGUGCCAUCCUAUUUAACCAGGCAUCAUAUAUUUGAAUGAUAUCUUGCCCAUCCAUUUCUUCAUUACAUUUCCAUUUGUCGACAAUGUUUGUACAUUAAACUACUCUUCCUGUGAAUCAGCCAUUUGGGUGGGAGAUGGAAAAAAUCUGGAGUGAAAACAAGGCCUUCAGAGCAGACAGUGCUACCUGUCGAAGCAGAUCUCUUGUUGGGUCCCGAUAGCUCCUCAGAGAUGGAUUCAGAGACAGAUGACCAGUCCUAUUCCCCCACUAAGGUGUAUGCUCUAACUUGGCAUGGUUAUACUGCUCAUAUCAUGCAUACGGUGUCUUGCAUUGCAUAGUUUAGACAUCAUAUACACAAUAUUCAACACCAUGUUCUUAGUUCAGACAUCAUAUCGAAUGCCCUCUAUUUAGAAUAUAAAUCACAUAUGUGAAUUAAAUGAUGCGAUCCUGAUUACUUAGAUAACAUGUAGGUGAAUUAUGUCAUGCGAUCCUGUUUAGUUAUUCAUCAUAUCUUUGAAUUAUGUUAUGCUAUGCUAUCCAGUUUAGAUAGACAUCAUAUAUGUGAAAUUAUGUCAUGCUAUCUGUUUUAGUUAAACAAUAUACAUGUAAACUAUUUCAUGCCCUCUUUUUUCCACACUAUCUAUUGCAUCUGUCUCUCAUACAAUGUCUGUACAUUCAACUAUGUUUCCUGUUUAUCAGCAAUUUGAAUUGGAGCGGGUGAUGCCAGUAUCUAGCGGACUAAAAACACGAUCUUCAAAUAAAACAAUGCUACCUCUUGGUGGAGAUAGCACCCUGGUUGUACAUGCACAAGAACCAGCCCUACCACACAUAACCCAAACUCUCGCAGAUUGUACCCCUACUGCGAUGGACAGAGAACCAGCUUCACCCAAUCUAACCCCAACCCCAGCCGAUAGUAACCCAGUUCCUGUUGACACAACACCAUCUCCACCACAGAGCUCUCAAACAAGAGCAGUUAGUAAGGCAGCUCCAGUGCCCAAAGGGCCAGUACUAUCACGGCGAACCCCAACUCCACCAGUUAGUACGCCUAUUCCUGUGGAGGAAGCACAACUAGCUAGUCGUAGUUUAGCAUCUAUCGCAUUUGAUGUUGUUAAAUCGUAUGUGCGUGUCUUCCCAUCUUGGAAAUAUUAUACUGAAGAUGAAGGAAAAUGCCAGUUGCAGGUGUUGGUCCAGGAGUUAUGUGUAAGUAAUGUUAUUCAUGGCAGUUACUUUGCUUCGUCCCAUACAUCCUACCUCCAUGAUGGUUAUAAUACAGUAAAUUUUCCCAUUUUUCUCUAUGGAGAAGGACCGAUUUGGAAACUCAGGAUGAGGUAACCUGUGCUAAUACCUCUGCUAUCUUCAAGAAUACUUGGUGGUAGUAUCGGAAUUACCUGAAGAAAACGUACUUCACCGGCAAAGAAACUCAUCAAAUUCCCUUACGUUCUCCUGAGACACAUUUACUAGACGAUGACUGGGAACGCCUUGUUCUGUACUGGUCCCGAACCAAGAAUGUGGUAAGGUCUAUGAGCUCAUUUUCUAUUUUUAAGUAUUAUAUUCUUGCAUCUUAUUGUGCUCUGUUCAUGUAGAACAAGUGCCUAAACCUGAAGAACAACUGUUCUAAUUUAAGAUUCCAUUGCUGUCAUAGUUCAAAAAAGCGCUAGGCGUUAAUUGUGUGUUUUGCCACUGCCUUGCGCUUUACUGACCAAAGCGCAUGCUUAUGCGCAGUUAUGCACAGAUUAAGCAUAGUUAUGCGCAAUGCAUUUUGCCAACGCCUAGAGCCUAGGUGCGCUGAAGCGCUCGCUUAGGCGCACCUUUUUUAACUAUGAUUGCUUUGCUCUUGUAUCACUGUAUUUACUCAUACAAACUUAUUUUUAAAUUGAAGGAUCCAAUCAAAACUCCAAUGGCACAGCAGGUAUGUUCACACAUGUUUCUUUAACAGGUUUGCUCUUAUCAAUAGCUCUUUUGAUUUCAAAGUUGUGUAUACAGUUGACUUUCAUAUCAUGCACAUUACUAGCAUCACAACAGAGCCAAUAGUGUUGUUGUCCAUGUAGACCCGUGGUACCCAUCUGAAAUCUUGUUGUGCCAUGUAGUUUCCCAUGCUUUGUAUUCUUUCACUGCUGCCUUGUCUUGAACUGAUAUGAUUUGAACCGUGUCUCUAUUUUGAUUUGGCAAGACAAUGCAGUGACCAUAGGACAUAGAUAUAUGUUUGGUUGAUGCUUUUAUUAUGUACUAGUACUUGGCAAUAGAAGACUUGGUAGUUUAAUCCUAUCCACCUUACUAAUGAACUGGUUCACCGAAAUGAGUUUCAUAUAGUAGUACAUGCUAAACUUGUUAUGUGUCUGCUUGUUUCUUCUUUUAGAAUGCAGAUAAGGUUCAGGAUAGUGACACAUCCUUGUUGGUCUCCAACAAAGCUGAUAAAACAACUAAGGAAGACUAUCUUGAAGACAGCGAGACAACCCCAAAGUCCUAUCUUGGUUUAGUGUUCGAGUUACUGGCCACUACCGCUUGCACAAGCUAUUCAAACUCACUGUCUGAAUCAGUUCGGUUUCUUGAGUCUCAACUACAAGCUGAAAGACAUCGGAAGGACUGCGGAAGUCCCCGGAGCAUUCAGAUGCAUACUUUCUGGUGCAACAGCAAGUGUUGGAGGAUUUUAGCGCCAAACAGGACAAAGCUAAUCAGCUUUCUAAGCUUAUUGCCAGCAUGGUGGAUACCCAGGAUAAUGUUUCUUGAGCUCUUCUGAAGUUGUUUCAGUUAUGCUCUUGUUUUGCUGCCGUGUUUAUUUGCACUGGUGGCCAAUUUUGACGGCUAGUGUAUGUAAUGUGCUGCUUUGUUCCCUAUAUUUGCACUGGUGGCGAACUUUGAUGCCCAGUGGAUGUAAUAUGUGUAAUAGCGGUAAUAGGCUAGCGUUAAUUGCUUGCUUAUUUAUUUCCUUAUUGUUUUGUUUUGUUGUUUGCUUGUAGUCACAAUAGCCUAUUUUUGGUAACUAGGCCAAAAUAAUCAUGGCAACACACGGACUGUUGUAACCAUGGGCCUCAUGCAAGCCAUAUGAUCCAUGGGCCUUCUUCUGGCCGUAGGAUCCAUCGGCCUUCUAUACGGGCCUUAGGGUCCAUGGGCCUUCUACGGGCCGUAGGGUCGAUGGGCCUUCUGCGGGCCGCAGGGUCCAUCGGCCUUCUACGGGCCGUACGAUCCAUGGGCCUUCUACGGGCCGUACUAUCCAUGGGCCUCAUACGGGCCGUAGGAUCCAUGGGCCUUCUACGGGGCGUAUCAUCAUUUCGCCAAUCAUGGGCCGUACUAUUCGUGGACCAUAACGGGCCGUUAAGAGGCCGUAUUUGAUAACUCUAUGAAAACAGCCCAACUGGUUUUUUCACAUGAAAACGGCCCAACGUAUUAACGGUCCGCAAAUGGGCCGACUGUAACGACGGGCUGAAUUUGGCCCACAAGCAGAAAAUGACAGUAACGGGCCAUAUGUAACCGAAUGCUGCAAAUGAGCCCAAGAAUCAAUGGGCCCUAAGAAGGCCGAAAGACAACUUGGGCUAGAAACGGCCGAAUGGAAUAACAGGCCGUUAAUGGGUAUAACGUGAUACACUGUUCAUUACGGGCCAGUUUCACCACGGGCCGUUAAUGGGCCAAGAGUUACAAAGGGCCACACAUGGGCCGGAAGUUAAAACGGGCUGGAAUCAUAUUGGACGGCCCAGAUGACGCUACUGGGCCUAAUUGGGAUAGCGCGUAACGGGCCCUGGGUUAGCGGGCUAUAAAUGGGCUAUAUGCAAAUAGGCCGUUAAUAGGCUUUCCGUGGGCCGUCCCGCCACCUUUUGACCAAGUCAAACGGGCCGGCCUUUUCAUAGGAACGUGCCUCUGUUUGGCCAUGCCACGUGUCACCGUAUCAUAGGCGCCUUCGGUCCAAUGAGCGGAUGACAUCUGUCCCAGCGGUGAGCCGACACGUGUUUCCUCCAGCCAAUGAUGAUUUUACACAUGGAAAAUCCCCAUUGGUCGGGGCUGUUAACGGGUUAUCGGAUCCAAAACCCAACCCGAUAGCUUAACGGUGUUCCGUUACGGUGUAUGCCAUGUGUUGGUCACCCUUGACGAAAGCACUUCUGUGACGCGCGAUUUAUCGUCAUGGAGGUGGACACUUUCGUGAUGAUAAUUUUGGUAAUGUCAUGGAACACUUCUACGACAGCACAGGUAUGACUAUCUAGAUUCUGUCAUAAAUUUGUCAUGGAUGUACAUGCAAGACAAAAAACGUGACCUACUGUGACAAACACGUAUCAUCACGGAAGUGUAUUUUUUUUGUAGUGUUCUCGGAUCCUAUCCGUGGAGUGGACCAUGAAACGCUUGAUCUCUAAGAUAAUCUCACAUAUCGAGAAUACCCCGUUCGUAUCCUUGAUCAAGCCGAGCGUACCACUUGACGCCAUAACAUCAAGUUUCUUAAUGUUCAAUGGCCGCACCAUUCCGAGAAAGAAGCCACUUGGGAAAGGGACAAUCGUCUUCGACUUGAGUACCCCACCUUCUUCCCUGAGGAUCCUAAAUCUCGGGACGAGAUUUUUUUGAGUGGGGGUGAGUUGUCACACCCUGGCUAUUUCAUGCAUUAGAGUGCUUGCAUCAUGUCUACAUUUAUCAUAAACUUCGAAAUGGGGAUGACAGAACCCCCAACACCCCCCUGAAACCAACUAGGGUUUACUAUAAUUAUUUUCAAUGAACCUGAAAUGCCCUUCUAAAAUGUCCAUCAUCUUUGCCUUGGUCUUAAACCUCUGACAAAAAUGGUGCACAAUUUUCUAGGUCAUCUUAAGGUCACUGGAUUAAAUCAUAAGUUAAUUGCAAUUGGGCAUUUAAAUGCUAGUAGAUAUUUUAAAUGUCCAAAUAAUCCCAAACUGAAAUGUUCCAUGUUGGAUAUAUUCUAAACAGUUGGCAUGUGCAGUUUGGUGAUUUUUGAAAGUGUUUAGAUAUUUUUAGAAAAGCCACAAACUUACAGAAGAAAAGAAAAACAGAAAUAAAAGGAAAAGCUCUUACUUGGCCGAAACCCACCACCCGGACCACCUUGCGGCCCAGCACUGUGCUGGCCCAUGCCAUCUAGCUGCUUCGUUCCCGCCAGGCAGGUAGGGAGGUGACGCCGAUGAGCGCGAGCUCUCCAUGGCACCACAUGCUUGCCGCUCGCCCCCUUGGACGCCUGGUCGACCUCCACGUCGCCCCCUCGAACGCCUAGACAUCUCCAUUCGCCCCAAUGCCUCUCCCUUGCUCCCCUCCGCCAUGGCCGACGCAGCCGCCACUGCCUCGCCAUCGUAGACGUGGCCACCGUCGUCUCCCUGCCACCUCGCCGUGUCCAGCAGCUCCGUCGUCCUCCUCUCCAUCGAGUAGACCGAGCCCCGAGCGCUUGUUCUCCCCGGAGCCACUUCACCGACCUCGCUCGACUCCGCCGUUGCCGGAGAUCCCCUUCGUCGUCAGUGCUGAUCCAGCUCGUCCCCGACCGCGCCGUCUAGCUCAUCGUAAUCACCCUGAGCUUCUGCCUCUCCCCAUCCUUCUCGUUCUCGCUACCGUCCUCUGUAUCGACUGCAAUGAGCUCCACUGCACACGCCGCCGCCUGAGCUCAUCAUCGACGCAGCUCCAGCCACCCAACGGCCACACCACCAUGUCCACUAACUUCACAGCAUCUCCUAGGCCACGUAGGAGCUGGCCUCGAGCCUCCAAGAUCACCACAGCGAUGACUUUGUCCUCGCCCGAACUCCGGUAGCCGCACAGCUCAUCACCAGCGUCGUUUCCAGCGACCUUGAGCUCAACCACCACCACCCCUCGUCGCGGCUCGCUCCCAGCUACCUGUAGAUGGCCUCCGCCGUCCAUUUGGUCGCCGGAGGGCGAAACCCGCACCUCCGCCGCAUCUGGACGUCACCGACGGCGAAACGCCGGCGAGUCGGCCCAGUUUGACGAGGGGUUUGACUUCCUUGGGUUACUGACAUAUGGGCCCUGCCAUUUGGUCAAACCUAGUUUAGUAUUAAGCUAAUCCUAAUUAACUUAGUUAAUUAACAGAGACACUGACCAGUGGGUCCCACUGGUCAGGUUUGACCUGGACGCCCCUGUUGACCUGCUGACGCAACGCUGAUGCCGUAACUCACUUUUCUGGAUUUAUUCUUAUUCAGGAAUUUUCAAAAAAUAGUGCUAACUUCAAAAAUUCAUAGAAAUUAAUCUGUAACUCCAAAUGCAAAGUGUUAUAUAUGAAAAAUGAUCAGAAAAAUCCAAUCAUUCCAUAUGUACUGGUUUCAUGCAUGUUUAAACAAGUUAACUUUCUAUUUAGUGCAAAGCAUGAUAAAGCACUAUUUAAGAUCACAUAUGAGUUUGGAAUUUGAAUGUUUGCUUCAAAAUGGCUCAAAAUCAUCUGGUCAUAGUUGCAUUAGCCAAAUACACUCAUUUUGCCAUAUCUCAUGCAUGCAUCAUAUUGUUGCAUAAUGUUUGGUAUUGAUUGUGUGUCGGUGCUCUUUGCGGUAGGUUCUGCCCCGGAAGAAUACCGCGAAUACCUGAACAAAGACCAUUAUCAGACUAUGGACCUGCCAGGCAAGCAACCACCCAUUUGAUCAUAUCGAUACAAUCCCAUGAUCUCGCUCCUGCUCUCAUUUACUGCAUUUAAGACAACGCAAUUCAAACUGCUGUGUGCUACAGUAGUUGAACCCAUUUCCUCUGCAUGACCUGUCAUUGCCACAGUAACUAGAUGAAACCCACUAGCAUGUGUAGGAGUUGAUUGAGCCAUGUUUGUGUUUCCUACCUUGCUAUUCCUGCUAUGCUUAGAGUUGUGUCAGGUCCGGUUUAUCUGGGUGAUGGGCUAGAGUGAAAUGAUCAUGUCGGUAAUGAGGGUGACAUGUUGAAUACGAUUUGGUAAAGGUAUCGAUGAGAGGCCAUGUAGGAGUACAUGGUGGGUUGUUUCAUUGGAACCAUCCUUAAGCACUAAGAUCUGAAUGUGUGAUUUAAGAAUCAGCUACUACCAUGCAUUGGGCCCGAAACCAGUGGACCCUCUCGGCUUCUUAACCACCCUAGUCCUCUGUCCAGGAGUUGCAAGUAGUUUCUGGUGUUUGUAGCAUAUUGGAGGCCGUGGGUAGCGCUGACCCUCAGGGUGGGCUAUGAUGCGGUAGAUACGUGGCACGGUGUACCGGAUGCCCAUUGGGUAUCUCGGGAACCAAGCACACAUUGUUCGGGGUUGUAUGUGGAAACCUCGGCUGAACUCCCUGUGGAUGGAACCUGGAUAGGCGAUAAACCUAUACUAGAGACUUGACUGUUUAGGUAGGCUGUGGCCGACACCCACGUUGGGCUUCCACUUGAAGGUUGCCGAGUACAUGUCGUGUAAACGGCGAUAAGUGGUGAAGCGUGUAUCACGAAGUACACCCCUGCAGGGUUAACAUCAUCUAUUCGAAUAGCCGCGUCCGUGGUAAAGGACUACUUGGUUGCCUAUACAGUUCAUAGACAAGUAAAUGGAAACUACUAAAAGCCUCAAGAUAAGUGUGAGUGCCAAGGAUGGCCUUCCAUAACACAUCUUCUGGUAGUGCUGGUUGUUCUGCUUGGAGGCGGAGAGCACUUCGCUCAGUAGUAGACCAGGCGCUGGACGACUUGGACCUUGCCCUUCUCUGGUCGCUCGACCACCAGCACUGUGCUGACCGACCGUGAGGUCGCGGCAAUAUAGAGCAACAACGGCUCCUUCUCGGCCGGCGCGUCCAGGACUGGUGCGGUGGAGAGCAUGCACUUGAUGUCCCGGAAAGCCUCGUCCGCCUGGUCGUUCCAUUCGAAUGGCGUAGUCUUCUUCAUCAGCUAGUACAGGGGCAGGGCCCUCUCGCCCAGCUAGCUGAGAAACCGGCUAACCGAGGCCAAGUAGCCGGUGAAUUUCUGGACAUCGCGCAGCCGCGCCGGCUUGCGCAUGCACUUAAUAGCCUUGAUCUUCUCCGGGUUUGCCUCAAUGCCAUGCUCCGAGAUGAGGAAGCUGAGUAGCUUUCUGGCCGGGACGCCGAAAACACAUUUCUCUGGGUUGAUCUUGACCUUGUAUUCACACAGGUUGGCGAAUGUUUCCUUUAGGUCGUUGAGGAGCGUGAGGUGCUGCUUGGUAUUCACCACAAUGUCGUCCAUGUAGAUGUGGAUGUUGCGGCCAAGUUGCGGCAGCAGACAUUUCUUCUUGCAGCGCUAGAAGGUGGCGCCGGUGUUCUUCAAGCCGAACGACAUGGUGAUGUAGCAAUACGCCCCGAAGGGCAUGAUGAAGGACCUUUUCAGGGUUUUUCACCCUGGUGCAGCUUGAUCUGGUGGUAGCCGGAGUAAGCAUCCAGGAAGGACAGGAGCUCGCACCCGACGGUCGAGCUGAUGGCUUGGUCGAUCCGCCGGAGGGCGAAAGCAUCCUUAGGAUAGGCCUUGUUCAUGAUGGUGUAGUCGAUGCACAUGCGCCAGGUCUUGUUUUUCUUCAGGCCUACGAUUGGGUUGGCCAGCCACUCGGGAUGGAACACUUCCAUGAUGAAGCCGACCGCCAAAAGCUUGGUGACCUCUUCACCGAUGGUUCUUCUCUUCUCUUUGGAGAAACAUCACAGAGGUUAACGGACAGGCUUGGCGUCCUUCCUCGGGAUACCCGGCAUGUUCUUGGGGGUCCAUGCAAAAAUAUCUGGAUUCUCACGGAGGAAGUCGACGAACUCGCCUUCCUAUUUGCUAUCGAGGCGGGCCCCUACGACAACGUACUUGCUGUAGCUGGGGUCUUCCGGGUUUAGCUUCACUUUCUUGGUCUCCUUGGAGGGCUUGAAGGCGACCUCAUCAGCCGGCUCCUCGGCCAGGAUCGGCGCGGCUGAUGCCUCGCCGGCCAGGGCGACGAUCCGGUCGAGCUGACGCCGCUCCUCGGCUAUGACCAACGAUGCGCCCAGCUUGGUGCCGUCUCGGGCGCACUCCAGGGACUUGCGGUUGUUGUCGGUGACGGUGAUGAGGCCCUUCGGACUCGGCAUCUUCAUCUUGAGGUACGCAUCAUGGGGGACCAUCAUGAACUUGGCGAGCGCGGGUCGGCCUAGCAUUGCAUGGUACGCGCUAGAUAGGUCCACCACCUCCAACCAGAUCGGUUCGCGCCGGAAAUGGUUGCUGUCGCCGAACAAGACAUCGAGCCGAACCCGGCCAAUGGGAGAGCAGGAGAGGCCGGGAACGAUGCCGUGGAAGAUCGUCCGGGUCGGCUCCAGGUCCUUGGCCUCGAGGCCGAGCUUGGUCAUGGUGUCGCAGUACAUGAUGUUGAUGCUGCUGCCGCCGUCAAUGAGGACUCGGGAAAACAUGCACGUGCGCCGCGCGACAAUGGUGGGGUUGAGGACGAGGGCGUAGCCACCUGGAUUUGGCAUGACAGCCGGUUGGUCCUCCUGGGUCCAGGUGACCGGGCAGUCUGACUAGUGCAUGUACUCCGGCUUGGCCGGGACGACGGUGUUCACCUCCUGCCAAAGGAGGCGCUCGUUGCGCUUGUCGUUGCUGAGGCUAGUGAAGACGGUGUAGGCCGCGCUUUGGUCCGGGUAGGUGUCGUCGCGCAUUGCACUGCCUGCUGGGGGCGGCGGAGGCGGCUGACCCGCACCUGGAGCCGGAGCUGGAGGGGGUAGGACGUCGCCCCUCAUGAUGCGCUUGGUGAUGCCGCACUGCCGAAGCGUGUGCGUGGAUGGCCUUGCGCCGCUGUGGUGCUUGCAGGGCGCGUCGAGCAUCUCUUCGAAGCUCAUGGCAGGUUGCCAUGCUGUCUUGCUGGUCUGCCGGCGCUUGGCUGUCGGGUCCACCGCGGGCUCGGUGGCUGCAACGAGUUGGUUGUCGUAGCGUUGGGCCGGUUGGUCGGCCUUGCGCUUGUUGUUCUGCUGGUGAUGCUGUCGGCUGCUCUCAUCGGCUGGCUUCGGAGGGAGAACUGGCUUCACCUUGCCGGCUUCAUCCAGCACCACCUGGAUCUUCAUGGCGUAGUCGGUGUUGGCGUACUUGUCCGCUGUUACCAUGAGCGUGGCCAUGGUGGCCGGCUCAGAGCGCAAGAGCUUGUGCUUGAGGAGGGUGCCAUCUCGGUACUCAUUGAUGAAGUACUGGAUCGCUUGAACCUCGUGGACGCCCUCGCAGCUGUUCCGAAGCUCGAUCCAGCAUGCGAGGUACUCGUGGCCGGUCUCUGUCGGCCCCUGCACGCACAUGGCGAGCUGGCUGGGGCGGCCGGGUCGCUUGUAAGUCCCCGUGAAGUUGCGGACGAAGUCCUGCUCGAAGUCGACCCACGUGUUGAUGCUGCCCACAGGCAGACUGUUCAACCAGGUGCGGGCCGACCCUUGGAGCAUGAGUGGUGCGUAGCGCACAGUGAGUCAGUGGUUGCCGCCAGUGAUGGCGAUGGCGGUGGUGUAGUUGGUGAGCAAGUCCUCCGGCUUCACGGUUCCGUUGUCCUUGGGGGUGUCGGAGGGGAGCGUAAACCCUUUCGGAAAGGGCUCAUCCCGGAUGCGGGGGCCGAAGCAUGCCGGCCCAAUAGCACCGCUCUCCUCCACCUCCAUGGAGAAAGGGAGCCGGUCAAGGUGGUGGCGAGCGUCAUUGUCGUUGAUGGCGCGCGUGCCGAGUCGGCUGGCGACCGGGCCGCGGGGGGCCGGGUCGGUUGGAGCCGGACACCGACCGGGCUGGCUGGGUCCGAGCCGGUUCUCCAGGGCCGGCUUGUCGCUUAAGCCGCUGGUGGCCGUCGGGGCCGGGUCGCGCCGGGUCCGGGUACGGCUAGAGUGCGCCUUGCCGGGUGUUGAGGAUGCCGUGUGCUGAUAAUCGCCGGGUCCAGCAACACGGGUAGAGCCGGAUCACGCCGGCUUGGCGAGUUCGUUGAGGCAGUCUUGCUGCGCGUUGGCCGCGUCGAGGAGAUCAUUCAUCCGCUUGAUGUGCUCCUUCAGCUCCUCCCUGUGAGCUGGUCCAGGCCGAUCGCAGCCGCCUGGGCAGCGCACAUGUUAUUCACGGGAGUCUCUUAGACGGUCGGGAUGGCGCCGAGGGCGUGGGCCGAUCGUGCCGCCUUAGGCUCGCACGUCAGCGACCCGACUCGGCUUGGCUCGGGCGCGGUAGGCGUGAAGCUGUAGGCGGCAUUGCGCUCCAGCUGAGUGGAAUCCAGGCGACGCUGCAUGGCGAUGAGCGUCUCGGUCAGGUCCAGCAGGUGCUGGCGUCUUUCCUCGAGCUAGGACUAGGCCUCGGCGAUGUUGGAGGCGUCGAUGUCGGUGCCGAUGGGGACGCGAAGGCUUUGCAUCGCGGCACGCAAUGGGUUGGACAAGGUGGCCCACUCCGCCGUGGCCUUGGCUUCGGCAGCCUUCCUCGUUGCGCUCGACGAGGAGGAGGUGUCGGUGCCGGUGAUGAAGACCUCCACUUGGACGUCCAUUGCCCCGGUUGGAAUGCCGCUGUCGGAUUUCGGGUUCCGGCAGACCCUCAAGGUUCGAACACUGGGGUGCACGCGGAGAUCACACCUCCAGCCUACCCAUGUCUCACCGCCUCGCCAGGAUCUAAAACUACACGAAGAACAACACAAGGGACACGAGGUUUAUACUGGUUCAGGCCACCAUUGUGGUGUAAUACACUACUCAAGUGUGUGGUGUGGUGGAUUGCCUUUGGGGCUGAUGAUGAACAAUACAAGGAAGAACUGCCUCGCGAGGGGAGGAGUUCUUAUGGUGGUGUUGGCUAAGGUUCUUCUCUCUGGUUGAUCUCCAGACCAGAUUGCCUCUACCCUGGGGGUGGUUAGUCCUAUUUAUAGGCGGAGGCCCUGGGCCUCUUCCCAAAUAUUGAGCGGGAAGGGCGCCAACAAUUGGCCAUUUUGAAGGGGAACAUCUAGUACACUUAUCCUGACUAAAGUUGGUCCUCACCUGCCAAAGACCCUGACGAUGACGCCGGCUUGGGCUCCACGAUGACCUUCGUCCUGCCGUCCUGCUGGUCUUGUUCUUGUUGCACCGAAAUGGUUGCCUUUGCUUGAUACCCUUGCCCGCGCUUGACCCCUUUGCACCAAAGAGGAAACAAGGAUUCUGCACAGGCGGCGCCCGCCUGGCGCCCGCCUGGCCUUGGUCGUCAUGUCUUGCGCCAUGAGCACCUCGUGAGGUAUCCCACCUCGAUCUCUCCGCCUCCUCGUGAGCCAGCCUAACGAGGCCUUGCCCAAGGAAGCCUCCUGUCGUCCGCCCCGCGAGGCUUGGCCCCUCGCGAGGGUCUUGAGCAUGUGUUGAUGAAGAUGGGCCAUACUGGGCCACUCCUUGUGCCACGCUGCAGGCUGCAGGCAUGCAAGUCUGGGUACCCCCGUUCCCAGAACACCGACAGUAGCCCCCGGGCCCAAGGCGCGCUUGGACUUGGCUUAGCAGAGAAGCGAAGAGGCAAGUGCGAAGCACCAUGGGACCCAAUAGCCUACGGCCUUGGGCGCCGCAUGGCGGUUGAUUGGACGUGGGCGUCCUGGCUCCCCCACGACGCCUCGGCAAUUGCACGAUUUGACUAGUCUCUGCAUGCGAAACGGGUCAUGAUUACCUGUAAUCAUGGAAGUCGAUGGUUGGCCUUCCUCGGCUAUAUGUACGGAACGGCACGAGCCCUUCCAGUCCAUCUCUUCCCGGUACUUUUCGUCUUCCUCUUCGUCCUUGCUCCUCCCUACGCCAAUGGCACCGAUCCGUCGGUUUUCUACUAAAGAGAAGGGGAAGGCCCCCCAAGAGGGUCCUGUCCCGCUUCCUCCAAAGAAACGGCUCGUCUCAUGCCAUGGGGAAGGAGGUGCUUGGCAGGAGGUGUCGAGGCCAUGGUUCGAGCAACCACCGCCGGGAUUCCCACUGCCCUUGUACGCCCGGAUCGAGAGUCCUGAAGAUGCUGGCACCGAGCGGCAUUGCCAAAGGCGCCGUCGCCGCCGGCGGAUCACGGCGGUGUUCGUCGUUCCUCCUGGAGUUCACGCCGUGGGUUCUUCUCACGAGCUCGUGCUUCACGCCGCCACACCUCCUUGGUCCUGGAUUCGCCUCCCUCCUUCCUUCGCCUUCGAGAUCCCGCCGAGGGGGCCUAUCGAGCUUUGGCUGCAGCAUGCUGACUGUAGUACCCCUACGACCGAAGCGGAGGUCAAGGUUGUCGCUCCGGGUAGGGUCUACCUGACCCAUGGCUGGGGCGAGAUCGCCCGGGUCGGCAGGACGGGUGGCGCCCUCGCAAUCUACCUCAAGUACGAUGGCGCCUCCCUGAUGUUCUUCAAGGUCUUCGACGCGGAGGGACGCCGGCUGGAGUGCUGCCCUGAGAAAGGAGGCUGGGGCCCUGCCGCGGCGAGGACUAGGCUCGUCAACCGCUUCCCCAGCAGCUCCUCAGGCAGCGGAGGUGUCGGAGGAUCCAGCGACUCCGCUGAGCUCCUCGCGACCCCAGAGACGAGCGACAACAGCUACGAGCCCCCGAGCUUGCGUCGUUCUCAAAGCAGGGCAGGCUUAUCAGGCCGCCGUCACCACUGAUCUGUAUGGGGUCGGCACCGGUGGUUGACGGCCCACUGUUGAUGAUGGCGUCUCUUGCGGAGGCGCGUGUAGUAAGCACUCUUUAGGAUUUGCUCCUUUUGUUCCCUGCGAGGAAUCGAAGAACACACCCCGUGGGGGUUUGUAAGGUGCUUGUAGUUCCAUUUGUUAAUAUGAUCCUUAUCAUGAAGCGGUGAGGGGUGCUCGUCCGGUCUUAGCUUAGUCCCUCCUUUCGAACCUCACGAGGACUUGACGCUCUGCACUGACAGGUCCCGGUCCCAAGGCAGGCUUCAGCCGUCGCUGGUAUGCCAGGUCGCGAUGUCGUGGUCAAGGCCAGGAGGUGAGCGGCCCAGGGUCCAGUAAGAGCCCCUGAGUCGCGAUGCUCAGGAGGUCCCCUUUAGUGCUCAAGCAGCCAUCGCUUGGUGAGAAAGGAGUGCGAUGUCGCCAAAACAGAACUGUAUGGGGUGCAAGGUUGGUGCUGCGAUAGCUAGUGUUUCCGGAAGAUGACUUAUCUCGGGGGUCAGAAACGACUCCUUGGCGCGGCGCCAGGCCCGCGCGUUGACAGCCGAGGAGUCGCCUGGCGAGGUCCCCACAUGCCUCUUCCCUCUCGCCUUUGCUCCCCCUCGUGCUCUACGUCCUCAGGUCCCGGCCCUCGAGCGGGCUUAGCCGUCGCUGGUAUGCCAGGUCGCGAUGCCGUGGACAAGGCCAGAGGGUGAGGGCUGGAGAGCCAGUAAGAGCCCAUGAGUCGUGAUGCUCAGGUACCCCCCCUUUAAUGUGCAAGUGGUUCGCGUGGACGAGAGCAAAGAAGACACUGCGGAGGCCUCGCCCGACGCUGCUCCUUGAAGCGAUCUUGCGAGUUCAACAUGAGAAAAGCAAGGGUUUGCCGUUACAAUUGCCGGCUAGCUGCCGGUUGCUCCAGGUAGGUGACGAGGCACUGAAGGCUUGGUGAGGUGGCGCCCUGCGGGGAUGCCGCGGCCAGAGCUCAGCCAUCCAGGUUUGUCAACGUUGCAGGGACGGACCCAUGCGGAAGCGUCGUGCCGUGAGGGAGCAGCUCCGUCAGUUGGUGUCAAUCGAGCGGGCGAUUAGGUCAAGCACAUUAACCAUGAAGGAGAAAAUCCAUUUAGAUAGACACAGAGAAAGACAAUCACCGUUGGGUCGGGCCCGAGCGACUUUUGGGGAUGAUGCGGCCUGAGGGACGCCCCAGAUAAAGUAAGCUAAAAACAUGAACUAAAGGGAUACAUGCCGCAGGGACGGACCCACGCGGCCUGGGAAUGAUGCAGCCCUGGGGGGCGCUCCCAGCUGAAAAUGAAACUCGAAGGAUGUCACCUAAUGAUGUUGAAGACGUAGGGAUGCUGAAGUAGCAGACGGCGUGCGCCGCGGGAGAUGAUCUUCAUGAGCCCCCAGGCCAAGGAGCCUCGGGAGGCUCCGGAGGCGCUGGCGGCUCGUCGCGGACCAUCUCCGUCUCCGCCAGGACUGUGGAGUGCCUGACCGCCUGAGCCUCCAAGACGCUCCUCAUGAGGUGCUGACGCACAACAGCCGCGUUCGGCAGGCCGUAAGGCAUGCGAACAUAGCUGUGGGGUGGACCUUCACAGCGCCCCAUGCGUGAGGGCCAGAGGCGCUCCUGAGACGCGGCUCGGUUGAGUCCUGGUAUGUCGAUGCAGACGCACAGCCCACCAUCCUCGCCUUGAUGGGGAGCUACGGCGGGUAAGCGGCGGUUACCACUCAUGACUCUUGACUCCUGCAGCUCCUGAUUGAUCUCGCUCACGAAUUCCUGAGGGUUUGGCCCUCCUUGCCUUGCUCCUUCCUGAGGGAAACACGCGUUGAAGGACGCUUCCAAGUGGUGCCCGAGCGCCUCCCUCGUGAUCUUAGCAAAGUCGAUGGCCCUCUAGGAGAGAGCCCCCGAGCCUUGCUCGAGGAGGGCGCCGAGCGUGCCUUCCUAUGCGACAGAAGGAGGCGCCUCCUGAGCAGGCACAGACCCUGAGGGGCCUGCCUCCUGAGUGGUUGGGCCAGGAAAUGUCUUCUUCUUCUUAGGAGCAGCCUCAGGAAGCCUCCCGCUCCGGUGAUCUGGGUCUUCAAUCGAUGCGGCUUGGAAAGCACGUUCCAGAGAACACACGGCGUCUUUCUCUUCACAGGGCACUGUGAUGACCCCACCGCUUCCAGGCAUCUUGAGGACAUUGUAGCCAUGAUGGGUCACGGCCAUGAACUUGGCUAGGGCUGGGUACCCGAGGAUGGCAUUGUACGGCAGGCAGAUGUGAGCGACAUCAAAGUCAAUGAGCUCGACGCGGUAGUUGUCGCGCUUCCUGGAGGUAACAGGAAGGCGGACCUGCCCUAUCGGAACCGUGGAACCAUCAGUGACUCCCGAGAAAGGCUUGGUCGACUGCAGGUGGUUGUAUGGCACUUGGAGGUUGGCGAUGAAUCGGGUGCGCAUCUCAUCCCAGGAGGAUAUCGUGCCAGGAGCCAGGUUCAGGAGCCAGGUGCGGGCGCCCUUUGAGCGCCAUGGGGAACCAGUUUGCCAUAACCUUCUGAUCCCCGUUGGCGGCUUCAAUGCCCAGCUCGUAGAGUUGGAGGAACUCAGCAGGGUCAGCCGUGCCAUCGUAGAACGGGGCAGGUCUGGCUUGAACUUGCCCGGCCAGGCCACGCUGCGCAGCUCGGCGGAGAAGGCACGACCGCUUGCAGUGGCCGCAGGAGCCCUUUGGUGACGGAGAGCUUGAUCUUGCGGGUCUCUAUGCGCUACAGCCAGGUGCAGCGCGGGGUCUUGGUGCGCUGGAGCAGGAGCGCGUUUGUGCCGGGCCGGUGCGGGGAGCACUCGGGCGGCUUGUUGGGGACGAGGGAUCUCUUGGCAGCUCUUCUCUUGCUGUGCUAGCGCCGGACGGAGUGGGUUCCGCCCAGGGGCCACGGGCCUUGGGGCCAAAGCGCCUUCUUGAGGGAGAGGUGGCUGAGGCGCCCUCGGAGCUUCGUCGCCCGCGCAGCGCGGGGCGCGGUGCAGUGAGAGGGAUGGUGCGGGGGAGCCCCCAGCGACGCUGACGAGCUCGGUGAUGCGAGCGAGCCACUCAUCGUAGAGGUCGUCGACGGGACGGUAGUGCAGGAGCUCCCGCGCCAGGAGCAGCGCGGCGUGCGUGUCCGCAGGAGCGUGACGGGCGUGGGACGAGGAGCCAACUCGAGUCAGCGAUGGGGGGGCGGUGCGGCCUUCCCGCCGCACUGAAGGAUGCAGGGACGAUGCCUGCUGCUAGUUCCCCGCCGGGCCGGUGGCUGCGUUGAUGGCAAGCGACGGGGAACGGCGGGGGUGCCCACCGACGGGGGCCGUCUGGGCGAUGCGAGUGGCGAGAGCGGCCCGGCGCUCGGCGGGGGCGCGACGUGCGUCUGACAUGGAUGGGACGGGUGGCGAAACACGAGACGGCAGAAGGCAGAUUCCGGCACACCCCUACAUGGCGCGCCAAAUGUCGGAUUUCAGGUUCCGGCAGACCCUGAAGGUUCGAACACUGGGGUGCGCGCGGAGAUCACACCUCCAGCCUACCCAUGUCUCACCGCCUCGCCAGGAUCUAAAACUACAUGAAGAACAACACAAGGGCCACGAGGUUUAUACUGGUUCAGGCCACCAUUGUGGUGUAAUACCCUACUCCAGUGUGUGGUGUGGUGGAUUGCCUCUGGGGCUGAUGAUGAACAAUACAAGGAAGAACUGCCUCGCGAGGGGAGGAGUUCUUAUGGUGGUGUUGGCUAAGGUUCUUCUCUCUGGUUGAUCUCCAGACCAGAUUGCCUCUACCCUGGGGGUGGCUAGUCCAAUUUAUAGGUAGAGGCCCUGGGCCUCUUCCCAAAUAUUGAGCGGGAAGGACGCCAACAGUUGGCCAUUUUGAAGGGGAACAUCUAGUACACUUAUCCUGACUAAAGAUGGUCCUCGCCUGCCAAAGACCCUGACGACGACACCGGCUUGGGCUCCACGAUGACCUUCAUCCUGCCGUCCUGCUGGUCUUGGUCUUGUUGCACCGGGUUGCCUUUGCUUGAUACCCUCGCCUGUGCUUGCCCCCUUAGCACCAAAGAGGAAACAAGGACUCUGCGCGGGCCGGCGCCCGCCUGGCGCCCGCCUGACCUUGGUCAUCAGUGCUUGCGUCAUGAGCACCUCGCGAGGUACCCCACCUCGAUCUCUCCGCCUCCUCGUGAGCCAGCCUGACGAGGCCGUGCCCAAGGAAGCCUCCUGUCGUCCGCCCCGCGAGGCUUGGCCCCUCGCGAGGGUCUUGAGCAUGUGUUGAUGAAGAUGGGCCGUACUGGGCCACUCCUUGUGCCACGCCGCAGGCCGCAGGCAGGCAAGUCUGGGUACCCCCGUUCCCAGAACGCCGACAGCCGCCGCCGUGGGAGAGGGGAGAGUUAGAGAGGUUAAGUAGCUCGCUGGGGUACUCAUCCGUUGUGGGUGCAACGAAGAUGCGCAGUGUGGCGAAGGAGGCGGCGAGUGCGUCGAUGACAUCGUCCACCAGUGUGACGGGCUCGUCUGAAUCGAAGAACAGCCCUGUCUGAAGCAUGCUCUCGGACAGGACCUCGAGCAGCCCCACGGUGGGCGCCAACUAUCGUGGUGGCGCACGCACUACAAAAAAGACACAUCCAUGACAUUUUGGGCCGAACGAAACUUUUUUCUGUCAUACAUAUGACACUUCUAUGACGAUAAUUGUGACAAAACUCGGUAUCAUCAUAGAUGUGGUGGGCUCCUACUUCUAUGACAAAAAAUCAUGAUAGAAAAUGGGCUUUUCGUCCUGGGCGGGCCGGAGACGCAACUGCAUGACAUUCUUUGGGCCGUCCAUGACGGAAAAAACCGUGGUAGAAGCGAGGGGGAGGAUAAUUUCGGGGAGUUGUCGGUUACGGUGGGAGGUCGGGGGCCGAGCGAUGCGCGUUUCUCUCGUACACGUACGCACGUGUGUGCGAGGCGUUGGCUCUAACUGAACCCGAGCGAGGCAUUGGGCUCUAACUGAACCCGAGCGAUUGCACUGCAGGCUACGCGUUACUAAACCCGAGCGAUCGAUCGAUGGCUAUUAACUGAACCCGAUCGAGCAAUUCCUUCGCUGCUGCUGCUAACUCAAGCCGAUCGAUUGGAUGAACAAUGAGCAUUGCGGGGGUGUUUGGAUGAACAGUGAGCGGUGGCGUUGCCUGUGGAUGAACAGGACCCCGUGGUGUGGAGAGCUGGAUGAACAGUAGACGGUGGAGGGGUGGCCGUGGAGGGGUGGUUGAACAGGACCCCGUGGUGUGGAGGGCUGGAUUAACAGUAGAUGUCGAAGUAAUCGACCACGGGUACCCCAAAGACGGCAAGAAAUAUUUCAAGACAUCGGGGCUAGCAAAGCCCCUCAGUCCGACUGCCCGGCCGCUCCUGCCGGCUCCCGUCCGUCUGCUCUGCCUGGCCGGCUGCCGGCUGCCGACUGCGCCAACCAGCCGGCUGCCGGCUACAGCCCGACCCGACACCGACAAGACAUCGACAAGACGGCCAUACCGCGACAUCAUCUAUAGUGUACAUGUCCCCUUGGCACUAUUCUAUAAAGUGCCCAGGGGACAAGCAUGACAUGCACCAUGCCCCAUACAUGGCUUGGCUUGUAAGCAACCCUAGGUAGCUUACAACCAACGCCAUGUCCCAUGCCCACUCCACACUAUAUAAGCUAGCUAGCAAGCCUCCAUCCAUCCACGGGGACACAUGCUCACACGCAUGCAUACAUGCCCAGGCACACCCAUUCGGCCAAGAGCAAUGGCCACCAUACCACAUACAUGCAUAUACGAAACCAGAUGCCUGUGGCACUCUUUCCAGAUACAGCUCCAGGAGCAACUCUGUACUAGAUAUAUCAGAUACACUCAGACAUGCAGCAGUAGGAGUAUUAUCUCUCCGAAGAGCUCUGAAACUGGGUAAACCACCGCGUGCUACUCGCAUACCCGCUCCCGGUCCUAUCAGCAGCAGUCUUACCCACACACUAAGCCCUUCUGGCAUCUGUCGACUCGCAAGCCCCCCGUGAGAAUACCACAACAGUAGACGGUGGAGGGGUGCCCGUUGAGGGGUGGUUGAACAGUAGCUGGUGGAGUAGCGCACGGUGGAGGCUGGAUGAACAGGAGCCCGUGGAGGCUGGAGGAGGUCGACGGUAGCCCGUGGAGGCUGGAGGAGGUCGACGGUGGAGAUGAACAGUAUCCCAUGGAGUCCCGUUUUGUAGUAUGCCACACCCCUCCCGAUGAACAGGACCCCUGUUUUGACUGUAGGAGGUCCAUUUCGUCCGUUUUGCGGGUACGCCACACCCCUCCCAAUCAACAGGACCCCCGUUUCGACCGUAGGAGGUUCGUUUCAUCCGUUUUGCGGUACGCCACACCCCUCCCGAUCAAUAGGACCCCCGUUUCGACCGUAGCAGGUCUGUUUCGUCCGUUUUGUGGUACACCACACCCCUCCCGAUCAACAGGACCCCCGUUUCAACCAUAGGAGGUUCGUUUCCUCCGUUGUGCGGUACGCCACACCCCUCCCGAUCAACAGGACCCCCAUUUCGACCGUAGGAGGUCUGUUUCCUCCGUUUUGCGGUACGCCAGGCCUCGUUUCCAUCGCCUAUUCCGUCCAAGCCCUCUCGAUGAACACGACCAUGCAUUCUGUUCGGACCCAGCCGGUUGGCUCCCAUGCAUUCCGUUGCCUCCCGAUGAACACGACGCAUUGCCUCCCCAUGAACACAACGCAUUCCGUUGCCUCCCCAGGAACACGAGCCCUCGCCGUAUGUAUGCGCGAGUAGGCGUUCGAGACCCCGCCCGUAUGUACACAUACGUGGCCGUAUUUUCUUUCUUGCACCCUGGUCGCUGUACGUACGUGUACAUGCUACGUGCGCGCCUCUACUAUGACACGUGCGCGCCUCUACAUCGACCAGUAUGUACGUACACGUUCGCGACCAGGAUGACAAGGCUACGUACGCUUCAACCAGGUGGGUCCCGACUGUCAGGGACUUCCUUGCCUGCGAAGAUGUAGCUGGUGGGUCCCAACAGUCAGGGGGGCGAAUCGUUUUUUUUUUGCCCGGACACACUUCCUUGCGUGCGAAGGUGUAGCUGCUGGGUCCCAGCUGUCAGGGGGGCGAAUCAUUNNNNNNNNNNNNNNNNNNNNNNNNNNNNNNNNNNNNNNNNNNNNNNNNNNNNNNNNNNNNNNNNNNNNNNNNNNNNNNNNNNNNNNNNNNNNNNNNNNNNNNNNNNNNNNNNNNNNNNNNNNNNNNNNNNNNNNNNNNNNNNNNNNNNNNNNNNNNNNNNNNNNNNNNNNNNNNNNNNNNNNNNNNNNNNNNNNNNNNNNNNNNNNNNNNNNNNNNNNNNNNNNNNNNNNNNNNNNNNNNNNNNNNNNNNNNNNNNNNNNNNNNNNNNNNNNNNNNNNNNNNNNNNNNNNNNNNNNNNNNNNNNNNNNNNNNNNNNNNNNNNNNNNNNNNNNNNNNNNNNNNNNNNNNNNNNNNNNCAGUCGGGAGGGGGGGGGGGCAAAUCGUUUUUUUUCGGGCGAACUUCCUUGCGUGCGAAGAUGUAGCUCGUGGGUCCCAGUAGUUAGGGGGCGAAUCAUUUUUUCGCGAAAUACGGUGGCCCAUCCGGUGGGUCCCUGCUGUCAGGUGGAGGAAUAAUGAUUUUGCGCUUAAUAAGGAGGCACUUCCUUGCGGCUGCCAUGGACCCAGCUGUCAGCCUCUCCACGUACAGUCCACGUCCGAUGGAAGUCGUUCCUUGACCAUGUUGACCACGCCGCGCCGAAAGCACCACGGUGGUGGAUGACGGUGAGGCCUAGGAAGGGGACGACGCGGAGCCGUGGAAGACACGGCAGUGGAUGCACACGCGGAGAGGAGUAAGAGGGUUCACUGGUUCGGCUGCGCUACCGUCGCCGCAGAAUAACAGCGGUGUGGGUGAGUGGAGGGAUAGCCUGGCCAGCGGUGGGAGUAGUAGGGGGCGGUGAGGCCUCCGCGGCAGCACAACCGACCACAAGAGGCAGGAGCAGGCGGCACGACCGGCGCUGCUUUGGGCGGCUGGAGCAAGAAGACCAGAGGUUGAAGCAGCACGGCAGCCGUUGAUUGGACAUCGUACGGUCACUAUAGCUAGAAUCGUUUAUAUUGACUAAGUUGACAAAGCCCUUGGUACGUCAACUUAGUAGGCCCACAGGUCAGCUUCUGAAACGGUGCGCCCCAGAUGUCAGGGGGAGGAAUCAUUUUUUGGGCGGCUGAAGCUAGAAUAUCCGAGAUUGAAGAAGAAGCACGACAUCCGUUGGAUGGACAUCCAACGGUCACUGCUGCAGGAACCGUGUGUUGACUAUAAGUUGACAAAGCCUUGCAUGUGCGUCAACUCUAUCUUUUUAGGGGACGCGUCAACUUAGUAAGGCCAGAAGUGUGUGGCAGAGAACUUAUAACCCAUUUGAGAUUUGUAAGAAUAUGUAGCCCAUUUUUCAAUUCUAAUGGAAUUUACAACAACCCAUUUACAGUUUGUUAAAAGUACAGCCCAUUUCAACCAACCGUUCAAAACAGAAUUCAAUAAAAUUUCCCACAUUUUGAUGGGAUCCAAAUAUUUUUAUCCCGAAAUUUCUAGUCAAAUUAAAUACAAUUUCAAUAUAAAUUUAUAUUACGUUAAAAUCCAACGAAACAUUGCGCUCGCAACAAUUAAUGAAAUUAAAAUUUUCAAUAUCCAAAAAUAACAUUUUAUAAAGUAAUCACUGUUUGGUGAAUUUUUUUAUAGUUACUACCCACUUUUUAUAAUUACAUCCCAUUUAUUACUCCUUAAAGCCCAUUUUCUUGUUAAGGCUAAUGCAUCCCUCAUAGGAAAGAUUUGCAGCCCAGCGGGGCGGAGAAUAACAACUUGACCUUGCCUGGGUAUUCCUAAAAAAAGAAGUAUUGCUGGGCUAGCGAUUUUCAGCUUGAAAAAAAUUAAUAUCUGGGCUGGAUAUCUGGCCUGGGCUAGACGGGCCACAGCCUGCCCAGUAAAUACCUGCAGCGAUGUUUUCGUUGUUGUUCAGAGGAGAAAAAUUAAUAUCUGGGGUAAACAUCAAAAAACUCUGCAGUGCUCACACCUCAAAAACACAAAAACUGCUCGAGCUGCUUGGUCCCAGCUGUCGCCGCUUCUUGUGCAAAUCUCUCAUUUAUUGACUACUCCCUCAUUUCUGGUUUAUAAUGCUCAAUUCAAAAAUCUCACCAAUCAAGGUAGAUGGCGAGUGGUGGAAUACUUUUUGUAGUUUUGCAAAAGCACCUAAUUAAUGCUCUUGUUAUCCUCAAAAAAUUAUGUUUAUCAAUGCAUUAAUUGUAAUGCAUGCAUGCAUAAAGUACAUGCAUUGGUCAAUUUUGUCUUAAUACUUGCAUGCAUUGAUUUAAUGCACCUUAGAAUCUGAACAUGUGAUGGAAAACAACCAAAUUGAGCCUUAUAAAAUGGAAAACCUAAAAUUUUGAGAUAAGCCCUAUAAACCGGAAAGGAGGGAGUACAUAGGUUGACAAUGGUGUGGGACCGUGAUGUCAGGAAACCAGGAGGAAGCAAAAUAAAUUAUAGUUAUAUCUAUAAGGAGGCACUUGCGUACGUGACGCUAUGGAUCUGGUGGGUCCCCAUUGUCAUCCUCUCCAAGUAAAGUCAUCUCCUCGACCGCACACGCUUUCCGCCCGAAACAGUCAGCGCCGGCCGCCCCGCUUCCCGGUGCAGGCGAUUGCUCCGCCUUCAAACGACACAAGUGUCGUCCGUCCGUCCAUCUCCCGCACACAUUAAUGAUAUGCGGUUGCCGAGGCGGCUACUCCGGUGCCACACGUCCGUCCAUCCGCCCACCCACCAUUGCUAUAUAAACUGUUGCGCCGGCCAUAGCCGCAGUCAUCCGCAUCCGUUCCCUUUCUCUUGUCCACCAUGGCUUCCUCGCGCUCUAGCGCUCUUCGGGACGGGCGGACGACGAACCACAAGGAGAUGGCAGCCAUUGAUGCCGACCGGCUGGCCGGCAGGCAGCCGGAGGACGACGACGUCCCAAUGGAGAACAUGGUAGUCGAUGAUCCGUAACCAACCCCUCCUCUGCGCCAGCCGGUUCAUUGCACCAUGACCAUUGGUGAGGCCCGUGCCCAAUAUAUGGACAGGGUGAGGCAGAUGCGUGAGGAGCAGUUCCGGGAGGUGCACACCAAUGCCGCCUACAACCACCAUCUCCUCCAGGAGCACCUACAGGCGGAGGAGCAGAUCGCCGCAGAGCUGGCGGAGCAGGAGGUGCUGCUCGACUCGUACCGCUCCGCCCGUAAGGGCCGCCUCGAGCGCUGGCGGUACCGCAUGCGGCUAGCAGAGGCUGCGGCCGCCUACAAAGAGGCUAGCAAAGAGGGCGAUGAAGUGGGCGAGGCGCUGUUUGGCGAGACCGAGGACGAGGUAGAGGACAAUGUCGGCUCCGACGAGUCCCCGCUCCACUCGCGUCGACAAGGCCCAGAUCCGUUGACGCCCCGCGGUGCCAACAACAAGGCAGAGGACACCGCCGGCUCCGCCGAGGCCCCACGGUACCAACAACGAGGCAGAGGAUACUGCCGGCUCCGCCGAGCCCCCGCCCCGCCAACAAUGAGGAAGAGGACAUCGCCGGCUCGGCCGAGGCCCCACCCUGCCGGCAACAUGGGGGAGGUAUUCCACUGCUUCGCUGAGGCGCCGCCCGCCGACAACGAGAUAGAGGACAUCGCCGGCUCCACCAAGGCCUCGCCCCGAUGCCAACGAGGCCGCACCACACAGAAAACGAGGAAGAGUAGAACACGGUAGGUCGCCGCCGCUCGGGUCCAAGUAAGGCCACCACUGCUACCCUCCGGUUGAAGCCAAGCUAGGUGGGUUGACCAUUGAUGGUCGGUUAGCUUCUUGGCGGCAACGUGGAGUCGGAGAGCUGCGCUAGAGAAGAAUGCUGCUUCUACUUAACUGUUGGUGUAGUUGGCUGACUGACACGUGGGCCCAACAGGCCACAUGUCAAUUACGCAACUGCACCCGCAGUUAAGUCACUGAAGCUUCUGUUCAGCUCAGCGGGACAUAGGUGGGUAGCUUCGGUUAAUUAAUUAUACCUCCAGCACACCCCUUUUUAGUUGAAGAAUGUAUGCAAUGUAAUGAAAUCCGGCAUGUUUAUAUGAAAUCCGACCGUGUAUGAAUGAAUUUAUUUCGAUUAGUUCAAAUUCCUGUAUCACUAGCAUUGGAUGAACAUGCAAAACAAUAUGUACUAGCAUUAUUCCCAGAGUGAUCACCUCGUUUGCAGCAGUUUCACAUGUACUCCCUAUGGUCCUUUCUAGUCUGCAUACAAGUUUUGUCUGCAGUCAAAGUAUCUCUACUUUGACCAAUCUUAUACAAAAAAGUAUGCACUUUCAGAAUGUGCGAAGUAAAAAAGAACAGAAGGAGUACAAAGAGUUUGAGCAGCUUUUUAGCAUUUCUGUACAUUGCAAUCAAACACACAGGCCUGGCAAUUCAUAGAGAACAUUCAAAACAAUCGAUGAUUAUGCAUCUCAGUGACUCACAUGUCAGAGGCAAUAUUUACUUCACAACUAAAGAAUAAAGAAAAAAACGAUCGACGCUGCUAACAGCAAAGGGCGUCCCAUUUGAAAAUAUCAAACGCAUAUCUUGCUAAAAUCAAUGAGCAAAAUUUGACAAGGUUGUCCCAUUCCAAAAUAUCAAAUGCCUAGGAUUGUGGAAUGGGCAGGGUUUGCCAUCAGUUCGGACAUUGACAUGGCACCUCUUGCUAAAUAAACCAGUUGUUCUUUUUGUGCAGUUCCACCAAAAUCAACCAAAUUCACGCGUAGCUUGUAUGAUUUCGCCAUUAUAUGUUGCAACGCCUUGAACUUAUGGGCACCUCCUGUCUUGUGGUGGAAAUGAAUGAUUUGAUGUAUUCACGAUCAUUUUGUGCAGUUCCCAUUGAAAUCAAGCUGAGCACCCCUGUUUGCACAAAUACAAAAAAAGUGAUUUGUAUAACGCAAAUUGUACUAUGAAUUGACAGUUUCAACAGGCACAUACAUGGUCCAUGUAGAGCACACUUUUAGAAAAAUGGAACUCACGAGAAAGAAUCCUAGAACAACACUGUACUCGCGCAUCAUAGCAUAAAAAUGGAGAUUUGUCAGUCCUUCUGAGCUGAAGUUAGUUUGGUAUUGUGGGGAGUAAUGUAACCAUCCUUCAACUGCUCCUUCUGAUGAGAAGAUAGACAGGGCUUCUUCAUCCUAGCAUAAUCGGAACUAGUCACUUCACGUACUCCAUAUUCUUCAUCAGAGGAAGAUGAUCAUGUUGUGCAAAGACAAGUGGACUACUAAAUGCUAGCAUCCCUGUUUGCUCGAAAAAAGGAAAGGAAAUAUUUAAAACAUCACAGAUGAAGCACUUCUCAAGGACAAUACCACUUUUUCAUGUCAGUAUCUAAACAUUAGCACAACACCAAUAGAGAUGACAAAGCUCAAUCAUAUGGAUGAAAUCAGUGGGCAAGUACCAACCUUUGUCAGGAGGCUGAUUGUGUAGAGCAUACAGAUGAAGCACUUCUCCGGAACCAUCUGUUGCUAUCUACGGGGGUGGUCAUGCUUACUAUAUACUCCUCGAUUAGUUUAAUGUUUCCAACAUCUUCUUGUGCAGUUCCACUAAAACAUAUGGUAUCUUCAAACAAGAUCCUUGUUUGCACAAGUAGAGAUAAUUACGUAUGGCAUCAAAUCAGUGGCAAAACAAUUGCUCGUUCCAGCCAUAGCAAUAAAUUAAGAUGCAAAACUAUAUCAUUACUUGUGUCAUCAUAGUUCCAGUGCUUCAUUACAGCACUGGGAUUUGAUUUAUAUUUUUCUUCUGCUUGUUCUUCCCCUUCAUCACUUGGUUCAAUAACAGACAAGCUUCGCCUUCAAUGUAAGAUUUAGCAUGUCAAUUAGGGAGCACAAGUAUAGUACUAAACUUAAUUUUCUGAUGAAAGUGGCAAAAUACAGGCCAACAGUUGUGAAAUAUCCUUAUCUUACCUCAAUGGGAUAUUACGGUGCACAUACAGAUUGGAAGUCUUGUCUCCAUUUGUGCAGUUCACUAAAAUCAAGCAACAAUAUCGUACAAGUAGCACAACAUAUGAAUGCACACUGCAGAAUCAUGUGAAAGAAGGCUAGUACUGAUCUCUCAUGAUGCAGUAUUCAAACAACUCACAAGAAGAAGAUCUGAACCAAAUUCGCCUUAACGGAUAGGAAGUAAGAUCUCCUCUUGUGCAGUUCCACUAAGAUCAAGCAAUCAAGCAACAUUGUCGAUGUGACAUUUUGGUUGAGCUGCACAAAACACUCUUAAAACAAAAGUGUUUUGUGCGAUGCAACAAAAGGUCACAAUGGCAACAAGGUGAAGUAGAUAACCCUAUUUACACAUAGGUGCAAAGGAAACAAUUAGUGGUCAAUAACGGUGGAUGACACAGAAGCCAACAAAAAGAAGCAUAUACCUUAUCUAAAUGGGAAAGAAAGCAAGACAGUAGCAUUUCUCAAACGGUGGCAUUGAUUAAUAUUAACAUAGAGAUUAUAUUAACAAUAAAAUUCGUUAAACAUGUAAUUUGCUUUUAACUGUGGCAUUGCAUCAAUUUUCCAGCGGCAUUAUUAGAGGGUGUUUGUUUACAUGGACAUUUUAGUGUAGGGACUAAAGAAACUCCGUGUUAGUCCCAUCUAAACCAAACAGGAGGAACUUUUAGGGACUAAAAGUGGGCAUUUGGAACUAAAGAAAGAAGACCCUGAGGGAGUCUUUUUGGGACUUUUUCCAACAGUUGCCCCUGCCACGCAUCGCACUUGUUUCUAUUAGUUCAUUACUAGGGGUAACAUGGUCUUUUAGCAUGUCAUUUAAUAAUGUCUAGUCCAUGUUUAGUCCCUAGAACCAAGCAGGUAGGGACUAGGGAGUUCUUAACCAAACAGGGCCUUAGAUUAACAACAGCUAAUGAGUUGCACGAGACAGUGGACGCACCAGCACCAUGUGCAUAUACCGAUGUACUAUGGUCAUGCACAGUCUGUUGCAACAAAGAACAAACAACCAAGGAGCAUAUUUGUGUUGGUCCCAGUUUUGUUAUCUUUAGACACCUUUCCCUAUGUGAGCGCAACAAAUCUAGUCCUGCUCAAACUCUACAGCCUUGUCCCUUCCUUUCCUUUUUGAACUAGUACUUUUGCCCCUUCCUUUCCUCUUUGAACCACGUCUAGAUUUAUGCGAUACAACUUUCCCCACUACUUUCCCCCAUUCCUUUACUCUUUGAACCACGUCCUAGAUUCAUGCUAUACAACUUUCUCGCUUGAUUUCCUCUUUGAACCACGUCCUAGAUUCAUGCUAUAUACAACUUUCCCCACUAGUUUCCCCCACUCCUUUCCUCCUUGAACCACGUCCUAGAUUCAUGGUAUAUAUGCAGCUAGAGCAAUGCAUGUGGAGUAAGUAAAAUAUACCUUAAGGUUCAAGGCGUGGUUCGGUGGGCGACGGGACGACGGCGAAGAAGAAGGGGUCAGAGGCCCUCCCGCGCUGCCGCUGGGUGGAAAGUGAACAACUGCGCCGGUAGUGGAUUCCCUCCCUUGCUAACGGCGAUAGGGUUAAGCCUCCUUCCCUUCCUGGAAGACGGAUCCUGCCGGCUCUUUGAACAGCAGUGAGGGGAGAGAGAGGCAAACGAUGUCUUGUUUAAAUCUGGAGAGGGCGAGAGAGUGUGAAGAGAGCAACUACAAGCGCUGAGGCUCCAGCGGGAGAGGGCCAGAGAGUGUGAAGAGAGCAACUACAAGCGCUGAGGCUCAAGCGUGUGUAUAUAAAUAUAUAUAUAUAUAUAUAUAUAUAUAUAUAUACUGGAGAGAGAGAGUGUGAAGCAUGCAAACCCUAGAAAACAUUUUGACCAGUCAAAGAAUCCUCCUGGCAAAAAAUAUGCUCAAGUGUAGUUAUCGAACCCGAGACCUGAAGUUUUAUGAGCGAACAGGCUAACCAGCUACACAACCCUCCUGUUAUGUUCAGAGGAAAAUAACCUUUUAUAUAUUCCUGCAUUCAUGUGACAAGCAUGCCAUGUUUUUUUUUGUGUGUGUGGGAGUCAUUGGAAUUUCAAUCAUAAUCGUGUCAUGUGGCUUUGGUGGUAAGACUAUCCACAGUGGUGCAGAAAUAAUGCAGCCUUAGUCACCAUACCUCUCUCCACGUAGUACGUUGGGUCCCACCAGUCAGAGGGUGAAACAAACAAAUUAAUAAGCAAAAUUAAAAGCGCCAGCGGUGUAUCUUACCUCACAAAUCUCGCUACUGCUCGGGAACACUGUCCAAUUGAUCCCUCUGUUUGCUCAUGUACUAUUUUAAGUGAAUCCUUAUUAUAACAUGCACACAAAUUUUGGGCACUUGUAUUCGACUUAAGUCAGUGUGCCACCGUAUCUCGUAUACUUACUACUCCCUCCAUCUAGGUGCAAUAAGUCACGUUAGAAGGUGCAACGGGACCAAGGUGCGUGCGUGUGCGUGUGUGUGUUUAACAACAUGUGUGUGUUAGAGAGUGUGACAGAUCGACCUACUCCUACAGAGAGAUGGUGUGUAGUGUAUGAUUUUAGCUACGAGAGUCGGUGCAUACUCUCGUUUCUGAGCGUGUCCGGUAGGGACAUGCGGACAGCUGCCACGCCCGCUCCUGACCAACCUGACCCACCCAAAACCCCUCCAUCACCCGCGCGUGCUUCUUGCCCGAAACGGUCAGCGCCGCUCCAAAGAGUCGGUGCCGCAUUCAUGCCUAGGCAGAGCGGACGCGACCUCUCACUAGUGCAAUAGUGAUGGUUGCUUCGUCCGUCCAACUUACUGCUGGGUCUAUGUGAUUUGAUGGCUCAUUGGUCUUUAUUACUGAGGUGGUAGGACUGCUGGAUGUCCCACGCUUUCGGUGAAAGGAGGUACUACUACUACUAUAUUACAAUUUUCUCCAUUCUUACAUCGGAGGAGUGCAAGAGCAGUGAAAACACGCAGGCUCAGUGAUUACAUGGCCCACCUCACACUAUGACCGUGCGACACCUAACUCUUUACAUAGUACUCCCUCCGUUCCUAAAUAUUACUAGAUGAGUCCCCGCGCGUUGCCGUGGAACAGCGGUAUAUCUCUCUGCGCAAAAUUAUCGAUUUCAUAGAACUAAAAAAAACUCUAUAACCGCAUGACAAAUGUGGUAGCCAAACUAAAUAAACUCCCAUUAUCAUUUAGAUCAUCCCACGUAAGGAAAAAAGAUCAGCCAACUCCUACUGCAUAAUGGGAUUAUAUUUUUCUUUUUGACAUGUUAAUGGGACUUAAAAGCUCACUUACAUGCAUGCUACCCGUGCAUGCUUGCAUGCAGACAUGUUGAUGUGAUUUAAAACCCACUCACAUGCAUGUGCCACGACAUUUCUGCAUGCUUGCAUGUGGCUUAGUGCGGAGCCUCUCAACGUCUAGAUCAGACGGCUAUUAUGGACAAAUUUACUUCAUCUAAAAGCUACAUCAAUUUUGAUGAUGUGGCUCAAGGAGAGGAUAGAGAAUUCCUAGUAGUGGGGGCUAGCUAUUACUAGUAGAUAAGUCUUUGUAGAGAUUCCACUAGGUAACUACAUAUGGAACAAAAUGAAUGAAUCUACACUUAAAAUGCAUCUAUAUACAUCCACAUGUGGUUCAUGGUGAAAUAUCUACAAAGACUUAUAUUUAAGAAUGGAGGAAGUACCAGUAUAGUACUACGUACUGUAAUUUAUCAGUGAGAUAAAUUUGUACAAUGCUAUGAAGCUUCCAGCUCCUGUUACAUGUAUCUUGCGUCCAAGGUUGCCCGUUGCAACAUUUCAUCAAAUACAAAGGAGACUAAUAUGCAUGCUAUUGCAUCUCAAUGAUUGACAGAUCAUAGCAAAUAUGUACUCCCUCCGUUCCAAAAUAAGUGUCUCAACAUUGUGCAAACUUUAGUACAAAGUUGGACUACUACUAAAGUUGACACUUAUUUUGGAACAGAGGCAGCUAAAGAAAAAAACGAUCCAUGCAGUCCCUAGCCCUUGAACCGUGAACCCAGACCAGGCUUCAAUUUGCUGGCAACGUUCGAGCUUCCUAAUAAAUGAAGUUUGCAAUCUUUUGACCAUCGGAUCAUUUUGUGCAGUUUCACCAAAAUCGAGAUGAGCAUCCCUGUGGCAAAGAAAUUGAAGAAGCGUGAUUAGAAUAAAAUUACUGGGACUAGUUGAUGAGACAUAAACUCAUCACAAAUACAGUAUGUAGAAGCCAGUAGAGGUAUCAGGUAUGUGCGGGGCAAAGAAGUAGAGAAAUAUCCACAGGGAGUGAUGUCGCCAGCUGGAGUAGUGGUGCAAGCCGGCUGUAAAGGGAGUUGUACCUGAGGGAUGUAGCUCAACCUUGAGGAGGGCAGCGGGAGGCGGCAACUGCCCACGUCGCGGCAGUGAGAAAGGGACGAAGGAAAGCUCACCGGCUUUGUGAGAGAGAACGACGGGGACCCCUGAUCGGGAUGUGUCGACAGUGGGUUUUCGCCAUUGGCGACGGCCACCGCAUCUACACUAAGAAUCCACCCCUUCCCCAAGCGGACGUGAUCCACCGGGAUGUUAGGGAUGUGUCCACAGUCGUUUUGUGCGAGAGAGUGUGAAGAGAGCAACCCCAGCAAGCAACCGUGUAGGCUGGCCCGUCCUGACUAUGUAUAUAGUCGAGCGGUUUCCUUUUCUCUCCAUAUGAACCUAUCAUAUUGCGUACAUGCCACUAAAGAAAAAAAACUUUAUUUAUAAAUGACGCGGCACCUACUACUCGUUCUCCUAUAACCUUGCGCUUGGCAUCUCCAAAAUAUUAACCUUGCGAUUGGCUCUUCGCCUCUUCGGGAAGUCGAGCAAUAAUGGUAGUGCAGUAUAUAUCGUUCUGGCUAUAUGAGACCGAAUGAAUUUCUGCACGUCCACCACGUGGGCGAGAGUCGAGGGGCGAGGGAGAGUGCUACUACCUCCUUCCUGGUUUAUAGGUCCCUUUUAUAGUUUGUGCCAAAUUUUGACUAAAGAUUUAACUAACAAAAUGUUAAUGCAUGUCAAGAAAAAUUAUCUCAUUGGAUUCGUAUUUGAACAUAGUUUUCAAAAAUAUAAUGUUUGGUGACAUGCGUGAACAUUUUCUCAGUUUAAUCUAUGGUCAAAAUUUGGCACGAAAUACAAUGGGGACCAAUAAACCCGAACAGAGGUAGUAGUACAAACGGAGCAAAAUGAGUGAAUCUACACUCUAAAAUACGUCUAUAUACAUCAGUGUUUGGAGUAUGUACUAGUAGUUCAUAUUUAAAUCUACUAACGGACAUAUAUAUUCCAAACAAUAUGAUAUAAUCUCUAUAACCAAGGUAGUAGGGACGAGGAGUAAACGGAGGGAGUAGUAAAUUUUUCUCCUUGUCCUGUGAGCCAUCGCGUGCAUGGGCGAGGGAGCGGGCGUAGGCGGAGCAAGCUUCACCUCAUCCUGCGAGCCACCGCGCCCGUGGGUGGGGGAGACGGCGUACUAAGCAAGCUUCUCCUCGUUCUGCGAGUUGAUGGGACACAUCAAAAGUACUCGAGUGUAUAGAGCCUUGCCUCUAAGGUAGGCCCCACAUGGUUUGCCUCUUCUUUUUUAAUUUAACAUAACACAUCAAGUUGCAAUUUGUUUGUUCACCCAUGGUAGACGAUCCUACCUCCACCAAGUGGACAACCAGUACACGUGCCAAAUUACCAGGUGGGCUGCCUUUUUCAUACAGAAAUGAGCUCCACCGUGUACCCGCGCGGGUGUGGUUGGGAAAGAGACGGGAGUACGUGCACCGUGCAUGCACCUCUUCUCUUCGUGCAUGUCCCCCACCUAUGUGGGUGUGUGUGAGAGAUACAAACUGCGUUCGUGAGUGUUUUUUGUUUUGGGGUGUGGGUGGGGGUGGGGUGGGGGUUGAUUCCGUGAAGUAUUUGUGGGAAUAUGUGUCGAUGACAUCUCAAACAAAAUUUUUCAUGCAAUGUGUGUGAAAUGGAGGCCUAUCCAUAUCAUACAUAGAGGGUCGGGCAAUCCACGAGAAGAGAGGGAGGGGUCAUAGCUAUCGAUAGAGUCGAAGAGAGGAUCAAGUGGGUGGGUGCGAGAUCGAUGAAGAGAGCCAUCGAAAUUGUGUGUGUGUGCAAGUCAAAGAUAUAGCGCGACUGGCCUACCGAACAUUAGAGGGCACAUGUCAAGUUUCUGUGUCGCAGGGAGACAUGACUAGAGCGCUCGAUGUAUCGGUGUGUGUGGUGGGGAGGGGGUUGGGGGAGGGCUAGGCAGAGGCCUAACUAUAGAGGUAGAACGACUCGUAUAUGUGUUGAGAAGGAGAGACCCAGCUAUGUCUUGAGGGGGAUCGGUCGACAUCCAUACAUAACUGAAGGAUGGGAAAUAUGAUGGGACAGAGAGAGAGAGAGAGGAGAGAGAGAGAGAGGGAGGGAGAGGCAGGGAGAGGGAGGGAGAGGGGUAGAGUGCUGGAUGGGUGAUGGAGUUGCUUCUCGGAGAUGUUGGGAGAGGCCUACUAGACAAACUGAGGGUGGAACUGCAAUGUUAUCAAUAAGAGUGGGGAUGUGUUUCUGUGUGUGCCUGUGUGUGAUAGAUCUGUCGAGACGCAUCCAUGGAUGAUGAAGGGGAACCAUGUGUUUGGUAAGCAAACCUAACUAGAUCGGUAGAUCAAUUGUUGUUUGUCGGAGGAAGGGAGAGACACAACUAAUGAGGUAGAUCGAUCGACGUGUGGGUAAAAACGAGUUAUAAGGACCUAGCUAGCUAUAUGUAUAGCGAGAGAUCGGUUGGUGUACGUCCAUUUGUUAGAGGCUAAUAAGGCCAAGAGAGACGGAUAGACAGAGAGAAUGGAGCUAGGAGGUGGUGCGAGAGGCCCAACUACUAGCUAGAUAGGGGGAGGAGUGUGUGGUUGUGAGAUCGAUGAAAAGAGGGGCAAGAGUUUACACGUGUGUCUGACCGUAUGAGAGACACGAGGCAAGGACACAUAAAGGAGGAGAUUGAAGGUGUGUGUGUAUGUUGUAGGCAGGCAUCGCUGGAGAGGUUUAUCGAUCGGUGUGUGUCGAAAAGGAGUUGUGGAGACUGUGGGAGAACGACCUAAAGAAAAAAAUGAAUGUGCCCGGUGGAUAGAAUGCCAAGGGAGGGGGAGGGCGAGGAGGGUGUGUGCAUGCACGAGAGAAAGUUAGUGGUAGCUACAAAGGUUAGAGGAUUGUGUGGGUGUAAGAGACUAACAAAGAUCAUAAUUUGAUAUGAAAGCGGAUUCAUAUAUUUGAAUAGGAGAUCAUAGUGUUUCAAACAUUGCAUGCAUGAAUAUAGCGGUGAUACACGUGCUGUGCACAUGUUAUACCAUAAUGUGAUAAUGCAAGGCGUUUGCAACUCAUAGCUAAAUGCCGAACAAUCUAAACCACACUAUACAUCAAACAAUCUCACAUUUUAUUUGAAUUUGUGAUAAUGUGUGGCGUUUGCAGCUUACAACUAAAUAUCGAGCAAUCUAAACAAUACUAUAUAUCGAACAUUCUCACAUUUUAUUUGAAUUUGUGGUAAUGUGUGGUGUUUGCAACUCACAUCUAAAUACUUGUAGGCGUAGGGGGCGGGGCACCAUACAUAAUGUGAUAAACACAUUAUACAUAUGAGACAUGGUUUAGAUUAUGAAGAUCUAGAUAGAGCUAGAAAUGUAAUGUGGUUUGAAAUCAAAAAUAAAGUGGAUUCAAAAAAUCUAGUUCGAGUUCAUAUAGUACACAUAGUUCAUAUGUAGCUCGAGACUAAUCAUGUGGUGUGCUGUGAAGAUAAUACACAAACGAUGGUUUAACUUGACAAUAAUCAUGAUUGUAGAUCUUAUUAAAACAGAGAAACAAAUUCAAAUGCUUUGACUUCACAACAAUCAUUACUGUAGAUCUUAUUCAAAUUGAGUUCAUAUUGAAGCGGUAGUAUAUACGUUUGGAAUGCACUAAAACGUUCAUUUGAGUAGUAGGUUGCAUGCAUUAUACACGUAGCGAAAUAUUUUAAUUGAACAUAACAGGAAUUCAAAGUUUUGAAUGACAUUUGUAGUGCGCAUUGAUUUUCUACAUUACACAUUAGGCUUGUCCAGAAAUUUCAAUCCGCGCCUUGUUAGCCCGAAAUAUUUAAAAUAUAUGUUUGUCUCGUUGUGCUCCGACAACUCCCUCCAUCUCAACCCGUGCCUUGCUAUUCUGAAAUUACAACGCGCGCGAAAACUCCCACCUCCUGUGAAAUCCCGACACGCUAAAUGCCCGUGGCACCCCUUAACGAAAAGAACCGCCUCAAAUCGGUGGGGGGUACUUUCGUAACUUACCCCACAUUUUGGACAAGCGCGUCUCUAAGCAAUGGUUCCCCACUGCCAUCUCAUCUGCCCGCCCAUUCGUACACCAAGGCCGCAAAAACCUGCGACAAAACCCCACAUCCUGCUCCGACCGCCACCCAGCCGGAGCCUCUUCCCCGACGACAUCGUCCACAACAACACCUCGACCUCCCUCAUCCACCGUACUGGAUGAGGAUCCGUUGUCGAUCUCAUCAUCCCGCCGGUUCAGCCAUCCCGUCCUCCACCUCCAAGAAGCUGCCCCAAUGUUCCCCUCGUCUUUCGCGCCACCUCCAUUCCCACACCGCCGUCUUCACCCGCGCCACUGAAAGAGCAUCAUCAUCACCGUUUCCUCGGAUGAAGUUGCGGCCUAAUCGGCGCCACCAAAGAGGUUGUACACUAAUCGCCGCAUUUUCUUCUUGAUUCGAUCUCACGGUGCUGCCGACGCUCGGUCCUGAGCCGACACGGCGCGGCUCCAUCCACGACGACGUUGCCGACCACUUCCUCCAUGGCGUCGCUCCCUCGGCGGCGACGUCCACAUCAGUAGGAGUUGCUGCUGCUUUAGCUCUCGCUCGCGCUGCUGCUCUGCUCUUGCUCUCGGUCCCCUGCCUGGUCUGCUCUUGCUAUUGCUCUUGCUCGCGCUGCUGCUCUCGCUCUUGCUCUUGCUUGCGAUGCUGCUUUGAUUUGGCUACACUUCAGUUGACUGAAUUGACUUUUGGGUCAGUCGAUUUUCAAGGGGUGGGCUUGCCGGGGUGAAGGAAGAACCAGCCGCAGCAAGGAGGGGGGCUCGCCGGAGAGGUACCCCACUAUCUAUCUUAGGGUUUAGGAUGGGGCGAUGGUCGCCUGCGGUGGCGGGGCACUGGCGGGGCGGUGGCAUGGGGAUCGCCGGAGAAAAAGCUCGGCACGAGGGGCCUAGAGGGAUGGCCGGGGUAGCGGCGGACCGGCGGUGGGGAGUGUUUUCGGGGCGGGCGGGGCGGCGCACCGUUGGCCGCGGGCAGCGGGGGGCUUCUAUUUGGCCGGUGGUGGUUGGCGGCUCAGGGGGGUGGAGGUUGAAGAUGAACGCAGGCCCUUGAUUUCGUAUCCAACGGCUGCAAAAUCGACUGACCAGAGAUGAAAAGGUCAGUCGACCGACGUGUAGCCUCACCUUGCUAGUGCGUUCAGUUUCGACAGCAAAAUUCAGUUUCGACAACAAAAUUCAGUUUCGACAGCAAAAUUCAGUUUCGACAAUUAAGUUCAGUUUCGAUAGUUAAGUUCAGAGAUGAGCGGCUGAUGUAUUUUACAUCUAGCACUUUGUGGUUAUGUAUUUUACGUCAUGUAUUGGAGAUGCUAUUAGAAUUCCACUCAGGUUAACGUUGUUCGUUGUCUCUCUUGUCCUGCUUCAGCCUCGGAGUCGUACAACUCACCGGAGCUGCUCCAACGACGAAACCCUCCAUCAUAGCGGAGCAGUACCUCGGGCUCCAUCUCCAGACGCCUAAGAUCUUCUUCCCCUCCUCCGACAGCAAAGUCAGCCAAAGCAUCCUCACCGGCCAACCCAAUCACGCUGAGAUCGACAUGGCUUCGCCAAAGAGGAUGUACACUGGUUGCAUCUCUUUUUUACUCUACAUUUCAUAUAUAUUGUCCACUGAGCACACGGAUUUGUUCCUUUAGUGUCUCCUUGAAAGAAAAAACGUAGGAAUUUUAAUUUUCACUUGUCCUCCUUUUCAAAUUCCUAUUCAUGAAGCACAAGACUAAGAGAUAGUAGCAUAAUAGCAUUAUAACCGUACAUUUUCUUGUGGUUUGACUUAAUCUCACCAUGCUUCUUUGCAUCCUGUGAUCUUCCAAUUGUUGUUAAUCAAACACCCAGAUUGGCAGAAAUCCUAUGUUUUUAAAUUCUCUGUUUUGCACGUGCAUUCCUAUCCUAUUCCUGUCUAUUUCCUAUCCCUACAUUGUUGGAAUCCUCCAAUUCAAACGAGCCCUUACAGAAUUACUUCUCUUAUAGAUAGUUGUCAAAGAAAACCUUGCGUGGUUUGUCCCGCUCCUGCUGCGCCGUCAUCCACCCCAGCUCGGCUGCUCCAAUGACAGAAGGGUCCAGCACAUCAGGGAUCCGGCCUCCAGACCGUCUUUCGCCGCCUCAGAUCUUCUUCCCCACCGCCUCAGAUCUUCCUCCCCGCUGCUGGCAGCCAUGAAAACUGCAUUACCAUCAUCAACCGAGCAGAUGACCUCGAGGACUACACGGGUCCGCAAGAGAGGUCGCACUCUUUCGUGUCUGCUUACGUUAUGCAUCGCUUAAUAUUACAUGCUACUUUAUAGUCCUGUUCACUGAUUAGACUCUGAGUCAGCUCCAAACUAAUGGUCAAACUUGAGUUUUGAAAUGGUUGUGGGGUACAUAUCAGGGCCACUAUCAAUAGUAUCUAUCUACUAUCUAGUUAAUCUCCGGUGUCUACUAUGAGUUUCAUGUUGGGUGGGAAACAAACAGUAUAGAAGCCAUUAUCUGUAUUUUUUAACUGAAGCCAUUAUCUGCCUGCUAUUAUUGGUUUUGGGUCUAUCCACAGGUUGCUACCAUCACUCUGGAUUUCUGCAUGCACUCUUUACAUAAUCUCACUAUGUUUUAUUCCUAUGCAUGUCAGUUAUUGUAAACAAUGGAACUGAACAUGUAGAGCAAAAGAGACGAGCCUUGCGUGGCAAUAAAAAUUCAUGCAAACGUCGCUCCAUGGUAGGCGCAAAGGCAGCCCCCCUCCACGCAUUUCGGAUCGUAAUCGAGAGGAAGAUAUAUGUUCUGAGGGGCAUUCAGAAGGACAAGACAACUCCUAUUUACCCCCUGAGGUCUUCAUUCUAACUUGGCAUGCUGAUGUUGGUUGUAUUAUGCAUAUGGUGUCUUGCAUUGCUUACUUUAUACAUCAAAUAUGUCAUCUUCUUAGUUUAGACAUCCUUUGUGUGAAUGUCGUCUGUUUAGUUUAUUCAUCGUUUAUGUGAAUUACGCAACGCCUUCUUGUUUAGCCAGGCAUCAUAUAUGUGAAUUUUGCAAUGCCAUCCUGCUUAGCCAGUCAUCUUAUAUGUAAAUUAUAUCAGGCCAUCCUUUUUUUCGUUACAUAUUACAUUUGUCAACAAUGUUAGUACAUUCAACUGCUCUUCAUGUGCAUCAGCCAUUUGACACGGUGAUGGCAAGUUCUGGAGUGAAAACAGGGUCUUUAGAGCAGACUAUGCUAUCUGACGAAGCGCAUAUCUCGUUGGUUACGGAUAGCUCCUCAGAGGAGGAUUUAGAGACAGAUGACCAGUCCUAUUCCCCCCCCCCCGAGGUGUAUGCUCUAACUUGGAAGGGUUAUGUUGCUCAUAUCAUGCGUAUGGUGUCUCGCAUUGCUAAGUCAUUUGAUUAGUUUAGACAUGCUUAGUGUGAAUGCCACCUGUUUAGUGUCUAAUUACCAUAUAUGUGAAUUAUUCAUUGUCAUCUUGUUGCAAGACAUUAUAUAUGUGAAUUAUACAAUGCUAUCUUGUUGCAAAGACAUUAUAUAUGUGAAUUCUGCAAUGCCAUGCUGUUUAGCCAAUCAUCAUGUAUGUGAAUUAUAUCAUGCUAUCAUAUUUUUGUAUUACGGGUUCCAUUUGUCGACAACGUUUGUAUAUUCAACUACUCUUCCUGUGCAUCGGCCAUUUGAAGCGGUGAUGGAAGUAUCUGGAGUGAAAACAAGGUAUUCAAAGCAGACAAUGCUACCUGUUGAAGAAGACAUCUUGCUGGUUACAGAGAGCUCCUCAAAGGAGGAUUCAGAGACUGAUGACCAGUCCUAUUUCCCCCCUGAGGUCUAUGCUCAAACUUCACAGGGUUAUAUUACCCAUGUCAUGCAUGUUGUCUUGCAUUGCUUAGUUUUUACAUCGUAUAUGGAUUGCCAUCUGCUUACUUGCUUACUAUAUAAAUCAUAUAUUUGAAUUAUAUCAUGUCAUCAUGUUUACAUAGUACGUACACAUCAUCUAUCUGAAUUACGGCAUGGCAACCCAUUUAAUAAAGAUAUCAUAUAGUUAUAUCAUCUCAUCCUGUUUAGUGUUUAGAGUCAUCAUAUUUUGAAUUAUGGCAUUCUAUCCGUGAAUGUAUGUGAAUUAUGGCAUGCCAGCCUAUUUAAUAAACACAUUAUAUAGUUAUGUCAUGUCAUCCUGUAUACAUAGUCUCAUAUUUUGAUUUAUGUCUUUCCAUCUUUUUUAGUUAGCCAUCAUAAUGUGAAAUAGUGUCAUGCUAUCCUGUUUAGUUAGCCAUCAUAUAUGUGAAAUUGUGUCAUGCUAUCCUGUUUGGUUAGACAACAUAAAUAUGAAUUAUAUCAUGCCCUCUUUUAUUCCCCACUAUCCAUUGCACCUGUCUAUCAUACAAUGUCUAUAUUUUCAAUUACUUUUCUUGUUUAUCAGCCAUUUGAAUUGGAGAGCGUGAUGGCAGUAUCUAAGGGAGUAACAACACGGUCUUCAGAAAAGAUAGUGCUAUCAGUUGAUGCAGAUAGAACCACAGUUGUACUUGCCCAAGGACUAGAUCCGCCACACAUAACCCAGACUCUCGCAGAUUGUACCCCUACCCAGUUGGAUAGAGAACUAGCUACACCCCUUCUAACCCCAACCCCGGCAGAUAGUAACCCAGUUCCAGUUGACACAGCAUCGUCUCCACCACAGAGCACCCAAACACGAGCAAUUAGUAAGGGAACUGCAGUGCCUGAAGCACGAGGACCACCACUCCGAAUCCCAACUCAACGCUUAAAGGAGAAGAAGAUUUGUUCUCAGGUCAGGUUCUGUAGCUAUGGUUCAUACUCCUUUGUUCUUGCAUUACUGUAUUUACUCAUACCAACUAUUUUCAAAUUUGAAGGAUGGAAUUGAAACUCCAAUGGAGCAACAGGUAUGUUUUAAACUUGUUUCUUUAACUGGUUUGCUGUUGUAACCUGCUCUAUGUUGAUUUCAGUUUCAAUUGAAUAAACAGUUAUGUUCUCAUGUCAUGCACCUUACAAGUGUUUUUUUUGCUCUAUAGUUACCCACACUUAUAUUCUGUCUAUUCUACUUUGUCUUGAACAAAUAUUAUUUGAACUGUGUCUCUAUCUUGAUUUGGCAACAAAAACUAGAAUGAUAUAGACCAUAAAGUGACCAUGGUGUCGGUGUCAAAACCGGCGGAUCUCGGUAGGGGGUCCCGAUCUGUGCGUCUUAGGCUGAUGGUAACAGGAAGCAAGGGACACAAUGUUUACCCAGGUUCGGGCCCUCUCGAUGGAGGUAAAACCCUACUUCCUGCUUGAUUAAUAUUGAAGAUAUGUGGAAUACAAGAGUAGAUCUACCACGAGAUCGUAGAGGCUAAACCCUAACAGCUAGCCUAUGAUGGUAUGAUUGUAAAUGUGAUCGGCCUUCUAAGGACCAUCCUCUCCGGUUUAUAUAGACACCGGAGAGCUAGGGUUUACAUGGAGUCGGUUACAAGGAAGCAAACAUAAUAUCCGGAUCGCCAAGCUUGUCUUUCACGCAAAGGAGAGUCCCAUCCGGACACGAGCCGAUGUCUUGAGUCUUGUAUCUUGACGCUUCUAUAGUCCGGACGAUGAAUACAGUCUGGCUGUCCGGAUACCCCCUUAUCCAGGACUCCCUCAGUAGCCCCUGAACCGGGCUUCAAUGAUGAUGAGUCCGGCACGCAGUCUUGUCUUCGGCAUUGCAAGGCGGGUUCCUCCUCCGAAUACUCCAAGGUUAUCAUCGAACACGUAGGUCUUGUCCGGAUCUGCAAAAUGAUCCUCACAUACCACCGUAGAGAGAACGAUACUUCAGCUGGCAAUUUUUAGAUGACGUGACAUGCCACUAGAGCUAGGUCAUUAUUCGAACCAUUUUUCACAACCAGCCACAACACGUAUUGUGAGGCGGUUUCCUUGACACGUCUUGUCAAAGCAAAGAUCAUGUCCCCUUAUCGCGGGAUUCUCAUCAAUACGGGUAUGGGUAAUCCCCCCAUGCCAUCAAUCGUGGCGCUUGGGAAAUAAGCGAUUCUCAACAGGCUAGUGGGGAGACGCACCGCUCUCGUCGCCUCUAUAAAGGGAUAAGAGUUCCCUAUUCUUACCCACGCCUUCUUCCUCCCUCGCAUACUCUUGCCCCCUCGAGCUCCAACGCCCUAGCCCAAGUUUUCUCCGCACAGUUAGUCAUGUCCGGAGCAGGAGGCAAGUGGGUGGCUUCCACCAUGACGGAGAAGAAGAUCAUGAAUCUCCGGGCGGCCGGAUACUUGGCCGCAGAUAUAGCGCACCGGCUACCAGAUGAGGGGCAGGUCAUUCCAACUCCAGGACCCCACGAGAGGGUCGUGUUCCUGGCCCACUUUGUCCAUGGACUGGCGUUUCCACUCCACCCCUUCGUCCGCGGGCUCAUGUUCUACUACGGGCUAGACUUUCAUGAUCUAGCUCCGAACUUCGUCCUCAACAUCUCGGCGUUCAUCGUCGUAUGCGAGGCUUUCCUCCGCAUAAAGCCUCAUUUCGGCUUGUGACUGCAAACCUUCUGCGUGAAGACGAAGAUCGUGAGCGGCCAACAGGCGGAGUGCGGAGGAGCCAUGGUGGGAAAAAUGCCUAAUGUCACCUGGCUUGAAGGCUCCUUUGCAGAAAAUGUGAAGGGGUGGCAAUCGGGGUGGUUCUACAACACCGAGCCGCGCGAUGCGAACUGGGCGGUGACCCCUGAGUUCCAAUCUGGAACCCCGAUGCGGCUCACCUCCUGGGAACAGAAGGGCCUGUUGUGGGGCGAAUCUGUAGAGCUGACCGGACUCAUCAACUGCAUCAAGGGCAUGAAGGACAAGAACAUCAAGCUUGUCAACGUGAUCCAAGUUAUGCUCAUUCGCCGGAUUCUGCCGUGCCAAAGGCGGGCAUUCAAUCUGUGGGAGUUUGACCCUGGCGAACACCAGACGCUUCAGAGGCUCUAUGGAAUGAAGCACAAGGACGCAUGGAAGGCGCUAUUCAAGGCCACCGAAGUACCUCCUCUUAUAACCAAGGACUGCGGGCUCCAUGCCGCACGGCACCCUUCCCAGGUGAGUUCUCGGGCCGCCACCGGGUUCGGUCCUUCCCAAUGUAAUUAUGGAAAAUUCUUAAGUGAUUGUAUAUAUUUGUUUUAAGAGUAUGUGGAGAUAUCGGAGCGGAUCGACAGUACGGCUCCAUUGCCGAAAAGCCCAGCCAAUGAUCUUCUGACGAAGAUGCUGGUCCCGGCACCCUACAAGGGGCCGGAGAAGAAGGCCGAUAAAAAGGCCCCGGGGACCCGAAAGGGUCUCCGAAGUAAGGUUGCGCAAGCCUCGUCUUAAGAUGACGAGGCGUAUUCCUCCCCCGAAGGGGAAGAAGAAGAACAGGAGGCCGCCCUGUCCGGAAAGGAUGAGGAGGCCAGAGACGGCGAACCAGGGGGCCAGGAGAGGCUCCCGGCGCAUGGCCGUCAUACCCUUGUCAUCCGAUGACAACGAGGCAGAUUCCUCCCGCGGAGGCGAGGAGGAACAAGGAGGAAAACCACCUCCCCGUGUCGGGGGAGGGAAGAAGAGGAAGGCCGCCCCGGUGGGGGAGAUUGGGACGUCCAAGAAGGGAAAGGCAUCCCUUCCGGACUACUCCGCCACCGCCGCCGAUAGCGAGGGAGGGUCGCUGCCUAGGAAGAAGUCCCUUGUGCGAUCGUAAGUGUCCGCACUCGAUCGUAAUUUCUGCUUCAUAAUUUUGUUUAUAAUACCAAACUUGUAUGCAGUCCGGCCAGUGUCCAUCCUGAAGUGUCGUCUUCGGACGGGUCCUUGAGUGAGUCAGCAAUGAACUCACUCCCGAUGGACACGUCUCCUCGACCUGCGGACAACACGGAGGUGUUGUCCCGAAGGCUCCCGACGAUGGCGGAGGUGGCCCUGGAGGUGCCUCAAGGCGGCGUCCCAGACGUCGGACUCGCGGGGUUCAAGGUCCCCGCGGAUCCUGUUGAUGAGAGCCACGGUAAGUCGGGCUCUCAGCCGAACACUAUUCCGGAGCCUUCAGAGGUUCCGUACUUAGGAGGGCAGCCCCUCAUUAUGGAGAGAGGGCCGUCUGUAUCAAGGACUUCCGUUGCGCCCCAGGCGCCGGAUUGUCUGUCGAAAGCGCUUCGCAGCGCUUCCCUAGAUGGAAGCACCGUACUCUCAUGAGUGCGGUGAUUCAGAGGGUUUCAUCCGCCCCGGACUAACCGAAGCCUACACUAGCCUCUUAACAGGCUUUGAGGUAAGCACUAAAAUAUGUGAAGUUACCACCCGAUAGGUAGUAGCCCCUGAUACUCUAUUUGGUGUUCGAAAAGAAAAACCAAACAGAGGGUCAAUCAUAAUCCGCAGGAGUCUGACGAUAAUUUUGAAUGUAAACAAAUAGGCUGUGUUGCUGGCCGCUGUUGUUCGCACGGUCGAAAUCGCCGGCCUAACGCAGGAUUUAGAGCGGUACAGGGAGAGCUCGGCCUUGCGAGGAGGCAGCUCGAGGAGAGCAAAGGUAAAUGAUUCCCCUCUCUCUAUAAUGAAUAGCAAAUAAAAUUUGAUUAUGCUAACGACGAGAUGUCAUGAUGUGAUAACAAAGGCCACAACCGAAGUGGCGUCUCUCAAGAAGGCGUUGUCCGAGGCCGAACACAAAGCGGCCCUGGAACGCAAGGAGUGCGAAAAGCAAGAGGCCCGAGUGGGCGAGGUACAAGAAGAGCUCUGGGAGCUUGGCAAGAAGCUCGAGUCUGUGGAGUGGGAGCUUAAAGCAAAAGAGGCCUAGCGUGCGAAGCUCCUUACAAAUACGAAAGACGCCAAGGCCAAAGCCGAGAGGGCUCAGCAAGAGAUCCAGGAGGCCAAGAAAAUAGCGGCGGGUAAGAAUUUUUUUAUGCAAAGCAAACAUGUGGAGGAGGCGUUUCUUUUACUUACUCGAAUCCGGAGCUCUCCAGGGGUGUUCACAGACCUGCCAUGCAGCGUAUGAGAUGCCGCGGAGUUCUACCGUGCCCAGGAGGGGAGCUCAACGGAGAAGUUGUUCUGGUCCUAGUAUGCUUGGGCCGAAUAUGCCACGCCUCUGAGUGACCAACUGAAGCAGUUGGUCGAACUCCACAAGGCGGUCGAAGUGGCUAUGAAAGAUCUCAUAGUCUGGCUAUGGCCUAGCAAGCUUCUGCCCACCAGCUACUUCGGCCUGAUCAAGCGGAUGGUGGAUUCCUGUCCGCCACUGGAAAUCAUCAAGCGAUCCGUACCCGCCAGGCCCUUGCCCGCGCCAAGGUGCAUUGGGGAAAGCUGGAUGCGGAGAAGCUGGUGAAGGAUGGGCUGCAGGAGGGCAAGCCACAUCGCGUCCUCGAGAAGUAUUAUGAUGGCGUUAUGAAGGGUGCAUGCCUCGUGGCCGAUGAAUGUACCAAAGACAUAAUUUUUGAAUGAAUUCACUUCUGUCAUGUUUGUAAUUUAAAGACAAAGUUACUUGCGCUAUGUAGCGCUCUUGUGAUUUAAAAUAUUACCUUCUGUGCGGUUGUUAAUCAAAUUCUAAAAGUAGGCCAGUCGUCGGCUUCCGCCCCCGUGUAACUAGUACCGGGGUGUUCGUGGAAAACCCGGACACUCUUUGUCCAAAUGUUUGGUCCCUCAAGGAGGUGUCCAGCGCAGCGAACCAGGCAAUCGGACUAUACGGCUUUAUAAUCUUCAGUUAGCCAUAGAAGUCUAUGAUUUUAAAUUUUGGCGAAGCCCCUAGAAUCCGGAAGGCCGAAUCGGGGCGCCAUACACGCCUUAUAUCGGAUAAAGCCGAAUUAUCGCCUAAAGUGGGAAAAUCUUUAAGGAUUUUAUGACCUCACGAACAGCAACCAGCUCUCGCCACAUCAUGCCGGACAGUUUUGUGCUUUCUCUACUGAGGUGCUCGUCCGGAAAAACCAGGGCACAAUCGCAGUAGUUCUCCCUGCGCUACCUUAGCCGAAUUAACGGAACGUAAGGCACCAAAACAAGGGAGCCGGGCUAUCCCAACUGUAACCCAAGACAUGAUUCGGAGUUGAUGCAUAUAAUGCUAUAAGUUUGGGGUGCCGCACUGUUGAAAUUGUUCGGACUUGUCUUGCCAUAUUAUGGGGCGCUAUAAGAAGCCCCUGGCAAACUCAACAUACCAGAGUGUACGAAUGCAAAAUCAAAUAAACAUGUAUAAAAAAUGCAAAAAAUAAAUAAAUAAAAACAAUAAGCCGAUGCUGUGUAUUGUCUCCCAUUGCUAAAUAAUAUGUUUAAGCGUAUGUUUUACAACGAAUGCAUUACACGGAGAUAAUAGGAUUAUUUGACAUAUCCUAUCUAGGAGCAGGCUACGUACAGAUAGAUAAAGUAGGAACAACGAUCGUGAAUAGAUUCCACCUGAGUGUUUCCUGGUGUGUCUGAAGCCUGUUGCCUCCUGGGUUUCCUCUCCUUUGCAAGUCCGACAAUACUGCUCUUCUGGAGAAGCUGUACUAAAGCGAUGUCCUUAAGGGUAAAAGGAAAGGUUACGAAGCAAUACCGUACUAUUGACUGAGCCACUGCUACGCCUCCGCCUGUGCCCAUGGUAUUUUGAGUGCGUAAUUGUGUACGCGUGACACGGAUGCUACUUGGGUUGGACUUGGGCGGAGGCCAGACUGCCUGCUGAUCCUGUUGCGGGGUGUUCCACCCUCGCUUGACGGAGCUUGAGGUUGUCGUCGCCGGAUUGGUGGUUUGCCUGAGGAGGCUGCAUUGUACUUCACAUGUGAGGGCCGCAGUGUGUUCCUCUGUACGGAGAGAGCGGUGCAUAUUCCCGUUGACUGUUAUGACUUCGCGCGGGCCUGGCAUCUUGAGCUUGAGGUAUGCUUAGUGUGGUACCGCAUUGAAUCUAGCAAAUGCGGUUCGCCCGAGCAGUGCAUGGUAACCGCUGCGGAAAGGGACGAUAUCGAAGAUUAACUCUUCGCUUCGGAAGUUAUCCGAAGAUCCGAAGACCACUUCCAAUGUUAUAGAGCCCGUACAGCGGGCCUCUACUCCAGGAAUGACACCCUUAAAGGUGGUUUUGGUGGGCUUAAUCCUUGAAGGAUCGAUGCCCAUUUCGCGCACUAUGUCCUGAUGAAGCAGGUUCAGGCUGCUGCCUCCGUCCAUAAGGACUCUUGUAAGGUGAAAUCCGUCUAUAAUUGGGUCUAGAAUAAAUGCGGCUGAGCCGCCGUGACGGAUGCUGGCAGGAUGAUCCCUACAAUCAAAGGUGAUCGGACAAGCUGACAAUGGGUUGAAUUUGGGGACAACUGGCUCCAUCGCAUAUACGCCCCGUAGUGCUCACUUCCGUUCCCUCUUGGGGAUGUUCGUGGCGUAGAUCAUGUUGACCGUUUUCACCUGGGGGGAAUUUCUUUUGCCCCCCGUGUUUGGACGCCGGGGCUCAUCGUCAUCGUCGCUGUGCAGCCCCUUGUCCUUGUUUUUGGCCUUUAUUUUGUCGGCCUGUUUGAAUACCCAGCAGUCUCUGUUGGUGUGGAUGGCUGGCUUGUCUGGGGUGCCAUGAAUUUGGCACGAGCGCUCCAGUAUACGGUGCAGACUGGACGGUCCUUGAUUGUUACACUUGAAUGGCUUCUUCCGCUGACCAGAUUUGGAUCCGCUGAAUCCGGCAUUGACCGCUGUGUCCUCAGUGUUGUCGUUGUUGUUCCGUCGCUUGUGUCUGUUGCGCCGUGCCUUGCCAUUAUUGUCCCAGACAUUUGAAGUUCCAGAGUGUGGGGUAGUGCUACUGCGAGCCAACCAGCUAUCCUCGCCUGCGCAAAAGCGGGUCAUUAGAGUCGUAAGAGCUGCCAUGGACUUGGGUUUCUCCUGGCUGAGGUGUCUGGCGAGCCACUCGUCACGGAUAUUAUGCUUCAAGGCCUCCAGGGCUUCAGCGUCCAGACAGUCGAUUAUUUGGUUCUUUUUAGUUAGGAACCGAGUCCAGAAUUUCCUUUCUGAUUCUCUGGGCUGUUGAGUAAUGUGGCUCAAGUCAUCAGCAUCUGGAUGCCACACAUAUGUGCCCUGGAAGUUGUCAAGAAAUGCGUUUUCCAGAUUUUCCCAACUGCCAAUGGAAUUUGUGGGCAGGCUAUUUAGCCAGUGCCGGGCAGGUCCUUUGAGCUUAAGGGGAUGAUACUUGAUGGCGUGUAAGUCAUCUCCACGGGCGAUGUGAAUAUGGAGAAGGAAAUCUUUGAUCCAUACCGCAGGGUCUGUGGUGCCAUCGUAUGAUUCGAUGUUUACGGGUUUAAACCCUUCUCAGAAUUCAUGAUCCAUCACUUCAUCAGUGAAGCACAGGGGGUGUGCGGCGCCUCUAUGUUGGGCUAUGUCCCGGUGCAGUACGACUGCGUGUGACUGGUUAUAUUCGGCCCGGCCGGAUUUGCUGUUAGUGUAUCCGGUAUGACGGUCAUCGUCAUGUGCUUCGGCGCGCCCCCGUAAUCCGUAGAUCGAUCUUGGUUGUCCUGCGGUGUUAUCCAGUUUCUUGCGCAGGUCCUGAGUAUUGCCCCGGGCCGUAGUAAACCGGUGCGGGGGUACAGGCUAGUAUUUUGGCUGAUAUGCCAUUUUGUCCCGAUCUCGAGGUGGUCUGUCAGCCGUAGGGUGCUCGAGUCCAUAUUCCUCGGCUCCCAGGACUUCUGCCCAUCUGUCUGCGAGCAGAUCUUGAUCAACUUGGAGCUGUUGCUGCUUCUUCUUCACGCUUCUCGCAGUGGCAAUAAGCCGGCGCUUGAAGCACUCCUAUUCUGUGGGGUCUUCGGGUACGCCGAAGUCGUCGUCGCCGAGGCUAAUCUCGUCUUCAGAGAGGGAUAUGUAGUUGUCCUCCUCCGGAUACCCGUCCGUCGCCUGUUCAUCUGGGCUGUCGUGCCCGUCUUCCUGUUCGCCCUGCUCGAAAGCGGGCUGUUCGAGGUUGUAUUCGUCGUCGGCACCGUCCGGAUUAUUAUCGUCUCCGGUGCCGGUAUUGCCUUGACGGGACUUGGAGCGGCGCUGGCGACGCCCAUGCUUUGCUUUCUUCUUCGAGGGGUUAUCCCCCGUUGCGUCAUCGCCAUUGUUUUCUUUCCGAGUGUCCACUAUAUAUAUAUAUAUCAUAUGAAGAGGUGGUUGUCCACUGCCCUGUGAGCGGUGGCUCCUGUAUGUCUCCUGCAUCGUCGUCCAUACCGUCGAUGUCUUCGAAGUCAAAGUCGAGUACGUCGGUUAAAUCAUCGAUCGUGGUGACACAGUGGGUGGUGGGUGGGCAACGAAUUCCUUCGUCGCCUGAUUCCCACUUAGGCCAGACAUAGUUCGGCCCAGAGCCUCCUGACAAAGAGAGAGACUUCAAUGCCUCAGCAUGUUGCCAAAGGGCGAGUGCUGAAAGAUGUCCGCAGCGGUAAACUCCAUUACAGGAGCCCAGCCUGGCUCGGCUGGCUUGAGAGUGAGCGGACCAGGGCCAACAGCCGGAUAUGAGUCCGGGGGCCCAGGGUUACAUGCCUUCACAGAGGUGAGACCCGUGUUCGGCUCCACCACCGAUAAGUGUGCGGCUUGCGGGGCGGGGUCCAGCCCUCCGUCCAUAGGCAACGCAACCUGCCCCAGAUUUAGACCCGGGGCUGCUUCGGGGAUGAUGUCUCGGGAACUCUCCGAUAGCAGGUCUAGGCCGUGUAUGUCGUGGCUGUCCGGCGCUCCUGGCGCAGGCCCGAACCCGUCGAAGAUCAUGUCUCCGCGGAUGUCUAUCCUGUAGUUCAAGUUUCUGAACCUGAUCUGGUGGCCAGGGGCGAUGCUAUCAAUCUGCUCCAACUGGCCAAGCGAAUUGGCCCGCAGUGCGAAGCCGCCGAACACAAAGAUCUGUCCGUGGAGAAAAGUCUCACCCCGGACCGUGUUGUUGACGAUUGAAGACGCCAUCAGGCCUCGAAGCGACGACACAGAGGAACUCUCAAUGAAAGCAACAAUGUCGGUGUCAAAACCGGCGGAUCUCGGGUAGGGGGUCCUGAUCUGUGCGUCUUAGGCUGAUGGUAACAAGAAGCAAGGGAUACAAUGUUUACCCAGGUUCGGGCCCUCUCGAUGCAGGUAAAACCCUACUUCCUGCUUGAUUAAUAUUGAAGAUAUGUGGAAUACAAGAGUAGAUCUACCACGAGAUCGUAGAGGCCAAAACCUAAGAGCUAGCCUAUGAUGGUAUGAUUGUAAAUGUGAUCGGCCUUCUAAGGACCAUCCUCUCCGGUUUAUAUAGACACAGAAGAGCUAGGGUUUACAUGGAGUCGGUUACAAGGAAGGAAACAUAAUAUCCGGAUCGCUAAGCUAGUCUUCCACGCAAAGGAGAGUCCCAUCCGGACACGAACCGAAGUCUUGAGUCUUGUAUCUUGACGCUUCUAUAGUCCGGACGAUGAAUACAGUCCGGCUGUCCGGAUACCCCCUUAUCUAGGACUCCCUCACAUGGUACAUAGAUAUAUGUUUGUUUCAUGAUGUUAUCCUGUCCACUUUACUACUAAACUCAUUUACCAAAAUGAGUUUCAUAUACAACAUGGUAAACAUGUGAUGUGUCUACUUGUUUCUCUUUAGAAUGCGGACAAAAUAUUGGAGAACAGUACCGCGUUAUCCAAUGGUAAAGGAAGUAAUGCAGAUAAGGUUCAAGAUAGUGAGACAUCCUUGUUGGUCUCCAAGAAAGCUGAUAAAAACUAUCUUGACGACAGUGAGGGAACCCAAAAGUCCUGUCUUGAUGUAGUGUUCGAGUUACUGGCCACUACUGCUGGCACAAGCUCUUCGAACUCGCUGCCUGAAUCAGUUCGUCUUCUUGAGUCUCAACUUCAAGUUGAAAGACAUCGAUCAGAUGUGCUGCGACAGGAAGCUGAAGGACUGAGGAAGUCCCUGCAGAAUUCAGAUGCAUAUUUUGUGGUGCAACAGCAAGCGCUGGAGGAUUUAAGCGCCAAACAAGAGAAAAUUAAUAAGCUUGCUAAGCAUCUUGCCAGCAUUAUGGGUACCCAGGAUAAUGUUUCUUGAGAUCUUCUGAAGUGGUUUCAGUUCUGGAAUUGUUUUGCUGCGGUGUUUAUUUGCGCUGGUCGCCAACUUUGACAACCAGUGUAUAUGAUAUGCUACUUUGUUCCCUAUAUUUGCACUGGUGGCGAACUUUGAUGCCCAGUGGAUGUAAUGUGUGUAAUAGCCGUGAUAGCCUAGCGUUAGUUGCUUGCUUAUUUAUUUCCUUAUUGUCUUGUUUAUUUGUUUGCUUGUAGUCAUUGCAGUUCUUUUUCUGCGGUUUGCUAGUGGCUGCAGUAACCUAUUUUUUAAAAGUAGGCCACAAUAACCAUGGGCUAAUAUUUACUGCAGUGACACUGGGCCUCCUACUGGCCAUAGAAAUAGUGGGCCUUCUACGGGUCAUAGAAACAAUGGGCCUCCUACAGGCCGUAGAAAUAAUGGGCCUUCUACGGGCCAUAUCAUCAAUGGGCCUUAUACGGGCCGUAUGAUCGAUUGGGCAAACAUGGGCCAAACAGACCGCAUUAUGGCCGUAAACGGGCUAGAGUUGGAAUCGUCCGUUCAUGGGCCGACCUUAACAGGCCAUCGUUAAUAGGCCGUAUUUGAUGACGCUAUGAAAAUGGCCCAACGUAUUAAUGGACCACAAACGGGCCGACUGUAACCACGGGCUGAAUUUGGCCCACAAGCAGAAAAUGACAGUAACGGACCGUAAGUAAAUGAAUGCUGGAAAUGAGCCCAAGAAUAAAUGGGCUCUGAGAAGGCCGAAAGAUAACAUGGGCUGGAAACGGCCCAACGGAAUAACGGGUCGUUAAUGGGUAUGAAGUGAUACACUGUUCAUUACGGGCCUGUUUCACCACGGGCCGUUAAUGGGUGUAAAGUGAUACACUGUUCAUUACAGGCCAGUUUCACCACGGGCCAUUAAUAGGCCAAGAGUUACAUAGGGCCUCAUAUGGGCCGAAAGACGUCAUGGGCCAUACAUGCGCCAGAAGUGGAAACGGGCUAGAAUCAUAUUGGAUGGCCCAGAUGACGCUACUGGGCCUAAUUCGGAUAGGGCGUAACGGACCUUGGGUUAGCGGGCUGUAAAUGGGCUAUAUGCGAACAAGCCAUUAACAGGCUUUCCAUGGGCCGGCCCGCCACCUUUUGACCAAGUCAAACGGGCCGGCCUUUUCACCGGAACCGACCUCUGUUGGGCCGUGCCACGUGUCGAAGUAUCAUAGGCGCCUUUCGUCCAAUGAGUGGAUGACAUCUGUCCCAACGAUGAGCCGACACGUGUUUCCUCCAGCCAAUGAUGAUUUUACAUGUGGAAAAUCCCCUUUGGUCGGGGCUGUUAACGGGUUAUCGGAUCCAAAACCCGACCCGAUAGCUUAACAACGUUCCGUUACGGUGGAUGCCACGUGUUGGUCACCCUUGACGAAAGCACUUCUGUGAUGCGUGAUUUAUCGUCAUGGAAGUGGACACUUCCGUGAUGAUAAUUUUGGUAAUGUCAUGGAACACUUCUACGACAGCACAUGUAUGACUAUCUUGAUUCUGUCAUAAAAUCGUCAUGGAUGUACAUGCAUGACAAAAAACGUGACCUACUGUGACAAACACGUAUCAUCAUGGAAGUGAAUUUUUUUGUAGUGACGGUAGAUGCUAUGGGAUGGCUAAAGAGAGGAGGAGGCUCGAGGGCACUCGUGGGUUCCAGAGGCAAGGUUGGCAUGAGCGAGCGCAGGACGCAAGACAUACCCAGGUUCGGGGCUCUCUGGAGAGAUAACACCCCUAGUCCUGCCGAGUGUGGUUGAUAUGCAACAGUACAGGGUUGCUCCUAGAGCUGUAUGGAGGAAGAAGGAAGACUGGCCAAGGCUUAGGCUGCUCCUUCUCCCAGGGUGUGUUCUACUGACCAGUUGGCUAUUUCCUGCGUGCUUACUGCUUGCCCCUAUGCAUGAGGGCUCCUAGGGGGUUUUAUUGGCCAACCCCCCAGGGGUACAAUGGUAAUGCUACAAGGCCGUAGGGCCAGGUUGUCAGCAUCUGGGGACCCGGGGCUGGGACCCGCCGGGUGCCUAUGGUUCGCCGGGUUCCCCUAGGUGCGAUCCCCGCGUGCCUAGGGGUACUAUGCGCCGUCUUGUCGAUCGUCAUGGAGUGGCCGAGUCGAGUCGGGUACAGUGGCGCUCUGUCAGGUCGGCGCUUGCUGGCGUCAGUGGUGAUGAUGGGGCACUGUUGCCACGUCGGCCGUAGUUAGCGGGUAGGUGAGGGGCAUUGUUGCCACGCUCCGGCUGACCAGAGGCAUGGGCGGGGCACUGUUGCCUUGGUCAUCGGUGGAUGAAGACUCGUCCCAUCAUACAGCCUGGAUGGGACGGGAGUUGAACCCUAGCUGGGUUGAGGAACACGCCAAGGGCACAACUGGCUUAUUAGGGAAGUCUUGGUGUGCUGGGUUCGACUGUCUUGUGCUGGUUGUCGAGGCCGAGUUGAGGAGCUUGGCCGGGUCAGAGAGUUCGACCAGGUCGAGGGGCCUGGCCGGGUCGAGCGACCUGGCCAAGCGUGGGCCGGCUGGAGGGGCGAUGCUAGCCCCGUUGUUUUGGAAAAGGAUCCGGGUUCUGUUGCCUGCCCGGGGUUCAUCCCACCGACACCUUCUUUGAUCCAUGUUAAUCUUAAUAUGGAAGACUCAAAUUGAUCCUUGAUUGCAUGAUAGAACAAAACACAGAACACAUUUCAAGUGGCUCCAAUUAAUAUAGUUUGUACAACAAUAUCCGGGGAACAUUCCCUAGGAGCGUUUUUUCAACGAACGUCAAACUUAGAAUGCCAAACCAACUAAUAAAGUUGUCAUGUCAACUUUACAGGAUUUGCCAUGAUCAGAGGCAAAAAUUGUCAUGUUCCGCAAAUAAAGCAGUAAAUUGUCAUGUUUCACAGAAAAAUUGUCGUUCCAUUUAUCAUUAUCAGACGGCUUUGAGGGCGUUCACUCGGAGGGCCGAAAGAUCUGGUGUUUUCUAGUUAUCAUUUUCCUAUAGUUUUUCCUUCAAAGUACUACAAAAGAAAUUAUAAUGUCAUGCAUAUCUUGUGAAAUCCUUUAGGCUGGUCGUAAUGGGAGUAUCAUAAGUGAUAUCAUGCAUGCCAACUAGAUUUAUUGGAUGAUGCACACAAUGAAAUGACAACCUAAGAUACUAACUUAUGAUACUAUGCAUUACAUACGUAGUAUCAUACACUAGUAUCAUAUGCAUGCUUCGUGGGGCAGUCAGCUGGUGAACUUGCAAGCAAAGCGUCGUAAAGGGUUACGUCGAUGCUAGCUUCAACACAGAUCUGGAUGACUCCAAGUCACAAACCGGAUACUUGUACAUUUUGAAUGGUGGGGCAGUCAGCUGGUGCAGUUGCAAGCAAAGCGUCGUGGUGGGAUCUACAUGUGAAGCGGAGUACAUGACAGCCUUGGAGGCAGCACAUGAAGCAAUCUGGAUGAAGGAGUUCAUCACCGACCUAGGAGUUAUUCCCAAUGCGUCAGGCCCGAUGACUCUCUUCUGUGAGAACACUUGAGCUAUUGCCCUUGCCAAGGAGCCAGGUUUCACAAAAAGACCAGGCAUAUCAAGCGUCGCUUCAACUCCAUUCAUGAAAAUAUUCAAGCUAGAGACACAGAUAUUUGUAAAGUGCAUACGGAUCUGAAUGUCGCAGAUCUGUUGACUAAACCUCUUCCACGAGCAAAACAUGAUCAACACCAGAACUCUAUGGGUGUUUGAUUCAUCACAAUGUAACUAGAUUAUUGACUCUAGUGCAAGUGGGAGACUGUUGGAAAUAUGCCCUAGAGGCAAUAAUAAAGUGGUUAUUAUUAUAUUUCCUUCUUCAUGAUAAGUGUCUGUUGUUCAUGCUAUAAUAACCGGAAACCGUAAUACAUGUGUGAAUACAUAGACCGUAAUAUGUCCCUAGUAAGCCUCUAGUUGACUAGCUUGUUGAUCAAUAGAUGGUUGUGGUUUCCUGACCAUGGACAUUGGAUGUCGUUGAUAACGGGAUCACAUCAUUAGGAGAAUGAUGUGAUGGACAAGACCCAAUCCUAAGCAUAGCACAAGAUCGUGUUGUUCGUUUGCUAAGAGCUUUUCUAAUGUCAAGUAUCAUUUCCUUAGACCAUGAGAUUGUGCAACUCCCAGAUACCAUAGGAAUGCUUUGGGUGUGCCAAACGUCACAAUAUAACUGGGUAGCUAUAAAUGUGCACUACAGGUAUCUCCGAAAGUGUCUGUUGGGUUGGGACGAAUCGAGACUGGGAUUUGUCAAUCCGUAUGACGGAGAGGUAUCUCUAGGCCCACUCGGUAAUGCAUCAUCAUAAUGAGCUCAAUGUGACUAAGGAGUUAGUCACGGGAUCAUGUGUUAUGGGACGAGUAAAGAGACUUGCCAGUAACAAGAUUGAACGAGGUACGGGGAUACCGACGAUCGAAUCUCGGGUAAGUAACAUACCGGUGGAAAAGGGAAUUGUAUACGGGAUUGAUUGAAUCCACGACAUCGUGGUUCAUCUGAUGACAUCAUCGUGGAACAUGUGGGAGCCAACAUGGGUAUCCAGAUCCCGUUGUUGGUUAUUGGCCGUAGAGAUGUCUCGGUCAUGUCUGCAUGGUUCCCGAACCCGUAGUCUACACACUUAAGGUUCAGUGACGCUAGAGUUGUUAUGGGAAAUAAUAUGUGGUUGCCGAAGGUUGUUCGGAGUCCCGAAUGAGAUCCCGGAAGUCACUAGGAGUUCUGGAAUUGUCCGGAGGUAAAGAUUUAUAUAUGGGAAGUCCAGUUUCAGUCACCGGAAUGGUUUCGGGGGUUGGAAACCCUAGGGGGUGGGGGCGCCUCCAACCAAACUUGGGGGGCAAGUCCCGCCUUGGCCUCCGCCCCCUUGUAGAUGGGAUCUAGGGGGGUCGGCCCCCUCUCCCCUUCUCCUAUAUAUAGUGGGGGUGGGAGGGCUGCCACACCCUUCCCCUGGCACAGCCCCUCCCUCCUCCAACAUCUCCUCCUCCGUAGAGCUUUGCGAAGCCCUACAGGAAAAUCGCAAGCUCCACCACCACGCCGUCAUGCUGCCGGAGCUCUUCCUCAAAUUCUCCUCCCCCCUUGCUGGAUCAAGAAGGAGGAGACAUCCCCGGGUUGUACGUGUGUUUAAUGCGGAGGUGUCGUCCGUUCGGUAGUUGUGGGCGAUGAUUUGUUCAAUUUUCUUACCGUUACUAGUCCUAUCUUGAUUCGGCGGCAUUGUGGGAUGAAGCGGCCCGGACCGACCUUACAGGUACACUUACGUGAGACAGGUUCCACCGAUUGACAUGCACUUGUUGCAUAAGGUGGCUAGCGGGUACCUGUCUCUGCCACUUUAGUCGGAUCGGAUUCGAUGAAAAGGGUCCUUAUGAGGGGUAAAUAGCAAUUGGCAUAUCACCGUUAUGGCUUUUGCGUAGGUAAGGAACGUUCUUGCUAGAAACCCAUAGCAGCCAUGUAAAACAUGCAACAACAAUUAGAGGACGACUAACUUAUUUUUGCAGGGUAUGCUAUAUGUGAUGUGAUAUGGCCUAAAGGAUGUGAUGAAUGAUAUAUGUGAUGUAUGAGAUUGAUCAUGUUCUUGUAAUAGGAAUCAUGACUUGCAUGUCGAUGAGUAUGACAACCGGCAGGAGCCAUAGGAGUUAUCUUAAUUUAUUAUAUGACCUGUGUGUCAAUGAAAACGCCAUGUAAUUACUUUACUUUAUUGCUAACUGUUAGCCAUAGUAGUAGACGUAAUAGUUGGCGAGACAACUUCAUGAAGACACGAUGAUGGAUAUCGUGAUGAUGGAGAUCAUGGUGUCAUGCCGGUGACGAAGGUGAUCAUGCCGCGCCUCAAAGAUGGAGAUCAAAGGCGCAAGAUGAUAUUGGCCAUAUCAUGUCACUUAUCAUGUCAUGUUUACAUCUUAUUUGCUUAGAACGACGGUAGCAUAAAUAAGAUGAUCCCUCACUAAAAUUUCAAGAGAUGUGUUUCCCCUAACUAUGCACCAUUGCGAAGGCUCGUUGUUUCGAAGCACCACGUGAUGAUCGGGUGUGAUAGAUUCUAACGUUCGCAUACAACGGGUGUAAGCCAGAUUUACACAUGCAAAACACUUAGGUUGACUUGACGAUCCUAGCUGUGUGCAGACAUGGCCUCCGAACACAAGAGACCGAAAGGUCGAACAUGAGUCGUAUAGUAGAUACGAUCAACAUGGAGAUUGAUACGUCUCCGUCGUAUCUAUAAUUUUUGAUAGUUCCAUGCCAAUAUUCUACAACUCUUACAUACUUUUGGCAACUUUUUAUAUUAUUUUUGGGACUAACAUAUUGAUCCAGUGCCGAGUGCCAGUUCCUGUUUGUUGCAUGUUUUUUGUUUCGCAGAAAAUCCAUAUCAAACUGAGUCCAAACGGGAUAAAAACUGACGGAGAUUAUUUUUGGAAUAUUUAUGAAUUUUGGGAAGUGGAAUCAACGCGAGAUAAUGCUUGAGGAGCCCACGAGGCAGGGGGUGUGCCCCAGGGGGGUGGGCGUGCCCCUGACCCUCGUGGACACCCCGUAAGGCGUUGGUGCCCUUCUUUCACCGCCAUAAAGCUAAUAUCCGGAUAGAAAUCAUGUUAAAAUUUCGGCCCAAUCGGAGUUACGGAUCUCCGGGAAUAUAAGAAACGGUGAAAGGCGAGAAUCUGAAAUGCAGAAAUAGGGGGAAGGUCAGGGAAGAAUAAGAAGAGGGGGGAUCUCUCCCCCUUUCUCCCGGUGGUGCCGGAACGCCGCCGGGGCCAUCAUCGUCACCACAAGCUACACCACACGUUCCAAGAGAAAACCAAGCUGAAAGACGAUUUAGCAACUAUAUGGACUGGGUCUGAAACUUGAGGAUCAUCCUCAUAGCUGCCAUGAAAGUAUAUGUCCUUGAAGCACCGCUAGGUGACACACCCAUUUUCCUAGCAACUCAAGACGUUAUGAACGCCUGGCAGUCGCGUAGUGAUGAUUACUCCCUGGUUCAGUGCAGCAUGCUUUACAACUUAGAACCGGGGCUCCAAAAGCAUUUUGAGCAACACGGAGCAUAUGAGAUGUUCCAAGAGCUGAAAAUGGUUUUCCAAGCUCAUGCCCGGGUCUAGAGAUAUGAAGUCUCCGACAAGUUCUACAGUUGUAAGAUGGAGGAAAAUAGUUCUGUUAGCAAGCAUAUACUCAAAACGUCUAGGUUGCACAACCGUUUGUCUCAGCUGGGAGUUAAUCUUCCAGAUGACUCGAUCAUUGAAAGGAUCCUCCAGUCGCUUCCACCUAGCUACAAGAGCUUUGUGAUGAACUACAAUAUGCAAGGGAUGGAGAAGUCCAUUCCUGAGUUAUAUUCAAUGCUGAAAUCAGCGGAGGUGGAAAACAAAAAGGAACAUCAAGUGUUGAUGGUGAAUAAGACCACUAGUUUCAAGAAAGGCAAGGGUAAGAAGAACUUCAAGAGGGACGACAAGGGAGUUGCCGCGCCCGGUAAAUAAGUUGUCAGGAAGAAGCCAAAGAAUGGACCCAAGCCCGAGACUCAUUUCUUUUAUUGCAAGGAAAUGGUCACUGGAAGCGGAACUACCCCAAGUACUUAGCGGAUAAGAAGGCCAACAACACCAAAGGUAAAUGUGAUAUACAUGUCAUUGAUGUGUUCCUUACCAGCGCUUGUAGUAGCUCCUGGGUAUUUGAUACCAGUGCAGUUCCUCAUAUAUGUAACUCAAAACAGGAGCUGCAGAAUAAGCGGAGAUUGGCGAAGGAUGAGGUGACGAUGCGCGUCGGGAAUGGUUCGAAGGUCGAUGUAAUCGCCGUCGGCACGCUACCUCUACAUUUACCUACAAGAUUAGUUUUAAACCUCAAUAAUUGUUAUUUAGUGCUAGCUUUGAGCAUGAACAUUGUAUCUGGAUCUCGUUUAAUGCGAGAUGGCUACUCAUUUAAAUCCGAGAAUAAUGGUUGUUCUAUUUAUAUGAGAGAUAUGUUUUAUGGCCAUGCCUCGCUGGUCAAUGGUUUAUUUCUAUUGAAUCUCGAACGUGAUGUUACACAUAUUCAUAGUGUGAAUGCCAAAAGAUGUAACGUUGAUAAUGAUAAUCCCACAUACUUCUGGCACUGCCGCUUUGGUCACAUUGGUGUCAAACGCAUGAAAAAACUCCAUGCAGAUUGACUUUUGGAGUCUCUUGAUUAUGAAUCAUUUGACACGUCCGAACCAUGCCUCAUGGGCAAAAUGACCAAGACUCCGUUCUCCGGAACAAUGGAGCGAGCAACCAACUUGUUGGAAAUAAUACAUACUGAUGUGUGCGGUCCAAUGAGCAUUGAGGCUCAUGGUGGCUAUCAUUAUGUCCUCACCCUCACUGAUGACUUAAGUAGAUAUGGGUAUGUCUACUUAAUGAAACACAAGUCUGAGACCUUUGAAAAGUUCAAGGAAUUUCAGAGUGAGGUAGAGAAUCAACAUGAUAGGAAAAUAAAGUUCUUACGAUCAGAUCAUGGAGGAGAAUAUUCGAGUCAUGAGUUUGGUACAUGAUACGUCUCCAACGUAUCUAUAAUUUUUGAUUGCUCCAUGCUAUUAUAUUACCCGUUUUCGAUGUUUAUGGGCUUUACUUUACACUUUUAUAUCAUUUUUGGGACUAACCUACUAACCGGAGGCCCAGCACGAAUUGCUGUUUUUUUUGCCUAUUUCAGUGUUUCGAAGAAAAGGAAUAUCAAACGGAGUCCAAACGGAAUGAAACCUUUGGGAGCGAUCUUUUUGGGACAAACACAAUCCAGGAGACUUGGAGACGUCAAGAAGCAGUCGAGGCGGCCCCGAGGCAGGAGGGCGCGCCCUAGGGCGGUGGGCGCCCCUCCCACCCUCGUGGGCCCCUUGUGGCUCCCCUGACCUACCUCCUUUGCCUAUAUAUACUCCUGUACCCUGAAAACAUCGAGGAGCACCACGAAAACCUAUUUCCACCACCGCAACCUUCUGUAUCCGCAAGAUCCCAUCCUGGAGCCUUCUUCGGCCCUCCGCCGGAGGGGGAAUUGACCAUGGAGGGCCUCUACAUCAUCUCCAAGGCCUCUCCUAUGAGUUGUGAGUAGUUUACAACAGACCUUCGGGUCCAUAUUUAUUUGCUAGAUGGCUUAUUCUCUCUAUUUGAAUCUCAAUACAAAGUUCUCCUCGAUCUUCUUGGAGAUCUAUUCGAUGUAACUCUUUUUGCAGUGUGUUUGGUGAGAUCCGAUGAAUUGUGGGUUUAUGAUCAAGUUUAUCUAUGAGAAAUAUUUGAAUCUCCUCUGAAUUCUUUUAUGUAUGAUUGGUUAUCUUUGCAAGUCUCUUCGAAUUAUUAGUUUGGUUUGGCCUACUAGAUUGAUCUUUCUUGCAAUGGGAUAAGUGCUUAGCUUUGGGUUCAAUCUUGCGGUGUCCUUUCCCAAUGACAGCAGGGGCAGCAAGGCAUGUAUUGUAUUGUUGCCAUCGAGGAUAAAAAUAUGGGGUUUAUAUCAUAUUGUUUGAGUUUAUCCCUCUACAUCAUGUCAUCUUUCUUAAUGCGUUACAAUGUUCUUAUGAACUUAAUACUCUAGAUGCAGGCAGGAGUCGGUCGAUGUGUGGAGUAAUAGUAGUAGAUGCAGAAUCAUUUCGGUCUACUUGUUGCGGACGUGAUACCUAUAUACAUGAUCAUGCCUAGAUAAUCUCAUAACUAUGCACUUUUCUAUCAAUUGCUCGACAGUAAUUUGUUCACCCACCGUAAUACUUAUGCUAUCUUGAGAGAAGCCACUAGUGAAACCUAUGGCCCCCGGGUCUAACUUUUAUCAUAUAAGUUUCCGAUCUACUUUUAUUUUGCAAUCUUUACUUUCCAAUCUAUAUCAUAAAAGUACCAAAAAUAUUUAUCUUAUCUUAUUAUCUCUAUCAGAUCUCACUUUUGCAAGUUACCGUGAAGGGAUUGACAACCCCUUUAUCGCGUUGGUUGCGAGGUUCUUGUUUGUUUGUGUAGGUAUGAGGGACUUGUGAGGAGCCUCCUACUGGAUUGAUACCUUGGUUCUCAAAAGUUGAGGGAAAUACUUACGCUACUUUGCUACAUCACCCUUUCCUCUUUAAGGGAAAACCAACGCAGUGCUCAAGAGGUAGCAAGAAGGAUUUUUGGCGCCGUUGCGGGGGAGGUCUUCGCUCAAGUCAAGACAUACCAAGUACCCAUCACAAACUCAUCUCCCUCGCAUUACAUUAUUUGCCAUUUGCCUCUCGUUUUCCUCUCCCCCACUUCACCCUUGUCGUUUUAUUCGCCCUCUCUUUCUCGCUCGCCUCUCUUUUUUUGUUUGCCCCUUGCGUGCUCAUGUGUUAGUUCAUUUAUUUCAGCAUUAUGGCUAGUCCUCCUAUUAUCGUUAGUACUCCCGAUCAAGAAGUUCUUAAUUUUAAACAAAGGGAGGGAGAAAAUCUAAAAGAUGCUUGGCAUAGAAUUUGCAAUGCUCAAAAUAAAUCUACUAGGAAGCAAUCCACUUCCGUUCUUCUUCGCAAUUUUUAUGUUCGCAAUACUCCUUGGAAUAGAUGCAUUCUUGAUACCAUUACCUGAGGGAAAUUCUUGGGUAGCCACACUUUUGAUGCUUAUAAUGCUAUGUUAGAUUUGUUUGGUCCACCACCUCUCUUGGUUAACGGAACUGUCUUAACUCUAGAACAUGUGAUGCAAAGGCUUGAAAUUAUUGAAAAUAAAGUUGCUGUUGUCGAGUCAAUUGAAAUUUGGAUAAAAAGAUCCACAAUCAAAUUACCCAAUAUGGAUCUAAGGUUGGAGUAACUCUGAAAAGUUUUAUGGAUAAAGAACCUAUAGUUAACGAAAGAAUAAAUCAAGAUUCUACAAGAAUCAGUAAACUUGAGGAUACUAUUACCAACUUAGGGGAUGCCUUUUCCUCCGUGAAAAAUACUCCAACUCGUCCUACCAAAUUUGCCAAAUUAAUGUACGUUCCUAAAAAUAAGGGUGAAUCUUCUAGUAAGGAAAAUGCGGAUCUCGAAUCAAUAAGUGUUUAUCGCAACUUUCUCGCUUUUAUUAAGGAACCUUUUGCUACAAACGAAUCUCUUGAUUUCUUGCCUACGAGUUUAAUCAUUACUAAAACGAAAGAAACCCCUAAGGGUUAUAAGUGUUCUAUUGACGAAUUGAAUGCCAAAUAUGGCAAUACCUAGAUCUAUUCUUGCUUUUAUGCCUAGCUAGGGUAGUUAAACGAUAGCGCUUAUUGGCAGGCAACCCAAUUUUAUUUUUUUUCCUUGGUUUUUUGCUUCUGUUUAGUAAUAAAUAUUAAUCUAGAUUCUGUUUAGAUGUGGUUUUAUGUUUUAAUUAGUGUUUGUGCCAAGUAGAACCUAUAGGAUAACCUACGGUGAUAGUUAAUUUGAUUCUACUGAAAAACAGAAACUUUUGCACGGAUGAAAAUAAUUUUAAUAAAUGACAAGAACGUGAUUUUGAGUUGAUUCUUUUUUAAGUAGAUCAAUAGACAAAUUUCCUAGGACUUCUUAUUUUGGUAGGAUUUUUAGAGUUCCAUCAGUAUUCGAAAGUUGCAGAUUUCUACAGAGAGUGUCGUGGAAUUAACAUGUCAGAUGUCCUAGCGAAAGGAUUUAGUCGUGGAGCCAUCGCAACGGGUCAGCUUGAAGGGUUAAACCAGACAAAAGACACGGGAGUUUAUACUGGUUCGGCCCCUUGCGGUGAAGGAAAAAUCCUACGAUCCAGUCAGGGUGGAAUUGAUGUCGUCUCAAUGAUCAGGGAGCGGAAUCGCUUUACCUGGAUCUCGAGCUGUUGUUUCUUGUCCUUGAACCACUGCCGGGUUGUCCCUUUAUAUACAGAGGUUGACGCCCGCUGGAUUACAGAGUCCCAAUGCCGGUUUAUACACGGAUCCGGCUCGGUCUCCACUUUCCUACCUCAUGAUACAAGUUAUACAUUACAUGACGGUUUAUAUCUACAGGCCCUAAUCUACCUUUGGGCCUUGGGCCUUCGAGUCUCUGUAGUAAAGUGCCUUAUUCCUUGUCUUCAUGGGCUUCAAAAAUGGAUGAUUCAUAUGGGGAUAACCCGGCUUCAUCUGGCUGGUUUAUACCCAGUAGUAAUAUCCCCAGCAUUAGGCCCCAGAUUGAUUUGGACUAGUUAAUGUCAAUCUCCAAAAACUUGAGCAAAAUUCCUCCUUUAAUACCUUUGCAUAAAUCUUGUAAACCGCCAUGACGUCAUUGUCCAGGAUCAUGAUAAAUCUCUAUGAUGUCACCUGCUAUUAAAAAUGGUAUAUACCUCACCUUCAUUAAUGAGCCUCCAACAAUCGAGGCGACAGCCUUGUCACAUAUCCACCUAUUAGGCUCCUCGAUCUUCACGCCUAACACUUAUCUUUUCUCCUUUAUAAAUAAGACCGAGGGUCCUUUCCAUUCUCCACCUUGCGUUUUCAUCUCUUAUUCUUCCUCGCGACACCGAAAAGCCCGAGCUCCGCCGCCGCUGUCGACCUUCACGCUUGCACCAACAAGGUUGCUGCAUCAACCUGUUCUUGACCGGAUAAACUGCCACGCACCUCCGCUGCCCCGCAUCAUCAGUAAGUACUCCUCUUUCCAAAUAUCAGAUCUGCAUUAGGGUUCUGCUGUUCGUCGGUGUUCUUCAUUGUUCGUCCUUUUUCUCUCCUAGAUCUCAUAGACAGAUCUGAAACUGAUAGUAAAGGUGAGCGGAAAUAGUUCAAAGCCCCUAGUCAACCUCAUAUACCAUUUUUUACUGCCUGAGAUCCCGUCCGAGCAUAUGCGUUCUUCUGCUAUCGCGACCUUUAGGUUUAGAAUUUAUCCCCUUUUCUAGAACUGCGGUAGAUCCAAAUUUAUAAUACCAAUCUAUGAAAUCUGUUUGUGCAACACUUACGAAUAUUUCAGAUCUGUAUCUACCACACCACUGUAGGCGGUUUAAUCUAUAAAACAUGACAACUCACCAGGUACCAUUAGCCCUCUUUUAGACCACCAAUCUGCUUGAAAUAUUAAAAUCCGGUUUAAUAAUGUCAUCUUCUAUCAUUGCACCGGUUUACGAAUACUAGUCAUGAAUUUUAAACCGGAUAUUAAUCUUUUCCCAGCUUCCACCGAAAUGACCAAACAGUUUUACUCCUGCAAUUGGGUUCCUUCCCGGGUUACGGAGGCACAACUGAAUGGGUGUGUUGCAACUGGCGCUUUAGCAAGCAAGGACAUCAUUUAUUGGCGAGUCCCCGAUCCAGAAAAUCCUCCUGAACCCCAGGAUGGAGAAUUUAUUGUGUUUGCUGACCACCUGGGUCGAGGGUUUACCCCUCCCGGAUCAAAAUUCUUUCGUGACGUGCUCGCCAGCUUUCAGCACCACCCUCAAGACAUCGGACCAACUCAUUGUCCAAUAUUUGCAACUGGCAAGUAUUUUGUGAAGUAUACCUGCAAGAAGAGCCUAUUGUCGAGCUAUUCCAGGAUUUCUUUUAUAUGAACCGCCGUACGGAGUUCACUAACGGACCCAAUACUGAACUGGGCGGUGUUUCAAUUCAAAAGAGAAAAGAUGUUGAUUUCCCUCACGCCAAACUUCACAGUCAUCCCAAGGAAUGGAAUCAAACUUGGUUUUAUUGCCGGAAUACGGCUCCGGUCAAUGAAAAGCCCUUGUCGGGUUAUCGCCCACACCGGCUUACAAAAACUCAUCCCUUUCCUCAAUGACUGACUGCUCAGGAACGAGCAAAAUAUGCCCCUCAGCUGUCAAAACUCAGAGCUUUUGCUACAAGUAGACUGACUGGCGUGGAUUUUGUUCGAUGCUGGGUUUCAUGGAGCGUUUGACCUUUAAGCCGGCGCCCCGGUUUAAUGUGCGAAUAUAGAGGGGACCUGAAAGACCCUCAACGUCAUAUUGAUAUCUAGCUUACUGAUGAUGAUGUCACCGAAGCUGUCAAGAAAAUGCUUGAUGAGCCGAUAGACGUAUGCAGCAAAACCGGGCUCAAUCCUUUCUAUGCUGCCAACAAUCCGCCAAAGGUAGAAAUUACCGCCUUUCUAUCUUAACCCAUCCUUUAUUAAGUUUUCUUUGAUAACUUACUGUCUGUCUAUGCAGGUCGAUGAUCCGUUCUGGAAAAGGAAGUCUCAGGAUAAACCAGCAAGAGCUCCUCGUGUUAAGAGCAAAGCAACAAAGAGACCUCCAAAGAGAAAAAACCGUCGAGUCCUCUGUCCAGCCAGCUGAAGAAGAACUUGAUGAUCCGAAUUCAGAGGUAGAACUUGACUCUCUUGGUUCUUUUUUCAUACACCUCAUUGACAAUGAUUGUUAUUAGGAUGAGGCAGAGGUUAUCCAUGCUGGCGAGGUAGGGGUAAUCCUUCUUUCCUCCGACUCAAAUCAUGUGCCAUUACCAAAAAUCCGCCGAACAGUCCGAAAAGUAAAAUUUUCAUGCCCUCUUGCUUAUUUGGAUCCGCAAUUUCUUUUGAAGACACAACAACAUGAAAGUCAUCGUACAACUCAGCAUAGCGACCAAGUGGUGACCUCCUCCGGUUUACCGAACACUCCGGUUCAUAAAUGCCGUCAAGAGGUUUCUUAUAUCCCUGACACACUUUAUCCUAAGGCUGGUUACUUCCGAUAUCCUCUUAGUCCAUCUGACUCACAUUACCAGGGAACUUCCCAUUCAUCGUCCGGCGAGUCAUCAGCCACAAAACUUCCUCUCCUUAAAACUGUUCCUGGGUAAGUAUUGCUAACUUUAACCUUUUUGCCAUUCGUUAUUUGUUAUUAUACUGACUUUGUGCCUGUCUCUCCCAGUGCCAAAGCCAGGCACAGCAAAAAGGCUAAGUUGAAUAAGACAACCGAUGAUGAACCGGUCACUGAACCGGAGAAGGCCCAAGAGGCUGUUGACCCGGAUGCUAACCCCGUCCUUGAUGAUCCGGUACCUCAGGAUCUGGACUCUUUUGUUGAACCGAUGGAAGCAAACCCGAUGGGCUAGCCUACUAUUCCACCAAAUCCAUCUGCUAAUCCGCCAAGCCCAGCCAAGACUACAGAUGAUGAUGUUGUUGUAACUGGAACCGGCUUCACCUCCCCUGGCCAUCCUGUCGCUCUAUCAAAGCAUAAUGCCGAAGAGGAAUUUGCCGCUAUGGACUAAGGCAAAUGGAAAUCUGAUUUGUCAACCUAUGCCCAUCUCAACGCUCAAGACCUUCAUUCUGGUUUCUUGAACCGCCUGUACACCAGCCGUGAUUAUGAAGCUGGCUUAGUGGGUCUAAUGAAGGAUCGUUAUGAGGUAACUAUCACUUUCUUGUACAUAUAUUUUUAUUCCUUAUAACUAUCUUAGAAUAUCAACUCUAGUAGCCCUCAAGGGCCGGUUCAUAAAAGUGUUGUGAACCGGGUCUUGUAAUCGAUUGUACUAACUUUGCUGGAGUAGCCUCCAUGGACCGGCUUAUAUCUUUAGAAUGAACUGGUACAUCUCUUGUCAUACUGCUUCCACAACUUGUAAUCAAUGCGGGCCAUCUUUAAUCUUGAGAAAAUAUACAUUAGCCCCCAAGUGUCAAGUAGAUAACUUGUUAUGUGCUUGGGACUUAAAUUGACCAUUGCUAAAAAGCAAUCCGCAUUAGCCCCCAAGUGCCAAGUGUAUAACUUGUUAUGGACUUCGGACUUCAAAGAUAUAUUAGCAACUCUCUAACUAUCUCUUUCAGGCUGAGCUGGUCAAAAAAGACUCUCAAAUCACCAAUCUUCAGGAAAACAUCAAGUCCCAGCAAGCAGAGACUUCCAAGGUUAAAGGCGAGUUGACCUCUGCUUUAAAAACCAUGGAACAAUUGAAGGAGUACUUUAAGGGUGAACGUGCAGCCUGGGAAACCAAAAAAUCAACUUUGGUAAAGCGGGCAGAAGACGCUGAAAAUGCCCUUAAACCGGCAGCAGAAGAACUGAGCAGUUUGAAGCGGCAGAUCAAUGCCAUGACCUCUGCCAUCUUUGGUAAAGACUUCUUCAUAAACUGUUUAACAAUUGCUGGUUACGAAAUAUCCGGUUUAACAACAUCUUGACCCUUUUGCAGGUAUUCGUAUUGCUCAUCUUGGCACAGACAUGUGCAACAAGUUGAAGGAUGCCUAUACCUUGGUAGAGCAAUUAUAUGCCGGUGCUCAACAAGCCAUCUGCACAGCUUCAAAUAAUAAACCUCCCCUAACAUUAAUCAAGGAGACACUAGAGAAAUUAUCCAUGAUGCCUGCCCAAAUUGAAGAAUUGAAGAAAUCAACCGCUAGGGUCGGUGCUCUCACCGCAUUGACUCACGCCAAGGCCUGGAUAUCUGAUCUUGACCCAGAGGACAUUGGGAAUGGUUAUCCAAUCCAAAAGGAGGACGGGUCAGAAUUUGAUAAUGACGAUCUCAGGGCUAUCAAUCAAGAAAUGCGUCCACUGGCAAGCAAGUUGGCUGAAGACACUAACUUGUCAUUUUAUCAGAACUCUUAUGAUGCCAGCGGCAAACGGAUAAAUGCACCAACUUAUGACAUGGAAAACCUAAUCCCGCCAAACCGUAAGCAUACUUACGCUCCUGAUGUUGACCCAUCCAACCUUAUACACGAUGAAGCUGUCUUCCAGGCCUUAACCGGGAUUGAUUGGACAACUGUUGACUUCCAGCCCCUGGGUGAAGAAAGGGAGGCUGAACCGACGCAGGAUGAUUUGGAACCUUCACAUCAACCUGAGGAAUAGUCAUAAUCCGGAAGCCGGUUCAUCGUCUGUCCACUGUCAUUCUUGUGAAAGACAAUUACCCUUUUGGGCAAUCAAAAUGCCUUGUAAUAGGCUAGCUUGAAUAUUUGGUAUGUUAUGCCAUCGUGCAUUUUUAUGUUGCACCAUACUGUUAAUCCGUCAUGUUAUGUCUGCUUGUGAUCCUUAACCGUUUUAUACAGUCCUGCUUCUGCAUAAAAUAGACUGAAAAUUGUCCUGGCAGUUUAUCGCCGGACGGGUCAUAAUGCCCAAUAUAAAGUCAAGGUUUAUAACCAAAACUCUAAAGAUAAUGAAAUGUGAAACACAUCAUACCUGUGAUAUUAAAUCACCUUGUUGGUUUACCAACGUUCUUGUAAUAAGGGUGAUGACCCAAAUCUUGACUAUUAAUAGCUCACACCAUGUUAUACUGGUAUAUAAUAAGGCAUGUUGGGUUAUGAUAAACACUGGAUGAUCACCCUGGCGACUUAUAGUUAACACCAGGCCGGCUUGAUUAACACCGGUUUAUUUGGAAGACUCAUGGUCAGGCCGGGUCAUUUGGACGCCGGUUUAACUCAAAACCUUUAACAAGGGAGAAAAAGACUUUGAUGAAUAAAGACAAAUGAAAAAAUUUGUAGUCGAGACUUUUCAAGGGCUGCCAGGCCCAAAUUCGACGCUUUUCAUGGGCUGCCAGGCCACUGAGUUAAACCAUUUUACAGAGCCUGUUAAGAUGGUCCUCAAUCCUUAACCAAUCGCCGGUUUAUCAUUGACAAGUUCAGAGUCUUAUCAGAUUGACUUGUCAAGUUGGCGGGUCAUACCAGGUUUACCUGGAUGGAGUGACUUACUUAAUGAAGGCAGGUUAACCUGGGGUUUUAGGUGUAUACACCAGGCUUCCAAGCCGUGGCUUGAUAGCCUGUUGCAAGUGUAGAUUCUUUGUUCAUUGCCAUAGCAAAGAAUCCCCAAGCAACAUUUUGAGCUGUGCUCAAUGGGUGCCUAUGUUUGAGUUGUCCUUUGACAACACUCUUUGUCCCCUAAGUAAUUUUUUCUUUUGGGCGCUGAGCCAAUCAAGAGGUGUAGCUAUGGUUCGAAUACGACCAAGCCCCCAAGUGACCUAUAGAUAACUGUAUAAACUGAACCAAGGGGUAAACCGGGCGUCGUUUCACAAACAGAAACCCCCAUGUAACCACUCAUGAUAUAAGAAAAAUAACGGAUACCCCGCUUUAGCUGGGCUCCGGUUUAUUAUAUUGAUCAUAAUAUAUACAUCGUCAAAAAUAUGUACAUGAAGGGAGCCUAUAGCUCAGGUGUAGUAAGGUCGUAGAUGAGCGAUGUUCCACAGCCGGAUCGUUUCCUCCCCCAACUUGCGUGAGUCUUUAUGCUCUCGAACAUCGAUGAGGUAGUAUGAUCCGUUGUUCAGAUUCUUGCUGACCACAAAGGGCCCUUCCCAAGGUGGGGAUAACUUGUGCAUAUCGGUCUGAUCCUAGAUAAGCCGGAGCACUAAGUCGCCUCUUGAAAAGUUCUGGUUUUAACCCAGAGGCUGUGAUAACGCCGCAGGUCUUGCUGAUAAAUCGCCGAACAAGCUUCCGCCAUGUCUCAUGUCUCAUCUAACAGGUCUAAAUCAUCCUGGCGUGCUCUUUCACUGUCUGCUUCAACAUAAGCUGCCACUCGAGGCGAGUCAUGGCGAAUAUCACUUGGGAGAACUUCCUCCGCUCCAUAAACCAUGAAGAAGGGUGUAUAACCCGUAGAUCUAUUAGGGGUGGUGUUAAUGCUCCAUAAAACGGAAGGCAACUCCUCCACCCAACAACCCGACAUCCGCUUCAAAGGAACCAUAAGCCAGGGAUUGAUACCCUUCAGAAUUUCUUGAUUAGCUCUCUCUGCUUGUCCAUUUGAUUGGGGGUGGGCCACGGAUGACACAUCAAGCCGGAUAUGCUCACAUUGACAGAACUCUUCCAUAGCCCAUUUGGAGAGAUUCGUUCCAUUAUCUGUGAUAAUGCUAUGUGGAAAACCAAAGCGGAAGAUCACCUUUUUCAUGAAUUGAACUGCCAUAGCCAAUCACACUUGCUCACUGGCUCUGCCUCCACCCACUUGGUGAAUUUAUCAAACGCCACCAGAAGGUGGGUCUUCUUAUCCUUGAACCUCUUGAAAGGCCCAACCUUAUCCAGCCCCCAAGUUGCGAACGGCCAGGUGAUUGGAAUCAUCCUUAAUUCCUAGGCCGGAACAUGAGCUCGGCGUGAAAUUUUUUGACAGCCAUCACACUUUCUGACCAGAUCCUCCGCAUCAGCAUGAGCUGUUAACCAGUAAAAACCAUGCCGGAAUGCCUUGGCCACCAAAGAUUUUGAACCGGCAUGAUGACCAAAAUCUCCUUCAUGGAUUUCACGCAGGAUUUCACAGCCUUCUUCAGAAGAAACACAACGCUGAAAUGCCCCUGAGACGCUGCAAUGAUGCAACUCGCCCUUGACAAUGGUCAUGGACUUGGACCGGCGGGUUAUCUGCCUGGCCAAAACUUCGUCCUCUGGUAACUCGCCCCGGGUCAUAUAUGCUAGGUACGUCACUGUCCAAUCAGGAAUAGCAUGAAGAACCGCCACUAGUUGAUCCUCCGGGUCAAGAAUAGCCAAAUCUUCCUCCGUCGGUAUCUUGACCGACGGAUUAUGCAAAACAUCCAGAGAAACAUUAGGCAGCACCGGUUUACGCUGGGAUCCGAGCCGACUUAGAGCGUCUGCCGCUUAAUUCUUGCGCCGAUCAAUGUGCUCGACCUGGUAACCCUUGAAGUGACUGGCAAUGACAUCCACCUCCCGCCGAUAAGCUGCCAUAAGUGGAUCUUUGGAAUCCCACGUACCAGAUACUUGUUGAGCCACUAAAUCGGAGUCACCAAAGCAACGUACCCAGAUUAAGUUCAUCGCAUUAGCCAUUCGAAGACCAUGGAGCAAAGCCUCAUACUCAGCUGCAUUAUUAGUACAGGGAAAUAUUAAACUGAGAACAUAACAAAAUUUAUCACCUCGAGGGGAAGUAAGAACCACUCCAGCCCCCGAGCCCUCCAAUUGUAGGGAUCCAUCAAAGUGAAUAGUUCAGUAUGUGUUAUCCGGUUUAUCCUCCGGUGCCUGCAACUCUGUCCAGUCAUUGAUGAAAUCCACGAGCGCCUAGGACUUGAUAGCAGUGCGAGGCAUAUACUUCAACCCGUGAGGUCCAAGUUCGAUAGCCCGCUUAGCAACCCGGCCAGUGGCCUCCCUGUUCUGGAUGAUAUCUCCCAAUGGAGCGGAGCUGACACAGUAAUGGGAUGGCCUUGAAAGUACUGCUUAAGCUUCCGGCUCGCCAUAAACACUCCAUACACCAGCUUCUACCAAUGGGGAUACCUUUGCUUGGACUCGAUAAGUACCUCACUAAUGUAAUAAACCGGCAGUUGAACCGGAUGCUCCUUACCAGCCUCCUUGUGCUCCACCACAAUGGCCACGUUGACAGCUUAGGCGUUAGCAGCCACGUAUAACAACAAUGGUUCCUUAUCAAUAGGGGCAGCAAGGACGGGCGGUUCGGCCAACUGCUUCUUAAGAUCCUCAAAUGCCGCAUUAGCAGCAUCACUACAGACAAAAUUGUCUGUUUUCUUCAGCAUCUGAUACAGAGGAAUCGCCUUCUCCCCCAACCGGCUGAUAAACCGGCUCAGUGCUGCAAUCUGACCCGCCAGUCUUUGAACGUCAUUGAUACACGCCGAUUUAGCCAGGGAUGUGAUAGCCUUGAUCUUUUCUGGAUUAGCUUCAAUGCCCCUGUUAAACACCAAAAAAACCAAGAGCUUGCCAUCUGGCACACCAAAAACACAUUUGGUCGGAUUAAGCAUCAUCUUAUUGACCCUCAGAUUAUCAAAAGUUUCCUGUAAAUCAGUGCUGAGUGUUUCUGACUUCCUGGAUUUCACCACGAUAUCGUCCACAUAAGCAUGAACAUUAUGCCCAAUCUAAUUAUGAAGAUAGUUCGGCACACAACGCUGAUAAGUCGCCUGGGCACUUUUGAGUCCAAAAUGCAUAGACACAUAGGAGAAGGCUCCAAAGGGAGUUAUAAACGUUGUUUUCUCCUGGUCCUUAACCGCCAUCUUGAUCUGAUGAUAACCCGAAUAAGCAUCCAGAAAACUCAAACGCUCACAACCCACCGUAGCAUCAAUAAUUUGAUCAAUACGAGGGAGAGCAAAAGGAUCAGCUGGACACGCCUUGUUCAAAUCUGUGUAGUCCACACACAUAUGCCAAGUGCCGUUCUUCUUCAGUACCAACACCGGAUUAGCCAACCACUCCGGAUGAAAAACUUCGAUGAUGAACCCUGCUGCCAAGAGCCGGGCUACUUCCUCACCAAUGGCCUUGCGCCUUUCUUCAUUGGACCGGCAAAGAAACCGUCUGACCGGUUUAAACUUGGGAUCAUCAUUAAGGGUGUGCUCAGCGAGUUCCCUCGGUACACCUGGCAUGUCAGAAGGCUUCCCUGCGAAGAUAUCCAGAUUCCCACAGAUGAACUCAAUGAGCGCGCUUUCCUAUUUUGGAUCCAGAUUGGCACUGACCAUAAACUGCUUGGAUGAAUCGCCAGGCACAAAGUCAGCCAACUUGGUCUCAUCAGCCGAUUUAAACUUCAAGGCCGGGUCAUGCUCCGUAGUGGGUUUUUUCAAAGAAGUCAUAUAUGUCGGAUCAACAUUGUCCUUAUAGAAUUUUAACUCCUCUGUUGCACAAACCGACUCAGCAUAAGCCGCAUCAUGUUCCUCGCACUCCAAAGCGAUCUUACGGCUUCCACGUACUAUGAUGGUCCCCUUAUGACCCGGCAUUUUGAGCUGUAGAUAAACAUAACACGGCCUUGCCAUGAGCUUAGCAUAAGCCGACCGUCCAAAUAGGGCAUGGUACGGGCUUUGGAUUUUCACCACUUCAAAAUUCAAUGUCUCUGAUCUUGAGUCAUGCUCAUCUCCAAAAGCGACCACCAGGGCUAUCUUACCAACCGGAUAAGCUGAUUUGCUAGGCACCACCCCAUGGAAAACGGUGUUUGACGGUUUAUGAUUCUUAUCUGUUAAUCCCAUACGACGGAAGGUGUCGUAAUACAAGAUGUUGAUACUGCUCCGUCCAUCCAUGAGCACCUUAGUGAACUUAUAACCUCCAACCUGAGGCACCACCACCAACACCAGAUGACCUAGAUUAUCAACCUGGGGCGGGUGAUCCUCUCAACUCCACACAAUGGGUUGUUCAGACCAGCGUAAGUAACGGGGCACCGCUGGUUCAUCGGAAUUUACUGCCCUCUUAUGAAGCUUCUGAUCAUGCUUGCACAGGCUAGUAGUGAAAACAUGGUACUGCCCGCUAUUUAAUUGCUUCGGGUGACUCUGAUAACCCGACUGCUGUUGUUGCUGAUCCCCCGGUUGAUUGUAUCCACCUUGGUUGCUCUGAUUACUUUGAUUGCCAUGUCUGCCUUGAUUACCAUGGAAUCCUGAACCGGAAUUGCCUCCGCCAUAACCCAACCCGUAGGACCCGGGACCUGAACCGCCAGAUGAUCCAUGAUCAUUCCGGAAAGAAUCUGAAUCUUUGAACUCCCACAUGAUAUAACAGUCUUUCAAGAGGUGCGUGGCCGGUUUGUCCUGCGAUCCGUGCUUUGGGCAGGGCUGGUUCAGCAGGUCAUUCAGGCGCUCUGGAUUGGGACUUGGCCCUCCUCUUCGCUGGGGCGGUUUACCCUUACGAUGUUGACCAUUACCCUGCAUACUAGUGUUAGCCACGAAAUCUGAAUUACCGUCUGCCUUAUGCUUACCAUUAUUAUUAUGGCCUGCUUGAUUAUGCUGUGGUCCCUUCACACCAUCAUUCUUCCUUCCUUUUUCCGGCUGCUCAUCGUCAGACUCAAGAUCCUUAGUAUUAUCAGAAUCGGCAUACUUAACCAAAGCUGCCAUAAGUGUUCCCAUGUCAUUGCAAUGGCGCUUGAGCCGUCCCAACUUCAACUCCAGCGACUGAAACCGGCAAUUGCCCUCUAGCGUUAUAUUUGCGGAAUCAACAUUGAUGUGGUCCGACGAAUGUAAGAUUUCCGAAACCCUGCGCACCCAAUGAGUUGUUGAUUCUCUUUCUACUUGGACACAAGCAGCCAGAUCCACAAUUGACUUAGGUUGCCUGCACGUGUCCUUGAAAUUUGCAAUAAACUGGGCUUUCAAGUCGGCCCAUGAACUGACGGAAUUAACCGGCAAACUCUUUAACCAAGUGUGAGCCGUUCCAUCUAGCAUCAUAGUGAAAUACUUCACACAUGCCGCUUCAUCCACAUCUAGCAUCUCCAUUUCCAUCUCAUAACUCUCAACCCACGACUCGGGAGGUAAAUCGGCGGUGUAAUUAGGCACCUUACGUGGAUCCCUUGAAAUCUUUGGGCAGCCGUACAUUACGCAAAGCCGGGAUGAGAUAGGGCACUCCCCAAGAACUGAAAGUAGGACCUCAUUCCACGGAAGCCGUUGGACGAACCGGAGUGAGCUGAUAGUCCUGUGCUGCUUCUCGACGUGCUCUUCCGUUAUCCACCACCUCCUGAGCAUUUGCCCCACCGCGCGCCAGAUUAGGACCUCGAGGGGCAUCACAGUUUCGCGCACUGCUUGACACGGCCGGUUCAUCGAUGUGUCGGCUGUAACUCCGGCUCGGGCACGAAGUUGAAUAUAGUCUAUCUUGGCUAUAUGAAUAGGUCUGCUGUUGUACCAUAGCCGUUUGAAGAAGUUCCCUAGUGCGCCGCGUCUCCACCGCUGCUGGGGACUCACCCUCCAUUGGGAUAGCGGCCAAUCGUGAUGCCGCAACGAUCAUGUUAUCCAAAGGGGUGGAGAAGUGACCCGACGGUGCUGGCAUAUACUGUGCUGGUUCAUGGGUUCGUCGAGGCGGGUCAGUUAUUCGUGGCUGAUCUGGUGCUCCUGCUCCUGGUGCUUCAAUCCUGUUUAUUGCUACCGUAUUACUGGUUCCUGCUCCUGGUGUGCCGAAGAGAUUCAUUGCUUCAUAAACCGGCAGCAAUCAAGAUCGAUGCCUUCUCCUCAACAUGUCGUUUGAAGCGUUCUGAUCCAACAAACCUGAAAGAACUUGAGACGGCCUGCGCGCGGGGCCCAUGCCCUGAUUGCGGAUCCGGAAAUCAUUGCUACUGCAGUUGAAGAUUACAAUGUGGGCUGUGUACCGGCCAUGAAGAUUGCAACCUGGUUUGGCGGUUCCAGAGGGUCUGGAAUACUGUCGCCAUCGGAACAGCCCCCGAACCGGCCAUCUUGCAUCUGGUAAAGCAACUCGGUCUCGCCGGUGGAUGAUUUGCCAUCAGAGUAAAUGACCAUCUCAUCGUUGGACACCGAUUCAGAUUCCGCACUAUGAAUGAAUCCUACGAACGCAUGCUUCAUGGUAGGCUUAACCCGGGCAGGACUCGCACACUGAGCCAUUUCAACGAGGUCGGUGCAGAUGUCCGGCACAGGGCCCGGUUCGCCGAUCUUGCCGAUGAAAACGUGAAUUCCGCCGAAGGGGACCCGGUACCCGUACUCGAUUGAGCCGGCCUCGGGGCCCCAGCCUGCAUCGUUGAUAUACAGCUUGCCGCAAUGACUCUCGGUCAUCCGGCCAACCGCGUAUCCCUUGACUCCUUCAAAGUUGCCCUUCAAGAACUUGAAACCAUCGUGCGGUAGCCCCACGGUGGGCGCCAACUGUCGUAGAAUUAACAUGUCAGAUGUCCUAGCGAAAGGACUUAGUCGUGGAGCCAUCGCAAUGGGUUAGUUUGAAAGGGUUAAACCAGACAAAAGACAUGGGAGUUUAUACUGGUUCGGCCCCUUUCUGUGAAGGUAAAAGCCUACGAUCCAGUUGGGGUGGAAUUGAUGUCGUCUCGAUGAUCAGGGAGCGGAAUCGCUUUACCUAGAUGUCGAGCUGUUGUUUCUUGUCCUUGAACCACCGCUGGGUUGUCCCAUUAUAUACACAGGUUGACGCCCGCCGGCUUACAGAGUCUCGAUGCUAGUUUAUACAUGUAUCCUGCUCGGUCUCCACUUUCCUACCUCAUGAUACAAGUUAUACAUUACAUGACAGUUUAUAUCUACAGGCCCUAAUCUACCUUUGGGCCUUGGGCCUUCGAGUCUCUGUAGUAAAUCGCCUUAUUCCUUGUCUUCAUGGGCUUCAAACAUGGAUGAUUCAUUAUGGGGAUAACCCGACUUCAUCUGGCCGGUUUAUACCCAGUAGUAAUAUCCCCAACAGACAGUUCUGUUUUUGACAGAUUCUGUUUUUCGUGUGUUGUUUGCUUAUUUUGAUGCAUCUAUGGCUAGUAUCGGGGGGUAUGAACCAUAGAGAAGUUGGAAUACAGUGGGUUUAACACCAAUAUAAAUAAAGAAUGAGUUCAUUACAGUACCUUAUGUGGUGGUUUUUCUUUCUUGCACUAACAGAGCUUAUGAGAUUUCCUGUUGAGUUUUGUGUUGUGAAGUUUUCAAGUUUUGAGUAAAGAUUUGAUGGACUAUGGAAUAGGGAGUGGCAAGAGCCUAAGCUUGGGGAUGCACAUGGCACCCCAAGAUAAUUCAAGGAGAACCAAAAUCCUAAGCUUGGGGAUGCCCCGGAAGGCAUCCCCUCUUUCGUCUUCGUCUAUUGGUAACUUUACUUGGAGCUAUAUUUUUAUUCGCCACAUGAUAUGUGUUUUGCUUGGAGCGUCUUGCAUGAUAUGAGUCAUUGCCUUUCAGUUUACCACAAGCAUCCUUGAUGUACAUACCUUUUGGGAGAGGCACACAUGAUUUGGAUUUUAUUAGAAUACUCUAUGUGCUUCACUUCUAUGUUUUGAGCUAGAUAAUUUUGCUCUAGUGCUUCACUUAUAUCUUUAUAGAGCACGAUGGUGGCUUAAUUUUGUAGAAAUUAUUGAUCUCUCAUGCUUCACUUAUAUUAUUUUUAGAGUCUUUUAGAACAGCAUGGUAUUUGCUAUGGUUAUAAAAUUGGUCCUAGAAUGAUGGGCAGCCAAGUUGGGUAUAAUAAAAACUAUCGUAGAAAGUGAAUUGGAUGCUAUGAUCAAUUUGAUGCUUGAUAAUUGUUUCGAGAUAUAUAGGUGGUGAUAUUAGAGUCAUGCUAGUUGGGUAAUUGUGAAUUUAAGGAAUACUGGUGUUGAAGUUGGCAAGUCCCGUAGCAUGCACAUAUGGUAAAAGUUGUGUGACAAAUUUGUUGCAUGGGGUGCUCUUUUGAUUGCCUUCCUUAUGUGUGGAGGUCGGGGGCACGCGAUGGUUAACUUCUACCAACCUCCCCCUAGGAGCAUGCGUAGUAGUAUUUUGCUUCGAGGGCUAAUAAACUUUUGCAAUAAUUAUAUGAGUUCUUUAUGACUAAUGUGAGUCCAUGGAUUAUACACACUCUUACCUUUCCAUCAUUGCUAGCCUCUUCGGUACCAUGCAUUGCCCUUUCUCACCUUGAGAGUUGGUGCAAAUUUAGGCGGUGCAUCCAAACCCCGUGAUACGAUACGCUCUAUCACACAUAAACCUCCUUAUAUCUUCCUAAAUAGCCACCAUACCUACCUAUUAUGGCAUUUCCACAGCCAUUCUGAGAUAUAUUGCCAUGCAACUUUCCAUCGUUCCGUUCAUCAUGACACGCUCCAUCAUUGUCAUAUUGCUUUUGCAUGAUCAUGUAGUUGGCAUCAUAUUUGUGGCAAGGCCACCAUCAUAAUUUUUCAUACAUGUCGCUCUUGAUUCAUUGCAUAUCCCGGUACACAGCCGGAGGCAUUCAUAUAGAGUCAUAUCUUGUUCUAGUAUCGAGUUGUAAUUCAUGAGUUGUAAAUAAAUAGAAGUGUGAUGAUCAUCAUUAUUAGAGCAUUGUCCCCAAAUAAAAAAAAGGAGAAAGGUCAAAUAAAAAACAGAAAGGCCAAUAAAAAAGAAAAAAAAAGAAAGGCCAAAAAAAGAAAGGCCCAAAAAAAUAAAAAAAAUAAAAAGGGGACAAUGUUACUAUCUUUUUCCACAUUUGUGCUUCAAAGUAGCACCAUGUUCUUCAUAUCGAGAGUCUUCUAUGUUGUCACUUUCAUAUACCAGCGGGCACUUUUCAUUAUAGAACUUGGCUUGUAUAUUCCAACGAUGGGCUUCCUCAAAAUGCCCUAGGUCUUCGUGAGCAAGCAAGUUGGAUGCACACCCACUUAGUUUCUUUUGUUGAGCUUUCAUACAUUUUAUAGCUCUAGUGCAUCCGUUGCAUGGCUAUCCCUUCUCCUCAUGUUGACAUCAAUUGAUGGGUGAUAACCCAUAAGUGUAGGGGAUCGCAACUCUUUCGAGGGUAUAGUAUUCAACCCAAAUUUAUUGAUUCGACACAAGGGGAGACAAAGAAUAUUCUUGAGUAUUAGUAGUUGAGUUGUCAAUUCAACCACACCUGGAUAACUUAGUAUUUGCAGCAAAGUAUUUAGUAGCAAAAGUCGUAUGAUAAUAAAGGUAAUGUUAGCAAAAGUAAAGGUAAUAGUUUUUGGGUUUUUGUAGUAGUUGUAACAGUAGCAAUGGAAGAGUAAAUAAGCGAAGAACAAUAUGUGAAAAUCUCAUAGGCAAUGGAUCAGUGAUGGAUAAUUAUGCCGGACGUGAUUCCUCAUGUAAUAGCUAUAACAUAGGGUGACACAGAACUAGCUCCAGUUCAUCAAUGUAAUGUAGGCAUGUACUCCUCAAACUACGGUCAUCACCGAGAAGUAUCCCGAUUAUUGUCACUUCGGGGUUGUCGGACCAUAAGACAUAAUAGGUGACUAUAGACUUGCAAGAUAGGAUCAAGAACACACAUAUAUUCAUGAAAACAUAAUAGGUUCAGAUCUGAAAUCAUGGCACUCGGGCCCUAGUGACAAGCAUUAAGCAUAGCAAAGUCAUAGCAACAUCAAUCUCAGAACAUAGUGGAUACUAGGGAUCAAACCCUAACAAAACUAACUUGAUUACAUGGUAAAUCUCAUCCAACCUGUCACCGUCCAGCAAGCCUACGAUGGAAUUACUCACGCACGGCAGUGAGCAUCAUGAAAUUGGUGAUGGAGGAUGGUUGAUGAUGAUUAAGGGAGUCCAGGAUUAGGGGGUAUCCGGACAGCCGGACUAUAUACAUCGUCCGGACUAUUGAAGUGUGAAGAUACAAGACUCAAGACUCUGGCCCAUGUUCGGAUGGGACUCUCCUUUGCGUGGAAGACAAGCUUGGCGAUCUGGAUAUUGUAUUUCCUUCCUUGUAACCGACUCCGUGUAAACCCUAGCCCUCUCCGGUGUCUAUAUAAACCGGAGAGGAUGGUCCUUAGAAGGCCGAUCACAAUUACAUUCAUACCAUCAUAGGCUAGCUCUUAGGGUUUAGCCUCUACGAUCUCGUGGUAGAUCUACUCUUGUACUACCCAUAUCUUCAAUAUUAAUCAAGCAGGAAGUAGGGUUUUACCUCCAUCGAGAGGGCCCGAGCCUGGGUAAACAUAUGUGUCCCUUGCUUCCUGUUACCAUCAGCCUAGACGCACAGAUCGGGGCCCCCUACCCGCGAACCGCCGGUUUUGACACCGACAUUGGUGCUUUCAUUGAGAGUUCCUCUGUGUCGUCGCUUCGAGGCUUGAUGGCGCCUUCAAUCGUCAACGACACGGUCCAGGGCGAUACUUUUCUCCCCAGACAAAUCUUUGUGUUCGGCGGCCUCGCACUGCGGGCCAAUUCGCUUGGCCAUGUGGAGCAGAUCGAUGGCUACGCCCCCGGCCACCAGGUCAGGUUCGGAAACCUGAACUACACGGCCGAUGUCCGCGGAGACUUGAUCUUCGACGGAAUCUGGCUUGUACCAGGAGCGCCAGACAGUCACGACGAGCACGGCACAGACUUGCUGUCGGACAAUGCUCGAGAUAACACCCCGACAGUAGCCCCAGAUCUAAAUCCGGAGCAGGUUGCGUUGCCUAAGGACGGAGGGGUGGAUCCCGCCCCGCAGGCCGCAUACUCAUCGGCGAUGGAGCCGAACGCAGGCCUCAUCUCUGCGGAGGCCUGUAACCCCGGGCCCCCGGACUCGUAUCCGGUUGUUGGCUCCGGUCCGCACACUCUCAAGCCAGCCGAUCCAGGUUGGGCUCUUGUAAUGGAGUUUACCGCUGCGGACAUCUUCCAGCACUCGCCUUUGGCGACAUGCUGAACUCAUUAAAGUCUCUCUUUGUCAGGAGGCUCUGGGCCGAACUAUGUCCGGUUUGAGUGGGAAGCAGGCGACGAAGGAAUUCGCUGCCCACCCACCACCCACUUCACUGCCACGAUCGAUGAUUUAACCGACGUUAUUGACUCCGAAGACAUCGACGGUAUGGACGACGAUGCAGGAGAAGCUUCAGAAUCUCUCGGGCGCGGGACUACUACCUCGGCACACGAUAUAUACAUGGUGGAUACGCCCAAGAAGGAUGAUGGCGAUAAUCUGGAAGAUAAAACACCCGAGCAAAAGCCAAAACGGCGGCGCAGACGCCGCUCAAAGUCCAGCAACAGUAAAAAUAGCGACAAAAGCGCAAGAAGGAUUGACAUCCCAGUAAACCCCGAAGGCAAUAACGACCACAUGGACCCAGCGAUGGAGCAGGACAAGCCAGGUCACGCCAAACCGAGUUCGGAGCAAAUACCCGAUCACAAUGAUCCAGAGGGACGAGCUCAUGAAACCGCCUCAAGACAGGAACACAGUCCGGACGAUGACGCAUUCACCAUUCCGGACGAGCACGCAGAACGAGACAACCUCCACCGAAAGCUUAUGGCCACGCGAGAAGUCUAAAAAAGCAGAAGCAACGGCUCAAAGCCACACAGGAAAUGCUCAGUCGGAGAUGGAAUAAAGUGCUAGACAUUGAAGAAAGAUAUGGCGACGAUCGCCAUACAAAAACCUAUCCAAAACGCAAACUACUGCCAGAAUUCGACGACGAGGCCGUUCCACCAAAGAAUAAUACGAACAGGAGACCAGACGCACCGCUUCACAACCACAACAGAGCGGCUACUGACGCCGCGCACGAUCUACCCGAACAUCUGGAUAAGAAAGCCGGUGCAACCAGGUCCAUCUAUGGAUCUGAAGGACACACCCCGGCGAGGGAUUAUGGUCACCCAAACGCCCAUACAAGCCAAAUACCAGUUCGGAAUAAACACCGGACACAACAACAGCCGACUGCAUGCCACAACGCACCCAGAUACAGAGGGGCUGCUCACCCCUGUGCUUCACCGAAGAAGUACUGGACCAUGAAUUCCCACAAGGCUUUAAACCUGUGAACAUAGAGGCAUACGAUGGAACGACAGACCCGGUGGUCUGGAUCAAGGAUUUUAUCCUGCAUAUUCACAUGGCUCGUGGGGACGACCUCCACGCCAUCAAAUACCUUCCCCUCAAGCUGAGGGACCAGCUCGACAAUGGUUGAAAAGCCUCCCCGAAAAUUCAAUCGGGAGUUGGGAGGAACUCGAGGACGCUUUCAGGGCCAACUUUCAAGGGACUUAUGUCCGGCCUCCGGAUGCAGACGAUCUGAGUCACAUAAUCCAACAGCCCGGCGAGUCCGCCCGCAAGCUUUGGAGUAGAUUCCUCACUAAGAAGAAUCAAAUUGUCGAUUGUCCGGACGCCGAAGCCUUAGCAGCAUUCAAACACAGCACCGCGACGAGUGGCUCGCCCGGCACCUCGGCCAAGAAAAGCCAAGGACAAUGGCAGCCCAAACAGGCCUUAUGACCCGCUUUUGCGCGGGUGAAGAUAGCUGGUUAGCCCGUAAAGGCACCAGCGACCCCAACACAUCCGAAAUAAGGGAUGGCAACGGGAAGCCACGGUGUAAUAAACACAAACACCAAAACAAGGAAGAGAGCCCGGACAACACAACAGUCAAUGCCAGAUUCAGGGGCUCUCGACCGGAUCAGCAAAAGAAGCCAUUUAAAGACAGUAAAGAGGGACCGUCCGGUCUGAACAGAGUCCUGGACAGACUAUGCCAAAUUCAUGGCACCCCCGAGAAACCUGCGAACCACACGCAUAGAGAAUGCUGGGUCUUCAAGCAGGUCGGCAAAUUAAAUGUCGAACACAAGGUUAGGGACACACCAAGCGAAGACAAGGAUGAACCUCGCCAGCGGAACACUGGGGGACAAAAAAAUCCCACUAGAGGUUAAAAUAGUAAAUAUGAUCCACGCGACUCACACAUUCACGAGAAGGCACGAAUGCGCGCUCACAGACGCGGACGAUGUAGAGCCCAUCGUACCCACAUCUGACUAUUGGAUGUCUCAUCCGAUCACUUUUGAUCACAUGGACGGUCGAACUAGUAUUCGGCGUGGAGGAUCAGAGGCCUUGGUGCUUAACCCAAUAAUCGACGGAUAUCGUCUCACCCGUGUCCUCAUGGACGGCGGCAGUAGUCUCCACAGAAUGGGGAUAAACCCAUCCAAAAUUAGCCAAAGCAACACCACCUUUGAAGGGGUGAUACUAGGCGCUGAAGCCUACGGCAGGGGCUCUGUCGUGCUGAAUGUAACAUUCGGCUCCCCAGGCAACUCCAGAAGCGAAGAACUACUCUUCACCAUCGCACCCUUCUAAAGCGACUAUCACGCAUUUCUUGGAAGAAUGGCCUUCGCCCGCUUCAACACACUGCCGCACUAUGGCUACCUUACACUCAAGAUGCCCGGUCCACGUGGCAUCAUCACCGUUAGCGGAAUCACAGAGCACUCUUCACGCGCAGAGGAACACACGACGGCCCUGGCGGCCGGACUGUAAGCGGCUUCCAAUACCAAAAAAUAGGACUGGUCGCUAAGACCACAGACACGGUUAGACGAGUCCGGUAGCCUAGAUAACAUCGAACCAGGGCACCGUAUAUGUAAUCCCAUAGAGGACACCAGGGGCUAUAAAUAUUUAAUAAAGCACUACAAAAAAAUACACUUCUGUGAUGAUACGUGUUUGUCACAGUAGGUCGCGUUUUUGUCAUGCAUGUACAUCCAUGAAAAUUUUAUGACAGAAUCAAGAUAGUCAUACUUGUGCUGUCGUAGAAGUGUUCCAUGACAUUACCAAAAUUAUCAUCACGGAAGUGUCCACUUCCAUGACGAUAAAUCGCGCUUCACAGAAGUGCUUUCGUCAAGGGUGACCGACACGUGGCAUCCACCAUAACGGAACGCCAUUACGCUAUCGGGUCGAGUUUUCGCGCCGAUAACCCGUUAACAGCCCCAACCAAUGGGGAUUUUCCAUGUGUAAAAUCAUCAUUGGCUGGAGGAAACACUUGUCGGCUCACCGUUGGGACAGAUGUCAUCCGUUCAUUGGACCGAAGUCGCCUAUGAUAUGGCGACACGUGGCACGGCCCAACAGAGGCCCAUUCCUGUGAAAAGGCCGGCCCGUUUGACUUGGUCAAAAGGUGGCGGCCCGGCCCACGGAAAGCCUGAUAACGGCAUGUUCGCAUAUAGCCCAUUUACAGCCCGCUAACCCAGGGCCCGUUACGCCCUAUCCGAAUUAGGCCCAGUAGCGUCAACUAGACCGUCCAAUUUGAUUCAGCCCGUUUUAACUUCCGGUCCAUGUGUGGCCCAUGACUUCUUUCGGCCUAUAUGGGGACCUUUGUAAAUCUUGGCCCAUUAACGGCCCGUGGUGAAACUGGCCCGUAAUGAACAGUGUAUUACUUUAUACCCAUUAACGGCCCGUUGUUCCAUUGGGACGUUUCCAGCCCAAGUUAUCUUUCGGCCUUCUUAGGACCCAUUCAUUCUUGGGCUCAUUUGCAGCAUUCAGUUACAUACGGCCCGUUAUUGUCAUUUUCUGCUUGUGGGCCAAAUUCAGCUCGUUGUUACAGUCGGCCCGUUUGUGGACCGUUAAUACGUUGGGCCGUUUUCAUGUCAAAAAAACCCGUCGGGCUGUUUUCAUAGAGUUAUCAAAUACGGCCUAUUAACGGCCCGUUAUGGUCCACGAAUAGUACGACCCAUGAUUGGCGAAAUGAUGAUACGCCCCGUAGAAGGCCCAUGGAUCCUACGGCCCGUAUGAGGCCCAUGGAUAGUACGGCCCGUAGAAGGCCCAUGGAUCAUGCGGCCCAUAGGAGACCCAUGGACCCUACGGCCCAUAGAAGGCCUAUGGACCCUAAGGCCCGUAUAGAAGGCUAAUGAAUCCUACGACCCGUAUAGAAGGCCAAUGGAUCCUCGGCCGGACGAAGGCCCAUGGAUCAUACGGCCUGCAGGAGGCCCAUGGUUACAACAAUCUGUGUGUUGUCAUGAUUAUUUUGGCCUAGUUACCAAAAAUAGGCUAUUGUGGCCACUAGAAAAACACAGAAAAAGAACUGCAGUGACUACAAGCAAACAACUAAACAAGACAAUAAGGAAAUAAAUAAGCAAGCAAUUAAGGCUAGCCUAUUACCGCUAUUACACAUAUUACAUCCACUGGGCAUCAAAGUUCGCCACCAGUGCAAAUAUAGGGAACAAAGCAGCAUAUUACAUACACUGGCCGUUGAAAUUGGCCACCAGUGCAAAUAAAUCCGGCAGCAAAACAAGAGCAUAACUGAAACAACUUCAGAAGAGCUCAAUAAACAUUAUCCUGGGUAUCCACCAUGCUGGCAAUAAGCUUAGCAAGCUGAUUAGCUUUGUCCUGUUUGGCGCUAAAAUCCUCCAACGCUUGCUCUUGCACCAGAAAGUAUGCAUCUAAAUGCUCUAGGGACUUCCGCAGUCCUUCCGCUUCUUGUCGCAGCAUAACUGAUCGAUGUCUUUCAGCUUGUAGUUGAGACUCAAGAAACCGAACUGAUUCAGACAGUGAGUUUGAAUAGCUUGUGCUUGCGGUAGUGGCCAGUAACUCGAACACUAAACCAAGACAGGACUUUGGGGUUGUCUCGCUGUCUUCAAGAUAGUCUUCCUUAGCUAUUUUAUCAGCUUUGUUGGAGACCAACAAGGAUGUGUCACUAUCUUGAACCUUAUCUGCAUUACUUCCUUUACCAUUGCUUAAUAAGGCACUCUUCCCCAAUAUUCUGUCAGCAUUCUAAAAGAAGAAACAAGCAGACACAUAACAAGUUUAGCAUGUACUAGUAUAUGAAACUCAUUUCGGUGAACCAGUUCAUUAGUAAGGUGGACAGGAUUAAACUACCAAGUCUUCUAUUACCAAGUACUAGUACAUAAUAAAAGCAUCAAAUAAACAUAUAUAUAUGUCCUAUGGUCACUGCAUUGUCUUGCCAAAUCAAAAUAGAGACACGGUUCAAAUCAUAUCAGUUCAAGACAAAGCAGCAGUGAAAGAAUACAAAGCGUGGGAAACUACACGGCACAAUAAGAUUUCAGAUGGGUACCACGGGUCUACAUGUACAACAACACUAUUGGCUCUGUUGUGAUGCUACUAAUGUGCAUGAUAUGAAAGUCAACUGUAUACACAAUUGAAAUUGAAAUCAACAGAGCUAUUGAUAAGAGCAAACCUGUUAAAGAAACAUGCGUGAACAUACCUGCUGUGCCAUUGGAGUUUCAAUUGGAUCCUUCAAUUUAAAAAUAAGUUUGUAUGAGUAAAUACAGUGAUACAAGAACAAAGCAAUCAUAGUUAAAAAAGGCGCACAUAAGCGAACGCUUAAGCGCGCCUAGGCUCUAGGCGUUGGCAAAACGCAUUGCGCAUAACUACACAUAAUCUAUGCAUAACUGUGCAUAAGCAUGCGCUUUGGUCAGUAAAGCGCAAUGCGGUGGCAAAACGCACAAUUAACGCCUAGCGCUUUUUUGAACUAUGAUAACAAUGGAAUCUUAAAUUAGAAUAGUUGUUCUUUAGGUUUAGGCACUUGUUCUACAUGAACAGAGUACAGUAAGAAGCAAGAAUAAAAUACUUAAAAAUUGAAAAUGAGCUCAUAGACCUUACCAUAUUCUUGGUUCGGGACCAGUACAGAACAAGGCGUUCCCAGUCAUCGUCCAGUAAAUGUGUCUCAGGAGAACAUAAGGGAAUUUGAUGAGUUUCUUUGCCGGUGAAGUACGUUUUCUUUAGGUAAUUCCAAUACUGCCACCAAGCAUUCUUAAAGAUAGCAGAGGUAUUAGCACAGGUUACCUCAUCCUGAGUUUCCAAAUCGGUCCUUCUCUAUAGAAAAAAUGGGAAAAAUUGCGGUAUUAUAACCAUCAUGGAGGUAGGAUGUAUGGGACGAAGCAAAAUAAUUGCCAUGAAUAACAUUACUUAGACAUAACUCCUGGACAAACACCUGCAACUGGUAUUUUCCUUCAUCUUCAGUAUAAUAUUUCCAAGAUGGGAAGAUACGCACAUACGAUUUAACAACAUCAAAUGCGAUAGAUGCUAAACUACGACUGGCUGGUUGUGCUUCCUCCACACGAAUAGGCGUACUAACUGGUGGAGUUGGGGUUUGCCGUGAUAGUACUGGACCUUUGGGCACUGGAGCUACCUUACUAACUGCUCUUGUUUGGGAGCUCUGUGGUGGAGAUGGUGCUGUGUCAACAGGAACUGGGUUACUAUCGGCUGGGGUUGGGGUUAGAUUGGGUGAAGCUGGUUCUCUGUCCAUCGCAGUAGGGGUACAAUCUGCGAGAGUUUGGGUUAUGUGUGGUAGGGCUGGCUCUUGUGCAUGUACAACCGGGGUGCUAUCUCCACGAAGAGGUAGCACGGUUUUAUUUGAAGACCAUGUUUUUAUUCUGCUAGAUACUGGCAUCACCCGCUCCAAUUCAAAUGGCUGAUAAACAGGAAACAUAGUUGAAUGUACAGACAUUGUAUGAGAGACAGAUGCAAUAGAUAGUGUGGAAAAAAGAGGGCAUGAAAUAGUUGACAUGUAUAUUGUUUAACUAAAAUGGAUAGCAUGACAUAAUUUCACAUAUAUGAUGUCUAAACUGGAUAGCAUAGCAUAACAUAAUUCAAAGAUAUGAUGAAUAACUAAACAGGAUUGCAGGACAUGAUUCACCUACAUGUUAUCUAAGUAAUUAGGAUCGCAUCAUUUAAUUCACAUAUGUGAUUUAUAUGCUAAACAGAGGGCAUUCGAUAUGAUGUCUGAACUAAAAACAUGAUGUUGAAUAUUGUGUAUAUGAUGUCUAAACUAUGCAAUGCAAGACACCAUAUGCAUGAUAUGAGCAGUAUAACCAUGCCAAGUUAGGGCAUACACCUCAGUGGGGGAAUAGGACUGGUCAUCUAUCUCUGAAUCCAUCUCUGAGGAGCUAUCGGGACCCAACAAGAGAUCUGCUUCGACAGGUAGCACUGCCUGCUCCGAAGGCCUUGUUUUCACUCCAGAUUUUUUCCAUCUCCCACCCAAAUGGUUGAUUCACAGGAACAAUAGUUUAAUGUACAAACAUUGUCGACAAAUGGAAAUGUAAUGAAGAAAAGGAUGGGCAAGAUAUCAUUCAAAUAUAUGAUGCCUGGUUAAACAGGAUGGCAUUGCACAUUUCACAUAUAUUAUGGCUGGCUAAAAGACAUGAGACUGCAUAAUUCCCAUAUAUGAUAUAGAAACUAAACAGGUGGCAUUAUAGAACAUGUGUAAACUAAGCAGAUGACAUAUAUGAUGUCAAAAGUAGGCACUGCAAGGCAACAUAUGCAUGAUAUGACUAACAUCAUCAUGCCAAGGUAGAGCAAACACCUUGGGGGUAAAUAGGAGUGGUCAGCGGCGUCUGAAUACGCCUCAGAACAGAUAUCUUCCUUUGGAUUACAAUCUGGAGAGGGGUGGGGAGGGUUUGCCAUUGAACCCACCAUGGAGCGAUGUCUGCAUGACAUUGUAUUGCCGCGCAAAACUCUUCUAUUUUUCUCUACAUGUUCAGCAUGACUAUGUACCAUAUCUGAUAUGCAUACAAAAAAAGAUGGUGAGAUUAUGUAAGGAGAGCAUGCAGAAAUUUAGAGUGAUGGUAACAACCAGUGGAUUGACGUUUUUCUGUUGAACCAAAAUAGCCCUAAUGGAUCGACGUGAAUGUAUAGUAAUAAUUGAUGCAACAAGUGUACAACCUCUUUGUCAUAGCCGUGUUGACCUCAGCAUCAUUGGGUUGAUCGUUGAAGCAGUUGAGGCAGAGGUGGCUGUCGGAGGUGUGGAGGAAGACCUGAGGAAUCUGUAGAUGGCGUCCAGGGCAUAGCUCUGUUGUGAUGGAUCGUUCUGCCGUUGGAGCAGCUCCGGUGAGCCGUAAGACGUUAAGGCUGAAGCAGCACAAGACAGACACCGUCAAUCUCAAGUGGGAUUCUAAUAGCAUCUCCAAUAGAUGAUGUAAAAUGGAUGUAAAAUUAACAUCACGAAAAUCACCUGACUAGAACAGAUGAGGUAAAAAUUGUUGACUCUCAACUUAACUGUCGAAACUGAAAUUUACUGUGGAAUCUGAAUGCUACUCUCGAAACUGAACGCAAUGGUAGCAGAGAGGCACUUGACAUGUAGUUUAGGGAGGGCCUGCAGUUCAUCUUCAACCUGCACCCCCCUGAGCCGCCAGCCACCACCGGCCAAACCAACGGCCCCAGCGCCGCCUCGCCGCCCCGAAACAACUCGCCACCGCCACCCCGGCCAGCCCUCUAGGCCCCCCGCCCCCACCCUGAACCCUAAGAUAGAUAGUGGGGUACCUCUCCGGCGAGCCCCCAUCCCUGCUGCGGGUGGUUCUUCCUUAACUCUGGCGAGCCGCCCCCAACCCCUGAAAAUUGACUGACCCAAAAGUCGAUUCAGCCGAAUGAAGUGUGGCUUAAUCGGAGCAGAGCAGCAGCACAAGCGAGGGGGAGAGCAGCAGCAGCAGCUCGGCGAGCGAGCAAUCGAGCGAGAGCCGGAGCAGCAGCAGCAGCGUUAGCGAGCGAGCAACAGCCGGAGCAGCAGCAGCAGAUCCGGCUGGUAUGGACAUCGCCACCGAAGGGGACUCGCACUGGGGGAGAGCCGUCGUGGAGAUGUCGCCCGCGGUGCCGGCUUCAAGGUAGCCGUUCCAUGGGGGUGCAAGAUGGAGCACCGUCAGCGCCGGGAGGUUGAGUUAAGGAGAAGGUGCGAUGCGAUGAGUGUACAACCUCUUUGGUGGCGCCGAGUAGGCCUCGGCUUCGUCCGAGGAGUCGGUGAGGAUGAUGUGGUUCCGGUGGAGCAGGUUAAGGCGGCGCUGUGGGGACGGAGCAACCACGAUAGACGAGGCGAUCGUCGGAGUAGCUCCUUGGAGGUGGAGGACGGGGCGGCUGAACCGGCUGGACGGCGAGAUGGACGACGGAUCCUCAUCCGGGGAGGUGGACGAGGGACGUCGAGCUGUUGCGGUGGACGAUGUCAUCGGGGAAGAGGCUCCGGCUGGGCAGCGAUGACGUGGCGGACGGAGGAGGGUGGGGUUUCGCGGCUGGAGCAGAGAGGUUAUGGUGGCCUGGGAUUUUGAAUGGCGAAAAGGGGGCGAUGGGAGGGGGUGAAGCAUGACUUAGGGACGCGCUUGUCCAAAAUGUACGGUGUGUUACAAAAGUACCCCCCACCGAUUUGUACUAAUGGCCCUUUCGGCUCAGGGUUAGAAGGGAGAUUUCGCGUGUCGGGAUUUGGCAGCUGGAGGGAGUUUUCGCGCGCGUUGUAAUUUCGGGAUAGCAAGGCGCGGGUUGUGAAGGCGCCAGUUUUGGGAGCACGAUAUCUGAAUUUUCGGGAUAUAACAAGACGCGGGUUGAAUUUUAGGGACAAGCCUAACAUGUAGUAAUAUUGUACUUGUACGUACCAAAUCAAUUCACACUUCCCUCAACCGAAAAGAAAACAAAAAAAUAAAACUAUUCACACCACACAAAGAGAGAGUCUUGCCCCGUUUUACUAUACAAAUGCUAUUCAAAGCUACUCCCUCCUUCCAUCUAUAUAGGGCCUAAUGCGUUUUUCGAUGCUAACUUUGACCAAAUAUUAGAGCAAUGAUAUAUGACAUGCAACUUACACAAAGCACACCGUUAACUUCGUCUGUGAAAGGUUCUUUCAAUGAUAUAAUUUUCACAUUGUGCAUGUCAUGUACUAUUAAUCUUGUCAAUAGUCAAAGGCGGUCUUAAAAAUCUCAUUACGCCCUAUAUAGAUGGAAGGAGGGAGUAUGAAUCCAUGUUAUGUCCGAUUAAUUUUUUUCGCUUGCUGUAUAAUGCAUGUAACCUACUCAACCAACAUUUUAGUGCAUUCCAAAUGUCUAUACUACCACUGCAAUUCGAACUAAAUUUGAAUUUGUUUCUCUAUUUCAAUAAGAAUCUACAAUCAUGAUUGUUGCCAACUUCAACCAUCAUAGUUUCCUUGCUAUCCGCCAGAUAUAAAUCGGACGGCCUAUAAUGCAGGAUGGCAGGCACACCAUCAUCAACAACUCUGUUUUUAUAAGAGUAGAGAUAAAAUAUAUUAAAUGUAGUAUAACAUGUUCAUAAACACACCAUGUGUAUCACCGUUAUAUAUAUUCACACAUGCGUCGGUUUAAAACACUAUUAUAAAUUCUUCAAAUAUCUGAAUUCGCUUUUUAUAAUGAAAUAUAUAUGAUCUGUAUUUGUCUUUUACACCCAUACAACCCUCUUAUAUUUGUAGCUAGCGCUAACUUUCUCUUGUGCAUGCACACGCCCGCAUCCCUCUCACCCUCCCUCAGCAUUCUCUAGCUCCAUCAUGCAAAUUCGUCUUUUCACUUUAGGUCGUUCACCCACGGUGUGUGUAGGCCCCCCAGCUCCUUCUUUACGGCACACAUCGAUCGAUAUGCCUCUCUAGCCAUGUGUGCCUAGCACAAACACAAGCUUCCACUCUUCUCUUGUCACCGUCCAUGCCUCACUCCCGCCACUCUUUUCAUCGUUCUCGUACUCGCACACUCCUCCCCGCUCGAUAUAGUACGCCUCUCGUACCACCUCCUACAUGCAUCCCUCUAUCUCUAUCCUUCUCCUCGUGCCUUGUUUGCUUCUAACACACACAUGCAUGUAUACCGAUCGAUCUCCCAACAUAUACCUGGAUCGACUUUAACUACCCCCCCAUCGAUCGACGUACCACACAAGUUAUGUCUCUCCUUUCUCUAACAAAGGGCGACUGAUCUUCCUAUGUAGUUAUGUCUGCUUACCACAGCCACAUCGUCCCCCCUCAUCAUUCGUGCAUCCUCCUGACCCGUCUCUCACACGCACGUGCACAGACAACAAGAAGCCAUCUCCUCUGUUAUUGAUAUUGCGGGCGUGCCCUCCGUUUGUCUAGCAAGCCUAUCCCACCAUUUGUUAGAAGCAACUCCACUACCACCCCCUCCAACACUCUAGCUCUGUCUCUCUCCCAACCUUAUUCCUCUCCUGCACAUAUGCAUGGAUGCCGAUCGAUCUCCCUUAAUACAUGAGGCAGAUCGAUCUCCUUAAUACAUGAGGUAGGCCUCUCUCCUCCUCCACACAUAUACCAGCCAUUGUACCUCUAUAGUUAAUUGGGCCUCCCUCUUCCCCCACCACACACCAAUAGUCGAGCGCUGCAGGUAGGUAUCCAUGCCACAGAGACAAACUGCACAUGUCCCCUCUCAUAUUCCAGUAGGCCAGCCACUCUAUAUCUUUGACAUGGGCACACACAAAUUCGAUGGGACUCUUUAUCGAUCGCGCUCACACACACACACACACACACAUCAUCCCUCUUUUCGAUUCUAUGGACACCUCAAGCCAGUGAUACCUCCACUCUCUUCUCGUGGAUCGCCCCCUCUAUAUAAAUGUUAUAUCCAGGACUCUAUUUCACACACAUUGCAUAUGUUACAUUUUUUGAUUGACCCCCCCCCCAAAAUUCUCAAGAACCCACACACUAUAUCUCUCUAGGUUUGUAUCUCUCUCACACAACCCCACGUCGGUGGUGUACGUAUACAAGAAGAGAAUAGGUGCACCAUGCACGUACUCACGCUUCGUGCCCAGCCACACCCGCAAGGGUACACGGUGGAGCUCAUUUCUUUACGAAAUGGCAGCCCACGUGCUAAUUUGAACGCCUGUAGCGGUUGUUUACCUAGGGAGGUCGUGUAUCACGCCUGCAUGAAACAAAGUUCGACUUGACGCGUUGCCGCCUUAUUUUUAAAUAAAGUUAUAGCUCUCAAUUGCAUGUACAUAGAAUAUAAAACGAUUUUUAUGGAGAAAAAGGUAGUCCGCUCACUAUAUACAAUGGAGCCUUGCGUGCCUGGUUUGUCGCUCUUCAGAGUAUCUCACACAAGGUUGUGGUGGUCUCUCUCUCUCUCACCGUUGGUCACUGAUCCGGCCGCAUCCCGUCCACCGGGGGAAAGGGAGUGCGGUGGUCUCUCUCUCUCUCACCAUUGGUCACUGAUCAGGCCGCAUCCCGUCCGCCGGGGGAAAGGGAGGAAGUGCAUCAUUUCUCCAUGCGAGGGCGCCGAGGCAGCACGUCCCGAUCUACGUUACACGCUGUUCUCUCUGACCAAGCUCCAGCGCGGCAGGGCCUACGCCACCUGCUCGCAGAUUUCGCCCGCCGCUGCUCACCUAGUUACAUCCCGACGACCUCCAGGUAUCCCCUCCGGCCUUGCUCCACUACCCAUCUUCCCACGUCGCUGCAUGUGGAUCUUCCAUAGUUCUUUGCCCAAAACGUAGCUCGUCCAGCGUACUUUCCAUAUUGCAUUCUCGUCCUCACACCGUUUUAGACAAACACAACCAUGUUGUUAUCUUCCCUUAGGGCAAGGAAUAUGCUUCUUUUUUGUCUUCGCAUGUGUCAUCAACUAUUAUUGGCCAGUAAUUGUUUCCUGUCUACCUCUUUUUUGCAAACAGGGCUAUCCAUUUCACCUUGUUGCUAUUGCGACCUUUUGGUGAACUGCACAAAUCACUUUUUUCUUGAGAGUGUUUUGUGCAGUUGUACUAAAAUUUCACAUGGGCAACGUCUCUACAUUUCAGUGCGACUGCACAAAGGGAGAUUCGUUUUGCUCUAUUCUCCUCAUCCAACUCCGAGCCUAAUCUUCUCCAACUAGUUAGGCUUAAGAGAGACUACAAAGGUGACCGGCUUCUAUUUAUGUGUUUAUUGUUUCAUCAGUAGUCCUCUAUUAUCGUAAUCACACUUAAUAUCUUUGGAACAGGGACGUUCAGCUCUAUUUUAGUGGAACUGCACAAAAUGAUCGAAAUGUUGCAUGCUCCAGACAACUACUUUUUUUCCCAACAUGACUUGUUGAUUUAGACAGAGCUGGGGGGACGUUGUUGCCAAUGAAAGCAUGGAUCAAUUUUAAUUUAACACCUUCUCACAACUAUGUCUUCAGUUGUGAUGUAAUUAUUAGCUCUGAUCUGCUAAUAAUUGACAUGCAUUAGCAAGGAAGUUAGUUUUUUAUUGUUUCCGAAAGAGCAUCGAUGGCAAGACACGUGAAACAGAAGCUGAAAGCUCACACCAUUGUACAGUUUCAUGUCUCGCUGGAAAAUUAUUUGUAUAGUAUGUCAAUUAUGUAAACAAAUGAUGGAAGCUUGAUAGCAUUGCCAGAAGCUCUUCAUCAUCCGGGUCCAUGUGCCAUGCACAAAUUUAUACUCCUUCAUUCCUAAAUAUUUCUCUUUUUACUAAUUUCAAACGGGCAUAUUUUAGAGUGUAGAUUCACUCAUUUUGCUUCGUAUGUGUACUCCCUCCGUUCCUAAAUAUUCUAUUCGUCUUUCUAGAGAUUUCAACAAGUGACUACAUACGGAGCAAAAUGAGAGAAUCUACACUCUAAAAUAUGUAUAUACAUCCGUAUGUGCCAGUCCAUUUGAAAUCUCUACAAAGACAAAUAUUUGAGUAGUCACUCGUUGAAAUCUCUAGAAAGACAAAUAUACUCCGGAGUAUAUUUAAGAACCGAGGGGGUAGUGCACAACCGCAUGGGAGACUCAGCCUAGUUGUUGUGCCGCAUUAAUAGUGAGUAAUGAGUAGUCAAAUCGUAAGCCCCACCUUUCCCACUGUAAGUUGCUCUGAAGAAGCAACCAUCAAUACGCUCUUCUUUGAAUCUGCUCAUACUACUCCAUCUGUCACUGUUUAUACAGCGCGCUUCAGAAAAAAGAAAAAAGAUCUGUGGGACCAAGGCGACUAGCGAUCGGGCUGAAAAAUAGCAUUGGUAGUUAUACCACGGCGUCUAUUACUAGAGGGAAUAAUGCGUACACACACGCAUGGAGUGCUUCAAACCCGGGUACACACAUGCAUGCACUUACUCCACUCCGUAGGAGUAGUACAGAGUACAUGGAGAGAAAAUUGUGGACUUUAUUGUGGUUACCACGCCAUAAUUAAUUGAGCAUUAAACCAAACGCGUCUAAAGUCUCUCUGGUGGUGGAAAUGCAUUGAGAGAAAUGCAUCAUAAUGAAGCGCGCCCUGUAAACUGUGACGGAGGGAGGAGUAGUAUGAAGGUUCAAAACCAAGUACGCGUAUGGCCAGUCGGUCAACACACCUCCUCUUGGCAUAUAACUGACAUGUGGGACAGGAGUGUGAGCAAACCGAUCUCAAUUGACGGCAAAGAGCUAACCUGCCGUUCCUUGAGAGAGACGAGGAGCGAGAACACACAGACGGGUUCGCAUGGAGGCCAAGAUAUAUUCGAGCAUGGUUCGUUCAUCAAUAUCAUACAUUACAUGUUGGGCUGCCGUUUUCCGCCCUUCUCUGGAAUAAACAUGUACUUUUUCAGAGAAAAAAAGAGUACAUACGCUCCACCAUGCGGUUCUAGUAGUAGUACUACUCGUACUACUGUGCUUGGCUCUUCGCCUCUUCGUGAAGUCGAACAAUGAUGGUACUCCGCAUGUUGGGUACUACAGUGUAUGCCUCUGACAAUCUGACACCGAAUGGACUGAUGCAUGUCCACCGAGGGUAGGUUGCAUUAGUUAACAGGCGUAAGCGAGCUUCACCUUGUCCUGUAAGCUUCUCCUCAUUCUGCGAGUUGACGGGACACACCAAAAAGUAGUGCUAGUCCAUACUCCCUCCUUUUUGGUUAAUAUGGCUUAAUCUUUUUUGCGGGUAAAUGAGAGAGCUUUAUUCAUAUAUAAGCAUUCUUAGGACGAUCAGCCAAGACACUGGUCACUAGGAAGCGAGGUACCCCGCAAAAAAAAGAAGUAGGAAGUGAGGUGUUUCAUCAAGCCAGCUCUCGGCCACAUUCAAAGUGCAGCAAGCACGGUUCGCACGAAGAUGCGCCGCAAGGUUUGCUGACCUGUUUACAUGCUGAAUAACAAAAAAAAGAGGAAAUAUUACCGAGCGCUACUAUUUGUAACAGGAUAUGACCCAGAAUUAAGCGAGAAUUGUGGCAAGUGUUCCAUGUAAUCAACUUCCAUUAUCACAUGCGAGAACCAUCGAAGAGAACCAAAUGUGUUGAAGAUUGCUUUAUCACAUUUUAAAAUUAUAAUAAGAGUGCAGACGCUCCUCCAUCCGGUUCCUAGUACUAGUAUAGUAUGUACCUUUAUAGACUAUAUUAGUAGUACUAGUACUAGUAAACAUUGCGCUUGGCUGUUCGCCUAUUCGAGAAGUCGAACAAUAGUAGCACUAGUAGUAUAGUGUAUGCUUCUGGCAAUCUGACACCAAAUUAAAUGUUGCAUGUCCACCGCCUGAGCGAGGGAGAGCUUGCAUUAGUCAAAAGUUUCUCCUUGUCCCGCGAGCCACCGCGUGCAAGUAAUGCUAGUCCAUACUACCUCCUCUCCGGUUAAUGUGGAUUAAUUUCAAACGAGAUAAAUACACUGUCUGUCACUGUAUAUUUGUAAAAAUAUGGUCAGUGGACUUCAUAAUAUGCUCAUUGCGCUCAAUAUAUAUAUUUUCCGGUGUUUAUACGGUCACUAGCUCACCCUGACUGAGUAUGUGUGUGCAUGCACGUGUAGGUUGAGCACUUAGCGUGACUGUGUGUGUUCUGUCAUGUGCUCGAACAUGCAUGCAUUAGGGCGUCACGCGCGUUUUUGCGUCCAUGUGUACGUGUGACUAUUGCAUACACGUAGGGGGAGUACGUGUAGGGGCCACUAAGGAGCAGUCAAAUCACACAGUAAGUUAGUCGGAAGAAGCAACCAUCAUUUCACUCUUGAAUGACAUGUACGCAAUAUAAACUGGUUGGUAUGGAGAGAAAAAGAAAACCACUAUAUAUACACUAGCAGGAGCCUAAGCUACAAGCCUGCUUGCUAAGGUUGCUCUCUUCACAAGCAUAGAACGAUGGGCCUGAUCCCACAGCUGGGGGAAGUGAACAAUGUUCUGCAUAGACGCGGUCGACAUCGGCGACGGAGAAAACCCACAGUCGGUGCGUCCCAAUCGGGGGUCACCGCGGUAUGGGCCGAUGCCGCAUCCCAACCGCCCUUCUAGGUACAGCCCAACGUCCCAGGUAGUCCAUCUUCCUUUUGGAGCCGGCUUGCUCCACUACCGUAGCUCCAUCUCCAUGUCGAUCUUUCUCUACUUUUACCGGCUUCUACUUGUGAUGAGUUUAUGUCUCAUGCACUAGUGCCAGUACUAUUAUUCUAAUCACACUUCUUCAAUAUCUUUGCCAUCAGGGAUGCUCAGGUCGAUUUUAGUGGAACUGCACAAAAGCAUCGUAUGACCCGAGGGUGCCAGCCGUCUUUCCUUCGACAGGUUCUACCUGGCCAGGGAAUUAAAUCAUGUUUAGGGUUUAGGCUUUAAGUCGUAGUGACCCCAUCAGUAGGUUUUCUUUCAUACACGCUCUCACAACUUUUUUCGUUAGUUGUGAAGUAAAUAUUGGCUAUGAUCUGUGAAUCAUUGAGAUGCAUCAGCAUGCGUGUUAGUUUUCCUCUGUAUUUGAUGGAAUGUUGUUACGGGGCAACCUUGGAAUAGGAAUGAAAAUGGAGUGAAAAGUUUCCGUUUUUCUGGAGAAAAAAUGGAAACGAAGAGAAACCAAUGUUUCGUUUCGUUGGAUCGCGCCAUCGAGCAAAACCAACAUUUAAAUCACGUCUGUCAUGUUCGUGUCUCACCCUCCUCCACGGCUCGACCCCACACGGUCGCUCGGCAUGCCACUCACCACAAACCGAGUAUACGACAACUUUCCCGCCUGCUUGUCGAAGGAUCGCGCCAUGGAGUACUACUAGCACUACUCGAAGAGAUUGACGAGUUGGGGGAGGACAGCUAGUUGUAGCACGGACUCCCAAGAACUUUUUACAUGCAUGUUGUAGCCGGCUAUUGCGACCUUUGAACACAGAGCAGCCGCGUGCACCCGGAAGCGGCGCGGGCGACGCUCUCUCAGCCGGCGCGCCGCUUCAAUGCCGGCGCCAGUGAGAGGUCGCGUCCGCUGUAGCCGGGCAUGAAUGCGGCGCUGACCGUUUCGGGCGGGAAGCACGCGCGGGUGAUGAAGAGGGUUCGGGUUGGUCAGGACCAGCCGUGGCAGCGGUCCGGACGUGCGCAAACAAGAGAUGAUGUACGUUAAUAUUGCUGCGUAUAUAAUUAACAACGUAAAUAAUGUGCCAGUUGGACAAGUAUGAUUGGAGAUGGAGAUGGAAAUGGAAUUUUACGUAAACACGUAUAUGCAUGUCUAUGUCUAUGUGUGUGUGCGCGACGACUCUCGCGACCUGGAAGCGGGGGCGUGUUUUUGAUCGAGUUUUCUUUCUUGGUACAUUAGAAAAUCAGUUUAUCUAAUUCACAUCUAGAAGUUAUUUAAGGAUAUCACAUCUAAGCUCUCACAAGUAUAUAAUAUAAGCGGGAGCCUCAGCGCUUGUUAGCUAGGGUUUGCAGUGGCGGAGCUUCACCCAAAUUGUUGGGCGGGCCAUUGGGGCCUACCUGAAGGAAAUUACUACUAGGCUGAUAUUUCAUGGUCCAAUAGCAAGUGUAUAUUAUAGAAAUCUGCAUAUCAUGGGCGGGCCAGGGCACAGGUUGGCCCAGCUGUAGCUCCGCCACUAACUUUGCACUCUCCACACGCUCGCCGCAAUACAUAUAUGUUACACGCUGGGGGCUCAGUGUUCAUUUCCUAGGGUUUGCUAUAUUCACAGUCUCUCACCCUCUCUUCACCAGAUCUAAACAAGACUACUUUGGCCUCUUGUCUCUCUCUCCCCCGUCACAGCUAGUGAAGGAGGCGUCUGUAUCCCGUCGCACAGGGAAGGGGAGGAGGUGCAGCGUUAACUCUAUCGCCUUUGGCGAGGGAGGCAAUCCACUGCCGGCUGCGCUGUUCUCUUUCACUCAGCGCCUGUGCGGGAGGGCCACCGGCCCCUUUUUGCUCGCUGCCGUACGUAGUGUGGGCAGAUCCGGCCUCCCGCCGCACGCCUUACCACAUCCCAACGAUCCUAAGGUAUAAGUUUCUCUAAAACCGUCGUUUCUCUAGCUGCAUGUGGAUCUUUUUCGAUCUGUAGUCGAAUCUAGGGCUUGGUUCAAAGAGGAAAGAAAGGUGCGGUGGGGUGGAGCAUGAAUCUAGGAUGUGGUUCAAUGAGGAAAGGAGGGAGGAAAAGUAGUAUAGACUGGCUAUCCAGCCGCUUUGUUGGUCAAAAAGGGAAGAAGGGGGUAACCCAGUACACACAUCUGUAAGGAACCGAUCUCUUUGUUGAAAAGGGAAAGAAACUUGGGGGGGGGGGUCGGGUAGUUUGUGCAGGACUAGAUUUGCUUCCCUCACAUAGGAAAAAAGUUCAAAGAGAACAAAUAUGGGACCAACACAGAUAUGUUGCUUGGCUACAUACUUUGCAUCCCCCAUUUAUACAUGUGGACGCACAUGGUGCUAGCAUGUCCCAUACAGCUAUUUUGCUGUUGUUAAUCUAAGAAUGCCGCCGGAAAAUUGAAGUAAUGCCACUGUUAAAAGUAAAUUACAUUUUUUAACGAAUGUUGUCUCAAGAGAGUGUCUCUGUUAAUAUGAAUCAAUGCAACCAUUUUAGAAAUGCUAAUAUCCUACUUUGUUUUCCAUCCAAGAUAAGUUAGAUGCUUCUUUCUGUCACCGUUUGUUUCAUCCUCCUUUAUCGGCAAGUAAUUGUUUCUUUUUUUGCCUCUGUUAAAACAGGGGUAUCGAUUCAACUUGUUGCUAUUGCAACAUUUUGCUUCGCUACUCGAAACACUUGUGUUUUAAGAGUGUUUUGUGCAGUUCAACUUGAAUGUCACACCGGUGACUUUGCUUAAUUUUGGUGGAACUACACAAAAGGAGAUCCGAGAUUUGUUUCCAGUGUUCCUGUCGAGUUGUUUCAAAUCUUGGUCUCAACCACAUGAUAUCUAUUCAACUUGUUGCUAUUGCGACAUUUUGCUUCGCUACGCAAAAUACUUUGCUUGAUUUCAGUGCAACUGCACAAAAGGAGAUUGGAUUUCCUAUUCGUGUUAGCUGAUUCAUAUUUUAUCCUGGUGUUCUCAUGAAAGGUCAGUACAGGCCUUCAUCCACAUGAUUGUGUAGUGUGCUUUGAGAUGUUGUGCUACCUGUAUUGAUAUUGUUUUAAAUAAAUGUUGAAUUGAAGCUAUUGUAUUGAUGUCUUUUCCCAUUAAGUAGUGAACAAAAAUGGGACCAACCCAGACAUGAUGCUUGUUGCUUUGUUACAACAAACUCUGCAUCACCCCCUUUAUAAGUAGAUGGAAGCACAUAUUGUUGUUGCGCCCACUCUCCCCUGGAACUGUUUAUGAUUUUCGUUAAUCUAAUACCGCUGGUAAAAUUAAGCAAUGCCACUCUCAGAAUUAAUUAACUACUGAAUCUUAGUUCAAAACUGCAACACUUGUUAGGAAUGGUACUAUCCCGCUUUCUAGUUCUUUCUACAUGUUUAACCAAGGUAUCAUUAAGAUAAUGUCUCUUUAAAAAUGAAUCAAUUGCAUUGUUUUAGGAAUGGUACUUUUCUGCUUUGUCGUUCUUUAUACAUGUUGAAACAAGGCAUUGUUAAGAUAAUGUCUCAGUCAAUAUGAAUGAAUCACACUGAUGGAGAAUUGCUACUCUCCUGCUUUGUUUCCCAUUAAGACAAGUCAUCAAUCGUUAUUUCUCAGUAAUUGUUUCCCUUAUACCUAUUGUUGCUUACAGGGAUAUCAAAAUUAAAGCUCGGUUUUAUUCCAACUUCGAUUUUAGUUGAACUGCACAAAAGGAGCCAAUGUGUCCAAGGCAAACUGCUGUGUUACUGAGUCUAGUUGGACGUUCCACUUUGCAGAAAGAAGCAGUCACUGGUUGCGGUACAUUACAGAAGGAAUGACCGAGAAACUUUACAGAGUAUUAUUAGACACCGGUGACAUGACUAGUCUGCAGAGACCAUUGGCAAUUUAACAACACGUGGAGUUCCCUGGGCAAAAAGUGCCCAAACAAGUACAAGAAGCUACGACAGGACACCGUCAUAGGCAUUACAUAUUUUGAAUGGGAAAAGCUUGUCAAAGUUUAAUCAUUAAUGUUAGCAAGAAGAUGUUAGUUUAAUAUAUUGGAAUUGGAAAACCUUGUCAAAAUUAGCUCAUUGAUGUUAGCCAGAAGACAUGCAUUUGAUAUUUUUGAGUGGGAUGCCCUUGCUGGGAGCAGCAUCGAGUGUUUUUUCCUAUUCCUGUGUUCAGUUUAGAAGUAAAUAGUUACUCUGCUGAGAUAUUCCUGUGUUAAGAGUUUGUUCUGAAUAUUGUCUAUGUAAUGCCAGGCCUUGUGUUUGAUUGCAAAGUUGAGCUUGGAAUGUUGUGGCAUGCGGCAUCACGAGUUGUUCACCGUGCCUCCUGAGAAUAAUGCUUCAUAUUGUUUUGCAUGUCGAUCUAAUGCCAGUGAUUUUAUUGUUAAGAAGAUCAUCCUCUUAUGUUGUUUCCGUGCGUAAGAAGUUCAUCGUCUGAUGUUUCAUUCAUAGCCUAUACGACAUGUCGGGUAGGUUAGACGUGAAACCAUGUGAUCUUCCGACCAACUCAUGAUAUUAGGCCGUGAUUGGAUCGUCGUUUUCCAACCAAAAACGCUUGUAAAACGGAUGCUUGUAAAUUAAAGCAGAUGGUCUCGGGCGAAGGCGCUUGGUUAGUCGAUUUCGACUAGUAAAAUAUCGGAAGUACUUCACACACGAUAAAAACGCUGAACGACACUUGGACGAUUGCUAAUCCAGCCAUUAGCUGUUGUUUCAGCCUGGCCCAUGGAUGGCAUGAUACGCACGUCGGGCAUGUAUCGUCUCGUAAUGUUGUCAAUAUAGCAGUGCUCGUAAAAUAUACACUGGUCUCUCAAUUUACACGCGUAACCCGCCGGUUUUACUUACAGACCUCGGGCCUUCCGAUGACGAGUAAAUUACACUUUUAUGUUAAUACAGGUUUGAAAUAAACUAGAGCUCCCAAGCGCGGCCUUACCGUUUCAUGCCGUCUUAGUUUCUCGAAGGUGCUCAUAGGUGUCCGAUGAUCCAGGCUUCCUGAAUGAGCAGCGGGCGCUGUAUCAGAUCUCCGUAGGGCCCUCGAGGCCCUCUCCAUUGUCCUUCGAGUUGUUGCGCUCGCUGUGGCACCGAGCAUUGUUAACAUGGUCAACGAACAUGAGGAUUCAGGAGAUGACUUUAUUUUGACUGGAUGACACUAGGGACCCACUAGGGCUAUAACCGUACGUACGCAAGUGCCUCCUUAUUAUGUACAACUAUAUUUUUUUUGCUUUCUCCUGGUUUCCUGACAUCAUGGUCCCACACCAUUGUCAACCUAUGUAGUCAAUAUAAACGAGAGAAUUGCACAAGGUGCGGCCGACAGCUGGGACCAAGCAGCUCGAGCAGUAUUUGUGUUUUUGAGGCGUGAGGACUACAGAGUUUUUCUUGGCGAUGAUUCCGUUGUUGUUCAGAGGAGAGCAGGGUAUUAACUGGGCGGGUUGUGGCCCGUCUAGCCCAGGCCAGAUAUCCAGCCCACAUACUACUUUUUUCCAGAUGAAAAUGGCUAGCCUAGCUAUACGUCUUUUUGAGGAAUACCCAGGCAAGGUCAACUUCUUAUUCUCCGCCCUGCUGGGCUGUAAAUCUUUCCUAGGAGGGAUGCAUUAGGCUUAACAGGAAAAUGGGCUUUAAAAUAAUAAAUGGGAUGUAAUUAUAAAAGCAAGGCUGUAACUAUAAAAAAAUGCACCAAACACGACAUUAGUUUAUAAAAUAUUAUUUAUGGAUUUUGAAAAUCUUAAAUUUUCAUUAUUGCACGCGCAAUGUUUCAUUGGAUUUUUAAGUAAUACAAAUUUAUAUUUAAUCUGACUAGAAAUUUCGGGAUAAAAAUAUUUCAGAUCCCAUCAAAAUGUGGCAAAUUUUAUUGAAAUUCUUACAAAACACAAAUGGGCUAUAAGUUUUCCGCCACACACUUGUGGGCCUACUAAGUGACGCGUCCCCUAAAAAAAUAAGUUGACGCGUAUGCAAGGCUUUGUCAACUUAUUAUAGUCAACACACGGUUCUAGCAGCAGUGGCCGUUGGAUAUCUAUCCACCAAAUGUCGUGCUUCUUCUUCAAUCUCGGAUAUUCUUAGCUUCGGCUGCCCAAAAAAUGAUUCCUCCCCCUGACAUCUGGGGCGCACCAUUUCCGAGGCUGACCUGUGGGCCUACUAAGUUGGAGCGUACCAAGGGCUUUGUCAACUUAGUCAAUAUAAACGAUUCUAGCUUCAGUGACCGUGCGAUGUCCAUCCAACGGCCGUAGUGCUUCUUCAACGUCUGGUCUUCUUGGUCCAGCCGCCCAAAGCAGCGCCGGUCGUGCCGCCUGCUCCUGCCUCCCGUGGCCGGCUGUGCUGCCGCGGAGGCCUCACCACCCCCAUACUACUCUCACCGCUGGCCAGGCCAUCCCUCCACUCACCCACACCCCAUGUUAUUCUGCGGUGAUGGCAGCCUCACACCGCAGCCGAACCAGUGAACCCUCGUACUCCUCUCCGCGCGGGCUUCCACUAUUGCGUCUUCCCCGGCUCCGCGCCAUCCCCUUCCUAGGCGUCGCCGUCGUCCACCGCCCUGGUGCUCUCGGCGCGGCGUGGUCGUGGUAAAUGACCGACUUCCAUCAGAAGAGUACUGUACGUGGAGAGGCUGACAUCUAGGUCCACGGCGGCCGCAAGGAAGUGCCUCCUUAUUAUGCGCAAAAUAAUUAUUCCUCCACCUGACAGCAGGGACCCACCGGACGGGCCACCUUAUUUCAUGAAAAAAACGUUCACCCUGCUGUCAACUCAGACCCACCGGAAGUGCCUCUUCAUUACGCACAAAAAAAUGAAUACUCCCCCUACUAGCUCGGACUCACCUUGGUGGGAAGCUGUCUUGUGGUCCUACUAAGUUGACGGGGACGGAGGGCUUUGUCAACUUUGUCAAUAUGAACGAUUCUAGUUCCAGUGACCGUACGAUGUCCGUCCAACGGCCGUAGUGCUUCUUCAACCUCUAGUCUUCUUGCUCCAGCCACCCAAAGCAGCGCCGGUCGUGCCGCUUGCUCCUGCCUCCCGUGGCCGGCUGUGCUGCCGCGGAGGCCUCCCCGCCCCCUACUAUUCCCACCUUAGGCCAGGCCCUGCGGCGACGGCAGCCUCACACCGCAGCCGAACGAGUGAAUACUCAUACUCCUCUCCGCGUGGGCAUCCACUGCCACGUCUUCACCGGCUCCGUGUCGUCCCCUUCCUAGGCCUCGCCAUCGACCACCGCCCUGGUGCUCACGGCGCGGCGUGGUCAACGUGGUCAAGGAACGACUUCCAUCGGACAUGGACUGUACAUCGAGAGGCUGACAGCAGGGUCCAUGCCGCAGCAAGGAAGUGCCUUCCUUCUUAUGCGGAAAGUAAUCAUUCCUCCACCUGACAGCAGGGACCCACCGGACGGGUCACCAUAUUUCGCAAAAAAAACAUUUCCCUCCUGACUGCUCGGACCAACCAGCUACACCUUCGCACGCAAGGAAGUGCGUCCGGGCGAAAAAAAACCAAAAUGAUUCGCCCCCCUGACUGCUGGGACCCACCAGCUACAUCUUCGCAGGCAAGGAAGUGCCUGACAGUCGGGACCCACCUGGUCGAAGCGUACGUAGCAUUGUUAUUCUGGUCGCGAACAUGUACGUACAUACUAGUCGAUGUAGAGGCGCGCAUGUGUCGUAGUAGAGGCGCGCACAUAGCAUGUACACGUACGUACAGCAGCUAGGGUGCAAGAAAGAAAAUACGGCCACGUAAGUACAUAUGGGCAGGGUCUCGAACGCCUACUCGCGCAUACAUACAUGGCUGGGUCGAAACGGAGAAACAAUGUUGUCGUCGUGUUCAUGGGGAGCCAACCGGCUGGGUCGGAACGGAAUGCGUGGUCGUGUUCAUCGGGAGGGCUUGGACGGAAUAGGUGAUGGAAACGAGGCAUGGCGUACCGCACAACGGAGGAAACGGACCUCCUACGUUCGGAACGGGGUCCUGUUGAUCGGGAGGGGUGUGGCGUACCGCAAAACGGAGGAAACGGACCUCCUACGGUCGAAACACGGGUCCUGUUGAUCGGGAGGGGUGUGGCGUACCGCAAAACAGAGGAAACGGACCUCCUACGGUCGAAACGGGGGUCCUGUUGAUCGGGAGGGGUGUGGCGUACCGCAAAACAGACAAAACGGACCUCCUACGGUCGAAACAGGGGUCCUGUUGAUCGGGAGGGGUGUGGCGUGCUGCAAAACGGAUGAAACAGACUUUGUUGGAGCGCUACGGUCGAAACGGGGGUCAUAUUCAUCGGGAGGGGUGUGGCAUACCGCAAAAUGGGACUCCACGAGAUACUGUUCAUCUCCACCGUCGACCUCCUCCAGCCUCCACGGGCUACCAUCGACCUCCUCCAGCCUCCACUGGCUCAUGUUCAUCCAGCCUCCACCGCGCGCUACUCCACCGGCUACUGUUCAACCAACCCUCCACCGUCUACUGUUCAUCCAGCCCUCCACACCACGGGGUCCUGUUCAACCACCCUCGACGGCCACCCCUCCACCGUCUACUGUUCAUCCAGCCCUCCACACCACGGGGUCAUGUUCAUCCAAAGGCAACGCCACCGCUCACUGUUCAUCCAAACCCCCCCCCGCAACGCUCACUGUUCAUCCAAUCGAUCGGCUUCAGUUAGCAGCAGUAGCGAAGGAAUCGCUCCAUCGGGUUCAGUUAACAGCCAUCGAUCGAUCGCUCGGGUUCAGUAACGUGUAGCCUGCAGUGCAAUCGCUCGAGUUCAGUUAGAGCCCAACGCCUCGCUCGGGUUUAGUUUGAGCCACCGCUCACUGUUCAUCCAAACCCCCGACCUCCCACCGUAACCGGCAACUCCCCGAAAUUUUCCUCCCCCUCGCUUCUACCAUGGUUUUUUCUGUCAUGGACGGCCCAAAGAAUGUCAUGCAGCUGCGUCUCCGGCCCACCCAGGACGAAAAGCCCAUUUUCUGUCAUGAUUUUUGGUUAUAGAAGUAGGAGCCCACCACAUCUAUGAUGAUUCCGGGUUUUGUCACAAUUAUCGUCAUAGAAGUGUCAUAUGUAUGAUAGAAAAAAAUUCGUUCGGCCCAAAAUGUCAUGGAUGUGUCUUUUUUUGGAGUGAAGCCCCACACUUGGCUCAACUUUAUUAGCAGGCCAACAUCUUACACUUUUAUUAUCCAUCGCAUACUUACGUUGUACUCUCCUACGAGUUCUCUUUUUCACAGACAAUGUUCGCACGAUGGCCUUCCAGGAUAUGGCACAACGCAGACAAAGGCGCAGACGUGCAGCAGGGCCCCACUCAACAGGUUUAUUUUUAGAUUAAGCCCCUGUGUAAACCUUUUCUAUUGCCUCUUGUUGUUUAACCAUCCCACGGGUUCCAUACCCACAGAGGAUACUGUCAUUAUUGGCAUUUCGCCACGACAGUCUUACGCACGUACCUAGAAACACAGGGUUUUGAAUGGACAUUCUUGAGCCCAUCAUCUGUUAUAAAGUCUAAAUACCUUCGGGAGUGUUCGGGGUCACGAGUUUGGCCUUAUAUGCAUCAGCUCCGAAUCAUGUCUUUGGUCAAAUGUUGGGUUUGCCCGGCUCCUGGAUUUGCCGCCUUACGUUCCAUUAUUAUCGGCUAAGGUGGCCAAAGGAGAACUACUGCGAUUAUGCCCUGGUUAUUCCGGAUGAGCACCUUAGUAGAGAAAGCCAAAAACUGACUGUCAUGAUACAGCAAGAGACUGAUCAACCACUCGGAGACUUAUCGGAAUCUUUAGGAUCCCUCCACAUUAACGAAGGACCGUUCCCCGAUCAUGUACACACGCGCCCGUAUUUGGAUGCAAGCGAAAGUACCAAGGGCUACAUAGUAGCCCCACCAUUAGACUCCCAUGGAUAAGCGAAAACGUUACAGCUAUAUAGUCCGGUUGCCCAGUUCGACGUGCGAUCACCUCCUUAAUGGACCAAGACGUUGGAUCAAGUGUGAUUAUGCAUAUUUUUAUCGAACACCCCCGCAUUAUAUGCGUGGGGGCUGAAGCCAACGACUGCUAACUUUCGGAUUACAUAUAUAUAUAUAAACUGCCGCACAGGGGACACAAUCAUAUUUUCAGGCAAACAGUAUAAAUAUAGCCUCAUAAUCAAAAUAUACAUUGUUUUUAUAAUGAUUCGAUUCAUCACUCGAACAAGACAUUCUUCGAGCACUGCGCCUCUAUUAGGCGGGCACCUUCUGUGACCUACGCCAAGUAGUGCUCGGCCGGAUAUUGGCCCCCAGCCAGAUCCUGGGUCGCUAUAAUGGUGGCCUCCAUAUCCGUCCUAUAGGCUUUAACACGGGAAAGAGCCAUCCGUGCACCCUCUAUGCACGCCGACCUUCUCAUGGCGUCGAUCCGAGACACGGCCCCAAGGAAUUGUUGCACCAAGCCAAAGUAAUUGUCCGGCUUAGGCCCCUUUGGCCAAAGAUGGUCUAUUACAGACCGCAUUGCAAGCCCGGACAGCCCGUGAAGCUCCGCUACAGUAGCCAUCUUGUCACUUAACGGCAGCGGGCGAGUGGGAGCAUUGAAUUGCGACCAGAAAAGCUUCUCCACUUCCAUGUCACCCUGAUCUUCGAAGAACUUGGCAGCGUCAGUUGUACUCUUUGCCAAAUCUGCAUACCCGUCCGCAGGACUCUAGCGUCCAUCCAGGGGAGCGUACUUUGGAUCGAAAAACUUCGUUCGCAGCAAGUAGGAGCCCCCAGCCGCGAUUUUUCCGGCCUGUUGAAGCUCCUCCCGUGCACCCCUGAGCUCGGUCCGUAUCUCCUUGGUGGCAUUUAGUGCCUUGUUCAGAUCGGCCGAACUAUCCUUAUGCUCCUUUUAAGGAGCUCAUACCGGUCAGCGGCAUUUUUGAACUCAACAGCCAUUUCGCCUAUCUUUUCCUCGCUUCGGCGAUGAGCAGCCUGUUCGGCUCUCAAUUCUCGGCCGCCUUUAGGGCAGCCGCAUUGCUCACCCAAGCUUGUUCCUUGGCUUGAACAAGUUCCGCCCUCGGGGCCUCCACGGCAGCAGCACCAUCUGCAGUCCAAACAUAUUGCAUUAAUAUCAUGUCGCCUUCAUAUUUCCCUAUACAAAGGAAGGCAGAGCACAUACCUUGUGAUUUACCCAGCCGCUCGUUCACCAGCGUGAUAUCGGCAUCAAUCGAUCCAAUCUACCUCGUUAGUUCGGCAACUUCAACGGACUGGUCGGCGACCGGUCCCACAGGUACCUGCACGUAUUUACAGUGCAAUCAUUGAUUUAUGAUCCCCCGUUAGCCGCCUAGGGAGGGCAACAAGAGUCUCAGGGGCUACUAUCCAUAGGGAGCACACCUGGCACGUGCUUCACAACCAAAAAAUAGUGCAUUUUUUCACUACAUACCUCAAAGCCUUUGAGCAGGCUUGUAAAUGCCUCAUUCAAACCGCUCAUAGCGGAUGAAAUCCUCAUGAGCACCAUGCUCAUUAAUGAGCGGUGCUCCUCCGAGAGCGCGGCUCGCUCCAGAAGGCCUGUCAGUACGUCUGGCUGGACCUCGAAUUGUGCCGGACCCUUCUCAUUGCCCCCCGUGGGAGCCAAACGCUCCAGGCUCAGGACGACUAGCGUGUUAGCUUCUGGCUUCAGCAGAUCCGGACUCCUCUGUGAUGACACAUCGGUGUCGCCCGCUUCGUGAGGCGGAGAGGUGGGUGGGGUAUCACUCUCCAUCAUCUGCGGAGGAAGAUCCCCCGAAGACGAACUCCGUUGAGAAGAGCUGCUCGCCGGAGUGCAAAAGACGAAGUCCCGGUUAUGGAUCUCGGAGAAACACCAUACCUUCGAAUUAAUGAUUAACUUACAGCUUGGUGGAGGGCUGGCCCGUUGGUGGGCACGACGCGGUGAGGGUGCCCGUCGUGGCAGAGCCCCCUGGUGAUACCUUCUUCCCUUGCUUGGGCUUCUCCGCCUCUAAGUCUUCGGAGGCGGCCCUCUUCCUCCCGCACGGGGAGGAGGCUUUAGCCUCCCCUUCCCGACUAUCCUCCUUAGGGGAGGUAGCGAUUCCCCCGGUCUGGAUGCGGAGUGUGUGAAGUUCGGCUUCACUGCCCUUUCCUUCGCCUUUCCCUGAGGGCAUUUUGCUGAGCACCGGGCCAAGCAUCUUGGCAACGGUUGGACCAGGAGAGCCUUCAGGAAGUGGCGCCGGACACCUGAUUCUCUCCGCCUUGGUUAGCCAUUCCUGGCCACGGAGGGUUUUUCAAAAUAAUGGUUAUGAUAAAUAUAAACGAAGUGUCCGGCUUUAAGGGUACACUACAAAAAAAAUACACUUCCGUGAUAAUACGUGUUUGUCACAGUAGGUCGCGUUUUCUGUCAUGCAUGUACAUCCAUGACGAUUUUAUGACAGAAUCAAGAUAGUCAUACAUGUGCUGUCGUAGAAGUGUUCCAUGACAUUACCAAAAUUAUCAUCACGGAAGUGUCCACUUCCAUGACGAUAAAUCGCGCGUCACAGAAGUGCUUUCGUCAAGGGUGACCGACACGUGGCAUCCACCGCCCGUUAAGCUAUCGGGUCGGGUUUUCGAUCCGAUAACCCGUUAACAGCCCCGACCAAUGGGAAAUUUCCACGUGUAAAAUUCUUAUUGGCCGGACGAAACACGUGUCAGCUCGUUAGUCGGUCAGAUAGGCGCCCAUGAUAUGUCGACACGUGCCACGGCCCACCACUGGCCCAUUUAUCUUACAAAGCCUGCCCAUUUGACUUGGUCAAAAGUUAACGGGCUGGCCCAUGAAAAGCCUGUUGACGAUCUCUUUGCAAAUAGCCCAUUUUACGGCCCGUUAACUCAUGGCCCGUUAGGUACUAAAGGAAAUCGGCCCAACAACAUCAUGUGGGCUGUCGAAUAUAACACCAACCCAUUUCACUUUCGGCCCAUGUAUGGCCCACGACGUCUUUCGACUCAUAUGAGGCCUUACUAUCUUUCGGCCCUUUACAGGCCCAUGAUGACUCUAGCCCAUAAUGAACAGUAAUUUUCUUUGUACCCGUUAACGGCCCGUGAUUUACAUGGGCCGUUUCCAGCCCGUGUUAACUUUCGGCCUAUUGACGGCCUAAACGUUCUUGGGCUCCUUUUCGGCCCUCGAUUACUUCCGGCCCGUUACUGGCGUGCUCCCCUAAUGGGCCAAAUUGGGCCCAUGGCCAGAGUCGGCCCGUUACUGGCAUGUUCCACAAAUGGGCCUAAUUCGGCCCAUGGAAAGAGUCGGCCCGUUACUGGCCUGUUACCCUAAUGGGCCAAAUUUGGCCCAUGGCAAGAGUAGGCCCGUUUCUGGCCAGCCUAUCCUAUAUUCUCGCCCAUUAACGACCCGUUAUGCCUGUGACAGAAUUAAGCUUUUGCAGUCCUACGGCCUGUUAACGGCCCGUUACCGUGCUGGGCCGAUACCAAUUACGCCCGAUUACGGCCCAUGUAGACCCAUUUAUCCGACGGCCCAAGGCCCACCUAUUACAGGCCCAUUUAUGGACGGCCCGAGGCCCACCGAUUACAGGCCCAUUUAUCGAUGACCCAUGGAUCCUACGGCCCGUAUAUGGCCCAUGGGUAGUUGCGGCCACUAGCAAACCAGGGAAAAAGAAGACUAGGAAAUAAAUAAGGCUGAAACUAACACUAGGCUAUUAAGGCGAUUGCACAGAUUACAUCCACUCGGCAUCAAAGAUCGCCACCAGUGCAAAUAUAGGGAACACCCUACACUAUACAAAAAUGGCUUGUUGUUUUCUUCAGUCGGUGGCUGCACGUUAAGAAUAAAUUUUGUAUCGCACCAAAACAAAUUACAACUAUAUAACAAAAGGAAGGUUGGCAUAAAACUUAACAGUCUAGCAGAUAAAUGCACCACCAGAAGUUCAGAAGCUCGGUUCAUUUGACCUGACUGUUACGUUUUCAUGAUGUAUUGUCUGAUGGAGCACCGUAACCCUCGCCUUCAUUUCCCCUAGGCUCCUGAACAACAUAGCAAAUGUCUGAUAGUCUGGUUUCAAAACCAUGCAAAUCUUGACGACAUUGAGCAAUGUUUCUCCUUGUUUCACAAAGGGCAUCUAUUAGGGAAUGGACUUGUGUCUGGAGCGCAGAUACAACAUUGCUUUGAGCUUGCAUAUCUUGAUCAUGAGGCAGUUUGGACGAUAUUGCCUUAACAACCAACUCAGUAUUACGCAGGAACGUGAUUUUGGCACUGUUAGUGGACAGGUACGGACCCACUGCAGCAAGAGCUGACAUUGCGGUUAUAAUUGCCUCGCCACCUUCAGAAGGUGGCGGUUCCACCAUUUUUUUCAUAGCUCGCUGAAAAGUUGAGGUUUUACAUUAGUAGUACCAGAACAGAAGAUAUUAAGGAGGCAGCAAAACAAAACAAAAUAGCUUUGGUCCAUAUACACAACUUAUUCUGGUGAACCCAUGUAAAAUAUUAGUUGUCUUUUAUUGCAAAAUACAUAAUAAAACCAGGUUCCAAACAUAUGACCAUGUACCAUCGCUAAUGUAUUGUCUAUUUCUUCGUAUUGUAUUGAGGGCUAAGGAUAAAGAGACGAAGUUUAUAAUACGGUAAGCAUAGUAUGACAUCAUUCAUAUCACAAAACAACUGAGAACAGACAAAUAGGCAAUUGUAACGUUGUGUGGGCAAGUCCAGCACGAAACUAGAUUACGGGUCAAGAUCAAACGAACAUCACACCUACCUUUUAAACCUUGUAAGGUGCAAUGAUACGCUAAGACAAUUCUGUAUAAAAUUGAAAAGAGUAAUAGACAUUGGCUGCAAACCAUGCAGUUCAAGGCACAGGUCAGAGUAAGUAGUAGUUAAAAGGCAUGAGGAUUAAGGACUUACAACAGCGGCUUUGACUGGUGUACUCAUGCCCUUCUUCUUGCUGGUGUGACAGUCCUUGAAGAUUUCCACAACAUUUGGUUCAGGUACUUUUUGGUCCUUGCGGGCUUUCCUCUGCAUUUCGAACAAGUCAAUAUAGAUAUGAUAAUAUGGUACAGCGAAAAGAGUGAAAUAGCAGUUAAUUACAAGAGCCUUGCAGUGUGCAAUAUAGCUACGAGAUCCUGUCGUCUGUUGGAAUUUCACUUUCGUACGGUUGGCCUUGUUCUUUGAACAGUUCACCUACAAGAAGAUAGAUUUGUGUGGCACAUGCGUCAAUAGGACUUCAACAUGUGAUCUGAUCACAUAUAUAUAAUGUACCUGAUACUUCAGAUCAGACCAGUGUUUAACAAGGCCCCUCCAGUCUUCAUCUGAUAUAUUUUCCACUGUAGAUGUUUGGGAAAGUUCACUGUUAGCCUUGCCUUCAAAGUGAGUUUUCCUCAAGUUAUACCGAUGCUGUCGCAGAGCAGACUUGAAAACCUGGGUGCAAGCUUGUCUGGUUGCAUCAUCUUGGCUAUCCAACAUGAACCUCAUCUGUUGAAAAUUAUGGGAGUCUCAUUAUCAGCAACCUAGAAAGCAUGGGACAGAGCAAGACGAUAUUACUAGUUUCCAUACAUAACCAUACUUACAGAUAAAUGGUCGAGGAAGGUGUUGAACUGGGUUUCGUGUUUGUCAUUCCUAUACUACACCUAACGGCAACCGCUGCCUCUCAUACUAACUUGGCUGACUCUGUAGCAUCACAUGGCCUUUUUAAACCUGCCUCAAAAUGGAUCUCCAUUCUUCCUCCUCUAGAUUUAGUUAACCUAUCGAGCAUUAUCCCUGAUGUUUGUUUCCUCUUGCGCCUAGGUGCUAGUCCAACAUCGAACAUAGGAACUGUUAGUGUACAUCAAACUGUGAGACUACAUAUAAAGAAGCAUGCAACUGUAACUUGACUCUAGCAACUACCUUCUUGUUGUUGAAGCUCACAAGGUUCAUCUGAUAUUGCCAACUCGUCUUGUGUCAAGAGUGCUUGGGAAGUAGUGUCAGGUGGCAAGGGAUCUUGGGAACGUGCUUCUAGCUCAGUUGACGCACGAGUAUGUCGUGCAGGUGGUAGUACUGUGGUAGGUGUUGCAAGAACUAGGGCUGUCUCUGCUAGUUUGGUGGCAGCUAUUUGUUUCUGUUUGGCUUUUUUUGCAGCUCGUAUAGCAUGGGAUGUCGUGUUUGUAGAAUUUUCUGCUGGACUUUCACCUUCUUUUGCACCAUCAGUACCAGCAGAAUCUGCAGGAUUCAUCCGCUUCUCAUUCCCUGCCAUUCUGUGUUUCUUCCUCUUUCUCUAUGCCAUGUUAAGUCAAGCCAACAAGAAAAACGAAUAACAAUUUAGUUCUUCAGAACAAAUUGAUGCGUGAUGCAGACGAACUGAACUUUGAUGUUGGACAACCACAUGAUAGGAGGAUGUAAUAUGUAUGAAAAACAGGACGGAAGAGAUAACCAGAACUAUGAUGUGUAAACUAAGAAGAAGACAUUUCACCAAAUUAGAAGCAAUGCAAUGGAAGGUAGACACCAUAUGAAAGAUGCUACAAAUAUCGCUCUGCCAAGUUAAUAGUGUCUCAACAUAAAUGGCGUUUAAACAAAUGUGAAGCAGUACAAGAAAUAAAUCAUAUGCAAGAUGCAAACAACAUCACACUACCAUGUUAGAGGUCUCUCGUCAUUAGUGCCAUUGCAUAUUCACAGCUUAUGAUGUGUAAACUAAGGAGAAGGCAUUUCAACAAAUUAGAAGCAAUGAAAGCUAGACACCAUAUGAAAGAUGCAACGAAUAUCACUCUACCAAGUUAAAACUUUCUCAUCAUAAGUGACAUUUCAACAAAUUAGUAGUACAGGCUAGAAAAUAAUGUGAGAUGUAACCUAUAUCACACUCCGAAGUCAAACGUGUCUUAUGAUAAGUGAUUAUUGCAGGUACACAAUAGUAGUAAUUUGAUGUAAGAACAUGGUGUGAUAGACAGAUAUUGUAUGUUCUAGAAAUAGGAACACGUGUCUUAUUCAAGUAUAAUGUGUAAAGUAAGCAGAUGGAAUUCAACAAAAUUAGAAGCAAUACAAGCUAGACAUCACACAUAACAUGCAACCACAUAUAACAGUGCCAAGUUAGAGGGAGCACCAGUGAUGUUGCACUAGGGGAGACGUGCUCAUCAUAAACACAGCUUUGUUGAGUGUCUAUGCAUGUGUUGUCUUGGAAAUCAUCUUGGGGGUGUGGAGGAGUAGAAAUUGUAGAGGUCCUCCGUUUGGAAGGAGCACCUUUAUCCGCUGCCUUGCUAACUUCCUUCCGCUUUAUUGAUUUUGAAUCGUCAAAUAAAACCGACAAGAAAAAGCAAUAAAAUUCUCUCUUCAGAACUCAUUCAUGCAUGAUACUGACAAUCACUACUUUGAUGUAAGGCAAACACAUGAUACCAGGAUGGAAUAUGUAUGAAAAACAGGACGGCAUGGCAUGUUCACAACUGUUUGUGUAAACUAAGCAGAAACCAUUCCAGCAAAUAAGAAGCAAUGCAAGCUAGACACCACAUGAAAGAUGCAACCAAUAUGACUCUGCCAAGUUAAAAGCGUCCCAGCAUAAAUGGAAUUUCAACAAAUUAGAAGCAACGCAUGCUAUAAAUCAUAUGAAAGAUGCAACUAAUAUCGCACUGCAUAUACUAAAGGUGUCUCAUCAUAUUGAUUGAUGCGGGAUACAAAAAAACAAUAGUUUUAUGUAAGGACAUGCUUAAUAGACAGAUGUGCUAUGUACUAAAUACAGGAAGGCAUGUCACAUUAAUAGGUAUAAUGUCAUAUUUACAGGAGUAUAAGCUAAGCAGACUAGCACAUGCAGUUUAACCAGAUUGGAAGAAUUACAACUAGACACCAUAUGCAACAUGCAACCACAUAUCACACUGCCAAGUUACAGCAAGCACCUGCGAUGCUAGUGUAGGGGAAAUGAUGUAAUCAACUACAGAGCUACGUUCACUAUCUUCAUCUAGCAUUUCUGUUUCUUGAGGAUCAUGUCGGGAGGCUGACGCUGCAUUCUUUAAAUGAGGAGUAGUCCCCUUCCCUGCCUUCCUCGUCAUAAGUGAUUGAUGAGGGAUACACAAGAACAUUAGUUUGAUGUAAGAACAUGGUUAAUACACAGAUGUACUAGUAUGUACCAAAAAUAGAAAGGCAUGUCAUAUUCAAAGGUAUAAUGUGUAAGCUAAGCAGAUGCAAUUUAACCAAAUUGGAAGCAAUACAAGCUAGACAUCCGGCUGGAGUGGUGAACAUGAUCAUCUAGGACCUGAGAUCCUGGUGGGAGGCCGGCUGCUUCGCCACCAUCGCGGCUUUUUAGUUGGCUUCCAGGUGAUGCCUGUCUUUCCUGGGCUUGUCACUGUCUCGGCCAGUGCCCUCACUAUCUAUUUGUCUUCUGGUGCUCACGAGAUGGUGGUUCAUGUGAAAAAUAUCUUUCCUUAUCUUAAUAAAGACCGACUUCGGCCUUUCGAAUACAAGCUAGACACCAUAUGGAACAUGCAACCACAUAUGACACCGCGAAGUUAAAGCAAGCACCUGGGAUGGUGGUUCAUUGCUAGCGAGGUCAUCAACUCCAGAGCAACGUUUACCGUCUCCAUCUGCUGACACUGCACCCUUUAAAGCGUUGUAAUGUGUCGCGCCUAGUCAUGUAGAAAGCUGGCACGACUUGUCUCUUUUCUUUUUUGCUUCGCUUUCGGCAGACUCUAAAAUACCCUUGCAUAAAAACACAAUAGUGAGAGUAUGGAUGAAGUGUGUGCAGAACUAGUGCACUGUAAAAGUAGCAGAUAGCAGGUGGCUAAAAAAUAAAUGACAGGAGACAUAUGAUAGCUCUACAACAUUGCAUGGCAAACAAAAUUAGAUUCUACUCCGUAUGAUUUUGUAAUAUAUGAGCACAGGAAAUGCAGGUACUCCUCCAACACACCACCACAUGUGGUCAUAUCUAGAUAACAAUCAACUAAAAAAAUAGGUCAGUCGAUUUUUUUAAUGAACCGUCCGAUCUAUAAGGAACGGGCAGAUGGCCUUCGUCUACCUCCCGCCAGUCACUGUUGACGAUCUCUCUUGAACCUCCAGCGACCAUCGGCCCAGACCCAUGCCUCUGCCGCCCCGCCCUCCCAUCGACCUCACACCAUCGCCGUGCUUGGCAGCACCCCCAAGCCAUCCCUUUAAUCCCGGCCGACCACCAUAUCGGGCGCCAGUAAAUCUAGGCCGCACACGCCCCUAAGAUAAACACCAAGGCGCUGCUUCCCCGGUGUAAUAGUCGUACUAGCACCUGUUACGCCGGGGAAUGCUUCCGUUAAUUGGGAAUCAACUGGCCAGAAAUCCAAAUUCAGGGGGGCGACGGACCUCUAUCUAAGGUGAAAUAGUAUAUGAGGAGAAACCUUGUGCAUCGCGAGUUACUAGCAACAUCUAGUAUCAAGAAGAAGCGGUGAACUAGUGUCUUCUGUGGGAUGAAUACCGUGCAAGUAGAGACGUAAAAUUUGCAUGAAUAAGGGAAGAGGAGUACCUUCUUCGGUUGCCGGUGUGGUCACCUCCACAUGCCGCGCCGAUCUUCUUCUUUUUACUGGGGAAACCGAUGUUCUGGAGGGUGCAGGCUUGGACGAACCCAUGGCCAAAUUGUUGACUGUGUUGCCGUGGCCGUAUGUCGGCGGAGGGGAAGCAUAUUCGAGGCGACGAAGGACGGCGUAGCAGGAACAGCUCCGGUGCGGUGGAGGGUGGCGAAGUUGGAGUGGCAGCGGUGAGGCGCAGGACGGCAUGGUUGAACUGGCUCGGGUACGGAUGGCUCGGCCUCGGCUUCAACUACUAGCCGUGGAGGGCGUUGCGGUUGAGGUUGCGGUGGACGACGACGUCGGGGUAUCGGCUCUGGCGUGAUGGAGGAGGGCGGCGGUUGAUGGGUGGGAUGGGAUGGCGGACGGAGGACGCUGGGGUUUCGCGGCUGGUGGAGAGGUAGUUUUGGCGCCCACGGAGUACGAAUGGGGAAUCAGACGGGUGGGGGGAACCAUGUUUCGGUCUGGGACGCGUUUGUUUUUGGCUUUUUUGAACAGAAGAUGGGACGCGCUUGUUUGAAAUUUGGGAAAAGUACAAACUUUGCCCCCCUCUUCAAUUUCUGACCUACUGCGGGUCGGGGGUAGGAUGGUAAUCCUAGGUGUCCCAAAUAGUGGGCGGGAGCGAUUUCGGCCGCGUGCAUGUGUGCUUAGGCGGCCAUUGUGUAUGAAUGUUUUUCGGAGGCAGUUGCGUGGCGUCUAGAUGAAGCUACAAACCUACCCCGGUUUAGACCUUUGGACAUUGGGCCGGUAGGUUUCACGGGUCGGAGUUAUUAGAAAAGUAAUUUCCUUAUACUACCAAACAUUGGUCUCACGCGGUUUCGGGCGAGUAGAGUCUCUUUUGGCGCUUCGUUCGAAAUUUUGAAACACAAGCAUUCACGUUUAGAGUACUCUUGAACUAUGAGGAUUGACCUAAAUAGACAAUGUUAUAUUUGACCUUGUAUGUUUGAAAACCUCAUUAAAUUAUCCGCUUCCUUUUGAAAUUUUGACACUUGAAAAUCCUAUAACUACGAUUAUUUUGGAAUGGAGGAGCUAAAUUUGAAUCUAUUUUGUACACGACUACAUAUGCUACUGUGUACAAAAUCAGAGCAAAGAUUGUUACCCCCAUAGUUUAGGUAUGGUUUACAAAUGCCAUGAUAUCAAAUUCAAAUAAUUGAAUGGACUUCAUGUUGAAUUCGAUUUUUUUAAACCACCUUAGGUUGAAUUCAACUAUAUGCUAGUUCAUAGGUAGCUAUUUAUAAAUUUCCAUUGUGUAACUUUCGUAUGUAUAAUGUGCUUUACACACACAACAUGAACUAUACUCACGUUUAUAUUCGAUUGCUAAAGCGAUGCAUUGUCUGGAGUUCAAAAUACUAACUAUGUGGAUCAAUUGUGUCGAAUAAUAACAUAGACAUGCUCAAAUUCCAUAGAAUAUAGAUGUCUGAUGGAUCAAUGACCGCUCCUUAUGUGAAUUGCAAAUAUCAUGAUCCCAUCCUAAUAUUUGGAUACAAUCUAUAUCUUUAAUCAAUGUGUAGAGCAGUCUUUUACGUGUAUUUUCACUCUCCAUCGGUGGUCUCUCACACAUGCUCACACACUCUCUCCCGAGGUUUCUUUCUCGCACACAUGCUAUAGAUAUAACCCUCCCUCCCUCUCAUAACCAUUUACAACUGUUUUCACUAACCUUUAUCACAAGCACUCUUCCUCUCGCAAACAUACACACGCACAAUCCUCAUCGACCCUUUCUACAUACAUGGACCUGCCUACGUGUCUCAUGUACGCACAUUAUCUUUACGCAUGUCUCUCACGCAUUAUCUCACACCUCUCUUCCUAGUCGACGAGUAUGAUUCUAGCAGAGCACUCUAUAGGAUGCCCCAUAAAGUUAGGUUGGAUGACUAGUAAUAUCAGAGAUAAAGGGGUUACCUUAGUCUGAGAACAUAGGGUUACAAAUCCUAGCCGGCUUUGUCAGUGGACAUAGAGUCCUUCACAAUUCUGCUAUCUUUGUCUUGUACGACUAGUCAUCCAUGGGCCUUCCUAAAUGUGUCAUGGGCCGACCAAUGUGGCGCAGGACGGAACCGAACGAAGGGCCUCACCUUGACCCACCGGACCUCACGCGGUGACACACCCUCUGCCCCCACGUCUCAUUAUCUUCUCACACCCAUACAUACCAACACAAACACCACACACAUAGAAAAUUUCUCAUGGUGCCUCUAUUCCCUCCCCCCUUGCAUAUACACACUCAAGGGAAUGGAAUCUCAUGUCGUGACGUCAUAUUCGUCUCUCUCUCUAAACCACUCUCAUUUCUCGUGCUAUCUCUCCCACGCCCCCCCGUCGGCCCUUCUAUCCAUGCCUCUCUCGAAUACGUAAUACACACACAUACCUCUCUAGGCCCCGCCAAAUGCAUCAACUACACAUUCACACAUGUUACAUCACGUACCCCAUUGAUCUAAACAUCCCUCUCUUCAUGUUUAUUUCUUAUACAACAUUCCUUUUGAAUAAAGUGUGGCCAAAAAAUAUUUUAGUGUUUAUACAUAUAUACAACAUUACAAAGUUAUAUGGAGGAGUACGAACGCUAAUUUGCAUUGCAUGGUGCCCACAAUGAUAUUUAUUCUGCACUGCGAAUAUGUAUAUUUUUAUACUAUAUACAAANNNNNNNNNNNNNNNNNNNNNNNNNNNNNNNNNNNNNNNNNNNNNNNNNNNNNNNNNNNNNNNNNNNNNNNNNNNNNNNNNNNNNNNNNNNNNNNNNNNNNNNNNNNNNNNNNNNNNNNNNNNNNNNNNNNNNNNNNNNNNNNNNNNNNNNNNNNNNNNNNNNNNNNNNNNNNNNNNNNNNNNNNNNNNNNNNNNNNNNNNNNNNNNNNNNNNNNNNNNNNNNNNNNNNNNNNNNNNNNNNNNNNNNNNNNNNNNNNNNNNNNNNNNNNNNNNNNNNNNNNNNNNNNNNNNNNNNNNNNNNNNNNNNNNNNNNNNNNNNNNNNNNNNNNNNNNNNNNNNNNNNNNNNNNNNNNNNNNNNNNNNNNNNNNNNNNNNNNNNNNNNNNNNNNNNNNNNNNNNNNNNNNUACGCCCCUUUCACGUGUGCACACAAAACUAUCACCAGGUCCUCUAAAAGUAAGCCCCCAGAAAAUUCACGCGUGUUUCAUCUUUCUCUCGCGAUAUAUGCAAUGGCGAUCAUUGUAUUUGAAGCGAAAGCACAAUACAUACAUUGGACUUCAUAAUCCACUCAUUAUGGUCACUAUUUACGUUUAGUGGUUAUUAUAUAGUCACGGGCUCACCGUACAACUUUGUAUUUGCUCAUUACAUGACUAGUUGACCAAUUAAACGCUCCAUAUGGCACCUCUAGUGUUGCAUCACAUUAUCUCACUACCAUCGUGCCCACCUGUCGACUUGUAUCUACUCUACAUCUACACUAUUAUAAAAUACAUAAAAUAUAAAAUACACUCUUAUAAAAAACAGAGUUGGUAAUGAUGGUGUGCCUGCCAUCCUGCAAUAUAGGCCGUCCGAUUUAUAUCUGGCGGAUAGGAAAGAAACUAUGGCAAUUUUGCAAAAAGGUACCCACACACCUCUCGACAUUUGCAAAUAAGGCCUUCCCUCGUUCAUCCAUUUCUCUCACAAGAUAAACAAGUCAUACAAAUGCAUCUUGAUGUUACGUGCAACGCACGGGCAUCUUGCUAGUAAGAAUGAAAAUAAACGACAAAAAAUAUUUUGACGGUGGUUCGAAGUCAUGACCGCGGGCACAGCGGACAAGGUGGCUGUAUUGGUAUGCUGAGCCGUCUAUUUUAACACACAGGAGCUGGUGUGGUGAUUAUACACACACGCACACAUGCACACGAACUCCAUCCACACAACACUCACACAAACACAUGCACCCACGCACGCCCGCAACACUCACACGUACACACGCAGCCACGCACGCACGCAACACUCACACGCACACAAGCAUGCAUGCAUGCACACACCACUACACCACACGACCAAAACACACUCACACUCAAGUGCUCAACCUACACGUGCAUGUGCACACAACAGGCCCUGACACACACAUACACAACCAGGUGAUUCCUGCGCACGGGUUGGAGCCUUGUCGCGCCUGUGUAAAUUUGUGUUUAUCUGACAUUUUCCCUAUGCAAACUGACGGGUGGGACCCACAAGGAACAUGGUCAAUUUAACUAGUCAACAUGACGCCACACAGACUAUUUGGUCGGUCAACAGAGUGCAAUCCGAUGCUGAACUGUGAGCAAGUGACCGGAUAAUCACCGCAAAACGUAUAUAGUGACCGUAAUCAGCUUAUUCUGAAGCUCGGUGACCGUAUUACGCUUUUCUCUCUGUAGGCCCUCGAAAACUACAUAUCUACACGUUCUCGCAUGUUACAUCUAACAACUAUGCAAUACAGCACUACUACUACACUCUAACACAAUAAAUCAUAUGUGUUUUUAGUUUUACUAGAUAUCAUAUUGUUACUUAUAAUUAUUCAGUUUGCAUACAUUAAGAUUGCCUUUGAAAUGUAUGGCCAGUAUCAUCUACCGCGCGGGGAAAAUCCCGCCCUUUCCUGUUUAAUCAGGUUUGUAUCGAUGGAUCGUGCGAAACAGCAAAACUAUAGUACUAUACAGUACAAGUGACAGUUCACUGGUGUCGUCGUGUCAUCUACUCCUCUGUUGUAAGAGUGGAGCGCUCGCUUUCAUAAAUCUUCCAGUCCCUUUCGCCGACAUGUGGGACAUCAAGCUACCGGGUCCACGUGCCAUACCGGAAUACAGUGCAGAGCAGCCGGGGUGAAGCACCCCAGUCAUGGCGCCGGCGUAGUAAUGAACAAUGAGGCGUCAAAUCACAAAGCUGCCCUUUCCCGCAGUUAAGUUGGAGGGACGAAGUAGUAAUGCUAAAAAAAGAAGUUGGAGGGACGAAGCAACCAUCAUUUCACUCGUUGCUGAAUCCGCUUCUCCCUCAUCUUCUUCAACUUAACAAUGUGUUGCUUCUGUCGUUGUUCUGCCUCAUGUGGGAUGCGGAUCAGCAUGGUAAAGCACUAACACGUGGGACCGCAUGUUAGCAAACCGCCAGGACAACAUCCUCUGAAAAUAAGAAACCUCCCCCGCCAUCCGCGCGGCAAAAUCACCUCCUUUUUACUAAUCUUUGAUUCUAUAAUUUUUUAGAUCAAUUUAAUUGAGAUUUGUAUAGAUAGCACACAGGAGCAAAACCAAGUGGUAGAGUUAAGGGCAUCCACAAUGUGUAGUGAAAUGUGAAAAUACCUUUUGGCAUCGUGGGAACCAUUGUGGACAGUGUUGCCAAAGCCAAAAAGAUGGAACCGAAGCUCCCUGAUUGAUUGAUUGAAGGAAUAGAAAAAUGCAACGUCUCUCCUCUUUCUCCAUGCUUGGACGCAUGUAGUACAGUAUAGAGCACAGAGUCUACUCCCCUGUCCCUUCUAUCACAAAUCACAAUGCAGUGAGGCAUCAAAUCACAAAGCACGGAUGAAGCAACCAUCAUUUCACUCUUCGCUGACUCUGCUUCUCCAUCGCCUUCUUUGAGAAACCAUCUCACCGCACUAGUACUCCUAGUAGUAUAAUACUAGUAAAGGACUUCCUGGAUGCAAAUAAGGCGGUUGUCUCGGCUUGCAGGCGGCACUUGCGAACGACUUACCGUGGUCUCCCUCAAUGGUGUUCUCCGUCGAACGCACUUCGUGAAACCACAAAACAAACGUCGACAUCACCACAAUGGGCAAGGAAUUCAAAUAUAGUUACUACCUCCAUUUUUUUGUACACAAGGCCAGUAUAUCAAAAUUACAAUUUGCAAAGGGCCACUAACACUAAUUGAGGCAAAAUUGAUGGGGUUAGCAACCAAGGACAUUAAUAUCCCCUGCAUGCGUGCGCAAGUGAGAAGGUUCGUUCGCAUGGUGCUGCAUUAAUCAAACGAUGCAGAGUGAGAUGGUUAGCUCUUUGGUCUUUCGACAAAAAAAUACGCAUUAAUUGACACGUGAAACAAGGAUUUGUAUCGAAGGAAAACCCCGCCUUUCUUUUUUAACACUAGUACUCCUAGGACGUACGUACUUAUCCUGUUUGGGUCUAGGCCUUGCAUUGCCAAACUUUGCCACACAUUUUUGCCAAGCUUGCCUAAAGUUUUCAAAAUGGGAAGGAGGUACACUUGCGCACGGCUGUCGCAGUCGCACCGCAUCCUCACACGGUCGCUCCUGCACGCCGCGGUCGCACCGCACACUCACACAGUCGCUACUGCAUGCCGCAAACCCAACCAAGGGAACGCACCCUCACUGACGCGUGAUGUCGCAUGUGAACAAACCAAACUCAGCCAUCCUAUCGCUGACACAUAAUUUUCGUUCAUGAGUAUGUUUAUCCAAUCGCAUCUUGGGGAGUAUCCAUAUGGCCCAUGCGGUGGUCUGUUGGGGAAGAAGAAGAGGUGAGGAAGAAGGAAAGAAGGGUUAGGAGACGUAGGAUAUUUAUCCAACCGCCUAAAAUGGUAGACUGACCCAAGUCAGGCGACUUGCAUAACAAAUAGUAUGUUUUUACACAGCAAAAGAUCCAUAAAAACAACAACAUAAAGAAAACCUAUCACUGCUCGCGGAAAGAGACGGCCUCGUCGUCUUUGGCUGCAGGCGCGAACCAGCCGUCGCUGCCGACGUGUGUCUCCGCACCGUGGUUGUCCUCGGCCUCCAUCUACUCGUUCAAGCGGAGCGUGCGGGCGCUCUGCACGGACGAGAGCACAGCCCGGUUCAAGUCGAGGACGUCCGGUUCCGCCUAAAGGAGGGCCUCGAUGGCAGCGGCCUCCGUGCGCUCCGCGUCGAGUCGAGCCUCCGCCACAUGGUUCAAGUCCAGGACUUCCGGUUCCGCCUGCAGGAGGGCGUCGAAGAGAGCGGCAUCCGCACGCUUUGCGUCAAGUCGAGCCUCUGCCGCCCGGUUCAUGUCCAGGACGUCCGGUUCCGCCUGCAGGAGGGCCUUGAUGGCAGCGGCAUCUGCGCGCUCUGCCUCAAGUUGAGCCUCUGCCGCCCGGCUCACAUCCACGACAUCCGGUUCCGCCUGCAGGAGAGCCUCGAUGGCAGCAGCAUGCGCGAGCUCCGUGUCGAGUUGAGCCUCUGCCUCCCGGUCCUCCUUUAGUAUCGCCAUGUUGAACCGCUCGUCCGCCUGCACCAUGGGGGACUCGGACGCCCGCACGAAGUCUACGUCCAUCGUCUCAUACCCAUCAGGGGCCUUCUGUGCCGCGACCUCCAUAGUGAACAUUGGAUCGGCUUCCUCCUCGUAGCUUGGCUCCAGAGAACUCGAGGAUUGGCCCACGCAAAGCGAGCUUGGGAACGGAGGUCUGUGGUGCCGACCGCUGCCGCGAUUUCUGUGUGCCGCUCCGGCGUCAACAUCUUGUAGUAAGUGAUCUUGUGGCGCACCAUGACUUUCCAGUGAACUAGGGGACGCUUGAUGCGGGCUAGGGGAUCGAAAGAUGGGGGCAUGGGCUGGAGAUUUGGUGUGGUUUUAGGGCAGUGGCUAGCGUAGGCCGAGCAGCGAAGGUUCUGGUGUGAAUAGUGGUUCCGGUGACGACCGGUCAAUCGGUUUUGACUAUACAUCGCUCUUGUCGCGUUCGCGUUGCAGCCCGGCACGCUUCACCCUCCACGUUGCUCACCGAAUGGAAUGCGCUUCAUCUUGCAUUUUCGCUCGCUUGUGGGACCGCAGUUGAGAGCAAAUCGACGUCCCUCCCCCUCCCCCGCCCGCGUCAUUUAUUAUACCACCACUCCCUCUGUUUUAUGUGGAGUAAAUAAAAACAGAGGGAGUAUACUAUGGAUGAGGAUCCCAUGACGUGGCCGAACCCAUUGAGUAACUGACAUGCGAGGCCUAGCAAGCAUGGGGUCCGCUAGUAAGUGACCGAAAGGGAGGGUAAGGCAGGGAUACCUACGUCAGAGGAUCCACUUCCAUUAUACUACUUUGACCAAAUGUUAGAGUAAUAAUAUAUGACAUGCAACUUACACAAAUGUUAGAGUAAUACUACAGGGUCUAAUGCAUUUUUUGAGGCUAACUUUGACCAAAUGUUAGAGUAAUAAUAUAUGACAUGCAACUUACACAAAGCAUAUGGUCCAUUUCGUAUCUGAAAGGAGUUUCCAAUGAUAUAAUUUUCACAUUAUACAUCUCAUGUACUCCCUCCGUCUAGGUGUGUAAGUCAUCUUACGAAAACCAAAUAAUCCCAAAACACGUACUACCUCCGUCUGGAUUUAUUGGUGCCCAUUGUGUUUCCUGCAGAAUUUUGACCAUAGAUUAAACUAACAAAAUGUUCACGCAUGUCACCAAACAUUAUAUUUUUGAAAACUAUGUUCAAAUACGAAUCCAAUGAGAUAAUUUUUCUUGACAUGCAUUAACAUUUUGUUAGUUAAAUCUUUAGUCAAAAUUUGAUACAAAUUACAAAGGGUACCUAUAAACCAGGAUGGAGGUAGUAGGCGCGGUGCAUUAACUUCUACCUUGUUUCUUGUUUUUGACAUAUCAACCAAUAAGAGAUGAGGGUGUGCAUGCUUUUAAUGACCUGAGACUAUCAAACAUGACAUGUAGUGGUCAAUUCAUUGCAUGCAAUACUAUUAAUUAGCAAAUAAACAUUAAUGUCUCUCGUUUUCCCCUCCUCCUUGGUCACGGUGCACAGCCUAAGGGCAUCUCCAACAGGUUGUAUGUUAGUCUUGUUGGUAAAAUGUACAUGUCAUCAAUGAACAAGCUAUCAUACAACUACUCCAAUAGGUUGUAUGUAAGCUAUCCAAUAGAUGGUGAGAAAAUAAAUGUGAUUGCUCUCUAUUUCACCUUGAGGCUUGUGCAAAGGUUGUUGGUUAAUCUACAUACAACUUUGCUCUCUCUUCACAUUUAUUACAUGCCACAUCAUCACUAUGUCCUAGGUGGCAAAUUAACCAACACCUGUCUUACGACUAUUGGAGAUGCCCUAAGAUGACUUACUCACCUAUGUGAAAGGAGUACUAUUAAUCUUGUCAAUAGUCAAAUUGGAAACCAUCUCAAGUACAAAUCUAGGAGUACGUACAAAUCUAACAAUAUUGAUUGGCGUUGUUGAAUGUUGAUACCUUUUUUAUCAUAGUAGAGAUACUUUGACUACACAUAAAACUUAUAUGUAAAGUAGAAAGGAUAGGAGGGAGUAUAUUAUACGUCCAAAAAUGAAACGAACAUUGAAUACCCUUUAUAUAUGAUUUGUGAAUGUUAUGAUCACUGGUUCAAAAUUUUGAAUCCGCCUUAGGUAUCACGUGCCCCCACUCGUUCGCUCUCGAUUUCAUCUUGGGGUCCGGAGAUCUAUUGAAAGAGGACUAGGGUGGGUACAUUCGAAUGAUACUCGGCGGAAUGUUCAAAUGAGGCAUGCGGGAGGAUGGACUCGACUGGAGGGCGACAUGAUCGAUGGAGAACAGGGUUGGAGAGGAAUGAGAAAUAAGCAAAUGCCACGUGAUUACACUUGAAUGGCUCAAAUAAACAAUAAGUUGUCUCGCUUGGCCUACAUAGUGAAAGGCCUAAUGCGCAACGCGGGGCACUGACGCUCGAAUAUGGCCUGGAAAACAGGGAAACCGACAUGUGGGGCACACCCGUCGGGAUGACGUAGCGCAGACUAGUCCAAUGGAGGAGCUGGCCCACGACCUCCUCGCCACCGACAACCGUUCAUGUGGGUCGUUGGGGGCUUGGGGCCAACAACAGAGCGCAGCUCCAGCACCGCCUCUGGACACGGCGACCGCAGUGAGCGACACGCUCAUAUCAUCGAUAGACACGGUUGGUUUCAGUGUGCCGAGGGUGGCGUUAGUGUUGUGGCAUGAUCAACGGUACGUUUGGUUUGUGCCCAAGGUUGCCCCAUCAAAGCAUUGGGUAGCCAAAAUUUUGGUUGUGGUAUUGGUUGCCCAUGAGUUGGCCGACAUUGGCAAGAAAAAUGAACUAGAGUUGGCUAGAGUUCAUUGGCAUGCCAAAGAAAUGGCAACCAUCCAAACAAAGACCAAUCUUUGGGUCAUGACCAAAAUUUUGGUAAGGUGCACUUUGGCCACAAUCCAAACAGACCCCAACACCCGGCUUGUCGAGCAUGUACGGGGCGCCGCGACGCAUCCGCGGAGUGGUGUAGCAUGGCCAACUGCAUCCUCUGGACAUGAGACCAUGCCAGGUCGUCUUGCUUUUUCAAUGACAUGCGGGGAUCGCAUUUGAGCAAAGGGCAUCUCCAACGUUGCCACGACCGCAUCUGACUACCCUGGCACACCAAAGCCCUCGUCCCUCGCACCGUCGCGCGGUGUGUUCCCAGCCGGCGCCAGCUGCCCGUAUUCAUGCCGUCCGUUUGUAUGUCGUCGUUAAGAGGCUUGGUACCCGAGGAACCAACUUCGGUGACUUAAUGACGCACCCGGACGCUUGGCCUCACCGGAAUGCGCUACUUAAAGCGGCAACGCCCAGCUAACCUCCACACCAUAGCGCAUCGUCCUCCUACCUGGCACCACAUCCGCCAUGACCGCAAGUGCGAACGCUCUGCGGGAGAGCUUGUCUUUGGGGAUGAAGCUCGAGGUCACCGUCCUCGCUCAAGUCGCCUCUCGCGAUGCAAUAGCGGCGUAGCCAGACGCGGACGCGACCGCAGAAGCGGUGGCCACGCUGGUGGCCGACAAUGGGAGCACCGUCAGCCACGCGUCCUAUUUGCCAUCGUCCAACGUCCGGCACCGCCGAGGUCGGGGACUCCUCCGAGGAUGAGUAGGGCAUGGGAGGCGGCAGGGCACGGUGUGCCAACUGGCUGGUCCGUAUCCCGUGUUCUACUCUUCCUCGCCGGAGACCGCACCUUCACUUCACGGGUCUUGAACCCCGCCCCUGUACAUAGAGAUCGCAGAUGGAGGACGUCGGUCGCCGCCGUAGAAUGGGUUUAGGGUCGGGUUUCUUUUAUUUUUUCUGUCCUAUAAAAGUUCGAAAUGUAAUGAAAAUCUGUCGUGUUUGCAUUAAUCUCGGCCGGUGUAUAUGAACUUUCACAAUAAUAUACAUAUUGUAGGAGUACUAGCAAGAUGCCUGUGCGUUGCACGGAAGAUCAAGAUCUUGUGGGAGAAAAGGAUGAACGAGGGAAAGCCUUAUCUGCAAAUGUGGAGAGGAGUGCGGGUAAAUUGUCAUAGUUUCCUUCCUAUCGGUUAGAUAUAGAUCGAACGGCCUAUAUUGCAGGAUGACAGGCACACCAUCAUCACCAACCGAGACAAAUCUAAAAACCCAACUAAGCCAACCUCCUAGCAUAUCGCGCGGGAAAAGACCCGGCCGCGCCGUUUAAGUCGGGAUUACCGGAUUACUAGUAGUAGUAUAGAUGGAUCGCGCGAAGCAACAUUUUUUUUAGGGGGCGAAGCACAUAGUUUAAAAGGAAAAAAGGCGAUACACUCACAGCACUCUUGUCGCGGUCGCAUUGCACCCCACACACGUUCGGUCCUGCACACGGCUCACGCAAACGGAACGCGCUUCGGCAUGCCUCUUCACUGACACGUGGGACUGCACUUGGAGAAACCGACCAUGCGCCAAACUCCCCCCGCCCACCGCGCGAAAAUCCUCCCCCCUACCCACACAAAAAUUCCCCCCAAAUUCGAUUCAACCGCCCUUCGGCCAAAUAUUNNNNNNNNNNNNNNNNNNNNNNNNNNNNNNNNNNNNNNNNNNNNNNNNNNNNNNNNNNNNNNNNNNNNNNNNNNNNNNNNNNNNNNNNNNNNNNNNNNNNNNNNNNNNNNNNNNNNNNNNNNNNNNNNNNNNNNNNNNNNNNNNNNNNNNNNNNNNNNNNNNNNNNNNNNNNNNNNNNNNNNNNNNNNNNNNNNNNNNNNNNNNNNNNNNNNNNNNNNNNNNNNNNNNNNNNNNNNNNNNNNNNNNNNNNNNNNNNNNNNNGCCGCCCUCCCCGCCGUGCCGAUACGUCGGCACCGCGGUUCGUCGAGGGGACGCACGGCAAUGCUCUCGCUCCCACAGUACGCUCUCAUAGACUGUCGUCCUCUAGCCGCGCCGCCACCUCUGGCUACGUUCUUGUGGAGGCGCACGGCGGUCAGCGCCGCCAUCGCUGGCGACGUUCGUGUGGAGACGCACGGCGGUCAGCUUCUCCCACGGUACGUGCAUUCUAGACUGAGGCCCCGUUCAUGUUGGUGUAGCGCUGAAUGUUUGCUGAUAGACGCUGUUAAUCUCACUGUUUGUCGAAGUAGUUUACUGUCAAUAUGCUCUGCUUAAGAAGCUUCCUUGCCCUGUUCUGCACUCAAGCUUCCUUGCCAAAGUAGUUUGCUGAGAUGGCAUGCCAAGGCCGAUUAGUUGCUAAAAUAUCCUGCCAUAUAUUUAUUGUGACGUAGAUUGCCAUGGUCUAGUAGCCAAUCUGUUAGGUGAAAUAGCUCUACACCAUUUUAUACUCGAUCUUUGUUGCUGCGAUGGCCUUCGAUAGUUUGAUGGUUGUGUGCUCGGCCUCAUUGGCUGCUGAAACAGCCUGCCAUUAUUUAGCACUCAAAUCUGUUUGCUGAAUUAGCUAUACAUAUAUUUUGUUACUUAGAUCUGCUCGUCCAAAUAUCUUGUCAUAGCUUUAGACAUCGACCUAGGUAUUUUUUUCUGGACUUCAUAAAAAGCAUAUAUGUUUUUCCUGUAAUAUCUAGUAGAAGAACUAAUUUGUAUGUCUAACAGAUGGAUAGGACUUGGAUAACUUCUGCUCGAAGAUUCUCCGCUGCAUAUGUCGAGGGGGUUCAAAACAUCAUGAACUUUAUCAGAGCUGAGUACAGUGGUCCGAAAUCAGAUGUGCUCUGCCCGUGUAGCAGUUGUAUGAAUUCAGUUACAAGACCCCAGUCAACUGUGCAAAAUCAUCUACACUUGUAUGGGAUGUCGGUCACAUAUACUAGGUGGGUUCAUCAUGGUGAAGCUGUGAACGUCAAUGUUAUUGACUACGUGGAAGCAGCAGAUCACCAUCUUGAUCUGCCUGACGCGCAGGUGGAAGAGGAGGAGGAGGUGGUGGUGGCGGAGCCAGUGAGUUUGACCAACAUUGAAACAAUGCUACGAAAUGCUCGUGCAUUCCGUGAACUUUCACCUGCAGAAGAAAAACGGUGGGCCCGCAUGUUGGAACAAUGCAACGUUGUUGUCACCCCAGGAAAUAAGCUGUCAGUAUUCUCAGCAAUGGUCACCUUUCUUCAGGUGAAGACAUCUGAGCGAAUGACCAACAAAUCAUUCGAUGUGAUGUUGGCUGCUUUCCGCAAAUCUUUCCCAGAUGCGUCUGAGCUGCCACACACCUACAGUAAAAUUAAGAAUUUCUUUCGUGCAGUUGGAAUUGGAUAUGAUAUGAUCCAUGUUUGUAAUAAUAAUUGUGUUCUGUUCUGGAAGGAUUAUGCCAACUUAAGUGAAUGCCCGAAAUGCAAAUCAUCAAGAUGGAAAGAUGGCGAUGCUGUGAAGAGGGUUCCUCAUAAUUUUCUGAGACAUUUUCCAAUUACACCAAGAUUGUAGAGGUUGUUUCAUGAUGCUAAAACAAGACCGGAUGUACUAUGGCAUUCUAGGAACCAGGAGUACAGAGAUCAGAAUGUAAUGAGCCAUCCAUCUCAUGGUAGUGAGUGGAAAAGCUUCAAUGAUAAACACAAAGAGUUUGCUACUGACCCGAGAAACAUUAGACUUGGCUUAGCUUCAGAUGGAUUUAACCCAUUUGGCCACCAAAGCGCCACAUAUAGCAUGUGGCUAGUGCUUGUUAUCCCUUACAACAUGCCUCCAAAUGUCUGCACCAAAGAAUCAAAUUACAUGAUGGCCUUGCUCAUCCCAGGUCCAAAAAGUCCUGGGAAGGAUUUUGAUUUGAUCAUGGAGCCUCUUGUGGAGGAACUUCAAUAGCUAUGGAAGGGUGUUCUCACUCGAGACCUAUAUAGCAGCCCACUAGCUGAUUUCUUUCUGUGUGCUGUUGUAAUUUGGUGCAUCCAUGAUUAUCCGGCUUUGGGCACUAUGUCAGGGUGAACGACACAUGGUUACAAUGCAUGUGUUCGCUGUGACAGGAACCCGCUGUCAUACGCAAUACUUAGCAAGAUCUGUUACAUUGGACACCGCCGUUUCCUUGCCAAGGACAAGCCGCAUCCUAGAAAAUACCGAAGACAUGUGUUCAAUGCAAAGCAUGAAAACCGUGAUGCGCCAAAGAGGCUCACCGCGAUGAGUUGCAAGUGGAAUUAGAGAAGGUCAUGCAUAUUACACCUGGAAACCAUCCUGGUAAUGGUAGCGGGAAAAGGAAGCGUGGCACGAUAGAAGAGAGAUUAUUGUUUACCCGCAGGUCCACUUUGUGGGGCUUGGAGUAUUGGAAAGAUUUGGAUCUGCGGCAUAAUCUUGAUGUGAUGCACAUCGAGAAAAUAAUAUGUGACAGCAUUAUCGGCACCCUUCUUAACAUUGAAGGCAAGACGAAAGAUACCUUAAAAUCUAGGAUUGAUUUGACACACCUGGGUAUCAGAAAGGAUUUGCAGGUGCAAGAUGAAGGUAAACCACGGGAUAUGGCACCAGCUGUGUACGUCUUGGACAAGGUAAAAAGAAUAGAAUUCUGCGAGGUCCUGUCAUGUGUGAGAUUCCCACAUGGAUUUGCUUCCAACCCUGAAAGGAGAGUCAGUGCAGAUGGAAACAAGGUACAAGGGUUGAAAACUCAUGACUGCCACGUCCUACUUCAAAGGGUUUUACCUGUUAUCCUUAGAGGAUUGGGCCUCCCUGACUUAUACAGAGCAAUUGCAGAGUUGGGACAAUUCUUCAGGGAACUCUGCAGUAGAAAUAUCAGGAUCGAUGCUUUGGAGCGUCUUAGAGAUAAGAUACCAACUAUCCUAUGCGAUCUUGAGAAGAUAUAUCCUCCAGCCAUCUUUGAUGUGAUGGUGCAUUUGGCUGUUCAUCUACCUGAUGAGGCACUACUUAGAGGUCCAGUACAGUAUGGUUGGAUGUACCCUAUUGAAAGGCGGCUAGGCACUUUCAAGGGCUAUGUUAGGAACUGAGCUAGACCCGAGGGUUCCAUUGCAGAGGCCUACAUUACUACAGAAGCGUUGACAUUCUGCUCAAAAUACAUUGAAACAGCUGAUCAGCUUAGCAAAGAGGUGGGUGAAGACAAUCCCGGGCUCAAUGUUUUCGAUUAUUCUGUUCGAGUUACAGGGAAGAGUCGACAAGAGGACAAACCUAAAAUUUGGACAAAAUGGUUUGGUAUGUGUUGAAUAACUGUCCUGAGAUACUACCUUAUAUCAAGUAAGUGCAGUACUGCAGCUUAUACAUCGUAAUCUACUAAACUUGCAGCACAUUCUUAUAUAUUUAGAUGUUUGACGCGAUCACUAUGUUGUGCAGCAUCUACAAAGAGGACUUACUGCCGCAAAAUCCAAGAAACAUUGACAAACUGGUUAUGGCAGGAUUUGCGAAAUGGUUCAAGAACCAUGUAGGCUUUUUAAGUGCACUGUCAGUUUUUUUAAUAUAUCGAGUACAUAAGAUGAUCAGCUUGUCUAUUUUCUAACCAUAGGUUAAGAAGAUGCGGGAGGAUGGGCAGGCAGUUGAUGAUGCCCUUUACUCACUAGCAAUGGGUCCUGAUACUCGGGUAAGACAUUAUGAAUCUUGCGUUAUUGGAGAUGUGCGCUACAACACGCUUGCACGAAACGAAGGCAGGAAGACACAAAACAGUGCCAUCAUGAGCACGGAUACGUAUGACAAAGAGACAACUGAAAUGUAUGCUAACAUAACAGACAUUAUUUAGUUGCAGUAUAUCUCCAGUUUCGAGGAUCAUCGGUGUGUGGUUCUGUUGUGUUGUCGUUGGUAUAACCUCUUUUCAAGGAUCGCAAAACCCAGAGCUGAUGAUUAUUUCAAAUCCAUCAAUGUCAAGGCGGCGUACCAGACCAACGAGCCUUUUAUUUUGGCAAAUCAAGCAACACACAUAUUUUUGUUGGAAGACACAUUUGCACGUAGCGAUGACUGGAGAGUAUUGCAAAGGUUUGAGUAGAGGAAUUCGUUUAAUGAAGUUGCACAACAAGAUGAUGCUUACACUGCUCCUGAUGUACAAGAUAACACAGAUGUUCCUAAUAUCUUUGAGAACCAUCACGUAAAUAACGCCGGCAAAAAGAUUACCCGUCGUGCUGUGGACAUACAAGAGUUGAUCAAGAAGAAGCCAAUGUUCGAGGACGUUGAGGACGAAGAAGAAGAUGACACCAUGGGGAAUUACGAUUCAGACUGAUACACAUGGCGAAGAUGUUGAUGCUGCUGCUGCGGAUGAUGAUUACAUUGCUUUUGUCGUAUUUGCCUAUCAGAAGACGUUUUUUAUCUACUAUGUGAAAUUGUGUUUGCUAUGACAACUGAAACCUGAUGAACAUGUUGUUUAGUAUUUUGCUGUGAGAACAUCACUUGUUAUGUAUGUUGAUUUGUGUUUGGUGAUUGUAUGACAACUAAAACAUGAUGACAUUGUUGUUUAGUUGUACUCAUAUUUGGCUAUGAAACUUGAAUUUGAUGACAUAGUUUGCUGUUGGACUGCAAUUUGCUCAAUGUCUUCGAAUGAGAACAAAGCUGACCCGACAGGGCCUCUACUAUUUAUUUAUUUAUAUGAGCAAAAGGGGAUACCCCCUGAUUUCCGUUAAUAGAAAUAAUUAGAUGUUCCCAACAUUAUGCCCAGCCUGCUACACAGGUUUCAUUCAUUAGUAGUUUCAGCAAAGUGCUCAUGUAGUAGCCACUGAAUACAUCACGAGUGCUACAUACACUACAAAUAAAGAGACAAUCAUCCUACAGAGCACAUCAAUUUUUCCCAUUAUCUUCACAAGCUCUUUCAUCUCCUCAUUGUUGUCAAGGCCGUUCAGUAGCUGUUGCUUGGCCAUGAUCAGAGGAACUGCAUCUUUAACCUUCUGCUCUGCAUCUUCCUCUUCCGUCGUUCCUUCAGUUACUUGUCCAACACCCCAACCUGCUGGUAUUUGGAUUCCUCGGCUAACCAAAUAAUCAGCGUAGUUGCAUUCCCCCAGAUCAGCAACUUCCCAGAAAUACAAAUCACACGAAUCUUCCCUUUUCUGCACGAAUCAAAUUGGAAGAUCAUCAACCAAACUAUUAAAAAAAUCAGCAACUGAAAGCAAUAGAACAACACUUAAACAUAUUAUUACCCCAUGAUUCGAGCAUUUGUAGAAGACUCGACCAGGGUUGCGGAUUGUGGUUGAGACGUGAUGGAUGACUCUGCGUGACUUGCAGCAGUGGCACCACACCAACGGCAGCGGGUUGCGAUGAGCAAUCGGCUGCAGUGCGCGUGCCGGCGGGGGUGUGAUGAAACCCACAAGCGAUGGUACGGGUGGCGACUUGGCGCAUAUCUGGUUGUUGCCUACUGAAGAGCAGGUGGACGAGCAGCCAGCGGACAUGGUUGCUGUGGCCAGAGCUUCUGAUGCUAGGCAGAGUAAGUAGAGAAGAGGAGAAGCGAACAUUGGAUAUGUCGGUUUCAUUACUUGCAGAGUAGCAUAGCACCAUAUAUAGUCAUAGUCUAGGUUUGGAUUCGAACCGACUACAGGAGCACGUCUUUCUUUUUUCUAAAACUCGGCAACGUCUCUUUACUGGUACACUAGCUUGUUCUGUACGCCUUCCCAAGUCUUUGAUUUUCUUUCCCUUUUUUUGCGAGGAAGGAAGGAGGACAAAAUUGAGAGUUCCUCGGACUCGAACCCAAUACCUCUCGGUUGAAAACCAAGGAUGCUAGUCACUUAUGUGGCGAACGUUCCCUGUGAGGAGGACGGCACAUGAACGCAUUUUCCUCGCAGUUUUCUUCCUAUAUAUAAAAAAGUAUGCUACUUGGUGUCCGCUUAGUCAAAAAACGAUUGUGCCAACCUUGACCGUUUGAUUGACAUUCAACGUCUGUCGUGUUUCUUCAGUCUCUUCUUCCUCGAGCCGCCAAAGCCAAACCAGCGCCCGCAGGACCACCUGCCCCCGCCUCCCACGGCUGGCUGUGAUCUUCCCCGGCUCCUGUUCGUUCCCGUCCGAGGCCUCACCAUCGUCCUCCGCCUUGGUUCGCUCACCGCGGCGCCGCCCUCCGGUGUUGUAAACAUGGUCAACAACCGAGAGGAAUAAGGAGAUGACUGUACAUGGUGACGAUGACAGUAGGGACCCAGCAGCGCGCGCAGUAAUUUUGUUUUCGGGACGGAGAAGGGUAUCAACUGGGUUGUGCGGGACCCGUGGCACGUCUAGCCCAGGCUUUUAAUUCAUAUGUUUAGCACAUGACCAGCCCAGUUUGUUUUGCCCUUUCUGAAAAAUGGCUAGGCAGCUAUUUUGUUUUUUGCAGAAUAACCAACAUAGGCCUACUUGCUUUACUAUGCCCUGCUAGGCCGAAAAUAUUUCAAGACGAGGAGGGAUGCAUUUUGCCCAGAAAAUGGGCUAUAAGUAAUAAGAAAUGGGCUAUAAGUAAUAAGAAAUGGGCUAUAAGUAAUAAUAAAUGGGCUGUAAAAUGAAAAAAAUACAGUAAACAGGCAAUUAGUUCCCCAAUAUUGUUUUCUUUCGGAUUUUGAUAUUUUAAAUUUCAUUGUUUUUGUGCGGGUAAAAUUUCAUCAAAUUUAAAUUAAGGUAUAUUUAGAUUUAAAAUUAAUUUGAAUCUGGCUAGAAAUUUCGGGUUGUAUGCUGUUUGGGACAGAUUUGGAGGCUGACUUGUGGGUCUACUAGGUUGACGUGUACUUUGGCUUUGUCAACUUAGUCCACAAACGAUUCUAGCAGCAGUGACCUUUGGAUGUUAAUCCAAUGACCGUGAUGCUUCUUCAAUAUCUGAUCUUCUUGCUCCAGCCGCCCAAACCAGCUCCAGUGGGACUGCCUACUCACGCCUCCCGUGGCCGGCUGUGCUGCCGCACAGGCCGCACCGCCCCACCCUACUUCAUUGCUGGCCAGGCCAUUCCGGUGACGGCAGCCGGACCAGUAAACCCUCGUACUCCCCACCGCGUGGGAAACCAUUGCCGAGACUUCCCCGGCUCUGUGUCGUUCCCUUCCUAGGCCUCGCCGUCGUCCACCGCCAUGCUGCUCUCGGCGCAGCCUGGUCAACAUGGUGAACAAACGACAUCCAUCGGCCGUGGACUGUAUGCACAAAAUAAUGAUGCCUCCACUUGACAGCUGGGACCCAUCGGAAGGGCCUCUGUAUUUCGUGAAAAAAAUGUUCCCCUCGCUGACAUGUCUGACCCACCAGCUAUAUCUUCGCACGCGAGGAAGUGCCAACUUAUUACGCACAAAAAAAUGAAUACCCACCCUGCUAGAUGGGACCCACCAUAGUGGGAGGAUGACUUGUGGGCCAACUAAGUUGACGGGGAUGGAGGGCUUUGUCAACUUAGUCAAUAUGAACGAUUCUAGCUCCAGUGACCGUACGAUGUCCAUCCAACGGCCAUAGUCCUUCUUCAACCUCUGGUCUUCUUGCUCCAGCCGCCCAAAGCAGCACCGGUCGUGUCGCGUGCUCCUGCCUCUCGUGGCCGGCUAUGAUGCCGCGGAGGCCUCACCGCCCCCUACUACUCCCACCGCUAGCCCAGGGUAUCCCUCUACUCACCCACACCCCCUGUUAUUCUGCGGCGACGGCAGCCUCACGCCACAGUCAUACCAGUGAACCCUCGUACUCCUCUCCGCGCGGGCCACCACUGCUACGUCUUCCCUGGCUCUGCGUCGUCCCCUUCCUAGGCCUCGCCGUCGUCCAGACCACCACCCUGGUGCUCUCGGCGCGGCGUGGUCAACAUCGUCAACGACCGACUUCCAUCGGAAGAGUACUGUACGUGCAGAGGCUGACAGCUGGGUCCAGGCGGCCGCAAGGAAGUGCCUCCUUCUUACGCGCAAAAUAAUUAUUCCUCCACCUGACAGCAGGGACCCACCGGACGGGCCACCUUAUUUCGCGAAAAAAUCGUUUUCUGCCUGACUACUGGGACCCACCGGACGGGCCAGCGUAUUUCGCGAAAAAACGUUCCCCACAGUGUCAGCUCGGACCCACCGGAAGUGCCUCCUUAUUACGCACAAAAAAAUGAGUACUCCCCUUGCUAGCUGGGACCCACCAUGGUGGGAGGCUGACUUGUGGGCCUACUAAGUUGACUGGGACAGGGGCCUUUGUCAACUUUAGUCAAUAUGAACGAUUCUAGCUCCAGUGACCGUACGAUGUCCAUCCAACGGCCGUAGUGCUUCUUCAACCUCUCGUCUUCUUGCUCCAGCCGCCAAAAGCAGCGCCGGUCGUGCCGCAUGCUCCUGCCUCCCGUGGCCGGCUGUGCUGCCGCAGAGGCCUCACCGCCCCCUACUAUUCCCACUGCUGGCCAGGCCUGGCGGCGACGGCAGCCUCACACCGCAUCCGAACCAGUGAACCCUCGUACUCCUCUCCGCGCGGGCUUCCACUGCUGCGUCUUCCUCGGCUCCCCGUCAUCCCCUUCCUAGGCCUCGCCGUCGUCCACCGCCUUGGUGCUCUCGGCGCGGCAUGGUCAACAUGGUCAAGGAACGACUUCCAUCGGACGUGGACUGUAUGUGGAGAGGCUGACAGCUGGGUCCAUGGCCGCAGCAAGGAAGUGCCUCCUUAUUACACGGAAAAUAAUGAUUCCUCCACCUGACAGCGGGGACCCACCGGACAGGCCACUGUAUUUCACGAAAAAAACGUUUCCCCCUGACUGCUGGGACACACCAGCUACAUCUUCGCACGCAAGGAAGUGCGUCCGGGCAAAAACAAAAUGAUUUGCCCCCCUAACCGCUGGGACCCACCAGCGACACCUUCGCACGCAAGGAAGUGCAUCCGUGCAAAAAAAUGAUUCGCCCCCUGACUGCUGGGACCCACCAGCUACAUCUUCGCACGCAAGGAAGUGUGUCCGGGUAAAAAAACCAAAAUGAUUCGCCCCCCUGACUGUUGGGACCCACCAGCUACAUCUUCGCAGGCAAGGAAGUGCCUGACAGUCGGGACCCACCUGGUCGAAGCGUACGUAGCGUUGUCAUUCUGGUCGCGAAAGUGUACGUACAUACUGGUCGAUGUAGAGGCACGCACGUGUCGUAGUAGAGGCGCGCACGUGUCAUAGUAGAGGCGCGCACGUAGCAUGUACACGUGCGUACAGCGGCGAGGGUGCAAGAAAGAAAAUACGGCCACGUACGUACAUACGGGCAGGGUCUCGAACGCCUACUCGUGCAUACGUACAUGGCUGGGGCAGAACGGAGAAACAUCGUCGUCGUCGUGUUCAUGGGGAGCCAACUGGCUGGGUCGGAACGGAAUGUGUGGUCGUGUUCAUCGGGAGGGCUUGGACGGAACAGACGAUGGAAACGAGGCCUGGUGUACCGCACAACGGAGGAAACGGACCUCCUACAUUCGGAAUGGGGUCCUGUUGAUCGGGAGGGGUGUGGCGUACCGCAAAACGGAGGAAACGGACCUCCUAUGGUCGAAACGGGGGUCCUGUUGAUCGGGAGGGGUGUGGCGUACCGCCAAACGGACAAAACGGACUUGUGUUGGAGCGCUACGGUCGAAACGGGGGUCCUGUUGAUCGGGAGGGGUGUGGCGUACCGCAAAACAGAGGAAACGGNNNNNNNNNNGCACGCAAGGAAGUGCGUCCGGGCAAAAAAACAAAACGAUUCCCUCCUGACUGAUGGGACCCAGCAGCUACACCUUCGCACGCAAGGAAGUGCAUCCGGGCAAAAAAACAAAAACAAAACGAUUCGCCCCCCUGACUGCUGGGACCCACCAGCUACUUCUUCGCAGGCAAGGAAGUGCCUGACAGUCGGGACCCACCUGGUCGAAGCGUACGUAGCGUUGUCAUUCUGGUCGCGAACGUGUACGUACAUAUAUACAGGUCAAUGUAGAGGCGCACACAUGUCGUAGUAGAGGCGCGUCCGUGUCGUAGUAGAGGCGCGCAUGUAGCAUGUACACGUACGUACAACAGCCAGGGUGCAAGAAAGAAAAUACGGCCACGUACGUACAUACGGGCAGGGUCUCGAACGCCUACUCGCGCAUACGUACGGCCAGGACUCGUCUACAUGGCUGGGUCGGAACGGACAAACAUCGUCGUCGUCGUGUUCAUGGGGAGGCAACGGAAUGCGUCGUGUUCAUGGGGAGGCAACGGAAUGCGUCGUGUUCAUCGGGAGGCAACAGAACGUGUGGGAGCCAACUGGCUGGGUUGGAACGGAAUGCGUGGUCAUGUUCAUCGGGAGGGCUUGGACGGAACAUGCGGUGGAAACGAGGCUUGGCGUACCACAAAACGGAGGAAACGGCCUUGUGUUCGACCGGCCACGUUCGAAACGGGAUCAUGUUCAUCGGGAGGGGUCUGGCAUACCGCAAAACGGAGGAAACAGACCUCCUACGGUCGAAACGGGGGUCUUGUUGAUCGGGAGGGGUGUGGCGUACAGCAAAAUGGAGGAAACGGACUUGUGUUGGGGCGCUACGGUCAAAACGGGGGUCCUGUUGAUCGGGAGGGGUGUGGCGUACCGCAAAACGAGACUCCACGGGAUACUGUUCAUCUCCACCGUCGACCUCCUCCAGUCUCCACGGGCUACGUCGACCUCCUCCAGCCUCCACCGCGCGCUACUCCACCGGCUACUGUUCAACCACCCCUCCACAGGCACCCCUCCACCGUCUACUGUUCAUCCAGCCCUCCACACCACGGGGUCCUAUUCAACCACCCCUCCACGGGCACCCCNNNNNNNNNNCCCCCUGCAACGCUCACUGUUCAUCCAAUCGAUCGGCCUCAGUUAGCAGAAGUAGCAAAGGAAUCGCUCCAUCGGGUUCAUUUAACAGCCAUCGAUCAAUCGCUCGGGUUCAGUAAUGCGUAGCCUGCAGUACAAUCGCUCAGGUUCAGUUAGAGCCCAACGCCUCGCUCGGGUUCAGUUAGAGCCAAUGCCUCGCACACACGCGCGUACAUGUACGGGAGAAAGCGCAUCGCUCGGCCCCCAACCUCCCACCGUAACCUGCAACUCCCCGAAAUUUUCCUCCCCCUUGCUUCUACCACGGUUUUUUCCGUCAUGGACGGCCCAAAGAAUGUCAUGCAGCUGCGUCUCCGGCCCGCCCAGGACGAAAAGCCCAUUUUCUGUCAUGAUUUUUUGUCAUGGAAGUAGGAGCCCACCACAUCUAUGAUGAUACCGGGUUUUGUCACAAUUAUCGUCAUAGAAGUGUCAUAUGUAUGACAGAAAAAAAUUCGUUCGGCCCAAAAUGUCACGGAUGUGUCUUUUUUUGUAGUGUUACUUACUUGGGCAUCUAGGCGAUUGCAGCUUAGGCCCGCAUCCUCGGUGGUGUCCGGACACUUUACUUGUGGUCCGAAGAAUAAUUUACACAUCCCUUCGAGCUUCAGGCCGAAGUAGUGCUUAAUAGUCCGCGGACCCUCCGGAUUAAACUCCCACAUCCGGAGAGGCCGACGUUUGCACGGCAACAUCCGUCGGAUUAACAUCACUUGGAUUAUGCUGACAAGAUUUAUGUCCCUCUCAAUAAGCUCCCGGAUGCGGUUCUACAGUACUGGUACAUCACCAGCGGGUCCCCAAUUCUGUCCUACGUCGGUCCAAGAUGCCAACUGUGACGGAGGGCCCGAGCGGAACUCGGGGGCGGCUACCCACUUUGAGCCUCUGGGAGCUGUAACAUAAAACCACCUCCGUUGCCAUACAUCGGAUACUUCCGGGAAAGAACCCUCUGGCCAUGGGGCAUCGGCGUUCCUUCUUAUUAUGGCACCUCCGCACUCCGCAUGUCGCCCCUCGAUCAUCUUCGGCUUCAGAUUAAAGGUCUUGAGCCAUAAGCCUAAGUGUGGGGUGACGUGGAGAAAAGCCUCGCACACAAUAAUGAACGACAAGAUAUGGAGGAUGGCGUCUGGAGCCAGAUCAUGAAAAUCCAACCCAUAGUAGAACAUGAGCCCCCUCACAAAGGGGUCGAGGGUGAGGCCCAGGCCUCGGAGGAAGUGAGUAACAAACACAAUGCUCUCAUUGGGCUCCGGCGUGGGGAUAACUUGCCCUGGAGAAGGAAGCCUAUACUGGAUAUCGGCGGUCAGGUAUCCGGCCUCCCUAAGCUUCGUAAUGUCCUCCUCUUGGAUCGAGGAGGCCACCCACCGGCCUUUUGCAUCGUAUCCGGACAUACUGGGGAUCUGGGGUGUUGGAGCUUGGGUCUUGGGUGUUGGAACUCAAGUUGCGAGAAGGAGCAAAGGAAGUGGAAAAGAGGCGUAGGCCUCGACUUCUUUAUAAAGAGGAUGAAUAUCAAGAGUCCUCAGCGUGACUGCUUGAGACUCAUCCAAAAAUACACGGAGUCAUACCAACGGUCGUCGUGGGGUCAUAUACGCCCAUAUUGAUGGAAGAUCCUGUGAUAAGAGGAGCACGAUCUCUACUUUGACAGGUCGUGCCAAUAAAACCGCCUCGCAAUACGAGUCGAGGUGGGGCAAGAAACGCUGGUUCGUGUUGGACCAGGCCACGAUGCAAGGGCACGACGUACAAAGAUUGUCAUCAGAACGGAUUCAUGCUAUGUUCCCUACAAUGGCAUGUGAAGAUCAUCUUGCAGAACCGGACACUAUUCGUCGUAGCAAAUACAUUGGAGUAUUCGGAGAAGGAACCCGCCUUGCAAUGCUGAAGACAAGACUGCGCACCGGACUCACCGUCAUUGAAGCCUGUUUCAGGGGCUACUAAGGGAGUCCAGGAUUAGGGGGUAUCCGGAUAGCCGGACUAUAUACAUCGUCUGGACUAUUGAAGCGUGAAGAUACAAGACUCAAGACUCCAGCCUGUGUCCGGAUGGGACUCUCCUUUGCGUGGAAGACAAGCUUGGCGAUCCAGAUAUUGUAUUUCCUUCCUUGUAACCGACUCCGUGUAAACCCUAGCCCUCUCCGAUGUCUAUAUAAACCGGAGAGGAUGGUCCUUAGAAGGCCGAUCACAAUUACAAUCAUACCAUCAUAGGCUAGCUCUUAGGGUUUAGCCUCUACGAUCUCGUGGUAGAUCUACUCUUGUACUACCCAUAUCUUCAAUAUUAAUCAAGCAGGAAGUAGAGUUUUACCUCCAUCGAGAGGGCCCAAACCUGGGUAAACAUCUGUAUCCCUUCCUUCCUGUUACCAUCAGCCUAGACGCACAGAUCGGGACCCCCUACCCGAGAUCCGCCGGUUUUGACACCGACAAUGACGACGGUGACGAAUCCCCUUCUCCGGAGACCCGAACGGACUCCAGAUCAGCCCUCCAGAGAGAGAUUAGGGCUUGGCGGCACCUCCGUGUCGUAAAACGUGAUGAAACUUUCUCUCUUAUUUUUUUUCUCCCGAAACGUGAAUAUAUGGAGUUGGAGUUGAAGUUGGUGGAGGUCCAGGGGGCCCACGAGAUAGGGGGCGCGCCCUAUAGGGGGGGCGUCCCCUAUUUCGUGGACAGGGUGUGGGCCCCCUGGUGUAUUUCUUUCGCCCAGAAAUUCUUAUUAAUUCCAAAAAGUGCCUCCGUGGAUUUUCAGGACAUUCCGAGAACUUUUCUUUUCUACACAUAAAACAACAUCAUGGCAGUUCUGUUGAAAAUAGCGUCAGUCCGGGUUAGUUUCAUUCAAAUCAUGCAAGUUAGAGUCCAAAACAAGGGAAAAAGUGUUUGUAAAAGUAGAUACAUUGGAGAAGUAUCAACUCCCCCAAGCUUAAACCUUUGCUUGUCCUCAAGCAAUUCAGUUGAUAAACUGAAAGUGAUAAAGAAAAACUUUUACAAACUCUGUUUGCUCUUGUUGUUGUAAAUAUAGCCAACAUUCAAGUUUCAGCAAAUAUUAUGAACUAACCAUACUCACAAUAACACUUAGGUCUCACAAUUACUCAUAUGAAUAGCAUAAUUAGCUAACGAGCCAUAAUAAUAAAACUCGGAUGACAACACUUUCUCAAAACAUUCAUAACAUGAUAUAACAGAAUGGUAUCUUGCUAGCCCUUUCUGAGACCGCAAAACAUAAAUGCAGAGCACCUUUAAAGAUCAAGGACUGACUAAACAUUUUAAUUCAUGGCAAAAGAGAUCCAGUCAAGUCAUACCAAAUAUAAACCAAUAAUAACGAAUGCAAAUGAAAGUGUGCUCUCCAGCGGGUGCUUUUAAUAAGAAGGGUGAUGACUCAACAUAAAAGUAAAUAGAUAGGCCCUUCGCAGAGGGAAGCAGGGAUUUGUAGAGGUGCCAGAGCUCGAUUUUAAAAUAGAGAUUGAAUAACAUUUUGAGUGGCAUACUUUCGUUGUCAACACAACAACUAUGAGAUGGUUGUAUCUUCCAUACUACAUGCAUUAUAGGCAGUUCCCAAACAAAAUGGUAAAGGUUUAUACUCCCCCAACCACCAACAAGCAUCAAUCCAUGGCUUGCUUGAAACAACGAGUGCCUCCAACUAACAACAGCCCUGGGGAGUUUUGUUUAAUUAUUUUGAUUUUCUUUGAUCUUUUUGGAUCAUGGGACUGGGCAUCCCGGUUACCGGCCCUUUCUCGUGAAUGAGGAGCGGAGUCCACUCCUCUUGAGAAUAAUCCACCUAGCAUGGAAGAUAUAUGCAGCCCUAGUUGUAACAUGAGCUGCUCGAGCAUACAAAACAGAAUUUCAUUUGAAGGUUUGGAGUUUGGCACAUACAAAUUUACUUGGAACGGCAGGUAAAUACCGCAUAUAGGAAGGUAUGGUGGACUCAUAUGGAACAACUUUGGGGUUUAAGGAGUUUGGAUGCACAAACAGUAUUCCCGCUUAGUAUAGGUGAAGGCUAGCAAAAAAACUGGGAAGCGACCAACUGAGAGAGCGACAACAGUCGUAAGCAUGCAUUAAAAUUAAUUCACACCGAAUACAAGCAUGAGUAGGAUAUAAUCCACCAUGAACAUAAAUAUCAUGAAGGCUAUGUUGAUUUGAUUCAACUACAUGUGUGAACAUGUGCCAAGUCGAGUCACUCAAUUCAUUCAAAGGAGGAUACCAUCCCAUCAUACCACAUCAUAAUCAUUCUAAUAGCAUGUUGGCAUGCAAGGUAAACCAUUAUAACUCAUAGCUAAUCAAGCAUGGCACAAGAAACUAUAAUCUCUAAAUGUCAUUGCAAAUAUGUUUACCUCAUAAUAGGCUGACUCAUAAACGAUGAACUCAUCAUAUUUACAAAAACAAGAUAGGUCGAGUUCAUACCAGCUUUUCUCAUCCCAAUAAGUCCAUCAUAUAUCGUCAUUAUUGCCUUUCACUUGCACGACCGAACGAUGUGUAUAAUAAUAAGAGUGCAUGUGCAUUGGACUAAGCUGGAUUCUGCAAGCAUUCAACUCAAGAGAGAAGACAAGUAAUAUGGGCUCUAAGUUAAAUAAACAAUCAUGCAUAUGAGAGCCACUAAGCAUUUUGAAUAUGGUCUUCUCAAACCGCAAAGGAAAGAAAAGAAAAUAAAACUAUUUACACGGGAAAGCUCCCAACAAGUAAGAAGAAGACCUAGAAAUCUUUUGGGGUUUUCAUUUUAAUUUCUACUACAAGCAUGGAAAUUAAACUAACUAAUUUUUUUGGUUUUUCUUAAGGUUUAUCAAACACACAAGAAGAAAACUAGAAAAAGAAAAUUAAACUAACAUGGAUAAUACAAUGAAAGAGUAUGAGCACCGACGACUAGUGUGUGAACAUGAAUGUAAAGUCGGUGAGAAAUACGUACUCCCCCAAGCUUAGGCUUUUGUCCUAAGUUGGUCUAGUACCAAGGACCGCCUGGCUGAUAUCCAUAAGUGAAACUGGGGUCAUACUGAGAUGCAGCGGCAACCGCCUCCUGAGCUGCAGCGUGUUGGCGAGCUUCCUACGCUCUCCUCUCGUGUUCAGCUGCUUCCUCCCUGGUGACAACAUAUCUUCCUUUUGCCUGAUAAUCAAAAAGGUAGGGAGCAGGAAGAGUAACAUGGACGAUGUUGCGUCUGUCAUAGAUUAGUCGAUAUUGGAGGAAUUGUUCAUUCCUCCCAAGAAAUUGAUGACUGACCAUAGCUUCAUAAUCUAAGUAAACAGGAGGUAUCAACAUAUCUCCCUCUCUUGGGGCUAUACCAAGAUAAUUAGCCACACGGGUUGCAUAAAUUCCUCCAAAUAAAUUUCCCUUUCUAUUAUUAUUCUGCAACCUGCGUGCAACUAUUGCCCCCAAGUUAUAAUCUUUAUAACCUAACACAGCACUCUUAAGGACACACAGAUCAGGGACACACAUGUGACAUGCUUCAUCCUUACUGUUAAUGCAUCUACCAAUAAAGAGGGCAAAAUAAUGUAUAACAGGAAAAUGAAUGCUCCCUAUGGUAGCUUGUGCUAUGUCCCUAGAUUCUCCCACAGUAAUACUAGCGAGAAAAUCUCUAAAUUCAGAUUUGUGAGGAUCGUUAAUAUUACCCCACUACGGGAGUUUGCAAGCAGUUGUGAAAUCCUCUAAAUCCAUGGUAUAAGAUGUAUCAUAAAUAUCAAAUAUGACACUAGGAGAAUUACGCGCACAAUUAUGUUUGAAUCUCCGCACAAAAGAAUUACUCAAUUGAUAGUACUGCUGACACUUAUCUUGUAAGAAGUCCUCCAGCUCGGCAUUACGCACAUAUGCGUCAAAUUCCUACUUGAAGCCUGCUUCGACCAUAAAAUCAUCGGAUGGCCACUCACAAGCUCGUACAUCUGCGUCCCUCGGCAAUUCAACAUCUUGCUCACGUAUAGCAAUCCUUGGCCCUUUCUUUGUCGAGGAACCACCUUGGUACAUUCUUCUAAGCAUAAUUCUUUUUCUGAAAAUUUCUGAAAUUUUAGUAACUUCAAAAUAAAAGUGAAUAAAACUAAACAAGAUUGGUAGCAACUACUCCUACAAGUGCCUAGAGCCUAUAUCAUGCAUUGGAAUUGCUUGGGACCUCAUAAAUUUAACAUGCAAGCUCAAGAACAUGGUCACCUCUACAACAAAAAUUUGCAAUGGAUAAAGCACUAGAACAAAAACUAAUUGGACCAAUGGAGGAGUCACAUGCCAAGCAACAAUCUCCCAAAGCAGUUUUGUGAAUGGAGCUUUGAGCAAGGAGAUCGAAAAUUGCAGCAAAAUGAGCUAGAACUCGUGCUUGAGCUGGAUGGGGAUUUUUUUUGGGUAGAACAUGAAGUGUGUGGGUGCUGGCAUAAGUGGAGGGGGCCACCUGGGGCCCAUGAGACAGGGGGGCGCGCCCUAUGGGGGGCGCCCUCCACUCUCAUGGCCUAGUGCUUGCCCCUCCUGCAGUGUUUUCAAUGCCUAAAAUCCUCAAAUAUUCCAUAAAAAAUCAUACUAAAUUUGCAGGGCAUUUGGAGCACUUCUAUUUUUGGGAAAUUUUUUAAUGCACGGAUAAUUCAGAAAACAGACGGAAAAUACUAUUUUUGCUUUAUUUAUUAUAAAUAACAGAAAGUAAAAAGUGGGUACAUAAGGUUGUGCCUUCUAGUUUCAUCCAUCUCAUGAUCAUCAAAAUGAAUCCACUAACAAGGUUGAUCAAGUCUUGUUAACAAACUCAUUCCGAAUAACACGGAACCGGAGAAAUUUCGAAUAAUACUAAGUUACCUCAAUGGGGAUAUGAAAAUCCCCAACAAUAAGAAUAUCAUACUUUUUCUUAACAGUUGGGAGAGGAAAUUCAAAACCUCCAAUAAUAAUAGUUGGAACUUUUCCAAUAGAAUUGAUGCUAUGAACUUGAGAUUGUUUCCUCGGAUAGUGUACCGUAUGCUCGUUACCAUUAACAUGAAAAGUGACAUUGCCUUUGUUGCAAUCAAUAACAGCCCCUGCAGUAUUAAGAAAAGGUCUACCAAGGAUAAUAGACAUACUAUCGUCCUCGGGAAUAUCAAGAAUAACAAAGUCCGUUAAGAUAGUGACAUUUGCAACCACAACAGGCACAUCCUCACAAAUACCGACAGGUAUAGCAGUUGAUUUAUCAGCCAUUUGCAAAGAUAUUUCAGUAGGUGUCAACUUAUUCAAUUCAAGUCUACGAUAUAAAGAGAGAGGCAUAACACUAACACCGGCUCCAAGAUCACAUAAAGAAGUUCUAACAUAAUUUCUUUUAAUGGAGCAUGGUAUAGUUGGGACACCCAGAUCUCCAAGUUUCUUUGAUAUUCCACCCUUAAAAGUGUAAUUAGCAAGCAUGGUGGAAAUUUCAACUUCCAGUAUCUUUCUUUUAUUUGUAAUGAGAUCCUUCAUAUACUUAGCAUAAGGAUUUACUUUCAGCAUAUCAGUUAAGCGCAUACGUAAGAAAAUAGUUCUAAUCAUCUCAUAAAAGCGCUCAAAAUCCUCAUCAUCCUUUGUUUUGGAGGGUUUAGGAGGAAAGGGCAUGGGUUUCUGAACCCAUGGUUCUCUUUCUCAACCGUGCUUCCUAGCAACAAAAUCUGUCUUAUGAUAACGUCGAUUCUUUGAUUGUGGGUUAUCAAGAUCAACAACAGGUUCAAUCUCUACAACAUUGUUUUUGCUAGGUUGAGCAUCAACAUGAACAUUAUCAUUAACAUUAUCACUAGGUUCAUGUUCAUCACCUGAUUGUGUUUCAGCAUCAGAAAUAGAAAUAUUAUUGGGAUUCUCAGGUGUGUCUAUAGUAGGUUCACUAGAAGCAUGCAAAGUUCUAUCGUUUUUCUUUUUCUUCUUUUUGGAAGAACUAGGUGCCUCUAAAUUAUUUCUCCGAGAAUCUUGCUCGAUUCUCUUAGGGUGGCCUUCAAGAUACAAAGGUUCCUGAGUCAUUCUACCAGUUCUAGUAGCCACUCUAACAGCAAAGUCAUUUUUAUUAGUUAAUUCAUCAAGCAAAUCAUUUUUGAGAUUUAAAUACUUGCUCAGCUUGAGUAGCAACCAUAGAAGCAUAUUUGCUAAUGAGUUGGAGUUCACCUUUAACUCUAGCCAUAUUAUCGCUUACGUGUCCUAUCUCGAAAUCAUUAUUCUUUAACUCUCUACCAACAUAAGCAUUAAAACUUUCUUGUCUAGCCAUAAAGUCAUCAAAUUCAUCUAAGCAUGGGCUGUGAAAUUUAGUAGAGGGGAUUUCAACUUUAUCAUAUCUAUAGAGAGAAUUUACCUUUACUACCUGUGUCGGGUUAUCAAGACAAUGUGGUUCUUCAACAGGCGGUAUAUUAAGACCAUGUAUUUCUUCGAAGGUGGUAAAUUCUUAACAUCUUUAGCUUUAAUACCUUUUUCUUUCAUUGAUUUCUUUGCCUCUUGCGUAUCUUCAGGACUAAGAAAUAAAACACCUCUCUUCUUCGGAGUGGGUUUAGGAAUAGGCUCAGGAGUUGGCUCAAUUGGUUCAGGAAUUGCCUCAGGAAUUGGCUCAGGAAGAGUCCAAUUAUUUUCAUUAGUCAGCAUAUUAUUCAACAAUAUUUUAGCUUCGUCGACUGUUGUUUCCCUAAAAACACAACCACCACAACUAUCCAAGUAGUCCUUGGAAGCAUCGGUUAGUCCAUUAUAAAAGAUAUCAAGUAUUUCAUUUUUCUUAAGAGGAUGAUCGGGCAAAGCAUUAAGUAUCCGGAGAAGCCUCUCCCAAGCUUGUGGAAGACUCUCUUCUUUGAUUUGCACAUAAUUAUAUAUUUCCCGCAAGGCAGCUUGUUUCUUAUGAGCAGGGAAAUAUUUAGCAGAGAAGUAAUAAAUCAUAUCCUGGGGACUACGCAGACAACCAGGAGCAAGAGAAUUAUACCAAGUCUUAGCAUCACCCUUUAAUGAGAACGGAAAUAUCUUAAGGAUAUAAUAAUAGCGAGACUUCUCAUCAUCAGUAAACAGGGUGGCUAUAUCAUUCAACUUGGUAAGAUGUGCCACAACAGUUUCAGAUUCAAGGCCAUAAAAAGGAUCUGAUUCAACUAAGGUAAUAAUCUCAGGAUCAACAGAGAAUUCAUAAUCCUUAUCAGUAACAUAGAUAGGUGAAGUAGCAAAAACAGGAUCAGGUUUCAUUCUAGCAUUAAGAGACUGCUGCUUCCAUUUAGCUAAUAAUUUCUUAAGAUCAUAUCUAUCAUUGCAAGCAAAGAUAGCUCUAGCAGCUUCUUCAUUCAUAACAUAACCCUCAGGAACAACAGGCAAUACAUAAUCAUUAAGAGAAUUUCACCAUCACUAUCAUCAAUAAUAGCAUCUUCAAUAUUUUCAUUCCCCCUAACACUAGCAAGUUGUUCAUCAAGAAAUUCACCUAAUGGCAAAGUAGUAUCACGCAUAGAAGUAGUUUCAUCAUGCAUAGCAGAAGUGGCAUCAUCAAUAACAUGCGACAUAUCAGAAUUCAUAGCAGUAGCAGGUUUAGGUGUCGCAAGCUUACUAAUAACGAAAGGAGAAUCUAGUGCAGAGCUAGAUGGCAGUUCCUUACCUCCCCUCGUAGUUGAGGGCAGAAUCGUAGUCCGGUCGUCUUUCAAGUUCUUCAUAGUGAUCAAAAGAUAUAAAUCCCAAGUGACUCAGCGAAUAGAGCUAUGCUCCCCGGCAACGGCACCAGAAAUUAGUCUUGAUAACCCACAAGUGUAGGGGAUCGCAACAGCUUUCGAGGGUAUAGUAUUCAACCCAAAUUUAUUGAUUCGGCACAAGGGGAGCCAAAGAAUAUUCUUGAGUAUUAGCAGUUGAGUUUUCAAUUCAACCACACCUGGAUAACUUAGUAUCUGCAGUAAAGUAUUUAGUAGCAAAAGUGGUAUGAUAAUAAAGGUAAUGUUAGCAAAAGUAAAGGUAAUAGUUUUGGGGUUUUUGUAGUAGUUGUAACAGUAGCAAUGGAAAAGUAAAUAAGCGAAGAACAGUAUGUGAAAAGCUCGUAGGCAAUGGAUCAGUGAUGGAUAAUUAUGCCGGAUGCGAUUCCUCGUGUAAUAGCUAUAACAUAGGGUGACACGGAACUAGCUCCAAUUCAUCAAUGUAAUGUAGGCAUGUAUUCCGUAAAUAGUCAUACGUGCUUAUGGAAAAGAACUUGCAUGACAUCUUUUGUCCUACCCUCCCAUGGCAACGGGGUCCUAGCGGAAACUAAGGGAUAUUAAGGCCUCCUUUUAAUAGAGAACCGGAACAAAGCAUUAGCACAUAGUGAAUACAUGAACUCCUCAAACUACGGUCAUCACUGAGAAGUAUCCCGAUUAUUAUCACUUUGGGGUUGUCGGACCAUAACACAUAAUAGGUGACUAUAGACUUGCAAGAUAGGAUCAAGAACACACAUAUAUUCAUGAAAACAUAAUAGGUUCAGAUCUAAAAUCAUGGCACUCGGGCCCUAGUGACAAGCAUUAAGCAUAGCAAAGUCAUAGCAACAUCAAUCUCAGAACAUAGUGGAUACUAGGGAUCAAACCCUAACAAAACUAACUUGAUUACAUGGUAAAUCUCAUCCAACCCAUCACCGUCCAGCAAGCCUACGAUGGAAUUACUCACGCACGGCGGUGAGCAUCAUGAAAUUGUUGAUGGAGGAUGGUUGAUGAUGACGACGGCGACGAAUCCCCCUCUCCGGAGCCCCAAACGGACUCCAGAUCAGCCCUCCCGGGAGAGAUUAGGGCUUGGCGGCGGCUCCGUGUCGUAAAACGCGAUGAAACUUUCUCUCUUAUUUUUUCUUCCCUAACGUGAAUAUAUGGAGUUGGAGUUGAGGUCGGUGGAGGUCCAGGGGGCCCACGAGAUAGGGGGCGCGCCCUAUAGGGGGCGCCCCCUGUCUCGUGGACAGGGUGUGGGCCCCCUGGUGUAUUUCUUUCGCCCAGAAAUUCUUAUUAAUUCCAAAAAGUGCCUCCAUGGAUUUUCAGGACAUUCCGAGAACUUUUAUUUUCUACACAUAAAACAACAUCAUGGUAGUUCUGCUGAAAACAGCGUCAGUCUGGGUUAGUUUCAUUCAAAUCUUGCAAGUUAGAGUCCAAAACAAGGGCUAAAGUGUUUGGAAAAGUAGAUACGUUGGAGACGUAUCAAUGGGCAUCUCCAUAGCUCGUUGAUUAGCCUCGUCAACAUGAGACUUUCUCCUUUUUUUGUCUUCUCCACACAACCUUCAUCAUCAUAUUCUAUUCUCCCCAUAGUAUUAUAUCCAUGGCUUGCGCUCAUGUAUUGCGUGAGAGGGAAAAAGCUGAAGCGCGUUAAAAAGUAUGAACCAAUUGCUUGGGUGAAACUGGGGUUGUGCAUGAUGGGAGUAUUUUGUGUGACAAAAAAGAAACAUAGCCUGACUAUAUGAUUUUGUAGGGAUGAACUUUCUUUAGCAAUGUUAUUUUGAGAAGACAUGAUUGCUUUGUUAGUAUGCUUGAAGUAUUAUCACUUUUAUGUCAAUAUGAAUUUUUAUUUUGAAUCAUUUGGAUCUGAGCAUUCAUGCCACAAUAAAGAAAAUUACAUUGAAAAUAUGCUAGGUAGCAUUCCACAUCAAAAAAUUUGUUUUUAUCAUUUACCUAAUUGAGGACGAGCAGGAAUUAAGCUUGGGGAUGCUUGAUACGUCUCCAACGUAUCUAUAAUUUUUUAUUGCUCCAUGCUAUUAUAUUACCCAUUUUGGAUGUUUAUGGGCUUUACUUUACACUUUUAUAUCAUUUUUGGGACUAACCUACUAACCGGAGGCCCAGCCUGAAUUGCUGUUUUUUUUGCCUAUUUCAGUGUUCGAAGAAAAGGAAUAUCAAACGGAGUCCAAACGGAAUGAAACCUUUGGGAGCGAUCUUUUUGGAACAAACGCAAUCCAGGAGACUUGGACUGGACGUCAAGAAGCAGUCGAGGCGGCCAUGAGGCAGGAGGGCAUGCCCUAGGGGGGUGGUCGCGCCCCCCACCCUCAUGGGCCCUCGUGGCUCCCCUGACCUACCUCCUUUGCCUAUAUAUACUCUCGUACCCUGAAAACAUCGAGGAGUACCACGAAAAACUAUUUCCACCACUGCAACCUUCUGUAUCCGCGAGAUCCCAUCUUGGAGCCUUCGUCGGCCCUCCGCCGGAGGGGGAAUCGACCAUGGAGGGCCUCUACAUCAUCUCCAAGGCCUCUCCUAUGAUUUGUGAGUAGUUUACCGUAGACCUUCGGGUCCAUAGUUAUUAGCUAGAUGGCUUCUUCUCUCUCUUUGAAUCUCAAUACAAAGUUCUCCUCGAUCUUCUUGGAGAUCUAUUCAAUGUAACUCUUUUUGCGGUAUGUUUGUCAAGAUCCGAUGAAUUGUGGGUUUAUGGUCAAGUUUAUCUUUGAGAAAUAUUUGAAUCUCCUCUGAAUUCUUUUAUGUAUGAUUGGUUAUCUUUGCAAGUCUCUUCGAAUUAUUAGUUUGGUUUAACCUACUAGAUUGUUCUUUCUUGCAAUGGGAGAAGUGCUUAGCUUUGGAUUCAAUCUUGCGGUGUCCUUUCCCAGUGACAGCAGGGGCAGCAAGGCACGUAUUGUAUUGUUGCCAUCGAGGAUAAAAAGAUGGGGUUUAUAUCAUAUUCUUUGAGUUUAUCCCUCUACAUCAUGGCAUCUUUCUUAAUGCGUUACUCUGUUCUUAUGAACUUAAUACUCUAGAUGCAUGCCUCGAUAAUCUCAUAACUAUGCACUUUUCUAUCAAUUGCUUGACAAUAAUUUGUUCAACCACCGCAAUACUUAUGCUAUGUUGAGAGAAGCCACUAGUGAAACCUAUGGCCCCCGGGUCUAUCUUUUAUCAUAUAAGUUUCCGAUCUACUUUUAUUUUGCAAUCUUUACUUUCCAAUGUAUAUCAUGAAAAUACCAAAAAUAUUUAUCUUAUCUUAUUAUCUCUAUCAGAUCUCACUUUUGCAAGUUAUCAUGAAGGGAUUGACAACCCCUUUAUCAUGUUGGUUGCGAGGUUCUUGUUUGUUUGUGUAGGUAUGAAGGACUUGUGAGGAGCCUCCUACUGGAUUGAUACCUUGGUUCUCAAAAGCUGAGGGAAAUACUUAUGCUACUUUGCUGCAUCACCCUUUCCUAUUCAAGGGAAAACCAACGCAGUGCUCAAGAGGUAGCAGUACGCACUUAAGGAAAUGUGGAAUUGUUUCACAACUCACGCCGCCUGGAACACCUCAGCGUAAUGGUGUGUCCGAACGUCGUAAUCGCACUCUACUAGAUAUGGUGCGAUCUAUCAUGUCUCUUACCGAUUUACCACUAUCAUUUUGGGGUUAUGCUUUAGAGACAGCCGCAUUCACUUUAAAUAGGGCACUGUCUAAAUCCAUUGAGACGACGCCGUAUGAAUUAUGGUUUGGGAAGAAACCUAAGUUGUCGUUUCUAAAAGUUUGGGGAUGCGAUGCUUAUGUCAAGAAACUUCAACCUGAAAAGCUCAAACACAAGUCGGAAAAAUGUGUCUUCAUAGGACACCCUAAGGAAACCAUUGGGUAUACCUUCUACCUCAGAUCCGAAGGCAAGAUCUUUGUUGCCAAGAACAGAUCCUUUCUGGAGAAAGAUUUUCUCUCGAAAGAAGUAAGUGGGAGGAAAGUAGAACUUGAUGAAGUACUGCCUCUUGAACCGGAGAGUAGCAUAGCUCAGGGAGAUGUUUCUGUGGUGCCUGCGCCAACUAGAGAGGAACUUAAUGAUGAUGGUCAUGAAACUUCGGAUCAAGUUGCUACUGAACUUCGUAGGUCCACAAGGGCACAUUCCGCACCAGAGUGGUACGGCAACCCUGUCCGAGAAAUCAUGUUGUUAGACAACGGUGAACCUUCGAACUAUGAAGAAGCGAUGGAGGGCCCGGAUUCCAACAAAUGGCUUGAAGUCCUGAAAUCCGAGAUAGGAUCCAUGUAUGAAAACAAAGUAUGGACUUUGACAUACUUGCCCGAUGAUCGGCAAGCCAUAGAAAAUAAGUGGAUCUUUAAGAAGAAGACUGAAGCGGAUGGUAAUGUGACUAUCUAUAAAGCUCGGCUUGUCUCUAAGGGUUAUCAACAAGUUCAAGGGGUUGACUACGAUGAAACCUUCUCACCCGUAGCAAAGCUAAAGUCCGUCCGAAUCAUGUUAGCAGUUGCCGCAUUCUAUGAUUAUGAGAUAUGGCAAAUGGACGUCAAAACGCCAUUCCUUAAUGAUUUCCUUAAGGAAGAAUUGUAUAUGAUGCAGACGGAAGGUUUUGUCGAUCCUAAGAAUGCUGACAAGGUGUGAAAGCUCCAGCGCUCCAUCUAUGGGCUGGUGCAAGGAUCUCGGAGUUGGAACAUUCACUUGAAUGAAAUGAUCAAAGUGUUUGGGUUCAUGCAGACUUAUGGAGAAGCUUGUGUUUACAAGAAAGUGUGUGGGAACUCUAUAGCAUUUCUCAUAUUAUAUGUAGAUGACAUACUAUUGAUGGGAAAUGAUAUAGAACUUUUGGAAAGCGUAAAGGCCUACUUGAAUAAGUGUUUUUCAAUGAAGGACCUUAGAGAAGUUGCUUACAUAUUAGGCAUCAAGAUCUAUAGAGAUAGAUCGAGACGCCUCAUUGGUCUUUCACAAAGCACAUACCAUGACAAGAUAUUGAAGAAGUUCAAUAUGGAUCAGUCCAACAAAGGGUUUAUGCCUGUAUUGCAAGGUGUGAUAUUGAGCACGGCUCAAUGCCCGACCUCGGCAGAAGAUAGAGAAAAGAUGAGUUCAUCCCUUAUGCCUCAGCCAUAGGGUCUAUUAUGUAUGCCAUGUUGUGUACCAGACCUCAUGUGAACCUUGCCGUAAGUUUGGUAGGGAGGUACUGAUAACCCGCAAGUAUAUGGGAUAGUUGUAGCCUCUUUCGAUAAGUAAGAGUGUCGAACCUAACGAGGAGCUAAAGGUAGAACAAAUAUUCUCUCAAGUCCUAUCGGCCACUGAUACGACUCUACGCACGCUUGACGUUCGCUUUACCUAGAACAAAUAUGAAACUAGAAGUACUUUGUAGGUCUUGUUGCAUAGGUUUGCAAGAUAAUAAAGAAUGCGUAAAUAAAAACUAGGGGCUGUUUAGAUAAACAUGCAAUAAAGUAAAUAAAGCGAGUGUGGAAAAGUGGUGGUAGGAGUUAUGAAAGUGUCCCUAAGCAAUUGACUACGUUACUAGACCGGUAAUCACUAUUGCAAUUCUAUUUGAGGGAGAGGUAUAAGGUAAUAUACUUUCUAUACUUGGAUCAUAUGCACUUAUGAUUGGAACUCUAGCAAGCAUCCGCAACUACUAAAGAUCAUUAAGGUAAAACCCAACCAUAGCAUUAAAGCAUCAAGUCCUCUUUAUCCCAUACGCAACAACCUACUUACUCGGGUUUGUGUUUCAGUCACUCACGCAACCCACUAUAAGUGAAUCAUGAACGCAUCAACACCCUACAGCAGGAAUCUCUCACGCUUGUGCGACACAGAGGGCACCAUAGGACAGAACCAAUAAUAAAACAUGCAACUCAAACCAAUCAUAGCAAUUCAUCAAUCACCGAUAGGACAACGAAAAUCUACUCAGACAUCAUAGGAUGGAAACACAUCAUUGGAUAAUAAUAUGAAGCAUAAAGCACCAUGUUCAAGUAGAGGGUACAGUGGGUUGCGGGAGAGUGGACCGCUGGAUAUAGAUGGGGGAAGGUUAUGGAUAUGUUGGUGAAGAUGACGGCGGUGUUGGUGAAGAUCGCGGUGAUGAUGAUGGCCCCCGGCGGCGUUCCAGCGCCACCGGAAGCAAGGGGGGAGAGUCCCCCUUCUUCUUCUUCUUCCUUGACCUUCUCCCUAGAUGGGAGAAGGGUUUCCCCUCUGGUCCUUGGCUCCCAUGGCUUGGGAGGGGCGAGGGCCCUCCAAGAUUGGAUCUAUCUCUCUGUUUCUGCGUUCUGGAAUUCUACCCUGGCACCGUUUCUUUUAUAUCUGGAGAUCCGUAACUCCAAUUGGAUUGAAACCUUUGCCUAGAUUAUUCUCAUAAAAUUAGCUUUCUUGCGGCAAAAGAAGAGCGUCAACCGCCUUACAGGUGGCCCACGAGAGUGCCAGGCGCGCCCAGGGGGUGGGCGCGCCCCCCUGUCUCGUGGCCACCUCGGGCACUGUUUCGCGUUGAUUCUUCCUCCGAAAAAUCCCAAAUAUUCCAAAAUAAUUCUCCGUCCGUUUUUAUCCUGUUUGGAUUCCGUUUGAUAUUGGGUUUCUGUGAAACAUAAAACAUGCAACAAACAUGAACUGGCACUGGGCACUGGAUCAAUAUGUUAGUCCCAAAAAUAGUAUAAAAAGUUACCAAAAGUAUAUGAAAGUUAAAGAAUAUUGGCAUGGAACAAUCAAUAAUUAUAGAUACGACGGAGACGUAUUAGCAUCCCCAAGCUUAAUUUCUGCUCGUCCUCGAGUAGGUAAAUGAUAGAAAAGAUAAUUUUUGAUGUGCAAUGCUACCUAGCAUAAUCUUGAUCAUAUGUCUAAUCAGGGCAUGAAUAUUAAGACACGAGUGAUUCAAAGGAAUAGUCUAUCAUUUGACAUAAAAACAAUAAUACUUCGAGCGUACCAAUAAAGCAAUCAUGUCUUUUCAAAACAACAAGGCCAAAGCAAGCUUAUCCCUACAAAAUCAUAUAGUUUGGCCAUGCUUCAUUUUCGUCACACAAAAUGCUCCCAUCAUGCACAACCCCGAUGACAAGCCGAGCAAUUGGUUCAUACUUUUUAACGCGCUUCAGCUUUUUCAACCCUCAUGCAAUACAUGAGCGCAAGCCAUGGAUAUAGCACUAUAGGUGGAAUAGAAUAUAAUGAUGGAGGUUAUCUGGAGAAGACAAAAAGGGAGAAAGUCUCACAUCGAUGUGGCUAGUCAAUGGGCUAUGGAGAUGCCCAUCAAUUGAUGUCAAUGUGAGGAGUAGGGAUUGCCAUGCAACGGAUGCACUAAAAGCUAUAAAUGUAUGAAAGCUCAACAAAAGAAACUAAGUGGGUGUGCAUCCAACUUGCUUGCUCAUGAAGACCUAGGGCAUUUGAGGAAGCCCAUCGUUGGAAUAUACAAGCCAAGUUCUAUAAUGAAAAUUCCCACUAGUAUAUGAAGGUGACAACAUAGGAGACAAUCUAUAUGAAGAACAUGGUUCUACUUUGACGAACAAGUGUGGAAAAAGGAUAGUAACAUUGCCCCUUUUUUCUUUUUUUUCUUUUUUUUCUUUUUUCGUUUUUAGGUGGGCUUCUUUGGCCCCCUUUUUUAUUUAGGCUUCUUUGGACUUUCCUUUUUUCUUUUUUUUCUUUUCCUUUUUUUUCAUGGGGUAGUGCUCUAUAAUGAUGAUCAUCACACUUUUAUUUACUUACAACUCGAUAUUACAACUCGAUACUAGAACAUAUGACUCUAUAUGAAUGCCUCCGGUGGUGUACUGGGAUGUGCAACGAUCUAGCAUUGCAAUGACAUCAAAAAACGGACAAGCCAUGAAAACAUCAUGCUAGCUAUCUUACGAUCAUGCAAAGCAAUAUGACAAUAAAUGCUCAAGUCAUGUAUAUGAUGAUGAUGGAAGUUGCAUGGCAAUAUAUCUCAGAAUGGCUAUGGAAAUGCCACAAUAGGUAGGUAUGGUGGCUGUUUUGAGGAAGAUAUAAUGAGGCUUAUGUGUGAUAGAGUGUAUCGUAUCACGGGGUUUGGAUGCACUGGCGAAGUUUGCACCAACUCUCGAGGUGAGAAAGGGCAAUGCACGGUACCGAAGAGGCUAGCAAUGAUGGAAAGGUAAAAGUGUGUAUAAUCCAUGGACUCACAUUAGUCAUAAAGAACUCAUAUACUUAUUGCAAAAGUUUAUUAGCACUCGAAGCAAAGUACUACUACGCAUGCCCCUAGGGGGAUAGAUUUGUAGGAAAAGACCAUCGCUUGUCCCCGACCGCCACUCAUAAGGAAGACAAUCAAAGAAACAUCCCAUGCUUCAAAUUUGUCACACAACGGUUACCAUACGUGCAUGCUAUGGGACUUGCAAACCUCAGCACAAGUGUCUCUACAAUCCACAACCACCCACUAGCAUGACUCUAAUAUCACCAUCUUUAUAUCACGAAACUAUUGCAAGGAAUCAAACAUAUCAUAUUCGGCGAUCUACAAGUUUAUGUAGGAUUUUAUGACUAACCAUGUGAAUGACCAAUUCCUGUCAUUUCUCUAAAUAGAUAUAAGUGAAGCAAGAGAGUUUAAUUCUUUCUAAAAAAGAUAUGCCCAUGCUCUAACAAAUAUAAGUGAAGCAAAAGAGCAUUCUACAAAUGGCGGUUUUCUAUGUGAAGAGAAACAGGCAAUCCAGACUUCAAAUGAUAUAAGUGAAGCACAUGAAGCAUUCUAUAAAGCCAUACUCAAAAGAUUUAAGUGAAGUGCAAUGAGCAUUCUAUAAAUAAACCAAGGACUAUCUCAUACCAUCAUGGUGCAUAAAAGAAAAAUGAAAACUAAAUGCAAAAGACGCACCAAGACUUGCACAUAUCGCACAAACGAAACGAAUACGAAAACAUACCGAUACUUGUUGAAGAAAGAGGGGAUGCCUUCCGGGGCAUCCCCAAGCUUAGACGCUUGAGUCUCCUUGAAUAUUUACUUGGGGUGCCUCGGGCAUGCCCAAGCUUGAGCUAUUGUCUCUCUUCCUUUUCCUCAUAUCGAGACCUCCUCGUUUAGACACUUCAUCCACACAAAACUUCAACAAAAAACUCGGUAAGAUCCGUUAGUAUAAUAAAGCAAAUCACCACUCUAAGUACUAUUGCAAACCAAAUCAUAUUUUGUUUUUGCAUUGUUUCUACUGUAAUAUAACUUUUCCAUGGCUUAAUCCACUAAUAUAAAUUGAUAGAUUCAUCAAAACAAGCAAAUUAUGCAUCAAAAACAGAAUCUGUCAAAAACAGAACAGUCUGUAGCAAUCUGAACAUCCACCAUACUUAUGUUACCCCAAAAUUUCUACCAAAAUUAGCAAAAAAUAAAAAAGUUGUACAUAAAGACAGUGCAAAAGGAAUCAGACCCACUUGACGUUCCAGUUAAAAAUGUAAAAUCGUGCACUACAGCCAAAGUUUCUGUCCUGCACCAUACAAACCAACAAGCAUUGUAAACAUCCUAAAGGCAAACCUUGGCACAUUAUUUUUAUAAUACAAUGGAAUUGUACAAGGGGAUAAUUAUUUUUGAUGAAAAGUUUCUGUAAUCAAGAUUCACAAAGUUUCUGUGAGCAUGAACAAAGUUCAAGGAGCUCUCCCACUUCAACAAUGCUUGUCUUUCUUACUUCCACUUUCCUUUUUGAAAAGUUUUUAGGUUUCCCCCUUUAUUUUUUUGUUUUUAAACUAUAUGAAAGCAUUCAACCGAAAUAAAUGACUCUCUAAAACUUCCGGGUUGUCUCCUCGGCAGCGCUUUCUUUAAAGCCAUUAAGCUAGGCAUAUAGUGCUCAAGUAAUGAAAAAUCCACCCGGAUCCCAAGGUAUAUCAAAGCCAAUUUUAGUUAACAAUGAUUUGUAAUUUAGUAGUGAGAACAAGGUAACAUAUAUCAAGCAACAACGAAGUCUAACUCUCUUCCUAUGCAUCGGCAUGUCAUAAAAGAACAAUUCAUGCACACAAAGUAAAGGCCAAUGCAUAGUAUAAGCAGUUUCUUGCAAUUUUAUCAUAUUGGAAACAUAGAGAGGUGGAGAUAUAGUUCCUCUCUCAUAAUAAUUGCAAGUAGGAGCAGCAAGCACAUGCAUAUUACAUUCAUCAAAAUCAUCAUGUGCAACGGUAAGAGGCAACCCAUAAAUAUAAUCCAUAAUAAGCACAAACUUCUCCGAUAUAGUGUAGUUUGGAGAAUUCAAAAGAUAAUAGGACAAUUUCAUGUUUAACAUAAGGAACUAUAGCAAGUUUGUCUCCAUAAGCAUAAUUCAUAUUGGCAUCUUGGCCACAAGCAUAUCAAGCAUCAUCAAAAAGGGAUAUUUCAAACAAAUUCAAGGGAUCAUAGCAAUCAUCCUUUGGUAAGCACGAAGGGGAAUUAUACAAUGUAUGAGUUGAAGAGUUACUCUCAUUAGAAGGUGGGCACGGGUGAUCAAUCCGCUCUUCCUCCUUUUGUUCUUCGCUCUCCUCAUAAUCUUUUUCAUCCAAUGAGCUCACAAUUUCAUCACUUUCUUCUUCCAUAGCUUCCUGCAAAAUAUUAGUCUCUUCUUGGACAGCGGAGACUUUCUCAAUAAAUGCAUUAAUAUAGUAAUUGUAUUCAUAAUUUUCAUAGCAAUAUCUAAGUAUAGCAAGAUUUUCAGGCCUAUAAACAUCAUCAUCAAAAGCUUCAUACUUUUCAAACAAAGAUUCAAUUUCAUAAGCAGCCUUAAAAGCAACAAAUUCUUCAAUUUGUUCCACAUCAUAGUAAUCGUAUAUACCAUUAGCAUAAGAAGCUAAGGUUUCAUUAUCAUUAAAUUUGCAUGAAAAGGGAAGGUGUGGAGCCUUCAUCCUAGAGCAACAAGUAAUAUCAUAUCUCAAGCAUAGAUCCCGGGCAUACCAACGCAACAUAAUAAAUUGAUUCCAUAAUAGUUUCCCUAUUGUGUCAAGUGAUAAUCCCUAAACUAUUCACGUUGAUCCAACAUGUCUCCCAUUAUAAAGUUGAAUGGGGUUUUCUCAGGAUUAUCAAAGUAGUACAUAAUAUCUUUCACAUAAUGAGAAUCGAGGGUUUUUAGGAGUUCCCCCAUCUCCAUGAGUAGCAAGUACACCUAAUUUUUUUGGUAUUUCGUGUUCCAUAUCCAUAACUAAAGAUAGAGAAAAACUUAGAGCAGCAAAUAAACAUUACUUAGUGAUAAAGCAAACAAGCACACACGAGAAUAUUCACCCCACGCUAUGACUCCCCGGCAACAGCGCCAGAAAAAGGUCUUGAUAACCCGCAAGUAUACGGGAUAGUUGUAGCCUCUUUCGAUAAGUAAGAGUGUCGAACCCAACGAGGAGCUAAAGGUAGAACAAAUAUUCUCUCAAGUCCUAUCGGCCAUUGAUACGACUCUACGCACGCUUGACGUUCGCUUUACCUAGAACAAAUAUGAAACUAGAAGUACUUUGUAGGUGUUGUUGGAUAGGUUUGCAAGAUAAUAAAGAACGCGUAAAUAAAAACUAGGGGCUGUUUAGAUAAAGAUGCAAUAAAGUAAAUAAAGAUGCAAUAAAGUAAAUAAAGCGAGUGUGGAAAAGUGGUGGUAGGAGUUAUGAAAGUGUCCCUAAGCAAUUGACUACAUUACUAGACCGGUAAUCACUAUUGCAAUUCUAUUUGAGGGAGAGGCAUAAGGUAACAUACUUUCUCUACUUGGAUCAUAUGCACUUAUGAUUGGAACUCUAGCAAGCAUCCGCAACUACUAAAGAUCAUUAAGGUAAAACCCAACCAUAGCAUUAAAGCAUCAAGUCCUCUUUAUCCCAUAUGCAACAACCUACUUACUCGGGUUUGUGUUUUAGUCACUCAUGCAAUCCACUAUAAGCGAAUCAUGAACGCAUUGCAACACCCUACAGCGGGAAUCUCUCACACUUGUGUGACACGGAGGGCACCAUAGGACAGCACCAAUAAUAAAACAUGCAACUCAAACCAAUCAUAGCAAUUCAUCAAUCACCGAUAGGACAACGAAAAUCUACUCAGACAUCAUAGGAUGGCAACACAUCAUUGGAUAAUAAUAUGAAGCAUAAAGCACCAUGUCCAAGUAGAGGGUACAGCGGGUUGCGGGAGAGUGGACCGCUGGAUAUAGAUGGGGGAAGGUGAUGGAGAUGUUGGUGAAGAUGACGGCGGUGUUGGUGAAGAUCGCGGUCAUGAUGAUGCCCCCCGGCGGCGUUCCGGCACCACCGGAAGCAAGGGGGAGAGAGCCCCCCUUCUUCUUCUUCUUCCUUGACCUUCUCCCUAGAUGGGAGAAGGGUUUCCCCUCUGGUACUUGGAUCCCAUGGCUUGGGAGGGGCGAGAUCCCCUCCGAGAUUGGAUCUAUCUCUCUGUUUCUGCAUUCUAGAAUUCUACCGUGGCACCGUUUCUUUUAUAUCUGGAGAUCCGCAACUCCGAUUGGAUUGAAACCUUCGCCCAGAUUUUUCUCAUAAAAUUAUCUUUCUUGCGGCAAAAGAAGAGCGGCAACCGCGUUACGGGUGACCCACGAGAGUGCCAGGCGUGCCCAGGGGGUGGGCGCGCCCCUGUCUCGUGGCCACCUCGGGCACUGUUUCGCAUUGAUUCUUCCUCCGGAAAAAUCCAAAUAUUCCAAAAUAAGUCUCCGUCUAUUUUUAUCCUGUUUGGAUUCCGUUUGAUAUUGGGUUUCUGCGAAACGUAAAACAUGCAACAAACAAGAACUGGCAUUGGGCACUGGAUCAAUAUGUUAGUCCCAAAAAUAGUAUAAAAAAUUACCAAAAGUAUAUGAAAGUUAAAGAAUAUUGGCAUGGAACAAUCUAAAAUUAUAGAUACGACGAAGACGUAUCAGGUACCAAAGUAAUUUCGGCAUAGAACACUGGGCAGCAGUCAAGAAUAUCCCGAAGUACCUGAAAAGGACUAAUGAUAUGUUUCUCAUUUAUGGUGGUGAUGAAGAGCUCGUCGUAAAGGGUUACGUCGAUGCUAGCUUCGACACAGAUCUGGAUGACUCCAAGUCACAAACCGGAUACGUGUACAUUUUGAAUGGUGGGGCAGUCAACUGGUGCAAUUGCAAGCAAAGCGUCAUGGCAGGAUCUACAUGUGAAGCGGAGUACAUGGCAGCCUCGGAGGCAGCACAUGAAGCAAUCUGGAUGAACGAGUUCAUCACCGACCUAGGAGUUAUUCCCAAUGCGUCGGGCCCGAAGACUCUCUUCUCUGACAACACUGGAGCUAUUGCCCUUGCCAAUGAGCCCAGGUUUCACACGAAGACCAGGCAUAUCAAACGUCGCUUCAACUCCAUUCGUGAAAAUAUUCAAGAUGGAGACAUAGAUAUUUGUAAAGUGCAUACGGAUCUGAAUGUCGCAGAUCCAUUGACUAAACCUUUUCCACGAGCAAAACAUGAUCAACACCAGAACUCUAUGGGUGUUCGAUUCAUCACAAUGUAACUAGAUUAUUGACUCUAGUGCAAGUGGGAGACUGUUGGAAAUAUGCCCUAGAGGCAAUAAUAAAAUGGUUAUUAUUAUAUUUCCUUGUUCCUGAUAAUUGUUUGUUGUUCAUGCUAUAACUGUAUUAACCGGAAACCGUAAUACAUGUGUGAAUACAUAGGCUGUAAUAUGUCCCUAGUAAGCAUGUAGUUGACUAGCUCGUUGAUCAAUAGAUGGUUGUGGUUUCAUGACCAUGGACAUUGGAUGUUGUUGAUAACUGGAUCACAUCAUUAUGAGAAUGAUGUGAUGGAUAAGACCCAAUCCUAAGCAUAGCACAAGAUCGUGUAGUUCGUUUGCUAAGAGCUUUUCUAAUGUCAAGUAUCAUUUCCUUAGACCAUGAGAUUGUGCAACUCCCGGAUACCGUAGGAAUGCUUUGGUGGUGCCAAACGUCACAACAUAAAUGGGUGGCUAUAAAGGUGCACUACAGGUAUCUCCGAAAGUGUCUGAUGGGUUGGCACAAAUCGAGACUGGGAUUUGUCACUCCGUAUGACGUAGAGGUAUCUCUGGGCCCACUCGGUAAUGCAUCAUCAUAAUGAGCUCAAUGUGACUAAGGAGUUAGUCACGGGAUGAUGCAUUACGGAACAACUAAAGAGACUUGCCGGUAACGAGAUUGAACGAGGUAUGGGGAUACCGACGAUCGAAUCUCGGGCAAGUAACAUACCGGUGGACAAAGGGAAUUGUAUACGGGAUUGAUUGAAUCCCCAACAUCGUGGUUCAUCCGAUGAGAUCAUCAUGCAACAUGUGGGAGCCAACAUGGGUAUCCAGAUCCCGAUGUUGGUUAUUUGCGGGAGAGAUGUCUUGGUCAUGUCUGCAUGGUUCCUGAACCCGUAGGGUAUACACACUUAAGGUUCGGUGAAGCUAGAGUUGUUAUGGGAAAUAUUAUGUGGUUGCCGAAGGUUGUUCGGAGUCCCGGAUGAGAUCCUAGAUUUCACGAGGAGUUCCGGAAUGGUCCAGAGGUAAAGAUUUAUAUAUGGGAAGUCCAGUUUCAGUCACCGGAAUGGUUUCGGGGGUUAUCGGUAUUGUACCGGGACCACCGAAAGGUGUUUGGGGGUCCAUCGGGUGGGGCCACCUGCCCCGAGGGACUUAAUGGGCUGAACAAGGGUGGGAACCAGCCCCCUAGUGGGAUGGUGCACCUCCCCCAAAGGACCCAAGGUGCCUAGGGUUGGAAACCCCAGGGGGUGGGGCGCCUCCCACCAAACUUGGGGGGCAAGAACCCCCCUUGGCCGCCCCCCCCCCCCCCUCCCUUGUAGAUGGGAUCUAGGAGGGUCGGCCCCCUCUCCCCUUCCCCUAUAAAUAGUGGGUGGGUGGGAGGACUUCCACACCCUUCCCCUGGCGCAUCCCCUCCCUCCUCCAACACCUCCUCCUCCUCCAUAGAUCUUGGCGAAGCCCUGCAGGAAAACCGCAAGCUCCACCACCACGCCGUCGUGCUGUCGGAGCUCUCCCUCAACUUCUCCUUCCCCCUUGGUGGAUCAAUAAGGAGGAGACGUCCCCGGGCUGUAUGUGUCUUGAACGCGGAGGCGCCGUCCGUUCGGUGCUAGAUCGGAUCUUCCACAAUUUGAAUCGCCGCAUGUACGACUCCAUCAACCGCGUUCUUGCAAUGCUUCUGCUUAGCGAUAUUCAAGGGUAUGAAGAUGCACUCCCUAUCUCUCUCGUUGCUAGCAUCUCCUAGAUUGAUCUUUCUUACACGUAGGAAAAUUUUGAAUUAUUGCUACGUUCCCCAACAAAAACACCAUUCUUGCUGAAAGCACAAGUCACAUCCUACAAAAGAUAUCGCAAGAACACCCACCGGCUCUCCCACGUGAGAGUGUGCUUCUGCCUCUUUGAACUUAGAGCAUCUACAGCCGGACGCCCCAAACCCAUCUUAUACGUUCGGAUGGGCCGCCCGGUCACCGCCCGAUCACGAACUUUCAACCCGGAUGGGCGCCUCAAACAAGCCUCAAAUGCCCGGGCUGACCGGCACCCUUCAUCUCCAGCUCAAAUAUGGGGCGGAUAUGGGCACGCCCAGGCACGUCUGCCACAUAGGAAUGAAUGGCGUCCCACAUGGAAUCGCCCGGAAACCCGACGGUCUGACAUACGCCUCCUCUGUCACCGCAGUUUGAACAUCGCGUGGCGCCGCUACAACUUGCCACCCGAGGCCAAAUCCGGCUAUUUAAGCCGGUCGGCGUCCCCCAAUCCUAGCCCAUCCACCUCCUCCCGCUUUGCGCUGCCACCUAAGCCCGUUCGCCUCCUCUCCCUGGUAUGUCCAUUUUGCAUCAUGCUUUUAUAUCGAUAUUUAUUGCAUUGUGGGCUAUUAGUACAUGUUAUGUCACAGUACUUAUGGCUAUUCUCUCUUAUUUUACAAGGUUUACAUGAAGAGGGAGAAUGCCGACAGCUGGGAUUAUGGGCUGGAAAAGGAGCAAAUAUUGGAGACCUAUUCUGCACAGCUCCAAAAGUCCUAAAACUCCACGAAAGUCAUUUUGGGAAUUAAUAAAAAAUAUUGAGCGAAAGAAAUACCUGAGGGGGGCCACCCACCAUCCACGAGGGUGGGGGGCAUGCCAUACCCCCCCUGGGCGCGCCCCCUACCUCAUGGGCCAACAUGGCAGCCCUCCAGUGCCCAUCUUCUGCUAUAUGAAGUCUUUUACCCUGGAAAAAAUCGCAAGAAAGCUUUCAGGACGAGACUCCGCCGCCACGAGGCGGAAACAUGGUGGAACCAAUCUAGGGCUCUAGCGGAGCUGUUCUGCCGGGGAAACUUCCCUCCAGGAGGGGGAAAUCAUCACCAUCGUCAUCACCAAUGAUCCUCUCAUUGGGAGGGGGUCAAUCUCCAUCAACAUCUUCACCAGCACCAUCUCCUCUCAAACACUAGUUCACCUCUUGUAUCCAAUCUCUGUACCAAAACCUCAGAUUUGUACCUGUGGGUUGCUAGUAGUGUUGAUUACUCCUUGUAGUUGAUGCUAGUUGGUUUAUUUGGUGGAAAAUCAUAUGUUCAGAUCCUUAAUGCAUAUUAAUACCCCUCUGAUUAUGAACAUGAAUAUGCUUUGUGAGUAGUUACGUUUGUUCCUGAGGACAUGGGUGAAGUCUUGCUAUUAGUAGUCAUGUGAAUUUGGUAUUCAUUCAAUAUUUUGAUGAGAUGUAUGUUGUCUCCCCUCUAGUGGUGUUAUGUGAACGUCGACUACAUGACACUUCACCAUUAUUUGGGCCUAUAUGAAGGCAUUGGGAAGUAAUAAGUAGAUGAUGGGUUGCUAGAGUGACAGAAGCUUAAACCCUAGUUUAUGAGUUGCUUUGUAAGGGGCUGAUUUGGAUCCAUAUGUUUCAUGCUAUGGUUAGGUUUACCUUAAUACUUCUUUUGUAGUUGCGGAUGCUUGCAAUAGGGGUUAAUCAUAUGUGGGAUGCUUGUCCAAGAAAGGGCAGUAUCCAAGCACUGGUCCACCCACAUAUAAAAUUAUCAAAGUAAUGAAUGUGAAUCAUAUGAGUGUGAUGAAAACUAGCUUGACGAUAAUUCCCAUGUGUCCUCGGGAGCGCUUUUCUCUAUAUAAGAACUUGUCCAGGCUUGUCCUUUGCUACAAAAAGGAUUGGGCCACGAUGCUGCACCUUAUUUACUUUCAUUGCCUGUUACCCGUUACAAAUUAUCUUAUCACAAAACUAUAAGUUACCUACAAUUUCAGUGCUUGCAAAGAAUAUCUUACUGAAAACCGCUUGUCAUUUCCUUCUGCUCCUCGUUGGGUUCAACACUCUUACUUAUCGGAAGGACUACGAUAGAUCCCCUACACUUGUGGGUCAUCAAGACUCUUUUCUGGCGCCGUUGCCGGGGAGUGAAGCACCUUUGGUAAGUGGAACUUGGUAAGGAAACAUUUAUAUAGUGUGCUGAAAUUUACUGUCACUUGUUACUAUGGAACAUAAUCCUUUGAGGGGCUUGUUCGGGUUAUCUUCACCCCGACCAGUAGAGCAAAGAGUUGCUCCUCAACCUACUGAACCAACUGAAAAUGUUUACUUUGAAAUUCCUUCCGGUAUGGUAGAGAAACUGCUAGCUAAUCCCUUUGCAGGAGACGGAACAUUGCAUCCCGAUUUACACCUAAUCUAUGUGGAUGAAAUUUGUGGAUUAUUUAAGCUUGCAGGUAUGCCCUAUGAUGUUAUCAAGAAGAAGGUCUUCCCUUUAUCUUUGAAGGGAGAUGCAUUGACAUGGUAUAGGCUAUGUGAUGAUAUGGAAUCCUGGGACUAUAAACGAUUGAAACUGGAAUUUCACCAGAAGUUUUAUCCUUUGCAUCUUGUUCAUCGUGAUCGUAAUUAUAUAUAUAAUUUUUGGCCUCGCAAAGAAGAAAGCAUCGCUCAAGCUUGGGGGAGGCUUAAGUCAAUGUUAUAUUCAUGCCCCAAUCAUGAGCUCUCAAGAGAAAUGAUUAUUCAAAACUUUUAUGCUCGGAUUUCUCUCAACAAUCGCUCCAUGCUCGAUACUUCUUGUGUUGGGUCUUUUAUGAUGAAGACUAUUGAAUUCAAAUGGGAUUUAUUAGAAAGAAUUAAACGCAACUCUGAAGAUUGGGAUUCUGGCGAUGGUAAGGAGUCAGGUAUGACACCUAAGUUUGAUUGUGUUAAAUAUUUUAUGGAUACCUAGCACUAAAUAUGGACUUGACUCUAAGAUAGUAGCUUCUUUCUGUGGAUCAUUUACUACUCAUGUUGAUCUCCCUAAGGAGAAGUGGUUUAAAUAUAAUCCUCCUAUUGAAGUAAAAGUACUUGCACCUAUUACAGUUGAAGAAAAGACUAUAACUUAUAAUGAUCCUAUUGUUCCUACUACUUAUAUUGAGAAACCUCAUUUCCCUGUUAGGAUAAAGGAUCAUGCUAAAGCUUCAACUGUGGUUUAUAAGAGUAAUACUAGAACAUAUACACCUCCUGAGCAAAUUAAAGUUGAACCUAGUAUUGCUAUGAUUAAAGAUCUCUUGGCUGAUAAUAUUGAUGGGAAUGUUAUAUAUUUCUGUGAUGCAGCUGCUAGAAUUGCUAGACCCGAUGCUAAGAAACAUAGAACCGUUGUAGGCAUGACUGUUAAUUCUGUUAAAAUAGGAGAUCAUUUUUAUCAUGUCUUAUGUGAUAUGGGUGCUAGUGCCAGUGCAAUACCUUAUUCCUUAUAUGAAGAAAUUAUGCAUGAUAUUGCACCUCCUGAGGUAGAAGAAAUUGAUGUUACAAUUAAGCUUGCCAAUAGAGAUACUAUUUCACCAAUUGGGAUUGUUAGAGAUGUUGAAGUCUUGUGUGGGAAAGUUAAAUAUCCGGUUGAUUUUCUUGUUCUUGGUUCCCCACAAGAUGACUUUUGUCCCAUCAUAUUUGGUAGAUCCUUCUUGAAUACUGUUAAUGCUAUUGAUUGCGAAAAUGAUGUUGUUACGAUUGGCUUAGGGGAUAUGUCUCAUGAGUUUAGUUUUGCUAAAUUUCGUAGACAACCUCAUGAUAAAGAAUUGCCUAGUAAGGAUGAAAUUAUUGGUCUUGCUUCUAUGGUCGUGCCUCCUAAUGAUCCUUUAGAAAAAUAUUUGCUAGACCCUCAAAAUGAUAUGUUUAUGAAUGAAAGAAGGGAAAUAGAUGAAGUAUUCUUUAAGCAGGGACCUAUUUUGAAACACAACUUGCCUGUUGAAAUCUUAGGGGAUCCUCCACCACCCAAGGGUGAUCCCGUGUUUGAGCUUAAUCCUUUACCUGAUACUCUUAAAUAUGCUUAUCUUGAUGAAAAGAAGAUAUAUCCUAUUAUUAUUAGUGCUAACCUUUCAGACCAGGAAGAGGAAAGAUAUUGAAAACUCUGAAGAAGCAUCAUGCUGCUAUUGGAUAUACUCUUGAUGAUCUUAAGGGCAUUAGUCCCACUCUAUGCCAACACAAAAUAAAAUUAGAGGAAGACGCCAAACCAGUUAUUGAUCACCAAUGACGGUUAAAUCCUAAUAUGAAAGAAGUGGUAAGAAAGGAAAUACUAAAGCUCCUCGAGGCAGAUAUAAUUUAUCCCGUUGUUUAUAGUCAGUGGGUAAGUGUUGUCCAUUGUGUUCCUAACAAGGGAGAUAUUACUGUCGUUCCUAAUGAUAAAGAUGAAUUGAUCCCGCAAAGAAUUAUUACAUGUUAUAGGAUGGUAAUUGAUUUCUGCAAAUUAAAUAAAGCUACUAAAAAAGAUCAUUACCCUUUACCUUUUAUUGAUCAAAUACUAGAAAGACUAUCCAAACAUACACAUUUCUGCUUUCUAGAUGGUUACUCUGAUUUCUCUCAAAUACCUGUGUCAGCGGAGGAUCAAGAAAAGACCACUUUUACUUGCCCUUUCGGUACCUUUGCUUAUAGACGUAUGACUUUUGGUUUAUGUAAUGCACCUGCUACCUUUCAAAGAUUCAUGAUGGCUAUAUUCUCUGACUUUUGUGAAAAGAUUUGUGAGGUAUUCAUGGAUGAUUUCUAUGUUUAUGGAUCCUCUUUUGAUGAUUGUUUGAGCAACCUUGAACGAGUUUUGCAGAGAUGCGAAGAUACUAGUCUCGUUUUGAAUUGGGAGAAGUGUCACUUUAUGGUUAAUGAAGGCAUUGUCUUGGGGCAUAAAAUUUCUGAAAGAGGUAUUGAAUUUGAUAAAGCUAAGGUUGAUGCUAUCGAAAAGAUGCCGUGUCCCAAGGACAUCAAAGGUAUAAGAAGUUUCCUUGGUCAUGCUGGUUUUUAUAGGAGCUUCAUUAAGGACUUUUCUAAAAUUUCUAGGCCUCUGACUAAUCUGUUGCAAAAAUAUAUUCCUUUCAUUUUUGAUGAUGAAUGUGUAGAAGCAUUUGAAAUACUUAAGAGAGCUUUAGUCUCUGCACCUAUUUUUCAGCCACCUGAUUGGAAUUUACCCUUUGAAAUUAUGUGUGAUGCUAGUGAUUAUGCUGUAGGUGCUGUUCUAGGACAAAGAGUUGAUAAGAAACCAAAUGUUAUUCAAUAUGCUAGUAAAACUCUAGACACUGCUCAGAGAAAUUAUGCUACUACUGAAAAAGAAUUCUUAGCAGUUGUAUUAGCUUGUGAUAAGUUCAGACCUUAUAUUGUUGAUUCUAAAGUAACUGUUCACACUGAUCAUGCUGCUAUUAAAUAUCUUAUGGAAAAGAAAGAUGCUAAACCUAGACUUAUUAGAUGGGUUCUCUUGCUACAAGAAUUUGAAUUGCAUACUAUUGAUAGAAAGGGAGCUGAGAACCCCGUUGCAGACAACUUGUCUAGGUUAGAGAAUGUUCUUGAUGACCCACUACCUAUUAAUGAUAGCUUUCCUGAUGAACAAUUAGCUAUCAUAAAUGCUUCUUGUACUGCUCCAUGGUAUGCUGAUUAUGCUAAUUACAUUGUUGCUAAAUUCAUACCACCUAGUUUCACAUACCAGCAAAAGAAAAAGUUCUUCUAUGAUUUAAGAUAUUACUUCUGGGAUGACCCACACCUUUAUAAAGAAGGAGUAGAUGGUGUUAUUAUACGUUGUGUACCUGAGCAUGAACAGGAACAGAUCCUAUGCAAGUGUCACUCCGAGGCAUACGGAGGACACCACGCUGGAGAUAGAAUUGCACAUAAGGUAUUGCCAUCCGGUUUUUAUUGGCCUACUCUCUUCAAAGAUGCCCGUAAGUUUGCCUUGUCUUGUGAUGAAUGUCAAAGAAUUGGUAAUAUUAGUAGACAUCAAGAAAUGCCUAUGAAUUAUUCUCUUGUUAUUGAACCAUUUGAUGUUUGGGGCUUUGGUUAUAUGGGCCCAUUUCCUGCCUCUAAUGGGUAUACACAUAUUUUAGUUGCUAUUGAUUACGUUACUAAAUGGGUAGAAGCUAUUCCAACUAGUAGUGUUGAUCAUAACACCUCUAUUAACAUGCUUAAAGAAGUUAUUUUUCUGAGGUUUUGAGUCCCUAGAUACUUAAUGACUGAUGAUGGUCCACAUUUUAUUCAUGGUGCUUUUCAUAAAAUGCUUGCUAAGUAUGACGUUAAUCAUAGAAUUGCAUCUCCAUAUCACCCACAGUCUACUGGUCGGGUAGAAUUGAGUAACAAAGAGCUUAAAUUAAUUUUGCAAAAGACUGUUAAUAGAUCUAGAAAGAAUUGGUCCAAGAAACUUGAUGAUGCAUUAUGGGCUUAUAGAACUGCAUAUAAGAAUCCUAUCGGUAUAUCUCCAAAUAAAAUGGUUUAUGGAAAAGCAUGUCACUUACUUGUCGAACUUGAACAUAAGGCAUAUUGGGCCAUUAAAGAGCUCAAUUAUGAUUUCAAACUUGGCGGUGAGAAGAGGUUAUUUGACAUUAGCUCACUUGAUGAAUGGAGAAGCAAGCCUAUGAGAAUGCCAAACUGUUUAAAGAAAAAGUUAAAAGAUGGCAUGACAAAAGGAUACAAAAGCGUAAGUUUAAUGUAGGUGAUUAUGUUUUGCUUUUCAACUCUCGUUUAAGAUUUUUUGCAGGAAAACUUCUCCCUAAAUGGGAAGGCCCUUACGUUAUCGAGGAGGUCUAUCGUUCCGGUGCCAUAAAAAUUAACAACUUCGAAGGCACAAACCUGAAUGUGGUGAACGGUCAAAGAAUCAAACAUUAUAUCUCAGGUAAUCCAAUAGAUGUUGAAACUAAUGUUAUUGAAACCGUAACCCUGGAGGAAUACAUAAGGGACACUUUCCAGAAUGUUUCAGACUCCGAAAAGGAAUAAGUAUGUGGUACGCUAAGUAAACCGACUCGAAAAUAGUUCUAAUAGCAUUUUUUAUCCGUUUUGGAAUAUUUAAGAAAAUAGGAAAAUAAGAAGUAGUCCGAGAAGGACACGAGGCAUCCAUGAGGGUGGAGGGCGCGCCCCCUGCCUCAUGGGCACCUCGUGUGCUCUCCGGACUCUGUUUUCUUACACGAUACUUCUUUCGAUCGGUAAAAAUUCAUUAUAAAAUCUCCUGAAGGUUUUGACCACCGUAUCACGCAAAUAUCCUCUGUCUUUGUUUCGAGCUAUUUUCUGACAGAUCUAGAGCACCAUGGUGUCUUCAAGCGCUCCCAAGGACAAGUUUUUUGAGAGGGUCAUCAACCCCUAACUCGCGGAGGUGUUGCAUCACCCUCAAACCAUUGAGAUGCGUGAGGGGGUGCUGCACAUCCGCUAUGUGGAGGGACCAAGGAGUUCCGGAAGCAUGGAGACAAAGCUCGAAACAAUGGAACAACAAGUUUUCAAGUGCCAAGGGAUGGUUGAACACGGACUCAACGCCAACCAUAUGAUGAUCGUGGAGUUCACCAACAAACACAAGCUAGACGGCAAGAACAUUGGGGAGACCAUCUUCACGCUUCAUCAGAAAAUCGAGCACCUCCAAGCCCAGAUCUAUGACCUGCCAAAUGUGACACUCCAAAAAAUUUUGUUUUUGUUUUCAGCAAGAGCCUUGCUUGGUUUAAAGAAGGUCAUUUAAACCCUUCUUAAAAACCUCUCUUCUGAGUUUUCCUUCUCAAAAUCUUUUUCUUGGAUUUAGUUUCUUCUAAAAAGAAAACCUUUUUGGUUUUGGGUUUUUCUUUGGUUUUGAUCCAUUCUUGUUUUACCAUACCUCUUGUGGUAAAAUUCUCCCAAAACCCCUCCUUCCACUUUGGGACAACCCAAACUUUCUGUCCCAACUAGUUAAAUCCAUUUUUGGAUGUUUUUUCUCAUUUGAUUCUUUUCCCAAAACAAUUAUGUCCUUUAUUUUGAGCCUAGGUAAUUUGCAAAGCAAGUACCUUCAUGCCUUUGAACUUUGGUCUCAAAUCAACUCCUCUGGAUAGUCCUUAGCACCCACAACCUAGAACCAUCAAGAUCCACUCUUCUUCUUUUCAAAAUUUUCAAAUUUCACCCUCUGCAAGUUUGGACCAGAUUUGUCAAAUUUGGUGAAAUUCAUAUCUCCACUUCUCCAAAAAUUCCACCAAAACUCAGGCAACCCCCAGUUGCAAUGAGAGACCACUCCACCAAAAACCAGCUCAAGGAAAAAUCGCCACAUGCCAAAAUCAUUCUGUCGAACACCUGGCCUGCACUGUUACUAUGCAUCUUCAGAAAUUCAGUAAGUUCAGUGUCGUUUCUUCGUCAGAAUUCAGUCACAUGUCGACUGUGCGCCUGGCGCAUUGUGCACGGCUCCUCCUCCCUGUCCGGAGCACCACACGCGCGCUUGGCUCGUUCCUGGCGUCAGUGGCACCCUGGCCCGCCUGCGCCGGCGUCUUCCGCGGCGGCAGAACCCCCGUGGCGGCCGACAGGGGGCACCCUGCGGCAUAACGCCGUUCGGCACCGCCCAAACCAUCUGAGAGCUCCGCGUGGCCAUCUCUCUUGCGAGUGCAUGCAUGCUGCACCAUCGCCGUGGCCUGGCACGCUCAGGGCGCGCUCUCUGCCGCCGACGUGCCGUACGGCCAUUCCGUCGGGGACAGGCCGUAACCACCCUUGCCACGUUGAGUUAGGCACUGGAAUGGAACCAGUGAUCCGUCUAGACGAUGCUCAAGCCCUUAAACCAACCGUCCAGCCACAGCACCGCCGUAAUCGCUCGCCGGACUUAUCCCGUUCACGGCAACCGCCUCGGGCCGGCUAUAAAUAGCGCCUCCGAGCUCGCUCUCGACCCCGACACCUCCACCACCUCACCGGACCCCACCCAGCCACUGGAAGAGCCUCGAGGGUCCCUUCUUCCUCCAAUCCGGCCACCUCCAUCCGCCUCGGGCUCUGGCAGCAUUCUCUCCGGUGAGAACUCCUCCACUGCCCUAGACUUGCCCGUAGUCUCAUGGCACCUCUAGGAGACUAACCCCCACUCCAAUUUGACCCCCGCAGCUCUCUUCGGCGAGGCCCACGACUACCCGAACCACCGUCCGCUGGAGCAAGGGCCGUCGGCGACCACCACCACCACCCACCGACGCGGAAGGACGUACUGAACACAGAGGUACCACCCGAUCCCCCUGCCUCGCCGUGGAUCGCCGUCGGCGACCACCGCAGCUCUCGGGCGCCGUUGAGCCCCGUCUCCCUUGUUUGAAUAUUCAAACCUGACAGGUGGGACCCUCCUGUCAGCCUCUCAUUCUUUUCUUUUAAACGAAUCGUUUUCUGGACUUUUCUGCAGAACCCCCUGGGAGUUUUCUAUUUCAUUACAGAAAGGUCCCUAAAUCAAAACCCUUAUAACUUUUAAAUAGAAAAGGAUUUUUGUUUGAUUCUUUUUCUGUUCUCUUUAAAAUUUUCUCUAGUUUUUUAUCAGGUUUAUUUGAAAAUUAUUUGGAUUACCUUUUGUGCACCUCGCGGUAUUUACGUUACAUGCGUAUUUUCUUAUACCGUAGAUACCGGAGGAGGUGACGGAGCCGCGAACUUCACCCAGUUAAACUCCGACUACUCCGAACCAGGCAAGCAUGUUUGAACUCUUGAUAUGAUGAGUGCUUGUUGCAUGUUUGCAUUUAGGAGUUUCAUGGCAUGUUUAUGAACAUUCUUGAAUGUUAUAUUUCACGCACAGAAGUGGAAAGUAAGUUUCCGAAAGCCAUAUGUUGUUGGAUACAUAUUUGCAUGGCCAUGUGAUGGCAUGAGAAUGGGUAAGAUGGCAGUGUUGUGGCAUGCCAGUCUUACGCCAGUCUAUUUGACUUCAGUGUCAUCGUGAAUCAAAUCACAUUCCCAUUCAUUUCCAUUCCUGUACUGCCUCAUGUUUUCCGCAAGGAAUAUGGCUUAGUAAGUUGCAAACCGUUUUCCUAGUACACACCAAAUAGAGAGGCCGGGAUGAGGGUUCCAUGGCCCUGGAUUAAAGCCUGUCAUCCGGUCAUGGGGCAUGGGUGUUCCCGGUUGGGACCGAGAGGGGGCACCCCUUAGAGCGCGCGUAUAGAAAUUUGAUCCCAUGCUAUUCGAGGUUGUGACCUCCCCGUCUCAAAGUUUUUCUUGGACGUUGUCUAGGGUGAUUCCUGGCAUCGUGAGGUCGAAUGGGUGUGUACUGGUUAAAUGUGUUUCUACCGAAAUACCAUAAACGGAACUAGUCCUUCGUGGCUACGGAAAUCCGUUGGCUGUGGUUAGUUAGUACAAACUCUGCAGAGUCACAAAUCCUUUAAAUCAUCUAGUUCAUGUCCAAGUAUUGUGUUCAUCUUAUCUUGUCAGAUAUCAGCCUCAGUGACAGAACUCUGGUGGACUACCUGAGUGUUAAAUCCGGUUAAAAGUUUAUUCUUGUGGAUGGACUAACCCGUUAUUUACUUAUGAUAUAAGCCCUUUCUAUGACGUCACUCAGACGUCCGACUGUGGCAUACUUGUGAUUUACAUUUGAUAUAAGCCCUUUCUGUGACGUCGCUCAGACGUCCGACUGUGGCGUACUUGUUAUUUUACAUUUGAUAUAAGCCUUUCUGUGAUGUCGCUCAGACGUUCGACUGUGGCAUACUUGUUAUUUUACAUUUGAUAUAAGCCCUUUCUGUGAUGUCGCUCAGACGUCCGACUGUGGCAUUUCUUUUACAAGCCCUUUCUGUGACGUCGCUCAGACGUCCGACUGUGGCAUUUCUUUUACAAGCCCUUUCUGUGAUGUCGCUCAGACGUCCGACUGUGGCAUUUCUUUUAUAAGCCCUUUAUGUGGUGUCGCUUAGACGCCCGACUGCGGCAUGAGCUUUAUUUGUUUACCUUUCGAGGCGUCGCUCCAGACACCCGAUCGGUUUUUAGUUAUUUAUUUUAUUUAUCAAGUCGUGCAACAACUUUAUGAUUGGGAUGAGCAUUAUUAUUUUUACUCAGGACGUAUUCAUGCAUGCAUUUGUUAUAUCUUUUGUCCGAAAUGUCUUGCGAGUACUUUCAAAGUACUCACCUGGCUUGUUGAUUUGGCCAGAUGUUGAUGAAGGCGAUCUCAUGGAUGAAGAGUUCGAUAGCGAGUUCGACGCCUAGAGGAGUCUCAGUCAGUCACGUGCGAUCCUGCAUUUGGUCACUGUAUUAUAUCCGCUUCCGCCACCCAAGUAAUAAAUCCAUCGAGCCUCACCUCGACGCUCGAUGAGCUGCCAGUUAGGAGUCAAGUUAUCCACCACCACUUUUAUCUCGAGCUAGUAGCAUGUCACUACACCCUGUGUCAUAACUGCCCUUAUGUAUGAUAUUGGCGUGUUUGUAAUAAAUUGUUGAGCAGCCUCAGCUCAACCCUGUAAUAUAUUUAAUGCUACUGGUCCUCUGUUUAUCAAGUAUUUGUCUACCAGUGAGGAUAACUUUUCCUGUACUAGGAUCUAAAGAUCGAUUUUCUCAAUAAGUAUUUUAUUGAAAAACUGGUCGUGACAGACUUGAUACCAGAGCCAAGCUGACUGUAGGAAGCCACUAGGUGCGAUCGCUAAUCGGUUAUUAGCAUGAUAGAGUUUAUUCAUGUUUUUACAAAUGUAGUCAUUUUUCUGACAAUCAGCAUAAAAUUUAUGAUCUGAUCGCUCAGAAUUUUUGCCUACUUUUGUAGAUGACUGGCAACGACUGUGAGUCACAGAUGUACGCCAACGUGCCUGAGGGUUUCGUCAAGCUCCUCUCCUUCAUCGUUUAGGUCGCGAUGGGGCCAUCCGUGCGCCCAGUCUUCACACUUUAUCCACACAAGAUCAACGACAGUCUGACCAUGCACCAGGCCGCGGUGCAAUUCAGGGGAGGGCAUGCUGAGAUACGCCGCUUCCGAUUCUUGGGGAGAUCCAUGCCUACAGAGAGGCAUGCUAUGCAGAUGGCUGCCCGCGAGGCGAUAGCUCGUCUUCGGGAUGUCCUUCCUGCAAUGAAGACCUGUCGCUACCGUUACCUUCCAUGCCAUGUACCAUACACCUGUCACUACUCAUUCUCUUGCCCCAGAGGAGAGCGAGACGAGGCCUUCGAGAUGCUUGUCGAGUACCUUCGAGCCCUGGAGGCAGCCUUCGACAGCAUGGUGGACGACCUCGUAGCUGCCCGCAUGGACUCAGUCCAUGGCUGUGCCACCAACAGGAGGGAACUCCUGCACACCGCUCCACCGCUGACUUUUAUCUCGUCCUCAGCUUCUCACUCACCUACCAUUCUCGCCACUGCUCAUCGUCCGCCAACCAUUGAGGAAUUUAACCAAGCUAUUGCACCCACUCCCGUUCGCUCUGCACCACUUAUUGCGCCCACUCCCAUACGUGCAACUCCACCUAUUUCGCCCACUCAUAUUUGUGUUACCCCGCCUAUGGCACCUGCUCCAUCAGCUCAGCGCAGCGUUUAUCGUCUGGAACCUAUUAGCGAGGAGGAGGUUGAGUCCCCAGCGUCACUGCGUCUCACCCUCGGCAGGCCAAGGGAGAUCCUCACCGUCUCCGACUGAGUACGUUUAGACGCCAUGCGAUGUACCGACUUGUGUGAUAUGUUUAUAUGUACAUAGGUUGUGAGAAGUAGUCUGUUUGCGCAUCAUGUAGGAUCUGGAGAAGUGCACUAGUCUCAAUAACAUGUCAGGAUUAUGUACGCAUAUCCUGAGUGAUGUAAUGUAUAAUUAUGCUUGCGUGUAAGAUAUGUAAUAGUCCUUCUCCGCGCGCAAUCGUGUAUUUUCAAAAAUAUCCUGGAGUUUUAAAAUUUUCUUUUUGUGUGAUUUUUGUUGACUUUUGCGACUCUCUCUUUCUUGUCUUACAAGUUUCACAAAAUAUAUCCCCAGAGUGUAAGAUGUCUCGUCCGUGGACGCGCUCCAUGCCAAAUCAGCCCGAAGAGAAUUAUGGCACACCACCAAACAACAAUUUCACUCGGGGACAGACAAGUCAACAGGACAGUGGAACAGCAUUUACCCAAGUGUGUCGUCUGUAUGAACAGAGUCAGCAACAACACCAGGAAAUGAUGAACCAAUUCAUCAAUAUGGGAAAUCACCGUGGUCAGUAUCAGCAGCAAUCCAAGUUAUCUGAGUUACAGAAGACGCGUCCUCCAACAUUUUCUCACACUGACAAGCCUCUUGAGGCCGACGACUGGCUUCGAGACAUGGAGAGAAAAUUAAUUAUUGCACAGUGUUCAGACCAUGAAAAAGUAUUGUAUGCACCACAUUAUCUCACCGGAGCAGCUGCAUCGUGGUGGGAAAACUUCCUGCACAUGCACCCCAACGAAAAUGAAAUAACCUGGGAGGAUUUCAAAGAAGGUUUUCGUGGGGCACACAUUUCUAAGAGUGUUAUGAAAAUCAAGAAGAGAGAAUUUGAUGACCUCAAGCAAAGGACCAUGACAGUGUCAGAAUACAACAGCCAAUUCACUCUGUUGUCUCGCUACGCCAAUGAAGAGCGCAUGACCGAGAGCAAGAAGAUGGAAAAAUUCUUGGAAGGCCUGGCCCCCGCACUUAAAUGCCAGCUGGUUGUGCAUACCUUCCCAGAUUUUAAAACACUGGUGGAUAAGGCCAUUACUCUAGAAAAUGAGCAACGCAGCUUAGAAGAUUUCCGCAAACAAAAAAGGGACCAGUCUACUUUUGUUCGCAACCACAGAAGCAAGACGGAAUUUUAGAAGGGUGGAACACACAAAACCCCGACGAAUAAUUCACGCCCAAUCAAGAAUUUCCAUGCAAGAGACAAGGAGUUCACAUAUCGCCCAGGCGUUACUUGUUACGCUUGUGGAGAAGAAGGGCACUAUGCCAAGCAGUGCCCCAAGCCAAGGAACUCAACCCCGAAGCCUAACAAUGGUGGAAAUAAUUCAGCGCCAAAGCGAAAUAAUUUCAACCCCAAUAACAACCACCAGAAGGGUCACCUGAACCACGUGACCAAAGAGGAAGCACAGAACGCCCCAGAUAUCGUACUCGGUACGUACCCUAUCAACACAAUACCUUCCAUGGUUUUGUUUGAUUCUGGAGCUUCUCACUCAUUCAUUUCGAAGAGUUUUGCUUUGCAAAAUAAUUUUUCGAUGCUACCCUUGGAAAAAUCCAUGACCAUCAAGUCCCCUGGGAUUAAGCAAGUGACCCAGAGUUACUGUCAAGGUGUGGUUAUUGAAUUUGAAGGAUUGAAGUUUUACGCCAACCUUAUUGUAUUGGAAAGCAAAGGACUGGAUGUCAUCCUAGGGAUGGAUUGGUUAACCACCAACAAAGGUUUUAUUGAGUGCUUCAACCGGACCGUGAUUCCCACACACCAUCACGGGAAGACAAUAAAAGUUUCAGCCAAAGAGAGACAAAUACCUCGGCAACCGAGAUUAAACAAGGUGGACGUUUCUGAGCUGAACAAGGUUCCAGUAGUAUGUGAAUUUCCAGACGUAUUUCCAGAAGAACUACCAGGCAUGCCACCGGACUGAGAGAUAGAAUUCAGCAUUGAGCUAGCACCCGGAACCGCUCCCAUUUACAAGAAACCAUACAGAAUGGCACUAUCCGAAUUGGUGGAAUUGAAGAAGCAAAUAAAAGAAUUAUUGGAGGAAGGAUACAUACGAGCCAGUUCCUCACCUUGGGGUUCUCCAAUUUUAUUUGCCAAGAAAAAGGAUGGAACACUGAGAUUGUGUGUUGACUAUCGAGCUCUUAACAUGGUCACAAUCAAGAACAAAUACCCAAUGCCCCAAAUAAAUGAUUUAUUUGAUCAGCUCGCACAGGCCAAAGUCUUCUCAAAAAUUGACUUGAGAUCAGGAUACCACCAAUUAAAAGUGCGAACGGAAGAUAUUCCCAAGACAUCCUUCACUUCCAGAUAUGGACUGUAUGAGUUCACAGUAAUGCCAUUUGGGCUAACCAACGCCCCCGCAUAUUUUGUUCACCUCAUGAACAAAGUAUUUAUGAAGUAUAUGGACAAGUUUGUUGUGGUAUUCAUCGAUGAUAUUUUGAUAUACUCCAAAACACCAGAAGAGCAUGCCGAGCAUCUCAGGAUUGUACUAGAAGAACUCAGGAAACAUCAACUGUACGCCAAAUUCAGCAAAUGUGAAUUUUGGCUAAGACAGGUGGGUUUUCUGGGCCACGUACUCACCCAAGAAGGUAUUGCAGUAGACCCGGAAAAGGUCAAGGCCGUACUUGGCUGGAAACCACCAGCUAGCGUAACAGACGUAUGGAGUUUCUUGGGAAUGGCAGGCUAUUAUCGAAGAUUUAUUGAAGGAUUCUCCACCAUAGCAAAGCCAAUGACGCAGUUGCUCAAGAAAGGCAAGAAGUUUGAAUGGACGGAAGCAUGUGAGAAAAGCUUCCAAGAACUAAAAAGGAAGUUAACAACGGCACCAGUAUUAAUUGUGCCAGACAUUCACAAGAAUUUUGAGGUAUAUUGUGACGCAUCCCGGAAAGGCCUCCGAUGCGUAUUGAUGCAAGAAGGCAAGGUAGUUGCAUAUGUCUCCAGACAACUCCGCAAGCAUGAGUAGAAUUAUCCCACUCAUGACUUAGAAUAGGCAGCGGUCAUCCAUGCACUCAAGGAAUGGAGACACUUUCUACUUGGAAAUCGUUGUGAAAUAUACACAGACCAUAAGAGUCUUAAGUAUAUUUUCACACAGCCGGAACUUAAUUUACGGCAACGACGCUGGUUGGAGUUGGUGAAGGAUUAUGAUGUUGGAAUCCACUAUCAUCCUGAAAAAGCAAAUGUUAUGGCAGAUGCCCUUAGUCGGAAUCCCAGCGCGGACAACAACAGUAUGCCAAAUUUGAGGCCAGAAUUUCAACAGGAAUUUGCCAAACUCAAUUUAAUAAUGGUCACCGAAGGCAGUGUGGCGAAUUUGGAAAUACAGCCUACCCUGAUGGAAAAGAUUAAGGAGGCUCAGCAUGGACACCCCAGCAUUGAGGGCAUAAAAAGGAAAGUGAGUUCGGGCAAGGCCUCAGAAUUCAACGUAGAUGAGCAAGGAGUAUUGUGGUACGGAGAGAGACUUUGCGUACCAAAUAUCAAGGACCUCAAACAACAGAUUCUGGCUGAAAGCCACACCGCUCCGUAUUCAAUCCACCCUGGAGGAACAAAAAUGUACAAAGACCUUCAGGAAAAAUUUUGGUGGCACGGUAUGAAGAGAGACAUAGCCACGUUCAUUGCAUGCUGCGACUCUUGUUAACGCAUCAAGGCCAAACACCAGAAACUAGCCGGGCUGUUACAGCCAAACAAGAUACCUGAGUGGAAGUGGGGCGAGAUUGGAAUGGAUUUCAUUGUUGGACUACCACGGUCACGACACGGAAAUAAUGCCAUAUGGGUCAUCACCGACAGAUUAACUAAGGUAGCACACUUUAUCCCGGUGAAGACAACUCACACCACUCAGAGACUGGCCAGACUUUAUCUUGCCCGUAUCGUCUGCCUGCAUGGAGUCCCAAAGACUAUCAUAUCUGACAGAGGCACACAGUUCGUCUCUAGAUUUUGGGAUCACCUACAACAGGCACUGGGAACCCAACUAGCAUUCAGUACCGCAUACCACCCCCAGACUGAUGGGCAAACUGAACGCAUAAACCAAAUUCUAGAAGACAUGCUGAGAGCCUGUGUCCUCACCUACGGAACCAGUUGGGAAGAAAGCUUGCCAUAUGCAGAGUUCGCAUACAACAACAGUUAUCAAGCCAGCUUACAAAUGGUACCCUUUGAAGCUCUGUAUCGGAGAAGAUGUCGUACCCCGCUAAACUGGUCAGAAACUGGGGACAGCCACAUCUUCGGCCCAAAUAUGCUCAAGGAGGCUAAGGAGAAAGUUAAGACGAUUAGAGAUCGACUCAAGACAGCUCAAAGUCGGCAAAAGAGUUAUUACGAUCGAAAGCAUCGGGAAAUCAGUUUUGAACCCGGAGAGUUUGUAUACCUAAGAGUUUCUCCUAUGAGGGGUCUGCAACGAUUCAGGGUUAAGGGAAAGCUAGCACCAAGAUUCAUCGGACCAUUCUGUAUAGUGGCCCGAAGAGGCACGAUAGCCUACCAGCUAGACCUACCCGGAGAUUUAUCCGAUAUCCACAACGUGUUCCACAUCUCGCAGUUGAGAAAGUACAUGAGCAACCCAGAGAAGCAAGUGUCACAUGAUAAUAUUGACGUACAACCAGACCUCACCUACUGGGAGCACCCAAUAAAAAUAUUAGAAGUCUGAGAGGAGGACCCGACAGAAAACCAUCAAGUUUUUCAGAGUUCAGUGGAGCAAUCACACCGAGAAUGAAGCAACUUGGGAGAGGGAGGAUUUUCUUCGGACAGAGCACCCACACCUGUUUAAGGAUCAGCUGAAAUCUCGGGGACGAGAUUUUUCCUAAGGGGGUAGGUGCUGUGACACUCCAAAAAUUUCUGUUUUUGUUUUCUGCAAUAGCCUUGCUUGGUUUAAAGAAGGUCAUUUAAACCCUUCUUAAAAACCUCUCUUCUGAGUUUUCCUUCUCAAAAUAUUGUUCUUGGAUUUAGUUUCUUCUAAAAAUAAAACCUUUUUGGUUUUGGGUUUUUCUUUGGUUUUGAUCCAUUCUUGUUUUACCAUACCUCUUGUGGUAAAAUUCUCCCAAAACCCCUCCUUCCACUUUGGGACAACCCAAACUUUCUGUCCCAACUAGUUAAAUCCAUUUUUGGAUUUUUUUUUUCUCAUUUGAUUCUUUUCCCAAAACAAUUAUGUGCUUUAUUUUGAGCCUAGGUAAUUUGCAAAGCAAGUACCUUAAUGCCUUUGAACUUUGGUCUCAAAUCAACUCCUCUGGAUAGUCCUUAGCACCCACAACCUAGAACCAUCAAGAUCCACUCUUCUUCUUUUCAAAAUUUUCAAAUUUCACCCUCUGCAAGUUUGGACCAGAUUUGUCAAAUUUGGUGAAAUUCAUAUCUCCACUUCUCCAAAAAUUCCACCAAAAUUCAGGCAACCUCCAGUUGCAAUGAGAGACCACUCCACCAAAAACCAGCUCAAGGAAAAAUCCUCACAUGCCAAAAUCAUUCCGUCGAACACCUGGCCCGCACUGUUACUGUGCAUCUUCAGAAAUUCAGUAAGUUCAGUGUCGUUUCUUCGUAUGAAUUCAGUCACAUGUCGACUGUGCGCCUGGAGCGUUGUGCAAGGCUCCUCCUCCCUGUCCGGAGCACCACACGCGCGCUUGGCUCGUUCCUGGCGUCGGUGGCAACCUGGCCCGCCAGCGUCUUCUGCGGCGGCAGAACCCCCGUGGCGGCCGACAGGGGGCACCCUGCGGCAUAACACCGUUCGGCACCGCCCAAACCAUCUGAGAGCUCCACGUGGCCAUCUCCCUUGCCAGCGCACGCAUGCAGCACCGUCGCCGUGGCCUGGCAUGCUCAGGGCGCGCUCUCUGCCGCCGACGUGCCGUACGACCGUUCCGUCGGGGACAGGCCGUAACCACCCUUGCCACGUUGAGUUAGGCACUGGAAUGGAACCAGUGAUCUGUCUAGACGAUGCUCAAGCCCUUAAACCAACCGUCCAACCACAGCGCCGCCGUAAUCGCUCAUCGGACUUAUCCCGUUCAUGGCAACCGCCUCGGGCCGGCUAUAAAUAGCGCCUCCGAGCUCGCUCUCGACCCCGCACACCUCCACCACCUCACUAGACCCCACCCAGCCACUGGAAGAGCCUCGAGGGGCCCUUCUUCCUCCACUCCGGCCACGUUCGUCCACCUCGGGCUCCGGCAGCGUUCUCUCCGGUGAGAACUCCUCCACUGCCCUAGACUUGCCCGUAGUCUCAUGGCACCUCUAGGAGACUAACCCCCACUCCAAUUUGGCCCCCGCAGCUCUCUCCGGCGAGGCCCACGACUACCCAAACCACCGUCCGCCGGAGCAAGGGCCGCUAUCGACACAGUGCUCGCCGGCGACCACCACCACCACCUACCGACGCGGAAGGACGUACUGAACACGGAGGUACCACCCGAUCCCCCUGCCUCGCCGUGGAUCGCCGUCGGCGACCACCGCAGCUCUCGGGCGCCGUCGAGCCCCGUCUCCCUCGUUUGAAUAUUCAAACCUGACGGGUGGAACCCGCCUGUCAGCCUCUCAUUCUUUUCUUUUAAACGAAUCGUUUUCUGGACUUUUCUGCAGAACCCCCUGGGAGUUUUUUGCUUCAUUACAGAAAGGUCCCUGAAUCAAAACCCGUAUAACUUUUAAACAGAAAAGGAUUUUUGUUUGAUUCUUUUUCUGUUCUCUUUAAAAUUUUGUCUAGUUUUUUAUCAGAUUUAUUUGAAAAUUAUUUGGAUUACUUUUUGUGCACCUCGCGGUAUUUACGUUACGUGCGUAUUGUCUUAUACCGUAGAUACCGGAGGAGGUGGCGGAGCCGCGAACUUCACCCAGUUAAACUCCGACUACUCCGAACCAGGCAAGCAUGUUUGAACUCUGAUAUGAUGAGUGUUUGUUGCAUGUUUGCAUUUAGGAGUUUCAUGGCAUGUUUAUGAACAUUUCUUGAAUGUUAUAUUUCAUGCAUAGAAGUGGAAAGUAAGUUUCGGAAAGCCAUAUGUUGUUGGAUACAUAUUUGCAUGGCCAUGUGAUGGCAUGAGAAUGGGUAAGAUGGAAGUGUUGUGGCAUGCCAGUCUUACACCAGUCUAUUUGACUUUAGUGUCAUCGUGAAUCAAAUCACAUUCCCAUUCAUUUCCAUUCCUGUACUGCCUCGUGUUUUCCGCAAGGAAUAUGGCUUAGUAAGUUGCAAACCAUUUUCCUGGUACACACCAAAUAGAGAGGCCGGGAUGAGGGUUCCAUGGCCCUGGAUUAAAGCCCGUCAUCCGGUCAGGGGGCAUGGGUGUUUCCGGUUGGGACCGAGAGGGGGGCACCCCUUAGAGCGCGCGUAUAGAAAUUUGAUCCCAUGCUAUUCGAGGUUGUGACCUCCCCGGCUCAAAGUUUUUCUUGGACAUUGUCUAGGGUGAUUCCUGGCAUCGUGAGGUGGAAUGGGUGUGUACCGGUUAAAUGUGUUUCUACCGAAAUACCAUAAACGGAACUAGUCCUUCGUGGCUACGGAAAUCCGUUGGCUAUGGUUAGUUAGUACAAACUCUGCAGAGUCACAAAUCCUUUAAAUCAUCUAGUUCAUGUCCAAGUACUGUGUUCAUCUUAUCUUGUCAGAUAUCAGCCUCAGUGACAAAACUCCGAUGGACUACCUGAGUGUUAAAUCCGGUUAAAAGUUUAUUCUUGUGGAUGGACUAACCCGUUAUUUACUUAUGAUAUAAGCCCUUUCUGUGACGUCGCUCAGACGUCCGACUGUGGCAUACUUGUGAUUUACAUUUGAUAUAAGCCCUUUCUGUGACGUCGCUCAGACGUCCGACUGUGGCAUACUUGUUAUUUUACAUUUGAUAUAAGCCCUUUCCAUGAUGUCGCUCAGACGUCCAACUGUGGCAUACUUGUUAUUUUACAUUUGAUAUAAGCCCUUUCUGUGAUGUCGCUCAGACGUCCGACUGUGGCAUUUCUUUUACAAGCCCUUUCUGUGAUGUCGCUCAGACGUCCGACUGUGGCAUUUCUUUUAUAAGCCCUUUAUGUGGUGUCGCUUAGACGCCCGACUGCGGCAUGAGCUUUACUUGUUUACCUUUCGAGGCGUCGCUUUAGACACCCGAUCGGUUUUCAGUUAUUUAUUUUAUUUAUCAAGUCAUGGAACAACUUUAUUAUUGGGAUGAGCAUUAUUAUUUUUACUCAGGACGUAUUCAUGCAUGCAUUUGUUAUAUCUUUUGUCCGAACUGUCUUGCGAGUACUUUCAAAGUACUCACCUGGCUUGUUGAUUUGGCCAGAUGUUGAUGAAGGCGAUCUCAUGGAUGAAGAGUUCGAUAGCGAGUUCGACGCCUAGAGGAGUCCCAGUCAGUCCCGUGCGAUCCUGCAUUUGGUCACUAUAUUAUAUCCGCUUCCGCCACCCCAGUAAUAAAUCCAUUGAGCCUCACCUCGACGCUCGAUGAGCUGCCAGUUAGGAGUCAAGUUAUCCACCACCACUUUUAUCUCGAGCUAGUAGCAUGUCACCACACCCUGUGUCAUAACCGCCGUUAUGUAUUGAUAUUGGCGUGUUUGUAAUAAAUUGUUGAGCAGCCUCAGCUCAACCCUGUAAUAUAUUUAAUGCUACUGGUCCUCUGUUUAUCAAGUAUUUGUCUACCAGUGAGGAUAACUUUUCCUGUACUGGGAUCUAAAGAUCGAUUUUCUCAAUAAGUAUUUUAUUGAAAAACCGUUCGUGACACAAAACCAAAACUAUGAGUAUGAAUAUAGAUUCAAGAGGAUGAGUUUGGCUGCAGAUUUGAGGAUCCCGGAGACUCGAUCAUCCUUCUAUGAAGGUGAGCCUAUGCCUUGGAAGACGGACGACAAGCCUACAUCAUCAACAACUCCAUCAUCACCACCUCCGAGGACAUAAACACAUGGGUAUGGGCACUCCCCUUGGUAACUGCCAAGCCUGGGGGAGGUGCCCCGGUAUCGUAUCACCAUCACGCUCCUCUCUUUACCGUUUUAUUUAGUUCGAUCCUUUUGGUAAUAUCUUGAUCUAGUAGAAUAUAGUUUUGGUAUGAAUUAGUUUUGAGUUUUGCUUGUGAUCCCUCUAUGUAAUCGAGUCCAUGAGCUAUAUAUAAUAAAGAUUAGUGUUGAGUUAAGGGCUUUGCUAUCUUGCUAUGAUCUUGAGGGAAUAAAAGAAUAAAACAAAUAAAAGAGACCAUAUUGAUCUUAUGGAUAGUAAUGACUUCACAUAUAAAGAGUAUGAUGAUUAAAAGUUGUUGAGAGUUGGCAAACAUAGUUUUGGUCAUCGUUGCAAUUAAUAGGAAGUAAUAAAGAAAGAGAGGUUCUCACAUAUAAAUAUACUAUCUUGGACAUCUUUUAUGAUUGUGAGCACUCAUUAAAGUACGACAUGCUAAAGAGUUGAUGUUGGACAAGGAAGACAAUGUAAUGGGUUAUGUUUUCUCACAUCUCAGUUAAAGUAUGUUGUCAUGGAUCGUCCAACAUGUUGAGCUUGCCUUUCUCCCUCAUGCUAGCCAACUUCCUUGCACCAAGUAGAGAUACUACUUGUGCUUCCAAACAUCCUUAAACCCAGUUUUGCCAUGAGAGUCCACCAUAUCUACCUAUGGAUUGAGUAAGAUCCUUCAAGUAAGUUUUCAUGUUGCAUGCAAUAAAAAUUGCUUUCUAAAUAUGUAUGACUUAUUAGUGUGGAGAAAAUAAGCUUUAUACGAUCUUGUGAUAUGGAAGUAAUAAAAGCGACGGACUGCAUAAUAAAGGUCCGUAUCACAAGUGGCAAUAAAAGGUGACAUUCUUUUGCAUUAAGAUUUCAUGCAUCCAACCAUAAAAGCACAUGACAACCUCUGCUUCCCUCUGCGAAGGGCAUAUCUUUUACAUUAUGCAAGAGUCAAGGUGAUCUUCGCCUUUCCUUUUUACAUUUUAUCCUUUGGCAAGCACCUCGUGUUGGAAAGAUCCUGAUAUAUAUAUCCAAUUGGAUGUAAGUUAGCAUGAACUAUUAUUGUUGACAUUACCCUUGAGGUAAAAGGUUGGGAGGCAACACUAUAAGCCCCUAUCUUUCUCUGUGUCCGAUUAAAACUCCAUAACCACAAGUAUUGCGUGAGUGUUAGCAAUUGUGAAAGACUAAAUGAUAGUUGAGUAUGUGGACUUGCUGAAAAGCUCUUAUAUUGACUCUUUCCGAUGUUAUGAUAAAUUGCAAUUCAUUCAAUGACCGAGAUCAUAGCUUGUUGGUUCUUAAUGAAGUUUCUGAUUCAUACUUGACAUUGUGAAUAGAUUGUUACUUGAGCAUAAGAAAUCAUAUGACAAAAUAUAUUUAUGUCGUUGUUAUAAGAAUGAUCAUGAUGCCCUCAUGUACAUAUUUUAUUUUAUCGACACCUCUAUCUCUAAACAUGUGGACAUAUUUUUCGAUAUCGGCUUCCGCUUGAGGACAAGCGAGGUCUAAGCUUGGGGGAGUUAAUACGUCCAUUUUGCAACAUGCUUUUAUAUCGAUACUUAUUGCAUCAGGGGCUGUUAUUACACGUUGUGUCACAAUACUUAUGGCUAUUCUCUCUUAUUUUACAAGGUUUACAUGAAGAGGGACAAUGCCGACAGCUGGGAUUCUGGGCUGGAAAAGGAGCAAAUAUUGGUGACCUAUUCUGCACAGCUCCAAAAGUCCUGAAACUCCACGAAAGUCAUUUUGGGAAUUAAUAAAAAAUAUUGAGCGGAAGAAAUACCUGAGGGGGGCCACCCACCAUCCACGGGGGUGGGGGGCGCGCCCCCCUGCCUCGUGGGCCACCUGGCAGCCCUUCGGUGCCCAUCUUCUGUUAUAUGAAGUCUUUUACCCUGGAAAAAAUCGCAAGCAAGCUUUCGGGACGAGACUCCCCCGCCACGAGGCGGAACAUUGGCGGAACCAAUCUAGGGCUCCGGCGGAGCUGUUCUGCCGGGGAAAGUUCCCUCCGGGAGGGGGAAAUCAUCACCAAUGAUCCUCUCAUCGGGAGGGGGUCAAUCUCCAUCAACAUCUUCACCAGCACCAUCUCCUCUCAAACCCUAGUCAUCUCUUGUAUCCGAUAUUUGUACCAAAACCUCAGAUUGGUACCUGUGGGUUGCUAGUAGUGUUGAUUACUCCUUGUAGUUGAUGCUAGUUGGUUUAUUCGGUGGAAAAUCAUCUGUUCAGAUCCUUAAUGCAUAUUAAUACCCCUCUGAUUAUGAACAUGAAUAUGCUUUGUGAGUAGUUACGUUUGUUCCUGAGGACAUGAGUGAAGUCUUGCUAUUAGUAGUCAUGUGAAUUUGGUAUUCGUUCGAUAUUUUGAUGAGAUGUAUGUUGUCUCCCCUCUAGUGGUGUUAUGUGAACGUCGACUACAUGACACUUCACCAUUAUUUGGGCCUAGAGGAAGGCAUUGGGAAGUAAUAAGUAGAUGAUGGGUUGCUAGAGUGACAGAAGCUUAAACCCUAGUUUAUGAGUUGCUUCGUAAGGGGCUGAUUUGGAUCCAUAUGUUUAGUGCUAUGGUUAGGUUUACCUUAUUACUUCUUUUGUAGUUGCGGAUGCUUGCAAUAGGAGUUAAUCAUAAGUGAGAUGCUUGUCCAAGAAAGGGCAGUACCCAAGCACCGGUCCACCCACAUAUCAAAUUAUCAAAGUAACGAACAUGAAUCAUAUAAGUGUGAUGAAAACUAGCUUGACGAUAAUUCCCAUGUGUCCUCGGGAGCGCUUUUCUCUAUAUAAGAACUUGUCCAGGCUUGUCCUUUGCUACAAAAAGGAUUGGGACACCUUGUUGCACCUUAUUUACUUUCAUUGCUUGUUACCCGUUACAAAUUAUCUUAUCACAAAACUAUCUGUUACCUACAAUUUCAGUGCUUGCAGAGAAUACCUUACUGAAAACCUCUUGUCAUUUCCUUCUGCUCCUCGUUAGGUUCGACACUCUUACUUAUCGAAAGGACUACGAUAGAUCCCCUACACUUGUGGGUCAUCACUCCCUCGCUCGCCCACGCUCCCUAGCAUCACCAUGGUCCGGUAGAAGAUCACCACGUACGCUAUGCUCAUGCCAAGCGUCGAAGGAAGAUUGCGGAGGAUAUCCAGGCAAGGCACACUAGCCGCAUCACUGUCGGGCUGCCUCCGGACUCGCCGAAGCCAAAGGUGGAGGAGGGAGAGCAGCUUCCGGAACCGAUGAAGGUGGCGGAUCUGGAGGAGGACGAGACGUAGCAGCCUGCUCCGGGGUUCAACAUGGCGGAGGUGGAGUUCGCCGUCUCCCAAGCCGCGGAGAUGGUGGAGCAUAGGCCAUCCUAGAAUCCAUCCAGGAUGAGGCCUAUGUGGAGGCCAACCGACAAUUUCUCCAAUAGGAGCAGCUGGCAUCCGAUGCACGAUGCGAAGAUAGAGGAGGAAGAGGCCGGAGCGGAGCAGCCGGAGGAGCUGGAGCUGCAAUUGCCGCGCAUGCUGCCGGAGCCGGGCACGGAGAUAGUCGACAUCUCCGUCGACGAGUAGCUAGAUCAUCUAUGUAAUACGUAUGUUUUACUGUUUGCAUGUUAUUGUAUGGAUUUCAGAAUCUAGUAUGAGAUAUCCGAAUGCAGCUAUGCUAAUUUGAGGGGUGCACGAUCACUGCCCACGGACGCGUCCGCAGGCGUUUGAGGAGUCAUAUUUGUCAUAUGCGGUUGUAGAUGCUCUUGGAGCAUUUCUAACCAAUCCUCUAUCCGGCGUCAGUGAAGUAUAAAUUAGAUUUUACUCCAUUAUGUCGCACCUAGCCGAUCCCCAAUCCGCCGUAGGGGAGUAAAAAUUAUAUUCUGACGCCUAACUUUUCCCUAUUUUUACUACAUGGAAAGGAGCUAUAGUAAAAUUUCUGCUGCUCCGUCGCUCACGCCCGCCUAUACCCCUCCUCCCCCCGCCUGCUCGUCGUCGGCCCCCUCCCCAGACCCCCGUCCACCCGCCGCCGACUUUCACCGGCGCCACAAGCCAUAGGGGACCCCAAUGGCGGGUUGCGGUUCGAGAUUCUUUGCUUCAGCAUCGCCCUCGACGUCCACCGCCUAGGUUGCGUCCUUCCGUGGCAGUUGGUGCUCUCCAUGAGGCAGGGCGCUCUCGACGGCGUAGGUGGAGGGAGGGGAGGGGCAGCCACGGGGAAUCUUCUACGGCUGAGCGUGAUGGAGCGGGAACGCUCGCCACGGCGUAGGCGUGAUCCCUGUGUGCGACCAGUUCUUGUUCCAAUUUCUCCCUGCCACUGUAUGUAUGGAUUUCCGUAGCCAUCUCAUUCCAAUUUCUUGUCGCCAUGGCCAUCGUAAGGCGCCGGCACGUCCACCCACUAAAUUGCUUGUUCUUGUGAUGUUGAAAAACAUCCGCUGUCAGUUCCUAUGGUGUUCAGAAACAUAUGCCUUUGAAUGGCACACUGAACUGUCUGUUCAUCCAUCACAAGUUUUUUUUUUGAAAAGGAGGAUUACCCCAGGCCUCUGCAUCUGGGUGAUGCAUGUAGCCAUUUUAUUAAUUAUUCACAAGGACCUUACAAAGUAAUAUGUUAGGUAGUCUGAAGCCACCAUCUUAGCAACAACUGUCGCAACUCCUAUCCACUUGAUGAAGGGUGCCGAUAGUCAGAGCCUAAUACCAAACAGACAAUGCACCAAAGCCUAACAUCUAAAGCCAAAGGCCCCAACCGAGCCACAUACUAGGUUUGGCUUACAAACCGGUCCGACGCACUCUCAUGUGUCGUCGCCGCCGUCUUCCUCCAAUCCAUCUUCAGAGCAAAAACUAACGCACCGACCUUGUUAGGCCUCUCUUCCAUCGACGCCACCAUGACGCCAGACAUCAUCAUCCUCCUGCUCAAGUCCAUCUCCGCGCAUCAGACGUUGAGUCUCCACUUUGCCACGUAGCCGAGAUCUGUCUCCAUCAAUGAGUAAGAUGAAGCACCGCUCCACCAAAGAAGUCGUCCACUGGUCCCUCAACCCAUGUAGACCUCCAAGAAUGACGCCCCCAAGGAGGAAACGACAACAGAGCACCACCUUCAUCCGGUCUACUAAUCUAGGGUUUCCCCAGAGGUAGUGGACAGAAGUCUGGAGCUUCUCCACGGCGAUGUCUUUAAUAAGGUAACAACACAAAAGAGUGUCGUCAUCGCCGGUCUUGGCAACAAGUCGGGAACGAGGUUUUCACGUGGAUCCGCUCGACGAACCUCCAUCUCACAUCGUGCGCAUGGACACCACCGAUCUCCGCCGCCGCGGAGUGAGCAAGCCACUCUGGCCAGAUCAGAUCUGACCGAAGGGCCAACCAGGCCUGCAGCCGACCAGUCCACCAAAGCCCUCCAUGUCGCCGCCAAUCCGAGGUGCCGCAAUGUGGCGUCCAUCCGCCGCGGGGAGCGAGCCACCGCUGCGGAGGCUCGGAUCCAGGGCGCACUCCGCUCGCCCGGGUGCCCGGCACCACCCUCACGCGCGAGAAGGAGAGGCUCCUCCGCCACCGCCGUCAGCCGCCCGGACUUAUCCCGCCGGCUUCCUCCAAUGGCGGCGGAGGGGAGGGAUGGGAGGGGGAGUGACCGGCGGCUAAGGUUGGGGCCCCUCGGCCGCCCGCGCGGGGGGCGACGGAGGGAAGAGGAAGGGAGGAAGGAGCAUCACAAGAAUUAACAAAACACAAUCUUCUAAUUUGCACUUCACUGUGGCACUAUAUGCAGUGGCGGAUCUAGGACCCAGGCCGGGGGGGGGGGGCCUAGGCCCGGGGCAUGAACAUGAAUUGCUUCGUCCAUUGUAGUAUACUGUGCACUGCAGCGACACUGUACCAACACUGUAGCAGCCUGGGGUCCUAGGCUUGGCCCCAUCCUGGGUCCGCCCCUGACUAUAUGUACAUUGCAUAUACAAGAUGCAUGUUGCUCAUCCACUUGAUGAGAACAUACGUGCAAAUAUACAAGAUGCAAGCUCCUAAUUCAUCCAUUGCAUGUAUGGCCUGUAGGCAGCAUAUAUGUGUGUUCUGUAGGCCAGUUAGCUCACCAAGUCGUCCCUUUUACAAAGAUGUAGUCAAUCCAUCUUGUAUGCUUGUUCUAUAUGUUGCAUAAAAAGUGUUUGGGAAGGCAAAUUUUAACACGCUCCAUCUUACCUCCUCGUUUUACAUAUGAGGUAAAAAGGUACUUCCUCUGUCCGAAAAUACUUGUCAUGAAAUGGAUAAAUAUAUAUGUAUCUAGAACUAAAAUACAUCUAGAUACAUCAUCUUUUAUCCAUUUUGAUGACAAGUAUUUCCGGACGGAGAGAGUAAAAGUUAAUCAAAACGUUAACUAAUGAGAUAUUCAACGAAAUGCAUAAAUAAAAGUAAGUUUUACUUCACUAAAUUUAGAGGAUCGAUUAGAAAUGCCCAAAACUUAAUGAUGUAAAUUUACUUCAAUAAAAUUUACUCUUCUGUUUUGCUUCUCUAUUUUUAGAGGAUCGGUUAGAAAUGCUAUUAGUCCCGAAAGUGAGGCUGUGAAUGAAGGCAUGCUCAGUUGUAAAGAUUUCGACAGGAGACGCGUCAAGAAGAUUCAGAGCUCUCGUCGCUCUAACCUGCUGGGCCCGUGACCAGAUCAACCCGAGUGACCACACGUUAUAGACGGACUAGUGAUUGGGGCGCCCCUUGCGAGAAAGUUGUGCGCACGUUUUCAUUUAAAAAAUACAUAAAAUCCUCGCCUCCGUCUAAAAAAAUAUCUCAAAAAAAAUCCUCACAUUUAUCUAAAAAAGGUAAAAAAGAAAAAAGAAAAAAUUACCACACCAGCCUACCAGCGAGUGCCACUUUGCAUAACUCUUCAUUUAAAAUAUACCAGAGGUCCUCAUCUCCAUCUAAAAAUAUAUAUUUAAAAUAUAAUCCACACCUUCAUCUAAAAAAAUUUGCAAAAGAUUCCUCACCGCGACCAACCAAUUUGCGCCACGUGGCAUAGCUGGUUGGCUACCCUUCACGCGUAGCUUAAUGGUUUUAAUGGGAGACAUGACAUCGGACCACGUCUUCUGGAUUGCUCGUUGCGAAUAAGUGUCAACAUCCCCUGAAAGUUGCCUCCCUCUCGUCUGGUCCUGCUGUGCCUGUUGAGCUCAUGCUGCAUGAAGGAAUAUUUCCUUUUUCUGGAAUCCUUACCAAGCCGCCUCAUGUACUGCUUUGAUUUGUUCCAUACUUCUAUUCGUGCUCCUUUUUACAGCUUGAAAUUGCAUAUUUGCAUGUAGUACGUCUAACAGCCCCUAGUGCGGUCCGUGCGUUUAGCAUUUUUGACGUCUCAGGUAGCUUGAAAUUGCAUAGAAGUGUUUCAUAAUGAAUGCUCGAUUUCAAGCAGCAUCAAUUUGUUAGUUACAGAGUCUUCUCCGGAAAUAGGAAAACUUUGCGAAGGAAAACAAAAGACUACAGAGUCAAAACAAAGCAGAAUCGGCUACUAGCUCCAGAGCGCGAACUCAGUUGCCCCCUCGGCCUCGCCGCACUCUCCGUUAUCCCAGUACGCGCCGGUGCCGGUCGCCACCGGAGGCGGGUCCAUGAGCAGCGCCUCCGCGAGGCUCGCGUAGUACGAGCCCAAGUCCAUUUCCGGGAACAAGUCAUGCCUACUGAACAUUUCGAUGUCCAUUCCGCCCGGCACCGCGAAGUCUCCAUGGGCGGAAGGUUUCGACGUCUCCGACGAACCGGCAUCGUCAGACUCAGACGACGAUUCUGCAGGAGCGCCACAGGAGGCCUCCUCGGCGGCGGUGGCGGUGAUGGACCCACCGGCAG
rnacentral:lncRNA from 1 species